GUUGCAUCAACUGAGGAAAACAGGAUUGAGAUUAGCCUAAACUGCGGAGGAGAACCAUCAACUGAGGCCGGAAUUAUGAAUGGUAGAACAGAUUUGCCGAAACAUCCACUGCAUGUAACUGACUUUUGAAAAAAGGAAACUGCUAUAAUGUCUUCGUCUAGCGAUUCACGAAGCAAUGUUGCGCGAUCGAGGUUCAAAUUUACACAUAUGUUGAAUGUGAAAAUUGACACACAUCAUUGCUCCAAAGUUUAGACAACUGGAGAUAAGAAUGCAUCUCUCACAGAUGGUUAACUAAUUACCUACCAUGGCACCGUUUUCCUUAGCAUCUUUUGCCAUAGACAGAGUAUCCCAACUUGUACAAAAUUUGGGGGAAUGGUGAAGGAGAUAAUACACCCACAUUACAACAUAUCUGAACAAGAAAAAAACGUGAAGUUCACCAAAGCCGAUAAUAAUCAUGACACAGCCUAGUGCAUUAUUUAAAGCAAACACAUUUUUUUCCAUUUCCAUGCGGUAUUCGUCCUAUUUUCCUCCUAUAAAAAUAAUCUGAACAAGAUUAUUUGAAGCAAAACACAAUUCCCCUUUCCUGCAUCAUAAGGAGAAACAUUUCAGACACCCCAAACGGAUCAAGUGUAUUUCAGACAUCGAUGACAUACUUUUAACUAAUAACAUGAAGAUAAGAAUGCAUGCACUGUGUUCUACUCUACAGAAGACAACCCGAUAAAGUCUGUCAUGCUAGUUAGUUAAACAGUAUCCAAAUGCAUGCAAUGUGUUCUACUCUACAGAUGAUGAUACCUAAACAUACUAGAAAAAAUGGUUAAACAGGAGCUGACACCGCUGGUGCUUCACGACAAUUAAUUGAACAAACAGGUCACGGCCUGACGUUAAGUAGCUGCCAGUACAGGCAUAUAAAGCAGAGGAACAUGGCUCUCCUCUCGGGUGGCCGUCUUUGGCGGCAGCUUGCCACAGCUACGGCUAUGGCUACUUUGUGGAGCAUUACAAACAAGACAAUACUAUAAAGCCAGAAGUAAUCAUACUAUAAAUCUCAAUCACGCCUAGUCUGAUGUAACUUAAACGCUGGUUCAGGAAUAGCAGGGCACAUCACUGACCGACCCACUGACUACUGGAGGCUGUUCUGUAAAGAAACGGGGCUAUAGAAGCAUGUUAGCUAAUCUAGUCGCUGUAGUUUUUCUUCAGUUAGUUUGCUUUCGUCAGACAUAACGUAGCCAGGCGCAUGAGCUCGCGAGUCGUUGUGCGAGCCACGCGCGUAGGCGAUCUGGGUACGAUCGAUGCCCGAUCGAUCGGGGUGGUCAGCCACGAAACCCACUCGUGGGAUGGCACGAGAAUUCGGGAUCAUGGCGCUAGGACCGGGCCACUCUUUCUCUCUGUAACAGAAUAAGUAGAGGAGAUCAAAAACAGAAAAGUCACAAGGUUGUCCGUGACGCAAAAACUCCUGUCUCUCCUCUCAGUGAUCGCAAGCUGUGAGAGAUCGAGCAACCCUGACAAUUGGCAUCAAAGCCGGUUUAAGGUGAUCCCGACGCCCAUGGCUGACACCGGAGCUCAGCCGGACCAGGCGGCGGCGGCACCCCGCAACGGUGGCGGGGGUGGGAGCCGCUCGCGCACUCCACCACAGGAGCGCAGCCGCGGACGGAGCCACGUGAGAAGGGAGUGGCGGGUGGUGAUCCACCAGGCGGUGGCCAUGGAGCGCGCGCCGCUUGUGCCAAGCGCGGGCACCAUGUUCCCGACGCUCACAUCCACGAACUACAUCGAGUGGUCUCUCGUGAUGAAGGUGCACCUGGAGUCUUGGGGGCUCUGGGACGCGAUCGAGGGUAACGCACUGCAUGUGCGUGACGACAAGACGGCGCUCGGCGUCCUGUUCCGAGUCGUCCCCCUAGAGAUGCUUGGCGUCCUCGUCGUCAACGAGACGGCGAAGGAGGCCUGGGACACGAUCAAGGUCAUGCGCAUGGGGAUGCACCGUGUGCGCGAGGCCACCACGCAACGCCUGCGCGCGGAGUUCGAGCAGAUCACCUUCCGCGACGGCGAAACUCUCGACUCCUUCGGCAUGAGGAUCACCGCCCUCGUCAACCAGCUGCGCACGCUGGAGGACAACGUCGAAGAGGUACGCAUGAUCCCGAAGAUGCUCCGUGUCGUCCCCGCCCGCUAUGCCCAGAUCGCAGUCGCGAUAGAGCCCCUCCUUGAUCUGACCACGAUCUCGGUCGAGGAGCUGAUCGGUUGACUGCGCACCGCUGAGGAGCGCUGCGGUGGCGGGGCGGCUCAAGCCAGCGGCGGCGGUCGGCUGCUCAUGUCGGAGCAGCAGUGGGAUGCCUGGCGCCGCGAGCGCGAGCAGGGCCAGGGGUCCAGCUCAAACGGCGCCGGCAACGGGAACCGCAACGGGGGCGGCGGCAAUCUCCGCCGUGGCAAGCCGCAGAACCAGAAGUGCGGCAACGACACUCAAAGCCAAGGCGGCGGCAACGGCCGCGACAGCGCCGGCAACGGUGGGCGCGACAUGUCUAAGGUGAAGUGCUACAAUUUUCUCAGCGCUGGACACUGGUGUGCGCGGCGCCGUGAAACUCGGCGACGGCUCGGUGGUUCAGAUCGAGGGGAGAGGAACGAUCCUCUUCCAAUGCGGCAACUGUGAGCUCAUGGUCCUGUCUGAUGUGUAUUACAUCCCAAAACUUUGCAGCAACAUCGUCAGCAUCGGACAGUUGGACGAAAUCGCCUACGAGACCAAUAUUAGUCACGGGGUGCUCCAGCUCCGUGAUCCCAGUGGGCAGACUCCUCGCGCGAGUGCAACGUAACCAGGGGAGGCUGUACGUGCUGCAGCUCACGCCGGCCCAGCCAGUGUGCUUCGCGGCGCAUGCUGGCGAGGAUGCAUGGUGCUGGCAUGCGUGCUACGGCCACGUGGACUUCCGGGCUUUACGUCAACUCGCCCGGGACGAACUGGUGCACGACCUCCCGCUAUUUGACGAGGCGGAUCGUGUCUGCGAGGCGUGCCUCGCCGGCAAGCAGCGUCGAGCACCCUUUCCUUAGCAGGCUCUCAGCAGAGCCGACGAGGUGCUGGAGCUCGUGCACACGGACCUCUGUGGUCCAAUCUCCCCUCCAACGCCAGGAGGGAAGCGUUACUUCCUGUUGCUGGUUGAUGACAAGAGCAGGCACAUGUUGGUGUACCUGCUCGCGACAAGGACGAGGCGCAGCCCGCUCUGAAGCGCUUCCAGGCGAUGGCGGAUCUCGAUUUCGGGCGGCAGCUCAAGUUGCUGCGCACGGACCGCGGCGGGGAAUUCACCUCUGCCAGCCUCGGCGAGUACUACGCCGACAAGGAGGUCAAGCGCCAGCUCACGACGCCCUACACGCCCCAGCAGAACGGCGUGGUCGAGUGCCGAAAUUAGACGAUCGUGGGCAUGGCGCGCAGCCUGUAGAAGACAAAGGGUGUGCCGGCGCAGUUCUGGGGGGAGGCCGUGAUGACGGCGGUCUACCUCCUGAACAGGUCUACGACCAAGAGCGUGGCGGGGUCGAUUCCGCACGAGGCCUGGUGCAGGCGGCGCCCAAACGUUGAACACCCGCGCGUGUUCGGAGCGUCGCGCAUGUCAAAGUGACGCGUCCGAAUCUGUCGAAACUCGACGACGGGAGCACGCCCAUGGUAUCCUGGGCUACGAGCCAGGAUCGGCGGCUUACCGCGUCUACCACCCGCCGUCGAACCGUGUUCUGGCCUCCAGGGAUGUCGUGUUCGACGACGAAGCAGCGUGGGACUGGUCUCAGGUCGCGGCGACAAACAAGGAGCCGUGCUACCUCUUGAGCAUGCAUUGGUUUUCCCUUAAAGAGGAAAGGGUGAUGUAGCAAAGUAGCGUAAGUAUUUCCCUCAGUUUUUGAGAACCAAGGUAUCAAUCCUGUAGGAGACUACAUGCAAAUCGCCUAGUACCUGCACGAACAAUCAAGAACCUUGCAACCAGCACGAUAAAGGGGUUGUCAAUCCCUUCACGGUCACUUGCAAAAGUGAGAUCUGAUAAAGAUAAUAAGAUAAUAUUUUUGGUAUUUUUGUUGUAUAGAUUGGAAAAGUAAAGAUUGCAAAAUAAACGGCGACAGAAAUUGGCAAGUUGACGGGAGAUUAAUAUGAUGUAAAAUAGACCCGGGGGCCAUAGGUUUCACUAGAGGCUUCUCACAUGAUAGCAUAUCUUACGGUGGGUGAACAAAUUACUGUCGAGCAAUUGAUAGAAAAGCGUAUAGUUAUGAGAAUAUCUAGGGAUGAUCAUGAACGUAGGCAUCACGUCUGUGUCAAGUAGACCGAAACGAUUCUACAUCUACUACUAUUACUCCACACAUCGACCGCUAUCCAGCAUGCAUCUAGAGUAUUAAGUUCAUAAGAACACAGUAACGCAUUAGGCAAGAUGAUAUGAUGUAGAGGGAUAAACUCAAGCAAUAUGAUAUAAACCCCAUCUUUUUAUCCUUGAUGGCAAUAAUACAAUACGUGUCGGUUCCCUUUCUGUCACUGGGAUCGAGCACCGCAAGAUUGAACCCAAAGCUAAGCACUUCUCCCAUUGCAAGAAAGAUCAAUCUAGUAGGCCAAACCAAACUGAUAAUUCGAAGAGACUUGCAAAGAUAUUAAAUCAUGCAUAUAAGAACUCAGACAAGAAUCAAAUAUUGUUCAUAGACAAACUUGAUCAUAAACCCACAAUUCAUCGGAUCUCGACAAACACACCGCAAAAUGUAUUACAUCGAAUAGGUCUCCAAGAGAAUCGAGGAGAACUUUGUAUUGAGAUCCAAAGAGAGAGAAGAAGCCAUGUAGCUAAUAACUAUAGACCCGUAGGUCUGUGGUAAACUACUCACACAUUAUCGGAGAGGCUACGGUGUUGAUGUAGAAGCCCUCCAUGAUCGAUUCCCCCUCCGGCAGAGCGCCGGAAAAGGCCCCAAGAUGGGAUCUCACGGGUACAGAAGGUUGCGGCAGUGGAAAAAGUGUUUCGUGGCUCCCCUGGAUGUUUUCAGGGUAUAAGAGUAUAUAUAGGCGAAAGAAGUAGGUCGGUGGAGCUGCGACGGGCCCACGAGGGUGGGGGCGCGCCUCCCUGCCUCGUGGCUUCCUCGCUGCUUCCUUGACUUCCACUCCAAGUCUCCUGGAUUGCGUUUGUUCCAAAAAUGAUCCUCGCGAAGGUUUCAUUCCGUUUGAUAUUCCUUUUCUGCGAAACACUGAAAUAGGCAAAAAAAUAUCAAUUUGCACUGGGCCUUCGGUUAAUAGGUUAGUCUCGAAAAUAAUAUAAAAGAGCAUAUUAAAGCCCAUUAAACAUCCAAAACAGAUAAUAUAAUAGCAUAGAACAAUCAAAAAUUAUAGAUACGUUGGAGAUGUAUCAAGCAUCCCCAAGCUUAAUUCCUGCUCGUCCUCGAGUAGGUAAAUGAUAAAAACAGAAUUUUUGAUGUGGAAUGCUACCCAACAUAAUUUUCAAUGUAAUUUUCUUUAUUGUGGCAUGAAUGUUCAGAUCCGAAAGAUUCAAGAUAAAAGUUUAAUAUUGACAUAAAAAUAAUAAUACUUCAAGCAUACUAUUUAAGCAAUUAUGUCUUUUCAAAAUAACGUGGCCAAAGAAAGCUCAUCCCUACAAAAUCAUAUAGUUUGGCUAUGCUCCAUUUUCGUCACACAAGAAUGCUCUCAUCAUGCACAACCCCGAUGACAAGCCAAGUAAUUGUUUCAUACUUUAGUAUUCUCAAACUUUUUCAACUUUCAUGCAAUACAUGAGCGUGAGCCAUGGACAUUGCACUAUGGGUGGAAUGGAAUAUGAUAAUGGGGGUUGUGUGGAGAAGACAAAAAAGGAGAAAGUCUCACAUUGACGCGGCUAACCAACGGGCUAUGGAGAUGCCCAUCAAUUGAUGUCAAUGCAAGGAGUAGGGAUUGCCAUGCAAUGGAUGCACUAGAGCUAUAAAUGUAUGAAAGCUCAACAAAAUAAACUAAGUGGGUGUGCAUCCAACUUGCUUGCUCACGAAGACCUAGGGCAUUUGAGGAAGCCCAUCGUUGGAAUAUACAAGCCAAGUUCUAUAAUGAAAAAUUCCCACUAGUAUAUGAAAGUGACAAAAUAAGAGACUCUCUAUCAUGAAGAUCAUGGUGCUACUUUGAAGCACAAGUGUGGAAAAAGCAUAGUUGCAUUGUCCCUUCUUUUAUUUUCUUUUUUAUAUAUUUUUUUGGGCCUUCCUUUUUUUAUCUGGCCUUUCCCUUUUUUUAUUUGGCCUUUUUUUUCAUGGGACAAUGCUCUAUAAAUGAUGAUCAUCACACUUCUAUUUAUUUACAACUCACUGAUUACAACUCGAUACUAGAACAAAAUAUGACUCUAUAUGAAUGCCUCCGCCGGUGUACCGGGAUGGGCAAUGCAUCAAGAGUGACAUGUAUAAAAAAUUAUGCAAGGUGGAUUUGCCACAAAUACGAUGUCAACUACAUGAUCAUGCAAGGCAGUAUGACAAUGAUGAAGCGUGUCAUAAUAAACGGAACGGUGAAAAGUUGCAUGGCAAUAUAUCUCGAAAUGGCUAUGGAAAUGCCAUAAUAGGUAGGUAUGGUGGCUGAUUUGAGGAAGAUAUAAGGGGGGUUUAUGUGUGAUAGAGCGUAUCAUAUCACGGGGUUUGGAUGCACCGGCGAAGUUUGGACCAACUCUCGAGGUGAGAAAGGGCAAUGCACGGUACCGAAGAGGCUAGCAAUGAUGGAAAGGUGAGAGUGCUUAUAAUCCAUGGACUCAACAUUAGUCAUAAAGAACUCACAUACUUAUUGCAAAAAUCUACAAGUCAUCAGAAAACAAAGCACUACGCGCAUGCUCCUAGGGGGAUAGAUUGUUAGGAAAAGACCAUCGCUCGUCCCCGACCGCCACUCAUAAGGAUGACAAUCAAAGAACACCUCAUGUUUCAAAUUUGUUACACAACGGUUACAAUACGUGCAUGCUACGGGACUUGCAAACUUCAACACAAGUAUUUCUCAAAUUCACAAUUACUCAACUAGCAAGAAAGAUGAAUCUAGUAGGCCAAAGCAAACUGAUAAUUCGAAGAGACUUGCAAAGAUAUUAAAUCAUGUAUAUAAGAAUUCAGAGAAGAAUAAAAUAUUGUUCAUAGAUAAUCUUGAUCAUAAACCCACAAUUCAUCGGAUCUCGACAAACACACCGCAAAAAGUAUUACAUCGAAUAGAUCUCCAAGAGAAUCGAGGAGAACUUUGUAUUGAGAUCCAAAGAGAGAGAAGAAGCCAUCUAGACAAUAACUAUGGACCCGAAGGUCUGUGGUAAACUACUCACACAUCAUCGGAGAGGCUAUGGUGUUGAUGUAGAAGCCAUCCGUGAUCGAUUCCCCCUCCGACGGAGCGCCGAAAAGGCCCCAAGAUGGGAUCUCACGGGUACAGAAGGUUGCGGCGGUGGAAAAAGUGUUUCAUGGCUCCCUUGGAUGUUUUCAGGGUAUAAGAGUUUAUAUAGGUGAAAGAAGUAGGUCGGUGGAGCUGCGAGGGGCGUGCCUACCCCCUGGGGCGCGCCUCCCUGCCUCGUGGCUUCCUCGUUGCUUCCUUGACUUCCACUCCAAGUCUCCUGGAUUGUGUUUGUUCCAAAAACGAUCCUCGCGAAGGUUUCAUUCCGUUUGAUAUUCCUUUUCUGCGAAACACUGAAAUAGGCAAAAAAAAUAGCAAUUUGCACUGGGCCUUCGGUUAAUAGGUUAGUCCAAAAAUAAUAUAAAAGACCAUAUUAAAGCCCAUUCAACAUCCAAAACAGAUAAUAUAAUAGCAUGGAAGAAUCAAAAAAUUAUAGAUACGUUGGAGACGUAUCAAGCCGCAGUGGGACACCUUCUCCAUCGAUCUCGAACCGGUGCCCGCCAAGGUGGUCGGCGGCACCCCAUGCAGCGCAACAUCCCCUGAGGCGUCGAGCUCUCCUACCAUGCCGACAUCGACGCACACGAGUGCGGCCAGGACACGGCCCGCGAUGCUGAUCUGUGCCACACCAAGCCCAGACCGCUCUGGCAUGCAAUUCAUGUCUCCACUGCCGGGGGCGUCAGUGCCGCCGCCCGACAAGGAGGCUCCGCGGCGGUACCGCACCUUGGAGAAUCUGUGAGACACCACUGAAGAAGGGACAAGUGAUAACAGUCAGUACAGUUACCUGUGUCUCUUCGCAGGGGAGGAGCCGACCUCCUUCAAUGAGGCGCAGAAGGAGGGAGGAUGGAGAAACGCCAUGAACGAGGAGAUGCAGAGCAUCAUCGACAACGACACGUGGGAGCUGUGCGAGCUCCCUCCCGGGCACCGAGCGAUAGGCCUCAAGUGGGUCUACAAGCUCAAGAAGGACGCCCACGGCACGAUGGUGAAGCACAAGGCGCGGCUGGUGGCAAAAGGCUACGUCCAAGUCCAAGGAGUGGACUUCAAGGACGUGUUCGCUCCGGUGGCACGCAUGGAAUCGGUGCGCGUGCUGGUCGCGCUCGCCGCGCACCACGUGUGGCCAAUUCAUCACAUGGACGUCAAGUCCGCCUUCUUGAACGGGGACCGGCAGGAGGAGGUCUACGUUGUUCAGCCACCCGGGUACGUUGAGCUCGGCGACGAGGGGAAGGUGCUGCGUUUAUGCAAGGCACUGUAUGGGCUACGCCAAGCCCUGAGAGCUUGGAACGCCAAGCUGGACGAAAGCUUGCGUUCUCUGGGCUUUGAGCGUUGCCCCUCGGAGCACGCAGUCUACCGACGCGGGGAGGGCGACAAGCUCCGGCUCAUCGGUGUGUACGUCGACGACCUUGUCAUUACAGGGGCGGACAAGACGGAGAUCGACGCAUUCAAGUGUCAGAUGACCACGCUCUUCCGCAUGAGCGACCUCGCCGAGCUCAGCUACUACCUGGGCAUUGAGGUGCGCCAGGAGCGCGACCGCAUCACACUCUACCAAGCGGCCUACGCAAAAAGCUGCUGGAGCGUGCUGGGCUCAAAGAGUGCAACACCGGCAACGUGCCGAUAGAAGCUCGACUGAAAUUGAGCAGGGACAGCAAGGAGAGGCCGGUGGACAGCACUGAGUACCGCAGCAUCAUUGGAGGGUCGCGCUACCUCGUGCACAUGAGGCCGGACAUCUCCUUCACCGUCGGCUACCUGAGCCGUUUCAUGGAGGCACCGACUUCAGAUCACUACGCGGCUGUGAAGCGUCUGCUAAGGUAUGUAGCAGGCACUCUGGACCACGGUUGUGCCUAUGUCCGGGGGAAGGGCACGCCGGAGCUGGUGGGGUACAGCGACGCGGAUCACGCCGGUGACAUCAACGACAGGCGGAGCACGACGGGAGUGCUCUACUUCCUCGGCACGGCGGCAGCCCAGUGAGUUGGCAGUCGCAGAAGCAAAGGGUGGUGGCACUCUCCUCAUGUGAGGCGGAGUACGUGGCUGCCACCACCACCGCUUGCCAAGGGAUUUGGCUGGCUGGGCUGAUCGGAGAGAUGCUGAACAUCGACGUCUGGCCACCACGACUUCUGGUCGAUAACAAGUCAGCAAUGUGUCUCCAAGAACCCCAUCUUCCAUGAUCGAAGCAAGCACAUUGAGAUACGAUACCACUUCAUUCGUGAUUGUGUGGAAGAAGGGCGGAUCGACAUCGACUACAUCUGCACCAACGAUCAUCUUGCUGACGUCCUCACCAAGGCACUUGGACGACUCAAGUUUCUGGAGCUUAGGGGGAGGAUCGGCAUGACAGAAAUAAUUCGGCGGCGAUGAGCUUAGAGGGAGAUUUGUUAGCUAAUCUAGUUGAUGUAGUUUUCCUUCAGUUAGUUUGCUUUCGUCAGACAUAACGUAGUCAGGCGCAUGAGCUCGCGAGUCAUGCGAGCUGCGCGCGUAGGCGAUCUGGGCAUGAUCGAUGCCCGAUCGAUCAGGGUGGUCAGCCACGAAACCCACUUGUGGGAUGGCACGAGAAUUCGGGAUCAUGGCGCUAGGACCGGGGCACUCUUUCUCUCUGUAACAGAAUAAGUAGAGGAGAUCAAAAACAGAAAAGUCGCAAGGUUGUAGGUGACGCAAAAACUCAUGUCUCUCCUCUUUGUGAUCGCGAGCUGUGAGAGAUCGAGCAACCCUGACAAAGCACAUGACGCCUAUAGUCCAUUGUUAAUUCCUCUCUGUACCUAAUCUUGUUAAUUUCCCACACCAAAGAUGCUAAUCAACUGGCAUUCUAAAACUCUCCUAACAAGUAACAACAGCCGCGCCUAUGGACGAUCGAUCCCACCAGUGGCAACCAAUGGAGGUGCCAACGGUGGUGAUGCAACUUGUUUCCAUGUACAACAACUACGGCAAUCCGUCCUCUCCUACCUGCAUUGUCCUCGAAGGAAUGGAAGCGGACGAGAGAGAGCGUCGACCUGACUUAUAACAUUUUUCUUUCAGCAAUCUCUACAAAAAAUCAUGCCUCUCUUGACUUGGGGUCAAUAGCUCCUGUGCGACAUCUUUCGUGGGAAUUGGACAGAGUGCGACAUUGUUGACGAAAAUGGCUUUGGGGCGACACUUUUGAGCGACAAAAUAGCCCAGACACGACAUGGCCCUUAAACUGAUCUGAUGCCCUCAUUAGCUGUUAUGGGCUGGACCCACAACUUAUCCACGUAAGCGCGGGACCCACCAUUUGUCCAGUAAGCGCGGGACCCACAACUUAUCCACGUCAGCAUGGGACCCACCACUUGUCCAGUAUGCGCGGGACCCACCUCUUUGCAGCUAGAAGAGAUGACUGAUGACCCACAAGUGUAGGAGAUCUAUCGUAGUCCUUUCGAUAAGUAAGAGUGUCGAACCCAACGAGGAGCAGAAGGAAAUGACAAGCGGUUUUCAAUAAGGUAUUCUCUGCAAGCACUGAAAUUAUAGGUAACAGAUAGUUUUGUGAUAAGAUAAUUUGUAACGGGUAACAAGUAAUGAAAGUAAAUAAGGUGCAGCAAUGUGGCCCAAUCCUUUUUGUAGCAAAGAACAAGCCUGGACAAACUCUUAUAUAGAUAAAAGCGCUCCCGAGGACACAUGAGAAUUAUUGUCAAGCUAGUUUUCAUCACGUUCAUAUGAUUCGCGUUCGGUACUUUGAUAAUUUGAUAUGUGGGUGGACCGGUGCUUGGGUGCUGUCCUUACUUGGACAAGCAUCCCACUUAUGAUUAACUCCCAUUGCAAGCAUCCGCAACUACAAAAGAAGUAUUAAGGUAAACCUAACCAUAGCAUGAAACAUAUGGAUCCAAAUCAGCCCCUUACGAAGCAACGCAUAAACUAGGGUUUAAGAUUCUGUCACUCUAGCAACCCAUCAUCUACCUAUUACUUCCCAAUGCCUUCCUCUAGGCCCAAACAAUGGUGAAGUGUCAUGUAGUCGACGUUCACAUGACACCACUAGAGGUGAGACAACAUACAUCUCAUCAAUAUAUCGAACGAAUACCAAAUUCACAUGACUACUAAUAGCAAGACUUCUCCCAUGUCCUCAGGAACAAACGUAACUACUCACAAAGCAUAUUCAUGUUCAUAAUCAGAGGGGUAUUAAUAUGCAUAAUGGAUCUGAACAUAUGAUCUUCCACCAAGUAAACCAACUAGCAUCAACUACAAGGAGUAAUCAACACUACUAGCAACCUACAGGUACCAAUCCCAGGCUAUGAGACAAAGAUUGGAUACAAGAGAUAAACUAGGGUUUGAGAGGAGAUGGUGCUGGUGAAGAUGUUGAUGGAGAUUGGGCCCCUCCCGAUGAGAGGAGUGUUGGUGAUGACGAUGGCGAUGAUUUCCCCCUCCCGGAGGGAAGUGUCCCCGGCAGAACAGCUCUGCAAGAGCCCUAGAUUGGUUCCGCCAAGGUUCCGCCUCGUGGCGUCGGAGUCUCAUCCCGAAAGCUUGCUUAUGAUUUUUUCUCAGAUGAAAGACUUCAUAUAGCAUAAGAUGGGCACCGGAGGGCCACCAGAGGGCCCACGAGGUAGGGGGCGCGCCCCCACCCUCGUGGCCAGGGUGUGGGCCCCCUCUGGUAUUUUCUUCGCUCAGUAUUUUUUAUUAUUUCCAAAAAUAACUUCCGUGGAGUUUAAGGACUUUUGGAGUUGUGCAGAAUAGGUCUCUAAUAUUUGCUCCUUUUCCAGCCCAGAAUUCCAGCUGCCUGCAUUCUCCCUCUUUAUGUAAACCUUGUAAAAUAAGAGAGAAUAAGCAUAAGUAUUGUGACAUAAUGUGUAAUAACAGCCCAUAAUGCAAUAAAUAUCGAUAUAAAAGCAUGAUGCAAAAUGGACAUAUCAACUACCCCAAGCUUAGACCUCACUUGUUCUCAAGCGGAAGCCGAUAAUGAUAAAUAUGUCCACAUGUUUAGAGGUAGAGGUGUCGAUAAAAUAAAAUACGGACAUGAGGGCAUCAUGAUCAUUCUUAUAACAGUAACAUAUAUGGAUAUUGUCAUAUUAUUUCUUAUGAUAAAGUAACAAUCUAUCCACAAUGUCAAGUGUGAAUCAGAAACUUCAUUGAGAACUAACAAACGAUAAUCUCAGUCAUUGAGGCAAUUGCAAUUUAUCAUAACAUCAUAAAGAGUCUAUGUAAGAGCUUUUCAGCAAGUCCACAUACUCAACUAUCAUUUAGUCUUUCACAACACUCACGCAAUACUUGUGGUUAGGGAGUUUUAAUCGGACACAGAGAAAGAUAGGGGCUUAUAGUUUCGCCUCCCAACCUUUUACCUCAAGGGUAAUGUCAACAAUAAUAGUUCAUUCUAAUUUGCAUCCAAUUAUAUAUAUAUAUAUAUAUAUAUAUAUAUAUAUAUAUCAGGAUCUUUCCAACACAAGGUGCUUGCCAAAGGAUAUAAAAUGUAAAAAGGAAAGGUGAAGAUCACCAUGACUCUUGCAUAAGGUAGAAAAUAAAAGUAAAAGAUAGGCCCUUCGCAGAGGGAAGCAGAGGUUGUCAUGCGCUUUCAGGGUUGGAUGCACAAAAUCUUAAUGCGAAAGAACGUCACUUUAUAUUGCCACAUGUGAUAUGGACCUUUAUUAUGCAGUCCGUCGCUUUUAUUUCUUCCACAUCACAAGAUCGUAUAAAGCUUAUUUUCUCCCACACUAAUAAGUCAUACAUAUUUAGAGAGCAAUUUUUAUUGCUUGCACCGAUCACAACUUACUUGAAGGAUCUUACUCAAUCCAUAGGUAGAUAUGGUGGACUCUCAUGGCAAAACUGGUUUUAAGGGUAUUUGGAAGCACAAGUAGUAUUUCUACUUGGUGCAAAAAAUUGGCUAGCAUGAGGGAGAAAGGCAAACUCAACAUGUUGGAUGAUCCAUGACAAUAUACUUUAUCUCAGAUAUAAGAAAACAUGACCCAUUAUGUUGUCUUCCUUGUCCAACAUCAACUCUUUAGCAUGUCAUAUUUUAAUGAGUGCUCACAAUCAUAAAAGAUGUCCAAUAUAGUAUAUUUAUAUGUGAAACCUCUCUUUCUUUAUUACUUCCUAUUAAUUGCAACGAUGACCAAAACUAUGUUUGUCAACUCUCAACAACUUUUAAUCAUCAUACUCUUUCUAUGUGAAGUCAUUACUCUCCAUAAAAUCAAUAUGAUCUCUUUUUAUUCUUUCUUUUUCUUUUAUUCACUCAUAAUCAUAGCAAGAUAAUCAAGCCCUUGACCCAACACUAAUCUCUAUUAUAUAGCUCACGGACUUGAUUACAUAGAGGGAUCAUAAAGCAAAACUCAAAACUAAAUCAUAUUAAAACUUUAUUCUACUAGAUCAAGAUAUUACCAAAAGGAUCGAACUAAGAAAAACGGUAAAGAUAGGAGUGUGAUGGUGAUACAAUACCGGGGCACCUCCCCCAAGCUUGGCAGUUGCCAAGGGGAGUGCCCAUACCCAUGUGAUUAUAUCUCCUUUGCUGGCGAAGGUGAUGGUGGAGUUGUUGAUGAUGUGGGCUUGUCGUCCAUCGAGCGUAAGAGGUCCUCCAACUUGCAGAUAAUGCCCUUGAGUGCGAUUUUAUAUGCUCCCUCAACAAAAUAUUUUCACAUGUGAGAUACUUCUUUUUUAUACGAGCUAACUCAAUCAUCUUGAAAGCUUCGAUCUCAGUUGGGGUAAGAAGAUUGUGAUCAAGUUGAAGGAUGUCUUCUGCUGCCGGAGCUUGGUCCUCUGUGGCCUUAUUGAUCCCUUCAUCUUUGUUGAUCUCCAUGGGUUCUUCCCUCUUCAGCUCUAUCUUCAUUAGCCAAGCAUCGUUGUCACCAUUGUUGGAGGAGGAGGACGACAUGAUGCCUGGCCUAGACAACCCUGACAGAAAAUAAUGCAACUCGAAACAAGAACAGAGGAUAAUUGCGUGAUACGGGAGUCAAAAUCUUCGGGAGUUUAUAUAAUGAAUUUUUACCGACCGAAAGAAGUAUCGUGCAAGAAAACGGAGUCCGGAGAGCACACGAGGUGCCCACGAGGCAGGGGGACGCGCCCAGGGGGUAGGGCGCGCCUCCCACCCUCGUGGAAGCCUCGUUUCCUUCCCGGACUGCUUCUUAUUUUCCUAUUUUUCUAAAUAUUCCAAAACAGAGAAAGUUUGCAAUUAGAACUGUUCUGUAGUCGGUUUACUUACCGUACCACAUACCUAUAACUUUUCGGGGUCUGAAACGUUCUAGAAAGUGUCUCUUAUGUAUUCCUCCGGUGUUACGGUUUCAACAACAUUAGUUUCAACAUUUAUAGGGUUACCUGAGAUAUAAUGUUUGAUUCUUUGACCGUUCACCACCUUCGGACUUGUGCCUUCAAAGUUGUUGAUUUUUAUGGCACCGGAACGAUAGACCUCCUCGAUAACGUAAGGACCUUCCCAUUUAGAGAGAAGUUUUCCAGCAAAAGAUCUUAAACGAGAGUUGUAUAACAAUACAUAAUCACCUACAUUAAACUCAUGCUUUUGUAUCCUUUUUUCAUGCCAUCUUUUAACUUUUUCCUUAAACAAUUUGGCAUUCUCAUAGGCUUGGGUUCUCCGUUCAUCAAGUGAGCUAAUGUCAAAUAACCUCUUCUCACCAGCAAGUUUAAAAUCAUAAUUGAGCUCUUUAAUGGCCUAGUAUGCCUUAUGUUCUAGUUCGAGAGGUAAAUGACAUGCUUUUCCAUAAACCAUUUUAUACGGAGACAUACCCAUAGGAUUUUUAUAUGCAGUUCUAUAGGCCCAUAAUGCAUCAUCAAGUUUCUUGGACCAAAUCUUUCUAGAUCUAUUAACAGUCUUUUGCAAAAUUAAUUUGAGCUCUCUAUUACUCAAUUCUGCUUGACAACUAGACUGUGGGUGAUUAGGGGAUGCAAUUCUAUGAUUAACAUCAUACUUAGCACGCAUUUUACGAAAAGCACCAUGAAUAAAAUGUGAACCACCAUCGGUCAUUAAAUAUCUGGGGACUCCAAACCUGGGAAAAAUAACUUCUUUAAGCAUCUUAAUAGAGGUGUUAUGAUCAGCACUACUAGUCGGAAUAGCUUCUACCCACUUAUUAACGUAAUCAACAACAACUAAAAUAUGUGUAUACCCAUUAGAGGAAGGAAAAGGUCCCAUAUAAUCAAAGCCCCAAACGUCAAAUGGUUCAAUAACAAGUGAAUAAUUCAUAGGCAUUUCUUGACGUCUACUAAUGUUACCAAUUCUUUGACAUUCAUCACAAGAUAAGACAAACUUACGAGCAUCCUUGAAGAGAGUAGGCCAAUAAAAACCGGAUUGCAAUAACUUAUGUGCAGUUCUAUCUCCAGCGUGGUGCCCUCCAUAAGCCUCGGAGUGACACUUGCGUAGGAUCUGUUCCUGUUAAUGCUCAGGUACACAACGCCUAAUAACACCAUCUACUCCUUCUUUAUAAAGAUGUGGGUCAUCCCAGAAGUAAUGUCUUAAAUCAUAGAAAAACUUUUUCUUUUGCUGGUAUGUGAAACUAGGUGGUAUAAAUUUAGCAACAAUGUAAUUAGCAUAAUCAGCAUACCAUGGAGCAGUACGAGAAGCAUUUAUAACAUUUAAUUGUUCAUCAGGAAAGCUAUCAUCAAUAGGUAGUGGGUCAUCAAGAACAUUUUCUAACCUAGACAAGUUAUCUGCAACAGGGUUCUCAGCUCCCUUUCUAUCAAUAAUAUGUAAAUCAAAUUCUUUUCGCAAGAGAACCCAUCUAAUAAAUCUAGGUUUAGCAUCUUUCUUUUCCAUAAGAUAUUUAAUAGCAGCAUGAUCAGUGUGAAUAGUUACUUUAGAAUCAACAAUAUAAGGUCUGAACUUAUCACAAGCAAAUACAACUGCUAAAAAUUACUUUUCAGUAGUGGCAUAAUUUCUCUGGGCAUUGUCUAGAGUUUUACUAGCAUAUUGAAUAACAUUUAAUUUCUUAUCAACUCUUUGCCCUAGAACAGCACCUACAGCAUAAUUGCUAGCAUCACACAUAAUUUCAAAAGGUAAAUUCCAAUCAGGUGGCUGAACAAUAGGUGCAGAAAUCAAUGCUUUCUUAAGUAUUUCAAAUGCUUCUACACAAUCAUCAUCAAAAACGAAAGGUAUAUCUUUUUGUAAGAGAUUAGUCAGAGGCCGAGAAAUUUUUUAGAAGUCCUUAAUGAACCUCCUAUAAAAACUAGCAUGACCAAGGAAACUUCUUAUACCUUUGAUGUCCUUGGGACAUGGCAUCUUUUCAAUAGCAUCAACUUUAGCUUUAUCAACUUCACUACCUCUUUUAGAAAUUUUAUGCCCCAAGAAAAUACCUUCAUUAACCAUAAAGUGGCACUUCUCCCAAUUCAAGACAAGGUUAGUUUCUUCACAUCUCUGCAAAACUCGAUCAAGGUUGCUCAAGCAAUCAUCAAAAGAGGAUCCAUAAACGGAGAAAUUGUCCAUGAAAACCUCACAUAUCUUUUCACAAAAGUCAGAAAAUAUAGCAAUCAUGCAUCUUUGAAAGGUAGCAGGUGCUUUACAUAAACCAAAAGGCAUACGUCUAUAAGCAAAAGUACCGAAAGGGCAAGUAAAAGUGGUAUUUGCUUGAUCAUCAGCUGACACAGGUAUUUCAGAGACACCAGAGUAACCAUCUAGAAAGCAAAAAUGUGUAUGUUUGGAUAAUCUUUCUAGCAUUUGAUCAAUAAAAGGUAAGGGGUAAUGAUCUUUUUAGUAGCCUUAUUUAAUUUGCGGAAAUCAAUUACCAUCCUAUAACCUGUAAUAAUUCUUUGCGGAAUCAAUUCAUCUUUAUCAUUGGGAACGACAGUAAUACCUCCCUUCUUAGGGACACAAUGGACAGGACUUACCCACUGACUAUCAGCAACGGGAUAAAUUAUACCUGCCUCAAGGGGCUUUAGUAUUUCCUUUCUUACCACUUCCUUCAUCUUAGGAUUCAGACGUCGUUGAUGAUCAAUAACUGGUUUGGCAUCUUUCUCCAAAUUUAUUUUGUGUUGGCAUAGAGUGGGACUAAUGCCAUUAAGAUCAUCAAGAGUAUAUCCAAUAGCAGCACGGUGCUUCUUCAGAGUUUUCAGUAAUUUUUCUUCCUCCUUCUCUGAAAGGUUAGCACUAAUAAUAACAGGAUAUAUCUUCUUUUCAUCAAGAUAAGCAUAUUUAAGAGUAUCAGGCAACGGUUUAAGCUCAAACACGGGAUCACCCUUGGGUGGAGGAGGACCCCCUAGGAUUUCAACAGGAAAAUUGUGUUUCAUAAUAGGUCCAUGUUUAAAGAAUACUUCAUCUAUUUCCCUUCUUUCAUUCAUAAACAUAUCAUUCUCAUGGUCUAGCCAAUAUUGUUCUAAAGGAUCACUAGGAGGCACGGCAAUAGAAGCAAGACCAAUAAUUUCAUCCUUACUAGGCAAUUCCUCAUCACGCGAGGUUGUCUACGAAAUUUAGAGAAAUUAAACACAUGAGACAUAUCAUCCAAACCAAUAGUAACAACAUCCUUUUCGCAGUCUAUCUUAGCAUUAACAGUGUUCAAGAAGGGUCUACCAAAUAUAAUGGGACAAAAGCUAUCUUGUGGGGAACCAAGAACAAGAAAAUCAGCAGGAUAUUUAGCCUUCCCACACAAGACCUCAACAUCUCUAACAAUCCCAAUUGGUAAAAUAGUAUCUCUAUUGGCAACCUUAAUGGUAACAUCGAUAUCUUCUAUCUCAGCCGGUGCAAUAUCAUGCAUAAUUUCUUUGUAUAAGUAAAUAGGUAUUGCACUAGCACUAGCACCCAUAUCACACAAGCCAUGAUAACAAUGAUCUCCUAUUUUAACAGAAAUAACAGGCAUGCCUACCACAGGUCUAUGUUUAUCUUUAGCACCAGGUUUAGCAAUUCUAGCAGUAUCAUCACAGAAGUAUAUAACAUGCCCAUCGAUAUUAUCAGACAAGAGAUCUUUAACAAUAGCAAUAUUAGGUUCAACUUUAACUUGCUCAGGAGGUGUAUAAGUUCUAAUAUUACUUUUACGAACCACAGUUGAAGCUUUAGCAUGAUCCUUUAUACUAACAGGAAAAGGUGGUUUCUCAACUUAAGCAGUAGGAACAAUAGGAUCAUUAUAAGUGAUAGUCUUUUCUUCAACUUUAAUAGGUUCAACUACUUUUACUUCUAUGGGAGGAUGAUAUUUAAACCACUCUCCUUAGGGAGAUCAACAUGAGCAGCAAAAGAUUCACAGAAAGAAGCUACUAUCUCAUAGUCAAGUCCAUAUUUAGUGCUAAUAAAUUUACGGAAAACAUCGGUAUCCAUAAAAGAUUUAACACAAUCAAACUUAGGUGUUAUACCCGACUCCUUACCUUCGUCGAGAUCCCAAUCUUCAGAGUUGCGUUUAAUUCUUUCCAGUAAAUUCCAUUUGAAUUCAAUAGUCUUCAUCAUAAAAGAGCCAGUACAUGAAGUAUUGAGCAUGGAGCGAUUAUUGUGAGAAAGCCGAGCAUAAAAAUUAAUAAUCAUUUCUCUUGAGAGUACAUGAUUGGGGCAUGAAUAUUACAUUGACUUAAGCCUCCCCCAAGCUUGAGCGAUGCUUUCUCCUUCGCGAGGCCAAAAAUUAUAUAUAUAAUUACGAUCACGAUGAACAAGAUGCAUAGGAUAAAACUUCUGAUGGAAUUCCAAUUUCAACCGUUUGUAGUCCCAUGAUCCCAUAUCAUCACAUAGCCGAUACCAUGUCAAUGCAUCUCCCUUCAAAUAUAAAGGGAAGACCUUCUUAUUGAUAACAUCAUCGGGCACACCUGCAAGCUUAAAUAAUCCACGAACUUCAUCCACAUAGAUUAAGUGUAAAUCGGGACGCAAUGUUCCAUCUCCUGCAAAAGGAUUAGCCAGUAGUUUCUCUAUCAUACCCGAAGGAAUUUAGAAGUAAACAUUUUCAUUUUCAGUAGGUUCAGUAGGUUGAGGAGCAACUCUUUGCUCUACUGGUCGAGGUGAAGAUACCCCGAACAAGCCCCUCAAAUGAUUACUUUCCAUAGUAACAAGUGACAGUAAAUUUCAGCACACUAUAUAAAAUUUUCAUUACCAAAUUCCACCUACCAAAGGCGCUUCACUCCCCGGCAACGGCGCCAGAAAAGAGUCUUGAUGACCCACAAGUUUAGGGGAUCUCUCGUAGUCCUUUCGGUUAGUAAGAGUGUUGAACCCAACGAGGAGCAAAAGGAAAUGACAAGCGGUUUUCAGCAAGGUAUUCUCUGCAAGCACUGAAAUAUAGGUAACAGAUAGUUUUGUGAUAAGAUAAUUUGUAACGGGUAACAAGUAAUGAAAGUAAAUAAGGUGCAGAAAGGUAACAAGUAAUAGAGAAAAGCGCUCCCUGAGGACACAUGGGAAUUAUCGUCAAGCUAGUUUUCAUCACGUUCAUAUGAUUCGCGUUCGGUACUUUGAUAAUUUGAUAUGUGGGUGGACCGGUGCUUGGGUGCUGUCCUUACUUGGAAAAAUAUCCCACUUAUGAUUAACUCCUAUUGCAAGCAUCCGCAACUACAAAAGAAGUAUUAAGGUAAGCCUAACCAUAGCAUGAAACAUAUGGAUCCAAAUCAGCCCCUUACGAACCAACGCAUAAACUAGGGUUUAAGCUUCUGUCACUCUAGCAACCCAUCAUCUACUUAUUACUUCCCAAUGCCUUCCUCUAGGCCCAAACAAUGGUGAAGUGUCAUGUAGUCGACGUUCACAUGACACCACUAGAGGAGAGACAACAUACAUCUCAUCAAAAUAUCGAACAAAUACCAAAUUCACAUGACUACUAAUAGCAAGGCUUCUCCCAUGUCCUCAGGAACAAACGUAACUACUCACAAAGCAUAUUCAUGUUCAUAAUCAGAGGGGUAUUAAUAUGCAUAAUGGAUCUGAACAUAUGAUCUUCCACCAAGUAAACCAACUAGCAUCAACUACAGGAGUAAUCAACACUACUAGUAAUCCCAGGCUAUGAGAAAAAGAUUGGAUACAAGAGAUAAACUAGGGUUUGAGAGGAGAUGGUGCUUGUGAAGAUGUUGAUGGAGAUUGGCCCCCUCCCGAUGAGAGGAGCGUUGGUGAUGACGAUGGCGAUGAUUUCCCCCUCCUGGAGGGAAGUGUCCCCGGCAGAACAGCUCUGCCAGAGCCCUAGAUUGGUUCCGCCAAGGUUCCGCCUCGUGGCGGUGGAGUCUCGUCUUGAAAGCUUGCUUAUGAUUUUUUCUCGGACAAAAGACUUCAUAUAGUAGAAGAUGGGCACCGGAGGGCCACCAGGGGGCCCACGAGGCAGGGGCGCGCCCAGGGGGUAGGGCGCGCCCCCCACCCUCGUGGCCAGGGUGUGGGCCCCCUCUGGUAUUUUCUUCACUCAGUAUUUUUUAUUAUUUCCAAAAAUAACUUCCGUGGAGUUUCAGGACUUUUGGAGUUGUGCAAAAUAGGUCUCUAAUAUUUGCUCCUUUUCCAGCCCAGAAUUCCAGCUGCCGACAUUCUCCCUCUUUAUGUAAACCUUGUCAAAUAAGAGAGAAUAAGCAUAAGUAUUGUGACAUAAUGUGUAAUAACAGCCCAUAAUGCAAUAAAUAUCGAUAUAAAAGCAUGAUGCAAAAUGGGCGUAUCAACGACCGCCCGUCCCCGUCGGCCCGCCGCCACCCAUUGCUUCCCCUUUCCCCAUUCUUCCUCUUCUCUGGCGAGCUGGUGCAGAUGUCCACCUCCUCCGCCACGCACUGAAAAUGGCGUCAGUAUGGUCCAGUGCCGCUCACAAGGUGCCCUGACUGCCCACGCCCAGAGCCUCUAAAACGGUGGGUCAGUAGAACUGAUGAGAAUGGAAAUCUUGGGCGGGAAUUUGUGAAGUGCUUGAGCAAAACAAUGGCAGAAAGGGAUGGCAAGGUUAGAUCUCAGUUCUUAGCCCAUUCUUUCACUGUCGUUUGCUCUGAUUUAUCCAUAUUUUGUUUUUUUCCUCGAAUUUGGAAUUUAGGGUUCAUGUUGUUGUUUUUUCCUCGAAUUUGGAAUUUAGGGUUCAUGUUGUUGAUUUAUCCAUAUUUCAUGUUGUUGAGAGGAUUCAGUUCGAGGGCUACAUUGAUUCGAGCGGGGCCGCAACCUGGGAGCUCAAUUUGGGGGGAGGGGUGCCGCAGAUGGAGAAUUUGGGGUCGAGCUUGGACAGAGGGGCGGGCAGAGUCGUGUCGAUGGCUAGGUAUGCGCGCAAUGCUGAACUGCACUUGGAGUCUGAACUAACCGAGGAACUGAAGAUAAUCAAGAAAUCAAAUGGAGAUGAUCAAUCUGCAGAAGCAAGCAAAUAUCAUGGCAGGGGGGGUUCUAUUGUUGUGUCAUUGCUCUGUUUUUGUUUUACUUGUUGUUCAUCCGUCAUUAGAGGGAGCAUUUAGGUCUAUCAGGGCAGAGGAUGCGAUCUGUGCGCCAUGCCAAGUUCAUGUAACUGAAUCGAAGCAGAAAUAUUCUAUGUUGAUGCUUUGUUCUUGUUCUUCAGUUAACAGAGUGCACACCCCCCAAAUUCAGUUUCUAGUAAGAAAAUCUUGCUGCCGAAUAGAUGUUGGGCCAUGAAAAAACAACGAGGCCCAAAUAGAGACAAGCCCACCCGCGUAGGGGCACCAGCCCAGUUUUAUAGCAUAGAGGCACCCAUGUUUAAAAAAAAUGUUCGACUAAAAACUCAAAAUAAAAUAUUGCUUCGGCAAAUAAACCUUUAACAAACAUAUACUUCUUUACAUAUUUGUUGCUUGUCCACGCUUGCACAAAAUAUUGGCCAGAGGUAAAAUUCAAACUAAUAUUUUUAGGAGCACAGAAAUAUUUCUUUUGUGACCAAUAAUUGUUUGCAUGAACUAAAAUAGUUGCAUUUCCAUGGUUGCAAAAAAAAUUGCACCGUACACCUAAUAGCUAGGGUGAUCCUAUUUGCAUGAACUAAAUUAGUUGCAUGUCCAUGGUUGCACAAAAAUUAUCACCGUACACCUACUAGCCAGGGCCUAGAUACAUGCAAGCACACAUGCAUCACACCAAGAUAUGAAAAAAAAUUGCAAAAAAAUUUGGGUACCCAUACACUUGCAUGUCCGUAGUGGAAGCUACCUUUUAUUAGUAAGACAUAGAUCAAAUAGGGAUCCAAUCAACUAGAUAUAACAUGGGUACCCAUAGAACAUCAAGCACCAUAUAUAUCAACUAACCAAUAUCAACUAGAUAGAAAAAAAUAACAGAUAGAACAUAGUAGCAUAAGUAGUAGCAUUGCAUAGAUAAGGGUAGCACGACAUAUAUAGUACCACUACAACAUAGAUAAUUCAUAGUUCAACCCAACACGACAAUAAUAAAACACCACCAGCUUGUUUGCUUGCUUGCUCAAAGGCCAAAUCCUCCAUGGCCAACUCCUUCACUCGUCGCCGUUGGUGGGGUACGGGAGGGUGUGCAUGCGCUCAUCGGCGGGGAAGGCACUGUCGAAGUCCGUGAAGAUGUUGUACAUGGUGAAUGCGAUGAACUCGCAUCCACAUCAAAAAACACGACCGAGGAGGUAGUAGGCGUCGAAGGGGUUGGUGAACCUCACGAUGAGCCCGAUAGGAUGGCCACUGCUACUGACCUCUUUGACACGGAACAUGGCCGGAGAGCCCCUCGGGAGGUGCCGGUAGCCGGCGGAGAGGAAGAACUCGGUCAGCCCCCUUGCCCCCCUCCACCUCGAGAUCGCCCACACCCGUAGGGUGUUCUCCACCCGGACUCCGGUAGGGUAGAGCCUCUCAGGGAAGGUGCGCGGCACACGGUAGGUAGCCCCGGUGAACUGCAUCUUGCUUGCUAGCUUUGAGUGGAUCUUGGAAGAUGGGAGAUGAAGGAGAGUGAGAGGAAGAUGUGGGUAGAGGAAGAUGUAGGCUUGGGUGUGCUUAAAUAGCCGAGGUGCAGUGUUUUAACGUUUUGUUUUCCUCUCCCUCGUAAUGGCAUGGGAAACGAGCAAUGUGGCAUCGAGUCACCCGAGCCAACCCGUGUGUACACGCGCAUGCAUUGUGGUAGUAAUGCCAAUGACCCGCGUAGCACUCUAGCAAUAAAAAUGCGUCGAGAGAUGAGCUCGAUGCCAUGCAUGCAGCGGCUAGCGGUCGGGCAUCUAGACCCAUCUAGAAUGGGUAAAUAGCCAUAAUGCUACGAGGGUGUCGGCGGGCAUGCUCGCCCGCGAUGCCAUCCAUGCAACGUCGAACGCUGAGAGGGCGGCCGCAGGAGGGCUACACGCGCGUGCAUGCUUUUCAGGCCGAAUGCAGCGUCGUGUCCAUCGGUCCAAUGGGUGGGCCGCUUUAAUUAAGCCCAACAACACAUGGCAGGCCUGCUUAGUCUUACAAUGUAAAAAAUGGGCUAAAACGACCAGCCAAUGAAAGCGCAACACGCGGAUCUGUGACGUGGCUCCUAAUCCAGACUGUUGCUUAUGUUCACAUCCAUCCAAUGGUCCAGAAUGCUACGUGUUAUAAUAUUCAGCAUCUUCGAAUCAGCCAAUCAGAGUGCUGCCUGCAGAUCGCUGACGUAGCCCUGGUGCCUGAUCCAGACCGUCCAUUCAUAGCGAUCCAAUGGCCGAGAGGAGUGUGGGGUUUCAAUGGGGUUUUGAGUGGUUUUCAGCGGUUAGGGUUGAGCAUAACUAAUUCAAAAAAAUCAAAAAAACUAUAAAACUUGUGUCGAUCAUCGUUCUAUGUGACUAAGUAUCUAGGAAAAAUAAGAAACUUGUACUACGGAUAUUUUCAUGAAAAAACCUUCACAAAAGAUGGCUAUCAAGAACGACCUUGUAGGGUUUUGAAGAGAAGUGAGCUAGGGUUUAGUGUCAAACAUGUCAUACUUUAUCGAAACAAUCCAAUAUCAGGAAGGACUCUUAUAUACACACACUAGAUGUCAAGUUUCCUUUUUGGGCUCAUUUAGAGAAGGUCGAAAAAAGCUUGCUUACAAAUGGGUCUGUUUUCCCUAGCUUUGGAGGGGUUUUGGAGGUCAUGUGGAGCACAUUUUUCAUGUCCAGAGUUUUACAUAAUAAAAGUGCUCCGAUUAAUCAACUAACAUGCAUAAUAGUCCAGAAAUCAUUGUAACACCAACACCACAGACCAAAUAACUUCAAAUUUGAAUUUUGUCUCAAAUUUGAAUUUUGUCUCAAAUUUGAAUAGUAUUACACAAAUACACAUCAUAUCAAAGUACAAAUAUCAUUACACAAAUUCAGGCAAGGUUUUAUUACUACAACAUACUAGCAAUACACAAGUUUCAACAAAUUUUCACUUCUGCUUCUUCCUACCACUCGAUUUGUUCUUCUUCUUUUUACCAAUGCUUGUUUUUGGUUGUACAACACCCAGUUCACUCAAGCUCUUGAUUUUCUUCACUGGACUUCCUGGAACACAAGCUUCAUUUCGCACCACAACAGUUGCAGUAUCAUCGGACCCAAUAUCACCAGUUGGCAACACAACUUCCAAUAUAGGCUCAGUUGGCACCACAUCAACUGGAAUAUCUUUAGUUGGCAACUCAACUUCCAACAUAGGCUCAGCUUGCACAGCAUCAGCUGGAAUAUCUUCAGAGGUACCCAUAGCUUCAGUUGGCACCAGAACAUCAAAAUCUUGCUCAUCUUGCAGCAGCACAUCCAAGUCUUGCUCAUUUUGCACCACACCAUCCAAGUCUGGUUGAAUGUGUAUUGUUUCACCAAAACUUCUCUUUCUUCUAGAGCCAUUGCCUCUUGCUUUUUUCUUUGGCCAGCACACUUCAACAACAAGGGGCUCACCUGCACGCUUCCUCCUAAAAAGAUAAAGCAUGUCAACUGGUUAGUAAUUGAAAAAUGCAACAAAAUAGUAAACAAUGCAAACAUAUGCCCACAUACUUUGGCCAUUCAUGAGUGUAACAACAUUUGGGAGAUCCAACUCGGUGCCCAAGUUCCUGGCACAACUUGCCUCUAUUUUUUUUUACCUUUUUGGGACCUUUUUGGCUUUGCAUUCUUCUUUCCCUUGCCCUUUUUACUACUCCCACCUUUCUCAAACCAUGCCUUGAAUCUACUUUCUUUAGGCCUGCCAGCCUUUCUUUUUGUUAGGGGAGGACCCAUGGAAAAUUCAAUUUCAACUUCAGGCCACUGAGACUGAUCUGUAAGUGCUAGAAUUGGAGUUGCAUAUGCAGCCUUGAAUCUUGCUACUAAGUAAUAUUCGUGCAAAUAUGGGUGCAUGUUUAUCUUCGGUCGGGAGGCCAAGAAAAGUAUGGCAUGACUCACAUGGUUUCCCAGUGUGCUGCCACUCCAAACAAGUGCAAUCAUGCAUUUCAGUGUUAACAACAUGCCUUCUACCAGUUUUGGUAUCUCUAACUUCAACACCCCACACAGAAGAUUUUUCAACAGAUAAAUGUGUAAGAUUUAUGCUCCUGUUGACCACCUGGUGUACCACUGCAGGAAGCUUAUCCCCUUGUAGACAAUCACCAAUCCUUCUUCUCAAUUCCCACAAGCGCAUGAUCAUGAUCCUGAUUUGGUCAACCAUGUCAUGCACAGGAAAAAAAUUUAACUGCUUCACCCUGUUGUUAAAACUUUCUGCCAAGUUGUUGUUGAUAUGAUCACACUUGAUGGCAGUGUUAAAUCCCGACCUAUACCAUAAUAGAGAAUGGUACGUGUUCACCCAUGGACCAAACUCAGGACAUGAUGUCAUUAUCAUACCAAGAUGAUAUUAAUGUGUUUGUUUAGUGUAAGAUCUUGCUGCUGGCCACAUACGACCAAAUUCUUCCCCUUUGAAUUUUUUGAUCAAAUUCAUCCACAUAUGGCCGAAGCACUCCCUCUGCUCACAAUGGGGGAAAACAUUCUUCACUGCGUUUUCUAGCCCUUUGCAUGCAUCUGUGUGGACUGCCAAAGGUGACACUGGACCUAUGCAUCUUUUCAACUGCACCAUGAACCAUGUCCACGAGACCUCUAUCUGUGACUGAAAUAAGCCAAUAGCAAUAGGGAACAUCCAGUUGUAUCGAUCCAAAGCAUUGCAAGCUGCCAAUUGACCAAUUGAAAGUGCACCUAUGCCUAGGUGGUUUUGGUAAUUCCUAACAACAUAUAGCUCAUUGAGCUAAUGAUAUCUCAAGAUAAAUAUUUCAGGAAAGCACAAUGAUUGGCAUGGCAUGGAUUAGAAAUGUGACCCCUCAGAAUACCAAGGACAAAAGAAUGGCUCAAGCUCUAAAGCUCAAGACUCUACAUUUUACUUUUAGUGAUCCAAGAUCACAUUGAGUCCAUAGGAAAAGCAAAUACUAUUAAAAGGGGAUGAGGUGUUGCUUAAUGGGUUGCUUGCUCAAAAUGCUUAGUGAUAUGCUCCAAAAACCCUCAACUACUUUCUCAUAUCCACAUAUGUCCCAAACCAGAAGUCAAACUCGGCCCCACCAAAACAUCCUAUCUGGCACCACCGAGUUCUCUUGACAUAGCCACUGCCACAAACCCUAGUCACUUUGGUCUCACCGAUAGGGAUCUCGGUAUCACCGAGAUGGGAUUGCAAACAUCUGUUUCCCUUCCUAACGUUUCGGUCCAACCGAGAUGAGCGAUCGGUCCCACCGAGUUUGCAAUGCAAACUCUCUGUUUCCCCUUCGUAACGUUUCGGUCUCACCGAGAUGAGCAAAUCGGUCCCACCGAGUCUGCCUCAUCAACUCUCUGGUUAGCUUAUCACCAAAAUCAGUCCCACCGAGUUUGUGUAAUCAGUCUCACCGAGAUUACGUUAUGCCCUAACCCUAAUGAAAUCGGUCCCACCGAGUUGACAUGUCGGUCCCAUCGAAUAUCCUAACGUUCACAUUUUGAACUAAAUCGGUCCGACCGAGUUUCAUUAUUCGGUCCCACCGAGUUUGAUGAUUUGUGUGUAACGGUUAGAUUUUGUGUGGAGGCUAUAUAUACCCCUCCACCCACUCUUUAUUCGUGGAGAGAGCCAUCAUAACAUGCCUACACUUCCAGCAUACAUUUUCUGAGAGAGAACCACCUACUCAUGUGUUGAGGUCAAGAUAUUCCAUUCCAACCACAUAAAUCUUGAUCUCUAGCCUUCUCCAAGUUGCUUUCCACUCAAAUCGUCUUUCCACCAAAUCCAAAUCUGUGAGAGAGAGUUGAGUGUUGGGGAGACUAUCAUUUGAAGCACAAGAGCAAGGAGUUCAUCAUCAACACACCAUCUAUUACCUUUUGGAGAGUGGUGUCUCCUAGAUUGGUUAGGUGUCACUUGGGAGCCUCCGUCAAGAUUGUGGAGUUGAACCAAGGAGUUUGUACGGGCAAGGAGAUCGCCUACUUCGUGAAGAUCUACCCUAGUGAGGCAAGUCCUUCGUGGGCGAUGGCCAUGGUGGGAUAGACAAGGUUGCUUCUUCGUGGAACCUUCAUGGGUGGAGCCCUCCGUGGACUCGCGCAACCGUUACCCUUCGUGGGUUGAAGUCUCCAUCAACGUGGAUGUACGAUAGCACCACCUAUCAGAACCACGCCAAAAAUCUCCGUGUUUAUAUUGCGUUUGCUCCCUCCAAACUCCUCCCUUUACCUUCAUGUGCAAUGUUUUACAUUCCGCUACUAUACUCUUAGACUUGCAUGUGUAGGUUGAUUUCUUGACUAGUGCUAAGUUGCUAAAAUCUGCCAAGACUUAAAAUUGGGGAAAGGCUAGAUUUUUAUUUGGUCAAGUAGUCUAAUCACCCCCCCUCUAGACAUAAUUUCGAUCCUACAAGUGGUAUCAGAGCUACGGUCUCCAUUUGCCUUGAUUUCCAUAGCUUUUGGUGAUCAUAGCCUUGGUUUCACAACCUAGGAGACUAUGGCGUCUAGCAAGGGAAAUUACCACCAUAGAGGUCCUUACUUUGAUGGUACUAAUUUUGCUACUUGGAAGCACAAGAUGAAAAUGCAUAUUCUUGGACAUAACCCCGCCGUUUGGGCUAUUGUGUGUAUUGUCUUGCAAGGUGAAUUCUUUGAUGGGAGAGAACCGAACCGUGAAGCUACUGCGGAAGAGUUGAAGAUGCUACAAUACAAUGCUCAAGCUUGUGAUAUUCUCUUCAACGGAUUGUGCCUCGAAGAAUUCAACAAAAUCAGCCGUCUUGAGAAUGCAAAGGAAAUUUGGGAUACUUUGAUUGAUAUGCAUGAGGGUACCGACUCCGUCAAGGAAUCCAAAUUGGAUGUGCUUCAAAGUCAAAUUGAGAAGUUCAAAAUGAAGGAUGGUGAAGGUGUCACUGAAAUGUACUCUAGGCUUGCUCUCAUCACAAAUGAGAUUGCCGGCUUAGGAAGUGAAGAGAUGACCGAUAGAUUCAUCAUCAAGAAGAUCCUAAGAGCCUUGGAUGGAAAAUAUGAUACCGUGUGCACAUUGAUCCAAAUGAUGCCCAAUUACAAAGAUCUCAAGCCAAAGGAAGUCAUUGGAAGAAUUGUUGCUCAUGAGAUGUCACUUAAGGAUAAGGAAGAGCUCCACAACAAGUCAAGUGGUGCUUACAAAGCCUCAUGUGAUGCUCCUACACCAUCAAGUGAGAAACAAACCUUUAAUGAAGAAUUGAGCCUAAUGGUGAAGAAUUUCAGCAAGUUCUACAAGAGUAGAAGCAAGGAAAGAAGUUCCAAGUCAAGAUCCUACAAUGACAAAAGAUCUUCAAGUCGUGAACGAAAUUGCUACAAUUGUGGAAGACCCGGACACUACUCCAAUGAGUGUACGGCUCCCUACAAAAGAAGAGGAGAUUCUCCCAAAAGACGAAGUAGAAGAGAAGAAUCAGCACCAAGAGAGAGAAGGAGUAGAGAUGAUUGUUAUGAACGAAGAACCUCUCGGAGAAGCAAGGAUUCGGAAAGGAAGGACAAAUCAUCAAAGAGCUACACAAAACGAAGACAUCAAUCUCACGUUGGUGAAUGGGUAUCCGGCUCCGACUCCGACCAUUACUCCGAAAGAAGUUAUCACUCCGACUCCGACUAUACUCAAGAAGAAGGUGUUGCCGGUCUAGCACUUGCGUCAACCAACUCCUACAACAUAUUUGACUCACCAAAUGAAGGAAUUGGAAGAUGCUUCAUGGCUAAAGGCCCCAAGGUAUCACACCCCGAGUUUGUUGAUUUCAAUAGUGAUGAAGAUGAUUUGCUAGGAGAUGAUGAUUUACUUGUUGACAACUCCAGUUAUGAAAACUAUGAUGAACUUGCUAUUAGUCAUGCUAAUCAAGAUAAAACGAAUGACGAUGAUAAGAAGGAGAUUGAGCGUCUAACUAAAGAAUUAAACACUCUUAAAUUAGCUCAUGAAACUACCAUGGAAGAUCAUCGAGAACUUUUAAAGACUCAUGAGAAGCUACGCUUUGAAAGGCUCAACCUUGAGCAAGAGCAUGGGUUCUUAAAAGCAAUCAAUGAUGAUCUUCGCAGGAAAAAUUCUUCUUACAUUGCCAAGCGUUUACUCUUGUCUACUUACAUGCCACAAGUAGAAUCUAGCAACAAGAGUAAGAAAGAUUCUUCAUCUAGUAGUAACAAUAAUCAUGCUAAAUCCAAUGUUGUUGCUUCUAGUAGUUCUCUUGAUUCCACUAAUGAUUCUCUUAGCCAAGUUACAAUUGAGCAAGAAAAUAGCUUAUUGAAGGGAAUUAUAGAGAAAGGUGUUUACAAGAGCCUUGUCGGAAGUAAGCAAUUUGAGGAAAUUGUACGCAACCAAGGAAGGCACCGGAAAAAUCAAGGUGUUGGUUUUGAACGAAAGUUCAAUGCCAAUGGAGUUGAGUGGGAAGAAGAUCAAUACCCCAAGACGAAGUUUGUUCCUCAACAAGAGAAGUAUGAUCCUACUUCCUUCCAAGGAACACAAGCUCAAGAUGAUCUUCCACCACAAGACCACAAGCAAAAAGGCAAGGACAAGCUUCAAGAGGAGAUUGAUGCAUUUUAAGAAGCUCCCAAGGCCUUGGUCGAGUGGGUUCCCAAGACUACAUCAAAUACGACUACAACUCCAAGGAUUCCCAUCAAGAUGAUGUGGAUCCCGAAGAAGAAGAACUAGAGAGUUCUUGAGGGUGACUCCGCCAACAUACUUCACUCAUAUCUUUUGGCAAGGACAUGUGAGAACAACUUCCACAUAUUGCACUAGUUCAAGGAGUCACAAACCCUCUUGUUUGUAAGACAAGGGACAAGGUAACCUAAUGCUUUCAUGGACAUCAUCUUGUGUGUACAUCACUCUAUGUCUAUGGAUAUCCUUGUUUGUUCCUUGUGGGACUAACCAGUGUAGGUAUUGGAAGUGCAACUCACUCCAAUGGAUUGCUCCGAAUGAUCUACAUCAACAUUGAGCAUCCACAUCUUCAACACCUACAUGAAGUCAUCAUCGACAAAACCCAAGGUUAGUUCAUCCCUCUUAGGGGGAUAUCACAUCUAGGGGGAGCUUUACUCUAAUAAAUUGAGCUAAAGCAACUCUAAUGGUGUGAACACAACAAUGCUUUAUGUGAAAGUGGUAACCCCACUUAUGCUUAAACGAUGAGUAUGACCUAUGAUCAAAUGUUCUCAUUUGACUCCUAAGUCAAUAUACUCAUAUAUAGAUGACCUAGUCAUCGCCAAUUGCUUGAUAGAUGCUAGAGUCUUUGUGCAUGCUUUGUCACAUAUUUCGUUUGCCAUUUUAUUGUGUGAGCAUGUUAAUUGCAUAUUUUACUCAUUCGAGGACAUCCAUUUGUUGCUUUGAUUGUUUGGCUUUUUCUCUUUUGCCAAAUGGAUGGACAAGAAUGCCUAAGAACUCCCUCUAGCUAUCUAUGCUUUUCUCGUCUCAAACUCUAUUCAUGCUACAUCACAAAGUUUGAUCAAGUCAGGUUCGAACCACUCUGUGUGAGGAGCACUCGGAGUCCCCGAUUCGUCAUAGACUUAAACUUCCAAAACCUCUUUGUGCAUUUCGGUAUGACCGAUUCAUCCAUUUUGGUCACACUGAGUUCACUAAGUUGAUCUAGGUUUUCCAUCUCGGUGCAACCAAUUUGAACUUUUCGGUCACAUCGAGUUGCAGUAACCGCUUGCGAUUCUGCAUCUCGGUGCCACCGAGUUGUUCCACUCGGUAACAUCGAUAGGGUCGGGAUAUAUAAACCCACAGGUGAGAUUUUGGAAAUUUCUUCAAACUCCUCAGCCCGCGUGUGUCCUGCUCUGCCUCCUCGGGUCUCCGGAUCGUCUCCUCGCCGCCAGCGACCUCCCGCCGCUGGUUUCCGUUGCUGUCAACGGAAUUCUCCUCUGCCGUUGUCGCCAUAGCGAACUCCCGCCGAACUAGGGUAUGGGUUCGACUCUUUGUGCUAUUUCCCUACUCCAAUUUGUAGCACAUUUCUUUUCCAUGAUCUUUACCACGUAUGAAAAUAAUCUAUCGAGAGAAAACAUCCUUUAGGUUAGAUUUGAUUCAAAAAUUUAGGGUUAGGUCUCCGCCGAACUCAUCUCAGACCAACCGAGUUGUAGAAAUCGGUCUCACCGAUUUGGCUUAGGCCAUUGCACAUGCUUUUUGGUCUGACUGAAAACGGCAAAUUGGUGCGACCGAUUUCGAAUCUCUGUGAAACCCUAGCAAUCUCGGUGCCACCGAACUGUGACUCGGUCUGACCAAGUUCACUAGUUUAGGUUCCAAAAGUUGCUUCGGUAUCACCGAGUUUAACAAAUCGGUAGCUCCGAAAUGCUUUCUGUGGAGAACUAUAACUAAGUUUUUGAGUCAUCUGUUUUGCAAAAGCUCUGCACUUUGUGAUGCUCAUCCACUCUACCUCAUCUAUAUCUAUUCACAGGGUUUGCUGUCAGUGUGAUUGCCAAGAUGUCUGAUCAAAGUGACAGCCAGAACAGAUCUGAAGAGCAAGUGCAUAUGAGUGAGGGCACUAAUCCCUCAAGCAGCUAUGAUGAGGGCAGCAGAAGCACACCAAGUAACUUGCCCAAGGUAGCCACUAGAACAAGGAAGAAGAGAACCUCAGACUCCGAGGAUGAGGACUAUGUGGCCAUUGAGGAUGAGGCCACCUCAAGGAAGAAAGUGCUGAAGAAAGAGUAUGGCAUAGCUGCUGCAACUAAGCCAGGGUUGCAUAAGAAGGCAACAGCAAAGAGAGUCCCAAUGUCAAAGCCAACGAAAGUUCCAACAGGAGAAACCAUGAAAUUCACAAUAUAAUCAGAUGAUGGUGAGGCAGUUGGUGAUGGCAAGAAGAAGAAGAGGGCAAGAACCACAUCUGCAAAAGUUCUUGGAAAAUCAACUAUGGUAAGAGAUUCAGAAGAAGAGGAAGAGGAAGAGGAUGCUGCACCAGCACCCAAGUCUCAGAAGCUUAUGGGAGAUGCUAUCAAGUCAGGGGCUGCUCCAUCAAAGCCCAAGACUGCUCCCAAAGCAACAGCUCAAACUCAGAAGCCCUCUAAGCCCAAGAGAAGCACCAGAAACAUUCCUGCAGAAGAGAGGAACAAGGCCUCAGUGCCUAAGGUUGAAGAAGAGGAUGAUGAAGCCCUAGUGCUAAGAAAACUGAAACCCAAGAUUCCAGACCACAAUGACACUCAUCCAGUGGCUGAGGACAUGCACAUCAGGAAAGAUGCAGGAUUGAGACUUUGGAGACAGUCUGAUCCUUAUGCUGCGACAAGGAGAACUGUUGUGGACUACAUGUUCCACACCAAAGAACAACAAGACUUCUAUGAGACUAUUCUGCUUGACAAGAAGCCAAUUGUCUGUGAAAUGAGAUGGGUUGAUUGGGAAUACAUCAAAGAGAAUGAAGAUCACUUCCCAGGUGUACCAGACAGCUUCAAAGCAAGUGGAGUUGAUAAGUUUGUAGGUCAGAAGCCCACCAAAUGGAAUGAUGAGCUAAUCAUGCAGUUUUACUCCACUGCUCAUUUCUAUCCAGAUGGGAGAUAGUGGGGAUGUCUGAAGGUACAAGGUACCAAUCAACUGUAGAAAAAUGGGCCAAGUUGAUCAAUGCCCCAGAAGAGUAUGAGGAUGAUUUGGAUGUGUAUGCCAAGAAGAAGAAAGACCACAACUCUAUGGCAAAUAUGUACAAAGAGAUCCCUGAUAAAGCUUUGGAGACACACAAGCUUGGAUCUGUGCACUAUUUGUUGUCUGGUCUACCCACUAUCAACACUAUCUUAAGGCAUACUCUGGUACCCAAAUCUGGAGAUCACAAGAUGAUCAGAGGACAUUCCAUCAACUUGCUGCAAAUCUUUGAUGUCCCUUAAAAAUUCAAGGUCGUGAGUCUGAUUGUUGAGACAAUCAAGAGGACAGCUGCUGACCAGAAGAGAUCUUGUGGGUAUGCUCCACACAUUCAGGUGGUCAUCAACUCAAAGAUGGGCACAGGGACUUACAUGUUGGACAAAGAACAUUUACCCUUGUAUCCAGAUUUUGAAGAUAAUGAAGUUGUCAUGAAUGAGAAUGAACCUUCAUCAGCACAAGCACAAGAGAAGAGAGCUAAAGCAAAGGCAGAAAAGGCUGCAAGGAUGCCAAGUGCCGAGGAAGCAUCUCAGGUGUCCCUGAAGAGCAAGAAAGAUCAGCUUAUAUCUGAUUCAAGCUACAUUGAGGAUUGAGAAGGGCUUGGCCACCCUGACUCAGAAUCAGGAGAGCUUGGAGAGGAUCAUAGAGACAAAAUAUUAUGAUCUUGAUCUGAAGGUCACUGAGAUACAGAGAGCAGUUGAGCAGCUCCAGGAGGAAGCAGGAGAGAGGAAAGGGAAGGCAACUACAGAUGCUUUUCGGCGAGUGCCAAGAGGUCAGAGGUCUGCUGCAGUGCCAGUAUCAGAUACUAGAGCUACAUCGUCAGCACCAAUAGCUACAGCUUCAGUGCCACCUCCAGCAGCCACUCCACCAGCUCCAGCUACAUCCACUGAUGCCUUCGUCCUUGGAGUUCUCUCUACUCCACCUCCUGAAGACCAAGCCUGAGAGACGCAUAGCACUAUGCAUUUUCGAACUUUUUGAUAACUUGUUGCCAAAGGGGGAGAAAUGUAUAGAUCAUAGGCUUCGAGAGAGAGUGUUUUGCUUCUUUGUCUCUCUUGAUUUUGGUUGAACUUUAUGGUGUUCUUGGUUGAUACUCUAUGUCUGUGUGAGAUACUUGUUUGAUCAUGGGUUUGAUCAUAUGCUACUUUAAUGCUUGCUUGGAUGGUAUUAUCUCUUAUAUCCCAUAUAUGUUCAUUCACUUUGCUUGGUGAUGAAUGCUUUCUUUUAAUUUCCACGAUCCUAAUUGAUUGUGCAUUUGCAUUCAAAAGAUGUAUGUGACAUGGAAGAGUAACCCAUGAUCCUAAUCGAUUGUGCAUUUGCAUUCAAAAGCCUAUUUUUAAUAAUGCACAAAUUUAGGGGGAGCUCUUGCUUAUCACAUACUUCUCAAAGCGACGAUGUAUUUCAAUCUUAUGAUCAUUUGUCAAAGCUUUGAUCUAUAUGUUUUCAUCAAUUAUCAAAAAGGGGGAGAUUGAAAGUGCAACUAUCCCUGGGUGGUUUUGGUAAUUCCUAACAACAUAUAGCUCAUUGAGCUAAUGAUAUCUCAACAUAAAUAUUUCAGGAAAGCUCAAUGAUUAGCAUCGCAUGGAUUAGAAAUGUGGACCCCUCAAAAUGCUAAGGACAAAAUAUUGGCUCAAGCUCUAAAGCUCAAGACUCUACAUUUUACUUUUAGUGAUCCAAGAUCACAUUGAGUCCAUAGGAAAAGCCAAUACUAUUAAAAGGGGAUGAGGUGUUGCUUAAUGGGUUGCUUGCUCAAAAUGCUUAGUGAUAUGCUCCAAACCAAAAGUCAAACUCGGCCCCACCGAAACAUUCUAUCCGGCGCCACCGAGUUCUCUUGACAUAGCCACUGUCACAAACCCUAGUCACUUCCGGUCUCACCGAUAGGGACUCGGUCUCACCGAGAUGGGAUUGCAAAAUCUUUGUUUCCCUUCGUACAUUUCGGUCCAACCGAGAUGAGCGAUCGGUCCCACCGAGUUUGCAAUGCAAACUCUCUGUUUCCCCUUCGUAACGUUUCGGUCUCACCGAGAUGAGUGAAUCGGUCCCACCGAGUUUGCCUGACCAACUCUCUGGUUAGCUUAUUACCAAAAUCAGUCCCACCGAGUUCGUGUAAUCGGUCUCAUCGAGAUUACGUUAUGCCCUAACCCUAACGAAAUCGGUCCCACCGAGUUGAAAUGUCGAUCCCACCGAAUAUCCUAACAUUCACAUUUUGAACUAAAUCGGUCUGACCGAGUUUCAUUAUUCGGUCCCACCGAGUUUGAUGAUUUGUGUGUAACAGUUAGAUUUUUUGUGGAGGCUAUAUAUACCCCUCCACCCACUCUUCAUUUGUGGAGAGAGCCAUCAGAACAUGCCUACACUUCCAGCAUACAUUUUCUAAGAGAGAACCACCUACUCAUGUGUUGAGGUCAAGAUAUUCCAUUCCAACCACAUAAAUCUUGAUCUCUAGCCUUCUCCAAGUUGUUUUCCACUCAAAUCAUCUUUCCACCAAAUCCAAAUCUGUGAGAUAGAGUUGAGUGUUGGGGAGACUAUCAUUUGAAGCACAAGAGCAAGGAGUUCAUCAUGAACACACCAUCUAUUACCUUUUGGAGAAUGGUGUCUCCUAGAUUGGUUAGGUGUCACUUGGGAGCCUCCGUCAAGAUUGUGGAGUUGAACCAAGGAGUUUGUACGGGCAAGGAGAUAGCCUACUUCGUGUAGAUCUACCCUAGUGAGGCAAGUCCUUCGUGGGCGAUGGCCAUGGUGGGAUAGACAAGGUUGCUUCUUCGUGGACCCUUCGAGGGUGGAGCCCUCCGUGGACUCGCGCAACCGUUACCCUUCGUGGGUUGAAGUCUCCAUCAACGUGGAUGUAUGAUAGCACCAUCUAUCGGAACCACGCCAAAAAUCUCCAUGUCUACAUUGCGUUUGCUCCCUCCAAACUCCUCCAUUUACCUUCAUGUGCAAUGUUUUACAUUCCGCUGCUAUACUCUUAGACUUGCAUGUGUAGGUUGAUUGCUUGACUAGUGCUAAGUUGCUAAAAUCUGCCAAGACUUAAAAUUGGGAAAAGGCUUGAUUUUUAUUUGGUCAAGUAGUCUAAUUACCCCCCCCCCUCUAGACAUACUUUCGAUCCUACACCAUUCCACUUGCCAGUCAAAAAUGAUGAGUCUAUGCUCAAAUAUGGACGACACCCUACCUUGAAGCCAUCAAUGCUAGGCUUCAAAGCCAUAAUAAACGUAUAGAAAAGUACUCUUCCAUCCUCUGUUACCUCAGUAUCUAUCUCCACAACACUCCCAGGUGACCUCUUCUCCACCUCUGCUUUGAAAUUAUAAAGCAUCCUAAAAGUAUUUGCCCAGUCACCAUAUAAUUGUUUCAUUGCCCUUUGUUUUGCCUUCCACACCGUGUUAUACUUCUCCUUAAUGGGGUAUUGCUUUCCAAGUAUACUUUAAGUUUCUUUGCAGUGGUGUUUGGUUUCUUGGCUAGAAUAGGAGUGAUCUUUUCUGCAAUCCAAAGCUGUGAUGUCAUGGUUGAUACUCUCGGUGAACUUGUAAUACAAGUAUGUUGGUGAGGGAUUUGAUUCACCCUAAUGGUACUUCCAUCAGGUUGGCGUCUAGCAGAUAUGUACUACUUGCAAGGCUUGACACUUCCAUCAAAACCUCUACACCUUGCAUAAAACUUCUUUCUAUCAGUCCACUUAGUCUUGGCACCAAACUCAUGUUUGACUGCAUAUGUCUUGAAACACAUCCUAAACUCAUCCAUGUUUGGGAACAACAUCCCCACUUCAAUAACAGGGUUUUCCUUGUCAUACACAUUUACCAACUCAUCAUCAUGUGCAUCAUCUACAUCAUCUGCAGCAUCUUCCAUCAGCUAUCCAUCCAGAUCUUCAGUUCUAUCUUUGUUAGCAUCAGUAUCAGUAGGCAUACUAGAUUCACCAUCCUUCUCCUCCUUAUCUUCAUCAGCUACUGGAAUGCCAAAUUUUUUGGCCAUCUCAGUGUCAUCCAUUGGUGCAAUGACUAAAUCAGUUGGGUCAUUUAAUUCUACUGAAUUCCAAUCAACAUAAACAACCCUUCCAACACCCUCAGAGCCAUCUUCUGCAUCACCCCCCUCAGGUAAUACUGUCACUUCACCUGUACACAUGGGCAUUAUCUGCCUCUCUGAAGCCCAAUCAUCAUCUACCAUUUGUGAAGCUAACUUUGAGGGCACAUAUCCAACCUUAGAAUCUGAUUUCAGAUCAACAAGCUAUGCAUGAAACAUAGUUUGUUUGGUUGUCCAGCCAUCUUGUUGAUCAAUUUCAUCAACCAUGUCUUCACCAUCCUCAAUUCUCACAUACUCUCCUUUCCAAUUAUCAAACCGUAACAAUGCUACCUCUUGCUCUGGACCCCAAAAAAUGCUCUCCCCAAUUUUUUUCCACCACAUUCUUCAUGGCCUUCUCUUCCAUGCUCUGUAGUUCUUGUGGAUCAAUCUCUGCAAAAUCAAUCUCCGGAUGCUACCAUCACCUAUGUCCCGCAUGCUACCAUCACCUAGCUUCGCCUUAGAAGGAAGGAAUUCCGCAGUGAAUUUGAACGUCCGAGCAACAUCCCCCCUAUUUCGGGGCAGUGUGAGGUGAGCUACCGGAAGCAGACGAGGCACAAAUCGCAUUCCUUGGAAAGGAUGCACAUUAAGGGAUUACCUUCUAGAUGUUGUUGUCUCUGGCGGCUCCAUCGCGUGCAGGCCCCCCUCCCACCCACCCAAAUCUGGAUCAAAUUGACCAAAAACACCAAAAAACAGAGGGAAAGAGAGGCGGUGAGAUCUAGCUCGACACGGAGGGGAACGGGAUAGGGUUCCUGAUUCACUCAACACAGCCGCCGCCGUCGCCGAGAACGAAAGCUCCUCUGCGCUGCUAUCACCGAGAACAAAAUCUCCGGCGCCGGCGCCGGCUCACCGCCAAGAACAAAGAGGGGGGGUACACGUUCAGAUAGGCAUGGGGACACGUUUCACCUGAUGCACUGCCAAGUGGGGCCCGCAACUAGAUGCACUGCCAAGUGGGAUCCACAUGUCUUAAACAUAACCUCACUCCCGUUGACGACCAGUUUAAUCGCCCGAGUGGACCUUGGCUAUUUGGGCCUCUGAAACAUAGUACUACAGUUAUUUUCGUCAACUAUGUCGCUUUCCUUCCAUUGCACCUCAAAUAUGUCGCACAGGAGCUAUUGACCCCUUGACUUGUUGCAGCUGGCCAUUUUCUACUACGAAACCAAUUUUCUAGGAGUAAAUAAAUAAAUGAACAACUACAGCAUACAUCAUAUGAGUUUCAGACUUUAUGAAGCCUGAAUGUUGAAAAAAUAAGAAAAAGAGACAACGUAAGGACCUCUGCUCUGUCGUGCCGAUGGAUGACAGAAGCUAAUUGCAGAUGGCCGGAGUUGCGACAUCAGCCUCUUCGAGACACGCGGAGACCUCCGUAUCUCCUCGAGCUCUCCUGCCGCGCGGGGCCGUCAGCGCCCAACAACCUAUGCGGUGCCGCCGCCGUCUGUCUCAUAGGGAACAGCAGAAAGGCCAUUUUCUUUCGGGUGCUUUGAUAAAAAAAAUCAUAUAUUACAGGUGGGUCCAGGACUACUUAUCAACAAUACAUCUCCUUCUCAAUGUAUCCGAAAUGGGGAUUUUGAAAUAUAUUAACCGGAGUCUCUGAAAUCUAACACACUAAAAUUCAGGAACCUAUGAAAACUGGUACAUUUCUUCAUCAACCAUCCUUCGAACCUCAUGUGGCAACGCAGAUAUCAGAGCAUGUGUGUCUUCCUUCUAAGACUUUUGCAUGUUGCCCCUCUAUGCUCCUUUUUUACGGCCAAUGUGUGGAAGGUCAUGUCCAUAACCUCAUUGAUAGUCAAAACAUAGACGAUGAUGAUUGUGAACAUCCGCUGUGGCUUCAGAUUGCGAUGAUGUUGCCUCAUCCCCCAAUUGUGUAGACACAGGCUCCCAUUACACAAAGGGAAUGGUGGGGCGAAUAGACUCGUACCUCUGAAGAGCGAGGAGAAGAUACAUGUAUUUGUUUUCCUCCAAUAUUUUAGAUGGGCCUAGGACAGAUUGAGAGGGGAGCAAAUCCGAAUUUAUACCACACUCACAUUGACAUCCCAAGAUGGUGGAGUAUAUAUAGAACUUCUAUACAUCUUGUUUUUAAUAGCUCAUUUUUAGGAAGGAAAAAAAUAAAUUGUUAUCAUGGGAUAUGUGUUGAGCAGGUCAUUCAAAAAUGUUUAUUUAAUCAUGUGACUGAAUACACCAGAAUCAUGUGAUCAUCCUACUUGCAUGUUUAUGUUAGUCUCCAACUUCCAAAGUAGAACCUAGUAUACAUGGUAUUCUAGUUCUCUCCUGUGUACCAUCACUCCAAGUCCAUUGCAUCAUGAAAGACGUGUGAAACGUGAGAACUGGCAUUGCAUGAUUCUUCUCCAUCUCUAUGUUUCAUCUGGAUAAAGGGUGUCAGAGUAGAUGAUGGGUUUAAUGGCAGAGAGGGGGGGGAGAGGGAGAGGGAGAGAUCUCAUUCUUGUAAAAUGUAAAAAAAAGGAAUGGAAGGAAAGGUCCACACUUAGACAAACUGAUUAGAUCCGUAAACUAAUUAGACCCGCAAAAAAAGAUGACGCUAUAAAUAUCUCAUAACAACAGAGGGAGAGGAAGGCCAUAGCUUUUAUUGUGUAUGGUGAGACCGGCUUUUCAACACCCGGGUGUCAGACACCCGGCUAUCAGGCCGUUCAGGCAAUACCUCUCAUUGGGAUAUGUGUCUGGUCCUGCACCACCAUUUUCAUUAGCAGGCAAGGUGAAUAGUAAAUGGAUGUGACAACAGAGAACGGCCAUAGAGCGGACGAGCUCGCCUGUGUUGAACAGCCUGUCACGUUACACAAGGUGCACCGAAGCAGGAGUAUUGAGCCGCACCAGAAGUCCCAAUAUAUUGGUAGAGAUAAGCUAGGUAGUUAGUUCAUAUCUAUCCUUUGUAACCUAUUCUAUCUCUUCUCCUUCAAGUCUCCUGUAAUAUCUCAACUUCUAACUUGUAUGUGCUUCAGGGAUUGCGCCCCUGCCUAUAACAUGCAACGCGUCCCCUCGCACCGAGGUAAAGACGUUUCCGCAUCUCGCACAUGGUAAUCAGAGCCAUCCUACUUCCCAUCUAGUUUUCUCUCGAUUCCAAUCGUGUCCAAAAAUCAUGUCUUCCUCCUCCGGCAUCUCUCACCCUAGCCUCAGUGGGCAGGUCAUUGAGAAACUCUCCCGCACGAACUACGUGCUAUGGCGCACACAGAUCACGCCACAAUUGCGUGGCGCCGAUGUCUUCAGCUAUGUUCAUGGCACCUCGCCGGAGCCGGCCAAGCUCCUCGCCGCCAAGGACAAGGACGGCAAGGAGACCUUCCAGCCCAACCCUCUCCACCCCAUCUGGGUCAGGGAGGACCAGCAGGUUCUCGGCUACCUGCUGAGCAACCUCUCCAAAGAGGUGCUCCUCAUGGUGACCACGAUCACCACGGCGCAGCCGCUCUGGACGACGCUGGCGGGCAUGUACUCGUCGCAGUCGCUUAGCCGCAUCAACAACAUCCGUACCUCGCUCAUCAAUGCGCAGAAGGGCAACCAGUCCGCCACCGCCUACUUUGCCUCCAUGCGCGGUCUCGCGGACGAGCUGGCAGCGGCCCGCAAACCCAUCCAGGAUGACGAACUCAUCUCGUACAUCCUCCACGGGAUGGAUCUGGAGUACCAGCCCCUCGUCUCCGCCCUCGACACCCGUGUUAGCCCCGCCUCCCUCGACGAAAUCUUCUCCAUGCUCAGCAACUUUGACCAGCGCAUGGCGCGGUUCCAUAGCUCGGGCGGCGGCAGAUUCAAGUCCUCCGCAAACGUCGCUACCCGUGGACGUGGCGACGGCUCUCGCUACCGCGGUCCUUCCCGUGGCAAGGGGAGGUCUGGUGGCGCCAGGACUAGCAGCGGUGGUGGGAUCAGUGGCGGUGGCAGGCGUGGCAACAAGGGUCGCCGUGGUGGCGACUCUGGUAGAACCCGCCCGGACACGCCGCGCUGUCAGAUUUGUGGCAAGCCGGGGCACACUGCCAAAGACUGUUGGUACCGCUAUGAUGAAGACGAGGACGACUCUCAAGAUGAUGGAAAGGUCGCUACGGCGGCUGAUGGCUCCUACGGUGUUGAUACCAACUGGUACCUCAACAGCAGCGCCACUAAUCAUCUCACCGGUGAGCUUGAAAAGGUGACUCUCCGUGAGAAGUACCACGGCAAGGAUGAGAUUCACACCGCCGAUGGUGCAGGUAUGAGAAUCAGUCACAUUGGUCAUUCGGUUAUACAUACCCCUCGUCGUAAAAUUCAUCUUAGGAAAAUUUUGCAUGUUCCUAGUGCCAACAAAAACCUCCUUUCCGUUCAUAGAAUUGCACUUGACAACCAUGUCUUCAUUGAAUUUCAUCCCUUUUUCUUCUUGAUCAAGGAUCAGGCCACGAGGAAAACCCUAUAUCGAGGUAGAUGUGUUCGAGGACUCUACCCGUUGCUUCCGGAGUUUAGAAGACACAAUAAACAAGCCUAUGCUGUUGUCAAGCUUUCUUCAACAUGGUGGCAUGAUCGUCUAGGAUAUGCUUCUUUUUCUUUAGUUGAACAUUUGCUUAGGAAGAAUAAGCUCAUGUUUGUUGGUGAGCGUCAUGUUGAAACUGUUUGUGAUUCAUGCCAAAGAGCAAAAAGUCAUCAAUUGCCUUAUCCUGUUUCUACUAGUGUUUCUACUCAACCUUUGUAAUUAAUCUUUUCGGAUGUCUGGGGUCCUGCUCCUUGUUCGGUUGGUAGACACACAUAUUACGUAAGCUUCAUUGAUGACUAUACCAAGUUCUCAUGGAUCUACCUUCUCAAGAAACGAUCCGAUGUUUUUCAAGUUUUUCAAAACUUCCAAGCACUCGUUGAAAGAAAUUUGACAGCAAGAUCAUUGCAGUCCAAUCUGACUGGGGGGGAUACGAAAAAUUAAAUUCCUUCUUCCAAACCCUUGGCAUACCCCAUCAUGUUUCAUGCCCUCACCCUCACCAACAAAACGGCUCUGCCGAACGCAAGCACCAACACAUAGUUGAAGUUGGUCUAGCUCUCCUAGCCGGUGCUUCCAUGCCCCUCAAGUUUCGGGACAAAGCCUUUCUUACCAUCGUCCACAUAAUCAACAUGCUUCCUAGUCGUGUCAUCAACAACGAAACUCCCAUGGAAAAACUCCUUCACAUCAAACCAGACUACAAGUCUCUCCGUGUGUUUGGUUGUGCUUGUUGGCCCAACCUUCGUCCAUACAACAAUUGAAAGCUCAUAUUUCGAUAAAAACAGUGUGUUUUUCUUGGGUAUAGUGCCCAACACAAGGGUGUCAAAUGUCUAUAUGUAUCCACUGGUCGCAUCUAUAUUUCACGUGAUGUUGUUUUUUACGAGACCAAGUUCCCAUUUGUUGACCUUCACCCCAAUGCUGGUGCACUCCUUCGCAAAGAGAUCCUACUUCUCCCUUCUCAUCUCACUAGUUUUGAUCAAGGGGGCGAUAAUUGUAAUGAUCAAGUGUUGACUGGCCCUCUUAAUACCACAUAUGAGCCUGGUGAUGAUGCAGGAGAAGGCACAGAAAAAAACAGCAGUCAAGAUGGUGAAGAAAUGCGCUCUACAGAGCCAUAUUUCAUGUGUCCAGGUGAAGGGAACAAGUCCCCUUCGGGAUCCGUGCUGCCAGGCGUGUCAGCCGCAUCAUCCUCAGGAGACCGCGCAGACGCGUCAGGGCGGCCACGCGAAUCUGCACCAGAAUCCGCGCCAGCCUCGUCAGGCGUGGUCGGGAGCGAGCCAUCGAGCGGCGACUCCGAGCCAGCCACGCGGCGCCCUGUGGCUGGGGAACACGCCUCCUCUGCUCCGCGCCAAUCACGCAUUUGAAUAUUCAAGCGUUUGAAUAUUUUUAAUAAAGUAUUGCAAAUGUUAAUCAAGCAAUUGAAACUUGUUAAGGCCUUGUUCGGUUUGGCAGGGUUUGAAGAGGUUUGAAAGGAUUGAAGGGGAUUAAAUCUCUUGCAAGUCAAAAUCCUUCUCAAACCUCGCCAAUCCCCUUCAAUCCAUGUGGCAAGGGGAUUAACCGAACAUGGCCUCAAUGUGUAUAGAAAAAAUGGUUGCCAUGUAAACAAAUAAUUAAUAAAAAAUAUACAAUGUGUAGGAAACGAAUGUUGAUGGUGUAUUUAAAAAUGUUGAUAAAUAAUUAUAAAUUUAUCAAUGUAACAAAAUAAAUUUCUCAUGUGUUCAACAUUUGUUAGUGGUCAUAAUACUUUUUGCGCGCACAAUGCACAUUUCUUUUAUAAAUCAAGAACAUUUUUUUACAUUCUUAAUAUUAUAAAAAUACAUAAUUACCUUUCUUAAAUACAUUUUUAUGGUGUCUACUUUUACUUAAUGUGCAUAUUACAUUUUUGUAUAACUGAUCAGCAUUUUUAUAUACACGUUUAACAUUUUAAAAAAUAUGAUCAAUAUUUUUCCAUAUGAACAAAGCAAAGGCAAUAAAAACCAACUAAAACCUAAAUAGAAACAAAUGAAAUAAAAAUAAAAAAUAAAAAAACACCGCAGAAAGAAUAGAAAACAGCAAAAAUCGAGAAAAAAGGAAAAAUGAAAAAAGAAAGACACAAAUAGAAAAUAAAGAAGAAGAAGAAGAAGAAGAAGAGAAAUAAAAGAAAAAACAUCUAAAAACCAAUAAAGAAACAGAAACAGAUCAAAGAAAACAAAGAAAGCUAAAAGAAAUGAAGAAAUACACAUUCACCAGUGACGCGAUCAUGAGCGGGCAUUUUUUUGUUUUGUUUUGAGAAAUGGACCUCCUAGUUGCUACACGAGAGAGUUAUUCCUUCCGGGUAAAGAAGCUACGAACUCGGGUGAAGCAAGACAUAGCUCUCGCGGGAAAAGAGAGCUCCUCGUUGGCGCGUUAAGCGAGGCGCACCUAUGUAUCGCUUGAUACGAGAUGAAACAUGCGACCGCUUAGGGGUCGCAAUACAUGGUUCGGCCCAGAUAGGUUCCAGGUUAGGUCAUCCUUUUUCAUGUGUUUCUACUUUUUUCGAAAAUAUUGUAAACAAAUAUAUACAAAAACAUAAAAAUUGUUACUAAAAAUAGGAGCUGCAAUUUGAAAAUGUUAAUGAAAUGUAUGUUAGCUUAAUUAAAAGAAAUAUUGGUAGCGUACAAAAAAUAUGACAUUUAACAAAUAUUCACGUGUUUCAAAAGUAGUAUGUGACUUUAUAACCAUGUAUUUCAAAAAUCUUAAAUUUGUAUGUAGACUCUUCUUUAUUUACACAAAAAAUGUACAAAUGUGUACGUAAAAAGUAGACAUAAAUGACAUAUAUUUGGAAAAUGACACUUCUGUAUUAGAAAAAUAUUAAAUAUGCAUCCAAAAUGUUCUUGAUGUAUAAUAAAUUGUACAAUACGUAUAAAAAUCUACAUAUAAACAAUUAUUUGAAACAAAAAAAUUAAUCAUGUAAAUUUGCCCGUCUCCGCGAGAUCAAUUUGUGGUUCCGAACAACGAGCUCGCUCAACGCAGAAGCCAUGGCGGUGGUUGAGGCGCUAGACAAGGAGGUAGUGUCAAGGUGUUUCCCUGGUAACAAGAGCAACCAUGGUGGUUCUCUAAAUAAUGGAGGAGGCAGAGUCAACAGAUCCCUCCAAGCAAUUCAAGUGGGCGGUGUUCAGGUCCCUUACCACAAUUUUCCUUGCGUCUGUGGAGGUGGUAAGGGUGUUACCGACAUCAAGAAGCAGUUCGAUGCUGAUUGUGAUUUCAGAUGAGGAGCUUGAGCUGCAGCGGGUGAAGAAGAAGGGCAUGGUGGUGAGUUUCCCACACGGCUCCGCCAGGCUCCAUGCCCUCUCCGCGCAGAGUAGGUGUCUCCCCGGAUGGUAGCUGCUUCUAGUUGGUGGCCGCGGAGGAUUGCGACUAGGCUGAUGCUGGAGAGGGUUGCCCGCCGGAUAUCUCAGGCAUAUUUCUAUCUGCUAAAUAUUUGCAUUCUGCUUCACAUAUUAGUGAUGGUAGAAAUGUUUUGGGUUGGAAUAAAAUUCAAUUGAAACUGAAAAAGAAACAACAUAAAUAAACACGUCCAGCUACAUGAUUCUAGAGUUUGUGAUUGGGAAAAUAAAGUUGAUGAAAAUUCGUCUUCUGUUUGUUAACCAUGUAUAAAAAUAUGCUUAUCAUGUGUAAAACAUUAUUUAGUGGCGCUAAUUGCUUUUGCACGCACAAUGCACAUUUUUUGUACAUCAAGUACAUUUUUUCUUAACAUUUUAUAAAUACAGAAUCAAUUGUUUAAAAAAUAUGCCGUCUACUUUUAUUUAAUGUACAUAGUAUAUUUUUGGUGCAAAUGAUCAGCAUUUUAAUAUAUACAUUUAACAUUUUUUAAACAUGUUCAAUGUUUUCCAUAAGGACGAAAAAGACAAAGAAACCACCUAAAACUGAAAAAGAAUCAAAUGAAAAAAUAAAAAUAAAAAAGAAAGAAAACCACCUCAAAAAGCAUAGAAAACAGGGAAAACCAUGAAAAAAAUGAAAACAGUGAAAACGAAAGAUACACAAAAAAUGAAAAAAAGGAUGAAUAAAUAAAAUAAAAAACAACUGAAAACCAAGAAAGAAACAAAAAAACAUGAAAGAAAACAAACAAGAAUAAUAAUAAAUCGAAUGGAGAAAAAAAUAAAAAUCGAUGGAAAAUAAAUAAACAAGGAAAACAGGCGAAGAAACAAAGAAAAAAAGAAGUAAACGGACCUUGCCAGUUGCUACGCGAGAGAUCUAUUUGUUCAGGCAAGAGAAGCUACGAACUGAAGUGAAGCGAGAUAUAGCUCUCGUCGCACACGAGAGUUCUUGGUCGGCGGAUUAAGCAAGACGGAGCGUGCAAUAGCUUUGGUGUCAGCUAUACAUGGUUCGGCCCAGAUAAGUUCCAGGUUAGUUCGUCCUUUUUAUGUGUUUCUCCUUUCUUUUGUUCUUAUUUUGAAAAAUGUUGUAAAUAAAUAUAUACCAGAACAUAAAAUUUAUUUAAAAAUAUAAAAAUGUUGAAUGUGAAUGUACUAAAUAUGUUAGCUUAAUUCAAAAAAAUAUAGGUAGCGCACAAAACAAUUGUGACAUUUAACAGAUAUUCACGCGGUUCAAAAAAAGUAUGCAACUUUAUAACCAUGUAUUUCCUAAAUGUUAAACGUCUAUAAAAAAACUCUUCUUUAGUUACGCAAAAAAUGUAGAAUUGUGUAUGAAAAAAGUAGACAUCAAUAACAUAUAUUUGAAUUAUGUUACUUUUGCAUUUAAAAAAUGUUAAACAUGCCUAAAAUAUGUUCGUGAUGCCUAAAAAAUGUUGCGAUGAGGAUGGCUGUCAUCUCGCACCCGCCGACUGCUUGAACAGCUAGCGUCGCUGAGCUUGAGGAACCCCUUGUAGGGACCAAAGCAGACAACCUUGACGUUGCUGGCCUCCGUCGGCAUAUCAACAAAGCGCGACGCUUUCACUGUCGGACCAAAUCAGAGAUGGAUUAGGUCUAAAAUAUAUAUUUCUUGGUUAAAGGAAAAACAUGUAAUAACUGAACUCGCACUUAAGAAUUAAUCAACAUGUUGAUUCCACCGAAGCAUGCAUGCCUCCUGGAUGCUGAAACACGACUCACUGACUAUAAAAGCAGAGGACUCACUGACUAAGUACAGGAGCGAGUGACCGACUCUCGGCUCGGGUGAGGAUAAAAAAGAUCACCUGCUGCUGCUGGUUAUUGGUAAAAUCCAUGUGAGUGCUUGAUAAAAAAUUAUGGAACAUUGUAUAUGUUGUUACACAUAAAUGUUGGGAUAAAAAGAAUCAUCUUGGUACACUGCCUAGUCUUUUGGUGGACAGAAGAUUGUAUGGUGCAAGAAGCUAUUCAGAUACAACAACACUGGGCUACAUGACAGGAAUGGUGUACACGCCCCAAGGGCCAGCAGGCAGCAGCAAACCAGGUCAAGAUGAGAUGGUCUGGGCCUAGGAUGUUGAUUCAGAGAUGCCUGACUCGACGCCAAGCAGCAGCCACCCUACACCGCAGGCCCCGGCAGUUCUCGACCGAGAGCGACUGCGGCACAGUUCAGUUGUAGAAGCAAUCACAUGCCAUUCCCCCAGCAGAGCAGAACAGAGCAGAGCAACAAUCAGGGAUCAGGCCUGUCAUUGAAUAGAAGCUGAAUGACCUUCAGCUUCAGCUCCGGCAGGCCUGCCUCCGCUCACGGACUAGCCUCGGUAUUUCCUUCCAUGUCUUCGGUUUCAAUGGUUUGAAUUCCGUUACUGCACAUACCAAAAACGAUGUCAGAAAAAGCUUGCACAAAUUAAUGUGUUAUAUCAAAAUAUAUAGCAUGAUGGCAUUCAAAUAAUGGAGAAGAAACUUCUGCAAACGUGUUAGACCAUUAUGUACAAGGGAUGGAACGGAUGACUGCAUCUGUUUGUUAAAUGUGGCAAAGAUAGAAGGACGUGCUGCAAGCAUACCUUCAUAGCAGGCAUCUAGUCGUUUGCGGCUGAUGCUGCCCAGUUGCUGCUGCAGGCAUCUAGGGAGCUUCUUUAUAGCAGGGCAGCCUCUAAUUUGAAGAUACACGAGAGACCUGUAUACUUGCAGCUCAUUCGGCAGGGAUGCCAGGGUACUGCAUCUGUCAAGAUAAAGGACAUCCAGCGAUGGGGGGUGCUCUCCCGACAGACACUCCAGCGAUGUCAGCCCACUGUUUCCCAUAAUCUGCGGUCCCUUGAGGGGUGCAGGUAGACGGAGAGUCCCACCCAACAUGCCAGCACAGUCCACUAUUACUAGAGAUUCGAGAUGGGGAGGAAGUAAAUGCUCUCUUGCAGUUGGUGUUGCUGCUGCUGGUGGCUGUGGCAUGAUAGGACUUCUGCUUAUGGAGGUAGUGACUUCUGGUUUCUGGAGCCCACCCAGCUGGCAUGAUAGGACUUGAAUACUACUACAGCUAGCAAUACGAAUGUACUUUAAAGACGGAGGAAGGUUCAGAACCGCUGGUAAGCUUCCACAUCCAGAUAAAAGUAGAUCUUCUAGGCAUGGACAAAAGUGAUUCAUGGGUGAGGAUGGCAACUCUGAUACAGCUGCAGCCCUGAUUGCCUCACUGCUAGAAGAUACUUGGACUAACUCUGCCAUGCCCUGCUGCUUGCUGAAUAUGGAGUCAAGCUUAAUGCACCUAUCAAAAUUCAUUUUCUUGAGAGAUGCCGGGACGUUGAACAUCUCUACUAAACUUGGGCAGUUUUCUAAGCAAAGAGACUCUAGACCUCUCAGGUGCUGACUCCUUUCGGACGCCAAUGGCUCAAGAGGAGCUUGUGCAUAUCCAAUCAGAUUUUCACAGUUUGUAAUCGCCAAGCUCCUCAAGGACACCAAGCUUUGGAACACUUUCUCUGGCCAGUGGACGAGCACAUCGCAUCUAUCAAUUUCCAACUUUUCAAGAUCUACAAAAUACUCACACGGCUCUAAUGCACCCGAUCCAAAGAACAAGUUGCAGCAUCUUAGCUCCAUAACUGUAAGAGGGGAUUUCUGGUUCCAUUUCUCCUUGCUGUCCACCAAUACAAUUGAAGUGCACUCAACCUCUGAUGUUGUUUCUGUGUUUUCUAGCUUCAGUAUCAGAUUGGUCAAUGAGGGCAAAUAUCUAUCUACAGAAUCGGAGAUCUCUUGCUUGCCAUCUUCAAUUUCUAAUACACUGAGUUUUGGUGCUUCAGGCAAUGCUACCAGUUUUGGGCAUUUCUGGACUGACAAUUUCUCAAGGUGGGGAAACAAUGUACCUUCGACUGCAUCCCAUCUCUGAAAGCUCCCCAACCAUUUCAUUUUGAGCACCUUUAAGGCAGGAAAGGCUGAACGUACCAAUCUAUAACCACCUUCACUACAUGGUUCUUGAAGCAAUGGUGCUUCAGGUAACGCUGUCAGCUUUGGACAUUUCUCAAUUGAUAGUUCCUCCAGACAAGGAAACACUAUCUGUUCUCCUUGAGUCUCUUCGACUGCAUCCCAUCUCCGAAAGCUCUCCAACUCUUUCAUUUUGAGUACCUUUAGGGCAGGAAACGCUGAGCGUACCAAUGUAUAACCACCUUCACCACAAGGUCCUUGCAGCAAUGGUGCUUCAGGUAAUGCUACCAACUUUCCACAAUUACUAAUAAACAACUUCUCAAGCACAGGAAAUAUUGUUUGUUCUUCUUGCCUCUCAUCUAUUUCCCACCAUCUUACAAAACCCAACAAACGUUCUAGCAUUAGUACCUUCAGUUUUGGAAAAGUGAAGCUUGCACUGCAUCUGAACAAAACUUGCAAUCUUUCACAAUGGAAAAGAUGGAUCUCAACCAUGUUUUGCAGCAUACCCAUGCACUCUCCUCCAUAGGAAUAUAUCUUCAGAACCUGCAACCCACCAUGUGGUUCGAAAUUGUCGAGCACCAUGCUGUCACAAACAGAAUUCCAUCUUAAUGUCAGUUCUCUGAGAUCCUUCUUGUUUCCAAGGUUUGCCACUUUUGCCUCUGCCUCUAUAACAUUCUCUAUCUGACAUAGCUCUAACUGACCACCAAGGUUUAAAUGCUGCAGCUCUGCAACAUCACUGCAAUCAGUGCCAGUAACUGCUGCUGCAAAAAAUGUAAGCGUCUGCAGCUUAGUGAGUUUUCCUAGUUCUGGUGGCAUGCUCUUCAAGUUGCGACAUCCAAGAGUGUAGAGGUGACGGAGGGAAGUCAUAUACUUCAUUUGCCUCGGAAGUCGAUCAAGAUGAUAGCAGUUGGAAAGGUCUAACGUUUGCAGGUUAUAUAGAAUACUUAUAUCUUCAGGAAGUGCUUUGAUAUCACUGUCUGAGAGAUCAAGGUACCUCAGGUGAUACAGAUACAUUGAUUUCAGAAGAAAUGAUUCUGUGCCUCUAAUACAGAGCUUUAAGGCAUGCAAAGAGCUAUAUUUUGAUAGAUGCUUCAAUGAGCUUCGCACAUGGCUAUCACAUAUCAGUGUUUGAAUGGCAGGGGAUUUUUUCUCCAGAGCAUCAUUCAAAAUACCUUCUGUUUCUUCACAUGACAAGAACAAAUGCCGAGCAGUAUCUGGAAGCCACUCGGUUUGCCUUGGUUCCAUAGUUGCAACAACUCAUUCCUCUUCCAUAACAGACAUUGCAAUAUCAUGCAUAAGAUCAUGGAUUUUACAUGUAUUUCUGGAAUAAUACUCCCAGUCUUCUUUACUCUUCUCUAUAUCCAGAAAGAAUGACCUUGAAGCAAGCUCAUCAAAAAUAAGUUGUCCAAUGGUUUCAAGACUAUCUUCCUUGUGUUCAGGGAUAAAGCCAUUUGUGAUCCAUAGUUGGAUCAGCUUUGCUACAUCAAUCUUGUAAUCCUUUGGAAAUACAGCACAAAAAGCAAAGCACUGCUUCAUGUGCGAUGACAAGUCAUUGUAGCUAAGCUUCAAUAUUGGCAAGAUUCCAGUUUCCUCAGUGCAAAUGCUGCUUCUAGAUGCUAUAGCCUUCCAUUCUUUCACGGUGGUCUUGGUACGAAGUACAGAGCCCAGUGCACUUGCAGCUAAAGGAGAGCCACGACAUCUGUUCACAAUCUGAUCAACCAUCUUGACUAGCUCAACAGGCUUUUUUUUUCCGGAACUGAAUGCUCGAGCCUCAAUAAUUUCCUUUAAGAAUAUAUCAUCCAAACGACCGAGAAUGUGGGUAUCUGCACCCAUAAUUUCAGCAACUCCUUUAUCACGAGUUGUUGUCAGCACCGCACUACCCAUGACACCAUGCUUAAGAUGGUCCUUCAGCCUUUCCCACUUAUGGACUUCUCUGUUCCAGACAUCAUCUAAUACAAGGAGAUACCUCUGCCCGGUGACCAAUUUCUGAAGUCUCUCUAGUUGUGGUUUGUUUGUAUGAUAAUUUUUCUUGGGAGAUGCUUCAACUAUACUCUUGGCUAGGGAGUUCACAUCAAAGAUAUCCGAGACACAGACCCACAGCAACAACUGGAAAUGCUUCUGAAUUCUAGGUUCAUUGUAUAUGAGCUGUGCUAAUGUGGUCUUACCAAAGCCCCCCAUUCCAACGAUGGCAACCACUGCGAGAUCAGCACUAUUAGCUUGGCGAAGUAGUCUACCAACAACUUCCACCUUAUCUUUGUCUCUGGAUCUGCUAGCAAUGUCUUGCAGGUCGGUGAUAACAGAAUCCGUCUGCCUCCACUGCUUGGACACGGGUGGCUGUGGUCGGUACUUGAACCUAAAGGCAUGCAUCUCUGCUAUGAGCACAUCAAUGGCCUUCAGGAUCCGGCAAAGCUUGCGACCCAUUUUGUAACGGAACACAAUACAGUUGUGAGUAGGGAAGAGUUUAAUUACAUCGAAGCCGAGCUUGCUGUAGUGCCCCUUCUUCCUGGCUUCACGACGGAGUGCUUCGUACUUGAAUUCGUCAAACACUUCAUUUGCCUCAUAUGCCACCGUCUUGAGCUCCUGGAGCCAGGUUUUGGCCCCAUCUCUAUGCUCCGUCGCCUGCUUCUCGGCGUCGGUCAUGACGUCGAGGAUGGCCGGAAGCUUGCGUUUGAGAAUCUUGUGCUGCUCCUCCAUUCCCUCCAUCACCUUGUACUGGUCCAGGAGGGAGUUGCCCGCCUUGUUCACCAGCAUGGACACCAGCGGCCGGAUGGCCAUGGCGGCCACCACCUCCGCCAUUGGAACGCCCACACGAUUGGCACAGCAACACGAAGCAGUGUGGAAUGGAGAAUGGAAUGGUGUGAGCAAGACGUGCUUGCUUUGCUAGUAAUGAAACUGGAAGCCAAGGUGAGUAUUGACUUUCUGGGAGCGAAGUGGAUGAGCUCGCGUUACGGGAACCAAUCACAACUAUCCAAUCCUGAACAGCUCAGCACUGGGCAUUGUUUUUGGGCUGAUGCAUAAUAGGACAAUCAGCAUACCACAUUAACAGCUGGGGGCAUCUUCAUUUCUUAAUGAGACACAACCAGAGUGCAAGACGACGCGGGCAACCAUAAUAUUGCAAGUAGAUCAUUGUAUUAGGUAUUUGUGUCAGUACAUCCAAUCCAGUUUUUCAAAAGUGACGUUUCACUGGCUGUGACCUUAGCAGAUGGUACGAAUUUCCUUAACAAAUACAAAGAGUUGCAGGAAUGCAAAUUAAAUAAUUACUUCCACUGGCUAGACGUGUGACAGCACACCUACUGCCUAACUACAGCAUAUACUUAUCUCAAGUGCCUGCCGCCCAGGGAGACCAGAAUAAUGGUGUUCUUGGAUUAGUUGAACCUUCAAUGCAUCACUACUUAUCACCGAAGCAUUAUUUUAUUGUUCUUUUUUUUUUGGAAUGGCCUCUAAGUAUGAUUGAGUACAGGAUUGAUCUCAGAGCAAACAUAAUCGGCUGGCAGAGAAUUAUGUCUUGUUCAUAUAGUCUGAUGCAAUUUUGUGGUUACACACUCCUCAGUUUUUAUAACUAAAUACAGAAUUUUAAUCUGUUGACAGAUCAGACAAACGUAGAAACAGUUAGCAAGAGCCCCAAUGAGAUUAUAUGCAGCAUCAUUUUAAUCGGAAAGCAAUUGCCCUCAUGAGAUCAGCAACCAUACACAGUGCCAAUAAAAAAAGGUGGCUCGUACUAACGACGCAGGUUUCAAAUUAAUCAAGUGGCUAAACCGAGGCAUCGACAGCCAUAUGGGACAAUGUGCACUUCAGUUAGAAAAUGAACACUUGCAGGCAGUAAAAUAAUUUAUGUCAGUACACCCACGAUAUUGCAAAUAGAGUAUUAAUUACGUAUUUGUGUCAGUACAUCCAAUGCAGUUUUUCAAAAGUGACGUCCCAUUGGCUGUGACCUUAGCAAAUGGUACGAAUUUUCGUUCUAAGUACUACAAAAAGUUGCAGGAAUGCAAAUUAAACAAUUACCUCCCAUGUCUAGACGUGUGAGAGCACACCUACUGUGCAACAACAAAAUAUAUUUCAUCUCGGGCACUUACCGCACAGGGAGGACCACAAUAUUGGUUUUCGUGAAUCUAAAAUACAUCACAUGCUUCCUGCUGAAGAGGGAAGACCCGGUGGCAAGUGGUUAAUUUCUUGUCCUUUUUUAAUGACACCUCUAACUAACAUUGAAGGGGCAUGAUUGAUCUCAGAGAUGAGCAUAAUAAGCUGGCAGAUGACCAUCCCUUGCUCAUAUGGACAAAUGAUACACUUAAUAUACUGAUAUGAUAAAAUACAACUUGACAAUCUCCUGAUAUUCGACGAUGAAAGAUAUGUAUGAGUAUGCGAUUCAAUUUGGUGGGCUUAAUAUGUUCCGUUAUUGAGAGACAGUGAAAAGCGGAAUAAAGGGCAGGGUGGAAUUCUCUAUAUCAGGUUAAGGAGAUCGUCUUAACUAACUAAAAUCAGAUGAAGCCUAACUUUGCAACCAUACGACGGAAGCAACAAAAAUAAAGACAGGGAGCCAGAACAGAACAAAGAUAAAUUCCAGUGCCCUUUUAUUGAUCACUGCCUAUGGCCAUAUAGAUGAGAUCUGGGACUCGGCCAGCUGAAACAUUCCUCUAGAAAGCACAUUUCCGCUGAUGCACAUAUGAAAUACGACAGUACAAAGCAGAAUAAACACUGAGAUUAUACAGAUGAUUGGACGCUGUAACUAAGUUGGAUAUCGCGGCGCGCAUAGGCGGAAAUGAGAGAGAAACGGAAUGUCCAAAGCCACAAAUGUACAUCGCUGUCAGGCUACCCAGCUGAAUCCUGCUUCCUGCUGACCCUCCUGAUUCACGCAGACGCAGCUAGCAUGGAGAUGGGCACGCCUCUCGAAUUCAUGUGAAUCGAAUCGCUGGAAGAGACGGACGGACAGGAUCAAUACCUUUGUGUCGACGGGGAGGGGAGGCCGGAGUGGCUGCCGUCGACGUACGGCGCGCAGCCGACGGGGGAGCUCCGGGACCUUCUUGUCGACACCAUCUGCAAUGGAAGUAAAAAAGAGCUGUUAGAAGAGGAUACGAGAGAGGCUCACGGUAGGAAGGAAUGGGGAAGGGGGAUGAGUGAGUACCUCGAGCGGCCGCGGUGGUGGUGGGCGGGCGGAUGCGGAGGGUGGGAGGGAGGCUGACACCUCCGCCGCCACAGACGUACGUGGAGCGGCCACGGGCGUUGCGUUCUGGUAGAGGCCACGGGCAGUGGGGUCCGGGAGACGUCGUGCGCCGGCGAGGAGGACGGGGAAGGGGAGACGAAGACGACGCGGAUCGGCGGAGUGUGGGCUGGGCUUGUGACGUUGGGGCCUCCGAAAACUAUAGCCCAGUUCGAAUUGGUGCCCUAACACACACAGCGCUUACGUCGGCUAAAUCCUAUUUGGCGCCUUCAGCGCCCGCUAUAGGUCUUUCGGCCGGCCCAGUUUCGACAUUUUUUCUGUGUUUCCAAAAGGCAAAAAGGGCGCUAGAGCUGGGUAUCGAAAACGCUACAACCACUCAACCACACCCCUUGGUGUGAUUGGUUACAUGUUUUCUCGUCUUUUCUUAUGCUUCUUUUCCUUUUUAUUCCUUUUUUUCUUUCUUUUUUCAAAUUCGCAAAACUGUUUCUUCAUGAAUAUUUUCUGCAAAUCGAUGAACUUUUCUCUUUGAAUUUGAUGAUUUUUUUCGAAAAAUUUGAUGAACGUUUUUUCAGAUCCGAUGAACUUUUUUUUGAAUUCCAUGAACUUUUUUCAAAUUCGAUGAACUAUUUUUCGAAUUCAAUGAACUUUUUCUGAAUUCGAUGAACUUUAUUUCGAAUUCAAUGAACUUUUGAUCGAAUUCGAUGAACUUUUUUAAAUUUGAUGAACUUUUUCAAAUUCUGAUGAACUUUUUGAAAGGACAAGAGUACAUACCGUAGCAAAACGGUUUGUUUUUUCCAAGAAAAUCAGUACACACUGUAGCAUUUUUUGAGCGAGAGAAAUAAAAAAGUGAUCGAGCGGUAGCUAGCGACCGAGCGGCGACAGCAGCGAGCGUUGCUGGGCCAGGCCCAUGCAAGCGACGCAGUGGGCGCCGUGUUCACUCGCUCCACCUCUGCAUUGAUGUCUCUAGCUUGUAGCAAUUGCCAUCCUUUACAUGUAAAGAGGAUUUGAUGAGUCAUGUCAUGCUCUAUAGGCGUCAGUUCAUCUUAUCACCUUAGAGGAAAAUACAAAGUUAGUUUUUCGAAAAGCAACCGAGCCUAGAAGAACCGUACCCUCGACACGCAAGGCUUUAGCAUAUCUUAAUAGCCGAGACACGAUUGCGACUUGGUUCCACACAAGUUUCGUCUUUCUUGUUAAUGGCUGACAGCCCAUACAAGAUUCCAAACUCGGUUGCAAAAGUGAUACUAUCCUGAUAAGUGCGUGACAUGUAAAGUGAAUAAGGUGAUUCAUCUAUAGCAAACUUUAGGAUUUCUAUACUUUGUGUAUAAUCAUAUGCACAACUAAAAAGCAACUUUGAUGAUCAAUCCAAAAGUACGCUUGUAGCUAGUGCAACCUAACACAAUGUACCAAAAAUCCAUUUCAGAAACAUCCAAACAUAAUUAUUAAAGCUGAUGGAAAGAAGGAAAGAGAUGGUGCCCGGGCUACUAUAAAUAGGCAUGAAGUAUCAAGAUCAUCACAGGCACAAUCAUCAAAACCAAGCAAUACUAGUUAACACCAAUCCACCAUGAAGACCUUCCUCAUCUUUGCUCUCCUUGCCAUUGCGGCGACAAGUGCCAUUGCACAAAUGGAGACUAGCCGCGUCCCUGGUUUGGAGAAACCAUGGCAGCAACAACCAUUACCACCACAACAACAACCACCAUGUUCACAGCAACAACAACCAUUUCCACAGCAACAACAACCAAUUAUUAUACUGCAACAAUCACCAUUUUCGCAGCAACAACAACCAGUUCUGCCGCAACAGCAACCAGUUAUUAUACUGCAACAACCACCAUUUUCGCAGCAACAACAACCAGUUCUACCACAACAACCACCAUUUUCACAACAACAACAACAACAACAACAACAACAACCACCAUUUUCGCAGCAACAACAACCAGUUCUACCACAACAACCACCAUUUUCACAACAACAACAACCACCAUUUUCGCAGCAGCAACAACCAUCUUCACAACAACCACCUUUUCCACAACAACACCAACAGUUUCCACAACAACAAAUCCCUGUUGUUCAACCAUCCGUUUUGCAGCAGCUAAACCCAUGCAAGGUGUUCCUCCAACAGCAGUGUAGCCAUGUGGCAAUGUCGCAACGUCUUGCUAGGUCACAAAUGUGGCAACAGAGUAGUUGCCAUGUGAUGCAACAACAAUGUUGCCAACAGCUGCCGCAAAUCCCCGAACAAUCCCGCUCUGAGGCAAUCCGUGCCAUCGUCUACUCCAUCAUCCUGCAAGAACAACAACAGGGUUUUGUCCAACCUCAGCAGCAACAACCCCAACAGUCGGGCCAAGGUGUCUCCCAACACCAACAGCAGUCGCAGCAGCAGCAGCAACUCGGACAGUGUUCUUUCCAACAACCUCAACAACUACAACAAUUGGGUCAGCAGCCUCAACAACAACAGAUACCACAGGGUAUAUUCUUGCAGCCACACCAGAUAUCUCAACUUGAGGUGAUGACUUCCAUUGCACUCCGUACCUUGCCAACGAUGUGCGGUGUCAACGUGCCGUUGUACAGCUCGACCACUAUUAUGCCAUUCAGCAUUGGCACUGGAGUUGGUGGCUACUGAUAAGAAAAGAUUUCUAGUAAUAUAUAGUCGUUAGAUCACCGUUGUUUAGUCGAUGGAUAUGUCGAUGUAGCGGUGACAAAUAAAGUGUCACACAAACGUCAUGUGUGACCCGCAAACUAGUAGUUAAAUUCUGGAAUAAAAUACAAAUAAAGUUUUCUCUAGACAAUGUUCAUACCGGCGUUCUGUGGACGUCGAUGUGACUACCAUGCUUGCAAGUUCAUAAGUUCGUCUUGUCUGGUCACAAACCUGGUGCGUUAAUUUAUUAUUCAUGUAUAGAAAUAAUCAAAAUUUAAAUAUAAUAGUGUUAUUGUAAAAUUUUGGUUGAGUUGAAGCAAGGACUAACAUACAACUCUUUAAUGGUUGGAGAUUCAAGAUCUUAUUUUUAUUGGUUUGUAUCUGGUUCCAACUACCACCAUGGUCUACAGUGACAACCACAACUGGUUUGAUCGUUAACUCUCUUUGCUUGGUUUUUUUGCAAAUAUGUUCAUUGAUUCUUUGCACAAUUUUUUUGUCAAGAAAAAGGUCAGCUUUUGCUUGAACUUCACACACACACACCACUACAUAGUUAAUUCGAAAUAAGUUGCUGGUGAUGUCCUAGACCAGCUAGCACAGUCAGUGUGUGUGGGGAGGGGGAGUUGUUGCAUGCGUAUUCUUCGCGCAUUAUUUUAUUUUGUUCUUUUGAUGCUCUUACACCAUACCACAUUUUUACUUGAUGGAAAGCAAAAUAAACAACGCAGCUAGAAACCAUAGAACUUGAUACUGGGUGUGUGUCAACUUCACAUCCUCCUCCUUACGUCAUUUCAAUUGGAAAGCAAUAGCCCUCAUGAGAUCAGAUAUCCAUACAUAAUGCCAAAAUAAACAAGGUGAUGGCAUUAACGAUGCAAGUUUUAAAUUAGUCAAAUGGCUAAACUGAGGCACCGGCAGCCAUAUGAGACAUCCACGAGCAUGUAAUCCAUCUUAUUGCAAGUAGAGCACUGUAUUAUGUAUUUAUGUCAGAACAUCCAGUGCAGUUUUUCAAAAUGACGUUCCAUUGGCUGCAACUAGCAAAUGAUACGAAUUUUCUUUCCAAAUACUACAAAAAGUUGCAGGAUUGCAAAUUAAACAAUUACCUCGACUGACUAGACGUGAAACAACACACCUGCUGUGCAGCAACAACAGAUAAUUCAUCUCAAGCACCUACCCAGCAGGGAUUAGUUCUCGUGAAUUCAUGGAAUUUAGAAUGCAUCACAUGCUUACUGCUGAAGAGACAAGACCCAGAAGCAAGUGGUCACUUUCUUGUCCUCUUUAAAUGACACCUGUAAUUAAGAUUGAGUACAUCAUCGAACUCAGAAGUGACCAUAAUCUGCUGGUAGACCAUUAUUUCUUGUUCAUAUGAACAUACAUAAUACUUAAUAUACUGACAUGAUACAAGGCAACUUGACAAUCUCCUGUUAUUCGAAGAUGAAAGAUAUAUAUGAGUAUGCGAUUCAAUUUGGUGAGCUUAAUAUGUGCCGUUAUUGUGAAACAGUGAAAGACUGAAUAAAGGGACAUAUGGAAUUCUUUUUAUCAUAAUAACGAGUUUCUAAACACAGAACGAAAGCAACAAAAAAUAAAGACAGAGCGCUAAAAUUUCAGAGAAGUUUUUGAAGAUAUAAAAUGCAGUGCCCUUUUAUUGAUCACUGCCUAUAGCCAUAUAAAUAAGGUCUGGGACUCGGUUCGCUGCAACAAGCCUCUAGAAAGCACAUUUCCUCUGAUGCACAUAUGAAAUUUGAGAGUAAAACAUAAAAACGCCGAGAUAUACGGAUGAUUUAAUGAUGUAACUAACUUGGAUAUCCUUCUAGUGACCACGGAAUGGACAAAUUUUCUUCCGAGACGUCGAAAAGGGAUGGAACCUCCACACCCACUGCUUCUCCUUCACCUGCAUAGCGUGCGUAGGCGGAAAUUUGAUGAGUAUUUGAAGUGACAUCCACAUAGAGCAGGAGUUAUUCGGCUAGCAAAGUGCAAAUGUACAUCACUCUCAGGCUACAAGACUGAAUUCUGCUCGAUGAUCUUCCUGAUUCAUGCAGCGGAUAUGCAAAUGGGCGUGCCCCUUAAAUUCAUGUGAAUCAAAUUGCAGAAGAGACGGACAAACAGGGUUAAUAUAUACCUUAUUUCUUGUGUUGACGGGAUGGCUGGAGUGGCUGUCGUCGAUGUACGGCCCGCACUCGACGAAGAGCUUGAAGACCCUCUUGCGAAGACCAUCUGCGAGAGGAAGCAAGAGUUGAGGUCAGAAGAGGGUACAGUAGAGGUUGAGGGUGGGAAGGAAGGCAUCAACACUAGUAGAAAAAGGGCCUAAUGUGAAGCACAUUAGUCCCGGUUUGUAACAAAACCGGCACUAAUGUGUCCAUUAGUGCCGGUUCCAACGGCUAGGCGGGUGGAGCUAAAUUAGACUGAAUUGAACUUGUUCUUUAUAACUAGCUUGGGACAGAAAAAUUACUAUGAAAUGCACUUGAUUAUACUUGAUUUUAUGGGCUACAAAAAAUAUCAUCCAAAAAUGCUCUAAAAAACACGUUCUAAAGUAGGUUUGGCAGGAGAUGCGGCACAUUAUCAUUCAGAAAUUAGACCAAGAUAAAUGUGGAGUUGGCGGCUCAACACUCUAUAAGACUGUAACAGGUUGUCCCAGUGUCUCAGUCCUUUAGGACAUAGAUCCAGAAAAUGUAGAACUAACAUAUUAGCGGUUAGGAUCAUAUUUGCAAUGUGGGAACUUGGUGCGCUCGCUCCAACAUGCCUAGUGGAAGCAUGUGUCCUCUGAUGCACAUAUGAAAUAUGACUGGUACAAAACAUAAGAAACACUGAGAUUAUACGGAUGAUUGGAUGCUGUGGCUAACUUGUGCGUCGCUCCAGUCAACUGAGUGGACGAACUCGCUAAGAGCUUUCUUCUCGGAGAUCAAAGGGGACGGAACUUCCUAAGAGCUUUUGAUUCAACCUCCAUGCUAACUAACUACUUCUCCACCUGUUUAGUGGGCGUAGGAGAAAAUUUGAUGAGUAUUUGAAGUGACGUCCACAUAGAGCACAUAGCUAUAUUCAGUUAGAAAAGCCACAAAUGUACAUCACAUCCAGAUUAAUGGAGGUGGAAUGUGAAUGUGUGUGCCCUUAAAUUCAGGUGAAUCAAAUCGCAGAAGAGCCAGACGAAUAGGAUAGAUACCUUGAGUGGACGUGGAGGACGGAGUGUCUGCAGACAAUGUAUGGCCCACACCUGAAGGAGACCUUCUUGCCGAAAGCAUCUGCAAGAGGAAGUAAGAACAUGGUUGUUGACAUCAGAUUUUGGCAUGGUACAAAAAGCAAUUAAGAUUGCCCCAAAUGGAGAAGUGAUUUACAUGAAAAAGUUCCAUUUUGUCGACCUGAACAUCUUUGAAGUUUGUGCCAUCGCCAUCUAAUCUCAUCUCGAAGGCCAAAGUUAUGUUCGAAAUACUGAGAUUUUGUAUCCAGAGCACUGUUCGGCCGAUUAUGCCUCAAGGGAUGGUCACUUUCUACAUGAAUUGUCUUCGUCUCAUCAAAACGGUCGAUUUUGAUAAAAAUUCAUGUCAAUCCGAGGUUGUAUGUAAAAGUUAGAGCCACCCGAGUGCGGUCAUGAGCCAAAAGUGGCGAGUAAUAGUCUAUUUUGCACGAGCAAUUCGUCCCUGAAGUUGGCAUCUAUUCGAAACAUGUUUAACAUGAAUGUUGUUCGUCUCGGUGAAACGGUUAAAUUUGGUUCUUACACGAUUUUGAUCUGAGGUCAUUUACUACCCAAAAAAUGACCCGCAAGGUGAAGCCAAUUUUUAGAUCGAAUAGUUUUGGGAAGUUCGGAUCGAACAAUCCGAAUAGGAAUCAAAUUAGGGUUUUGGACAUGAAUUCUAACCUUUCCUUGCACGGGAAGUCCAUCCACCUCUUAUAUACAUGAGGGGUGACGGCCGAUUGAGAAACAACACACAAUCGCAAAACCCAUCUACAAACUUUCAUCUCCUAUCCUACUUUUCUGCUUCUCGUUCAUCAGUGUUCUUUGCUUCGGAGAGCUCUGAUCUAUGAAGUCCUAGGGGUGGGCGAACCAACCUAGGGCAGCCCAGCACUGUCGUGCGGCCAGACAGGGUCUCUUCCGACCGCGUGGGGUUUCGGGUCUUCAAAAGCGCUCGCCGGAUUGUAUUGCGUACCACUCUUCCGGUGAGCCUCCUUCGGCGAUGUGUCUUGCGUAUCGCGCUCGACGCCGAGGGUACACGGUGACGUGUUUGUGUGUGAACACACUUUUUGGCGACUCCGCUGGGGACCAAAGAGCAAUCAUCAUCAUCCAUCAUGGUCAAUCUUCCCAAGCCAUCUGAAGUGGAUGCCGAUAACAUCAACAAGCCCAAUUUUGAGGAAUUAUCGGCAGAACAUCGCCAAGCUUGUGAGUAGUACAAGAAGGCACGUGAAGGGAAGGAGAUGCAGGAGUUCCUUGCUAAGUUCAAAAAGGAUCGCCAAGGCAACAUCACUUCAAUUGAAGAAAUCAAGUUUCCUCCUCUUCACAAUGAGUAGGUAGAGUCGGCUGAAAUCACUACUCUUAUUGCUCAGAAUAAUGAUCGAAAAAAUACUCCUCAAUCAUCUAAUGGUAGAAAAUAAUACUGAUCGAAAAAAUACUCCUCAAUCAUCUAAUGGUAGUGGUAGUAUGUCUGCUGGUGUGGAAAACUUUAGUCCAAAUUUACCUAUUCCAGCGGUGCUGCCCAUGCCAUUGAAUUCUUAUCCCAGUCAGACAAACCAACUUGUUGCUCCACCAUUUAAUCCAGCCAGGAAUAUGCCAAGUUCAGUGAAUCCAACUGCAUUGCUAGGUUAUGGUUCGGCAAGUCCAAGUGGAUUGCUGCCGAACUAUGGUAUAACAUACACACCACCAUCUCUUCCGACUAGCACUAUACCAACUAGUAGAAAUCAUAUUCACCAUGCGCCACAACCACACGCAACGCCGCUCAAUACGAGUGAUAUUUUGGCUAAUGUCAGAGAGGAGAUGUCGAGGGUGUUCCGAGAGCAUUGCGGGAUUGAACUACCUCAACCACGAAUUUCUAGGAAACCAUAGCUAGAAAUUUUUGAUGUCGUGCCAUGUCCUCCCGGAUAUAAAGUUCCAGAUUUUGUUAAAUUUAGCGUAGAGGGAAGAAAGACUACAUGGGAGCAUGUUAGUCGGUACUUGGCACAAUUAGGUGAGGCAAGUUCACGAGACGAGUGGAAAGUACGUUAUUUUCCUUUAUCUUUAACCGGUACUGCUUUCCCGUGGUUUUCUGCAUUACCACCCGGUUCUAUUACUGCAUGGUUUCACUUGGAGCAAAAGUUUCAUGACCACUUCCAGAGUGGUGACAAUGAGCUUAAACUAUCCCAUCUUACAUCGGUUAAGCAAAAGCAUGAUGAAUCAGUCUUCGAUUAUGUCAAAAGAUUUAGAGAUACAAAAAACCGGUGCUAUAGUUUGGUGAUAACCGAGAGAGAUGUGGCUGAUCUCGUGCUUAGUAGUUUGAGAACUCACAUUAGAGAGAAGCUGGAAGGCUAUGAGUUUUCAAGUAUCAACCAUGUCUUAGAAAAGGGCUUUGGCUCAAGAAAGCCAAAGCAAAGAGUUUAAAGAGGUGCAUAGGUAUAACACUGAUCAUCCUAAGAUAAAUAUGAUUGAGUAUGAUGGUGAGCACUCGGAUGAUGAGGGUGAUAUUUAUGAUACUGAAUUUGUUUGGCCAUCUAAGGCCAAACCAUUUACUUGCAAUGAUAUAAAGCCAAUUUCAUAAGAAUCGUGAUGAAGAGAUGAAAAUUACUUUCAACAUUACUAAGUGUGAUAGAAUAUUUGAUGCUUUGUUGCAAGCGAACAUUAUUAGAAUAUCUCAUACUUUACCGCCGUUUCAAGAGCUGAAACGGCGUGCUUAUUGCAAGUAUCAUAAUUCUUUUUCUCAUGCCACUAACGAUUGUAAUGUUUUUCAACGACAAAUACAGCCGGCCAUUAAUAACGGACGAUUGAAAUUUUCUCAGAUUCCACUUGAUAAGCAGCCCUUUCCAAUGAACACCAUGGAUUUGGAGGGAAAAAGAUGUUAAUUCGGCCCGAUAUAGCCGAAUCAGCUAAUAAAAAUAAGAUUGUCAUUGGUGAGCCUCAGAAAAGCAAGGAAGACGACAAGGCCUUGGGGAGACAAGUUGUGCUUGACAAGCGACCCGGUGGCAAGGAGAUCAUUAAGAUCACCAUCAAGAANNNNNNNNNNNNNNNNNNNNNNNNNNNNNNNNNNNNNNNNNNNNNNNNNNNNNNNNNNNNNNNNNNNNNNNNNNNNNNNNNNNNNNNNNNNNNNNNNNNNNNNNNNNNNNNNNNNNNNNNNNNNNNNNNNNNNNNNNNNNNNNNNNNNNNNNNNNNNNNNNNNNNNNNNNNNNNNNNNNNNNNNNNNNNNNNNNNNNNNNNNNNNNNNNNNNNNNNNNNNNNNNNNNNNNNNNNNNNNNNNNNNNNNNNNNNNNNNNNNNNNNAAAUUUGUUAAACCAAAGAAUCCAGAGGUUGGCAAGUGGAAGACGAAUGAAGCUAAAGUACAACGCAAGAGAAUCAAGCCAACUUUUGUUAUGUUGCUAUGCAAAUGUGCCAAUCAAGCGGCCAAUUCUAGCUCUAACCGGUCAUCAAAUUUAAAGCUCUCCAGGUCACCUCCUCGACAAGAAUUUCAUCAUCAUGCAAGGCCAUAUGGGUCUUGGGCACCUUGACCAUCGAUGGCACCACCCCCCCUAUGUGUCAUACUACAUGGGAAACUUUAAUGGAGGAUGGGGGCAACCUCCAAUGACCCCUUAUGCUUUUCAUCCGGGUUGGGUAGAACCAAGGAGGCCCGUUUGUGAGAGGCUUUCUUACCCUAUACAUGGCCGUUUGAACAAUGGUGUCAAUCGGCCAAUGCAGGAUAAUCAAAAAAGGUUCAGCAAUCAAGUGUGGCGAGCUAAAUCACCAAGUGCUGAAAUUUCAGAGGCUAGCAACCAAAAGGAGAAGAGUACUAGUGCUGAAACUAUUAUUGUAGGCACUAAAGAAUUAACAAUCAAAUAGCCGAUUAUUGUUGAUAAUGCAGCUAUUUCUAACAAGGAUGUGGCUGCUGUCCAACAAGGUCCCGUGGCUAAUGAUCAUGAAGCUAGCACAAGCAAGGCCAAGCUGAGGGAUCCAAAAUAUACUUAGCCUAAGUGGUGUCCCUCCGGUCUGACCAAGGCACAAAAAAGUAGGUUGCAGCACAUGAGAAGCCACGAGAAGGAGGGAUAAGAAGCGGAGAGGCAAAGGGAUAAACUGUUCAAUGAAACCCGUCCCAUGAUGUCCGCAAAACAAGUGUGGAGGCCUAAGCAAAAGGAAAACAUAGUAGCUUCUGCAUUGGUAAUAACAGCACCUACACCACCAAUGGAGGACGAUGCGACUGCUAUUACAUCGUCCACUUCACCUAUUACUUCCUCUUCACUAGGAGAUAUUUCGGAGUCGAUGGACAUGCUUCAGGAUGGAGAUGGUAUUUUGGAUUAUGAGUCUACACCGGUUCAUGAAGGUAUUGAUAUUAAUAUGGUGCACUACUUACCCGCUGAAUUCCGUGCUAUAUAUGAAGAAGGGCAAGUACCUCAGUUGGAUUUUGGUCCUAAAAAUGCUAUAAUCGAGAAGCCAAAAGAAUGGGUGACGCACCUGAAGCCAUUGUUCCUUAAAGGUCAUAUUAAUGGAUCGCCGAUUGCUAGAAUGCUUGUUGAUGGUGGUCCUGUGGUGAAUCUUAUCCCAUAUUCAGUCUUAUAAAAAAUGAGGCUGCGUGAUGAAGAGUUGAUAAAGACCAACAUGGUGCUCAACGGAUUUGAAGGUAAAGAGAAAAUUGAAGCCAAAGGUGUGAUGUAUGUGGAGCUUACGGUGGGAAGCAAAACUUUGGCUACCGCAUUCUUUGUCGCCGAGGUGCAAGGUAACUCCAAUGUGAUAUUAAGCCAUGAUUGGGUUCAUGCAAACCAAUGUGUGCUAUCUACUAUGCACCAGUUUUUGAAUCAAUGAGUUGAUGAUGAAGUGGAAGUCAUUCAUGCGGAUAAUUCGAUCGGCUUGUGUUGCUUUGGCCGAUGAAUCGGUGGAUUGGCAACAUCCCAAUGCUACUUGCUUGACGGGGCGCGACUUAUCAGAAUUUGAUUUUCUUAGCGCUACAAAAUUGGUUUCGUGCCCCUUUCUAUAAAGCCGGUUGGCGAUAAUCGGCUCCAAGGUAUGAUGUAUUUAAAUGGAUCCUAUCUCAGAGUGGUUUCAAAAGCGUCUUGUAGAAUAUCGGUCCAAUGAGAAUGAUAUGUAUGAGUCCAUAGAAGAGUUAGAUGAUAUGGAUAAAUUAGGACAAGGUUUUACAUCGGCGAUCCAUUAGAAGAGAUAGAUAUAGCAGAUGGUUCAUUUCUUAGGCCGACAUUUGUAAAUAAAAAUUUAAGAGUCGAUCAUAAACUUAAGUUGAUCGAGCUGUUAAAAGAAUAUAUUUGUUGCUUGGCAUGGGAAUAUCAUGAGAUGCCCGGUUUAAGCCGAGAGCUAGUGGAGCAUCGAUUACCUAUAAAGGCUGGUUUUUGACCGUAUAAGCAAUCGACCAGAAAGUUUAAUCCAAAAACAUAUGACCGGAUCAAGGAAGAGAUCGGUCGUUUGCUGAAAGCUAAUUUUAUUAGACCUUGCAAGUAUGCCGAGUGGAUUUCUAACAUUGUACCAGUGAAGAAGAAAGGCUCGGGCAAGUUGAGGGUGUGUAUUGAUUUUAGAGAUUUGAAUAGAGCUACACCCAAAGAUGAGUAUCCCAUGCCCAUAGCCGAUAUGCUUAUUAAUGAUGCCUCUGGACAUAAGGUCAUUAGCUUUCUUGAUGGUAAUGUGGGGUAUAAUCAAAUUUUUAUGGCCGACGAUGAUAUGACCAAAUUAGCUUUUCGAUGUCCCAGUUUCCUUGGUUUAUUUGAGUGGACAGUGAUGACCUUUGGUUUAGAGAAUGCCGACACCACGUAUCAAAGGGCUAUGAAUUUAAGUUUUCAUGAUUUACUUGGUGUUAUACUUGAAGUCUAUAUUGAUGAUAUUGUUGUCAAAUCGGAUGCUUUUGAAUCUCAUCUAGCUGAUUUGUGCUUAGAUUUUGAGAGAAUGAAAAAAUAUUGACUAAAGAUGAAUCCUUUGAAAUGUGCUUUUGGUGUAUCGGCUGGUAAGUUUUUGGGUUUCAUUAUUCAUCAACAUGGCAUAGAAAUUGACCCAAAAAGAUAGAGGCUAUACAAAAGGUGUGGGCUCGAACAUGCAAGAGAGAUAUGCAAAAAUUCCUUGGCAAAGUCAAUUAUUUGAGGAGAUACAUAGCCAAAUUGUCAGGGAAGGUUGAUACAUAGCCAAUUAUUUGUGCACUUCUCUAGUGUUGAAAGCCCCCAAGCAUAGAGAGCCCUUUAGGCUUUAUAUUGCGGAGGAGAAAGCCCCCAGGCAUAGAAAGUCCCCUCAAGAGACCGAAGGAAAGGAGCAUGCUAUUCUUAUUUGAGUCGACGCUUAUUGGAUGUCGAGAUAAGGUAUACAUUGAGAAAUUAUGCUUAUGCUUAUAUUAUGCUUGCACAAAAUUGAGACAUUACCUAGUGCCUAGUACAUGCAUUAUAGCUUUUCAAACUGAUGUCAUCAAAUACAUGUUGCAUAGGCCAAUUCUUAGUGGUAGAAUUGGCAAGUGAGCUUAUGCUUUAAUUGAAUAUGAUUUGGUUUAUGAAUCUCUGAAAUUCAUGAAUGGGCAAAUCGUUGUUAAUUUUGUUGUUGAGCAUCGGAUUGAUGACAAGCAUGAUAUUGAUCUUAAACUUGUCUAUUAGUACCAUGGAGAUUAUAUUUUGAUGGUUCCGUUUGUAGCAAUGGACAAGGUGUUGGUAUUGUUUAUAUAUCUCCUCAUGGAGCUAUUUUUCAAGCCUCAUGCCGCUUAGAGUAUUUUUGUACAAAUAAUUAGGCCGAAUAUGAAGCAUUUUUACUCGGUUUAGAGAUGUUGCUUGCCAUAGGCGCUACACAUAUUGAGGCUUUUGGUGAUUCGUUAUUAGUAGUGCAACAAAUAUCCAGAGUAUUUCAAUGUUUUCAUGAAUCACUUAAUGUUUAUCUUGAUAAAUGUCUAGAUAUAAUUUCUACUUUGGAUUAUUUUAGCAUUCCUCAUAUAUCUAGACAUGACAAUUGGAGAGCAAAUCAGUUGGCACAACAAGCAUCUGGCUAUCAUGUUAAUCAUGACAUGUUUCAUAUUUACCAAAGGCCGAUGUCUAUUCUUGCCAACGUAGGGGAGGCUGAACCGGAGCCCACCGUUUCGGUCACAAAUGAAAAUUUUAAUGUAGAAAAUCUGGACUAGAGGAAAGCCAUUAUUGAUUAUUUGCGUGAUUCUAAUAAAAUUUUGGAUGAGGACCAAGCAAGAGUUGCUAUGAGAGAGGUUCAUGAAGGAAUUUGUGGGACUCAUCAGUCGGCUCCCACUAUGAAAUGGUUAUUGCGACAGGCUGGGUUUGAUUGACCAACGAUGAUUAAUGAUUGCUUCAGGUAUUAUAAAGGAUGUGCAGCUUGUAAAAUGUCUGGUGAUAUUCAGCUAGCUUCUGCUGCUAUGUUACAUCCUAUUAUUAAGCCGCGGCCUUUUAGAGGUUGGGGAUUAUACUUUAUUGGAGAGAUUCAUCCUUCUUCUUCAAAGGGGCAUCAGUUUGUGUUGGUGGCAACUGAUUAUUUCACUAAAUGGUCUGAAGCAAUACCGCUAACAAAUAUGACGCAUACGGAGGUAAUUCAAUUCAUAACUUAGCACAAUAUUCAUAGAUUUGACAUUCCUCAAAUGUUAACUACGGACCAAGGUUCAUCUUUUAUGUCAGAUCAAGUUAGAGAAUUUCCCGAAUCAUAUAAGAUAAAGUUGCUCAAUUCAUCUCCGUAUUAUGCCCAAGCCAAUGGACAAGCUGAGUCUAGCAAUAAAAUAUUAACCAACCUCAUCAAGAAGAAGAUUGAGGAUAAUUCAAGGAGAUGGCAUGAGCUAUUGUCCGAAGCUUUGUGGGCACACAUAAUCUCAAGGUAUGGUGCUACAAAGGUAACUCCAUAUGAGCUCAUAUAUGGUAAAGAGGCCGUUUUACCAGUGGAAGUGAAUUUGAAUGCUUUGAGAAUAGCAAAACAAAAUGAUUUAUCGGCGGUGGACUUUUAUAACUUGAUAAUGGAAAAUAUUGAUGAAGUCGCUGAUAAAUGUUUUGUUGCUUUGAAGGCCAUAGAGAGAGAUAAUUUGAGGGUGGCAAGAGCUUACAAUAAGAAGGUCAAGUUGAAGAAUUUUCAAGUUGGCGAUCUCGUGUGGAAGGUGAUUCUACCAAUUGGUUCGAAAGACAUAAAAUUCGGGAAGUGGUCUCCAAGUUGGGUAGGUCCUUUUAAGAUUACAAGGGUAGUUCCCAGAAACUUAUAUUUAGUGGAAUCCGUACAAAGGACAUUGUUACCUCGAGCUGUCAAUGGCAAAUAUUUGAAGAAGUACCACCCAAGUGUGUGGCAAGAAGCCUAGAUAAUCAAUGGCCGAUAUACGACUAUGGCCCUUAGCAUAAACAUGGCCGAUAUAUAAUUAUCGCACCGAGAAGUAUAAAUGACACAUGGAGUGUUGACAUCGUCCUUAGAAUAAACGCGAUGCAAAUUAUUUUCCGGCAUUCAAGCUCUGCCCAAAACAGAGGAUAAGGGUUGACACCAGAUUUUAGCAUGGUAGGAAAUGCAAUUAAGAUGGUCCCAAAUGGAGAAGUGGUUUACAUUAAAAAAAAGUUCCGUAUUGUCGACACAAACAUCUUCGAUGUUUGGGCCAUCGCCAUCCGAUCUCAUCUCGAAGGCCGAAGUUGUGUUCGAAAUACUGAGAUUUUGUAUCCCGAGCACUGUUCGGCCGAUUACGCCUCAAGGACGGCCUCAAAUGAGAAAACUUUCGACAUGAAUUGACUUCGCUUGGUCGAAACAGUCAAUUUUGAUAUAAAAAUCGUCUCAAUCCAAGGUCGUAUGUAAAAGUUAGUGUCUCCUGAGUCCGGCCCUGUCACGAGCCAAAAGCUACGCGAGUAAUAGUCUAUUUUGCGCGAGCGAUUUGGCACUGAAGAUUAUAUCGAAUCGAAAACUGUUCAACAUGAAAGUUGUUCGUCUCGUCGAAACAGUUAAAUUUGCUUCUUCCGCGAUUUUGAUCCGAGGUCGUUUACUACCCCAAAAAUGACCCGCAAGGUGCAGCCAAUUUUUAGACUGAACAGUUUUGGAAAGUUUGGAUCAUACGAUCCUAAUUGGACUCAAAUUAGGGUUUUGGACAUGAAUUCUAACUUUUCCUUGCACGGGAAGUCCAGCCCCCUCUUAUUUACAUGAGGGGUGAUGACUGCCCCUCCUAGAAAAAACCAGACUGGGAGGACAUUUUUUUCCUGUCCGAAAGCCGUUUCCGCCUCUUGGAAGAAGAAGAAGAAAAAAGAGAAAACACGUUUUUUUUCGUUUCCGAGAGCCUCUCGCGGAAACAAAACAAUGCCGCUCAUGGAAGAAAAACAAAAAAAUGCAUUUUUUCACGAAAGCAAAACCGUGCCUCUCGUGAAAGAAAGAAAAGAGAAAACACAUUUCUUGUCCUUUUCGUGAGGCACGGCAGUGCCUCUCGCGGAAGCAAGACCAUGCCUCUCGCGGAAGCAAAACCGUGCCUCCCGCGGAAGAAAAAUACAGGGAAAACACGAUUUUUUUUCGUUUAUGAGAGGCACGACUGUCUCGCGGAAGCAAAGCCAUGCCUCCCGCCGAAGGAAAACCGUGCCUCUGGUGAAAAGGGAAAAAAAGAAAACGUGUUUUGUCACAGGAAAAAAAUUAAAAAAAAUUGGUCCAAAACCUAGGGAAGACCGGUGAACAACCAAAAAGCCGGAAAAUUAAAAAAAAAAACAUCUAAAAUACCAGAUGGAGGUUGAGAGUGCACCAAGUGACGCGCUCUCGGCCCAUCCACAAAUGACCCUUGGGAAGGGUGGGAACGAGCGCUCUUUAGUAUUAUUUUUUGAGGCAAACCGUUCUUUAAUUAGUUGCUCCGGGGAAGGGGAAUGGAAGACGCAGAUCGGCAACGUGUGGGCUGGGCUUGUGACGUUGGGGUCUCAGAAAAUAUAGCCCAGUUCGAAUUUAGUGGUCUCAGCAAGUAAAACCAGCGCUUAUGUUGGGCCUAAUCACUCACUCCAGGCUGUGGGCCUCGCUAGCAGCCCCAUCUUACCAUUCCCCUCGUUCUCUCUCUCUCUCGCAAAAAAAAACCAUCAUUUCCGUCAAAAAGAAAAGACAUCUACCCGUCUCGCCGCCAAGAGAUCCAGGAACCCCGGGGUCGUUCCAUUGUUUUGCAUAGCGUGUAGAUUAGGUUUUCUCUGUUAGUUUUAUGUGUUCUUAGUGGCGAUGGCUUGACGGUGAAGGCGAGAGUGAUGAUGGUCUCUCGGCUCCAUUCCUGUUCUGAUUAUGCGUUCCCGGCUAAGAAGGCCAUCAAACAUAACAUAAAUGGGGUGCUUUCUUUUCUUCUUACCGAUCUCCUCCUAGUUUACCGGCUCAAGGUGUAUCGGCUCUACAAACAUCUUGUAUCCACCUCACGUCCUGGGAAAUUACUGUCGGUAACUUUCAUCGUAUUGCGAUAACAAUAUUUUCUUUCAAGAACCCGCCUUCCUUGAAUUUCGUACAAAGUUAAUUGUCAAUGUCAUAACUAAUUGCAAGACCAGGUACAGCUCUUCUCUACAGGAAGUUACAGUUUCUAAAUUGCAUGACCCUGUAUCACUUUAUGAAGCAAGCACAUCACCUUCAGCUCCUCAUUUGCAAACUUAGGACCCAUUUGGACCACAUAAAUUUUACAAUAUGUUUGCUGCAUUUCACAAGAAACCAUCGAUUUUGUGAAGAAAGAAUUACAUUGUUUCAUCGCCGUUACAACACAACAUUAAUCAGAUCACCUUAAUACCUCCCACUGCGUUUUUUUUUGGAAAAAUACACAACAUACUGAUUGACCUUAAAGAAUGAAGGAGGCCAUAAGGUCUUGUACAAUGCUAGGUGUUUAGAAAGAUAAACCGGAUUUUACUGAUACACCGGUGCCUAUUUCUACCGGAGAGACGUCUAAUUAAGCGUAUACCCUGUACAAAUAAGUAUCAGUGCUUAAGGAAAGCCUGGUUUAUUUCUCGAAGCACCUCUCCUAAGCACCUUGCAGUGUACAAGGCCGAGAAGAAAGCUCUGACUUCCUAUUGUUGCUGCAUCAGCAGGAAAAGUAGUCUUCAUUUCAAAAAGAAGCUGAAAGUGCUAGAGUGAAAAAUAUCAUAUGUACAGAAGCUGGAUAUAUAUUACCAGCAAGGUGGAGAAGUGGGGAAAAAAAUGCUCAAAUGUGGUUAUCAAUCUUUUGAAAUGCAAGCAAGUAAGCGGAUGGGUGUUUGAGCUAUCUUUGUGUGAUCAGAACAAAUCCAUGUCCAUUAAUUAGUCUUAAUAUCAUCUUCACAGUACCAGGGACUCCCGGAUACUAAGAGUGCUUAAUAAUCUUAUAAUUAGGUGGAGACAUUUUCAUUACCUGCAUACAAAUGCGUACGAAUGAUGAUAUUUUAUAUUUUUUUCUUUGCAACUUCGGAGUGCCCACAAAGUGAAAUAGAAGGUGUAAACAUAACUUCUUUCAACCUCCAGUAAAAGUAACAAUUCUCUCUCCAUGUACCACUCUAUACCAACUUCUUCAAUACCUGUUGACUCUCAUGUUUUUGUUUUCCUUCAAUAUUUCAGACGUUCUAAAGCUCGGUCGAAAUCACUCGAGCUGGUCAACCCUGCCCCCGUGUCGCCCGCAACAGACGAUACGGGGAAAACUUUCGUCGCCGCCGGUAGCCUUCCUCCGCCAGUGCCCCUCCCCCCCCCCCCACAUCGCUGCCGCAGGAGGGUCGGCCAGCGAAGUCGCGCCGCGCUCGGGGAUGGCGGCGGCGGGGCGGUUUCGUACCCUCCCCCCCGAUGCGCUGCCCCAACAACCCCUUCGCCGCCAUCACCUCCCCGCGCCGCUGCUGCCGCGUCGCGCCUGAGGGUGGGGGCGGCAGGGCAGCUUCAUUCCCUUCAUGCUGUAGCUCCUCGUCCCCAACCUCCUCGCCCCCCAGAUCCAAUCUGGUGCGCCGCGGGCUCCCCUACCCUCCAACUGCUACUGUGUUCGUCCUGCCUGUCCGACGAGGUGGCGCGGCCGUGCCCGUCGUGCACCUCCCCAGUCUACCUCUUUCACCUUGCUGGCGCAGCUUCCUUCUUGUUGUUGUUCGCUGGGGCAUGCGAGGACUCGUGUGGAGGUCACGGGCUGGCCAAGGCUCGGUCUUGCCCCGUGUUGCAGACCACCCUUCGUCUCUGAUGGCGUCUCCUUCUAGUUACGGCGGCGACCUCUGCCCGUGUGUGGUCAAGGUGUUGUUUUGGGCAGCGGGAUGAAGCUUCGCGGUGGGUCCUUGCCGACACUGCUCCGGUCCCAGCGGCCAUCGACCAGCGUUCUUCGGCCUCCCUACCGCCGUGAAUUCAGCCCCAACACUCCGGUCGCUGCGUCUCCUUCCGGCAUCUUCGGUUUGCCGGUGUUCUGGUGGUUCCACCUCCGGCAGCUCGGAGUUGUGCUCCCUUCCGCCUCCAGCUUGUCAGCGGCGCCGGUCACCAUCCCACCCUCCAUGCCGGCUUUCUACCAUGCUGCCUUCCCGACCCUGUCGACACCCGCAACAUGUCAUUUCCAAAGCUCGUGUUCUUUCGGCAGCAGGUGCAGCCCCACCACCUCCGUACCGGGAUGGUGGUUGACUAGCGGAUUGUCUUCCUCAUCUUCGGAUCCUGAUUUGGCAGCUAUGGCAUUGCUCAGACUAAGGCCAGGCGAAAUCCAUGCUCUGCUUGCCAAUGUUGGCAGAGGCGACACUCGUGAGUGCUUUGCCAUGGCCUUUAUCCGGGCCCCUCUUCGAGCGCUGGGGGAAACCCUAGGUCCGGUUCUUCGGAUCGGAUGGUGGCGGUGUCACGAUGUCGCACCCCUUCCUGAAGGCGCUAUCUUGUUCGCCCCCGGUGUCCCUGUUUGUUUGAUUUUGAGAUGUUCGACGUCGUGCUUGUUCGGCCUGCCUCUCUGUUUAGGAUUUGUGGGUGUAGUUGUGUCAUUUCCCCUGUUCGGGCUGAGCACCCCUUGUCUCUCUGCUCCGGGUUCCAUGAUCAUGCCUCUUUGGGUUCAUGCCAUGUGUUGUAUCCUCUGUUGUACGCAUUCUCUUUCUUCUAUCAAUAAAGGAUAUGCAAGCUUUGUGUAUUCACAAAAAAAAAGACGUUCUGAAGCUCUGAAGCUAAAGAUGUAAAUAAAUCUGAACUCUCGCACUCACUUUUAAAUCGUGGGGCAGUAUACUCUAAUCUAUCCAGCUCUUCCUGUAAAACAAAUAUACUGUCAGCAUGUGAUUUAUCAUUCAUGAAUCGUUUAUCAUGCCAUUUUUAGAAUGUGACUGGCAAAAUGGUGUGACUGUACAAUUCUACUUUUUUCGAAAAAGAGGAUUACCCCUAGUAUCUACAUAGAGCCAUGCACACAACCAUUUUAUUAUAUUAUUUAACGGAACCAAACGAAACAAAUAUAUGGAUCAAGCCAAAGCCACCUCCCUAGAAACUAUUGUCGUUACACGUACAAGCUUUAAUGGCGUGCCCUGACCACUUAUCAACACACAUCAUAUAUUCCGGUCGCCUCACCAAGAUGCCUGCCGGCAAUUUGAGAGCAUCUACCGGUCUAGCUAGACCCUCUGCACGCACAUCAUGCACACGCUUUAGAUUCAGCCACCGCCAUGUUCCGCGGUCCCACCUUCAAGAGCGAUCAACGUAUUCAUCUCGCUAGGCCAUCUCGACACCAGAUAGCUCCACUAUCCAGCGCGGGCGCCCGUCGCCGACACUCCGCCGUGCCACGCCACCGAGACCCUGUGUCGUCCUUUCGGUAGAUGUAACACCGCUCCUCCACUUGUCUCUUCCAGUCGGCUCCUACUCGAGACAAUGCCCCUAGGAGGGAGAACGGCGCUGAAGGCACCAUCAUCGUCCGAUCCGGGAUACCCAGAACUAGAGUUUCCCCCGGAACAACCCGAGCGUAGUGACACAACUUACAAAUGACGAUGCCUCGAAAAAGGAAACAACGUUAGAGACGCCACCAUCUGCCAUGACCGCAGUUAGCACAAUUUCACCGGAAGUCGCGUCGACAUGGAGACGUAAGCUGUCGCCGGAACGUCGGCAUAGGGCCUCCAGUCGCCCCUGACCUGUCCCUGCACGCAUCGCCUGCCGGCCAAGGCCACGCCAAGAUGGAUCUGGAUGGGACGCUAGUUCCGCGGCCACUGCCGCCACCCAUCACAUGGUCGGCCAGGUCAACGACUAAUCCCACAGCCAUGGACAAACCGGUCGCCGCCGCCAGCCCGGGUCACCACCCUGACCGCACCGGCUGAAGACACAGGUGUCGUCGCGAGAUUGAUACGGUGAACAAGGCCCGAAUCCCUCGUGCUCGACCUUGAUCAGCCACACACAAGCAUCUCUCCACGCUGACGAGGGGUCCACUAUGGGAUCCAUCGCGCCGACUUCCGCCACCGCGCCGCGGGAAUAGACUGCCCUGAUGCUGCCGCCCACUGAGGCGGGCUUCGCCUGUUCGGCCUCCUCCAACAGCGUCCGGCCGUGGGCUGCNNNNNNNNNNNNNNNNNNNNNNNNNNNNNNNNNNNNNNNNNNNNNNNNNNNNNNNNNNNNNNNNNNNNNNNNNNNNNNNNNNNNNNNNNNNNNNNNNNNNNNNNNNNNNNNNNNNNNNNNNNNNNNNNNNNNNNNNNNNNNNNNNNNNNNNNNNNNNNNNNNNNNNNNNNNNNNNNNNNNNNNNNNNNNNNNNNNNNNNNNNNNNNNNNNNNNNNNNNNNNNNNNNNNNNNNNNNNNNNNNNNNNNNNNNNNNNNNNNNNNNNNNNNNNNNNNNNNNNNNNNUUCAGCCUCUCCACUUGUGGGAACAAUAUCCUUGAAUGUUUAGUUUCUCAUAUCUUUACGAAAACGGAGUAAGGGAAAUAUCGUGUGUGGUUGCAGGGAACUCACAUCAAAUGAUUGGGAGAUGUUCAUAAAUCAGUGAUAAUAGCCUUUGCAAACAGGCUAAUCCCAAAUGAUUCAAUGAAACCAACCUUCAUGUACUCAAUGAACGUAUUAUGCAUGUUAUGCUAGUUCAAGUCAUACUAAAUAUCACUUGUCUGGCAAAUAACAACAGCGUUCUCUGAAACCAUUGCAUCAUGAGAGAAUUGUGUGAAAUGGAAAUUGACACGAUUUAAAUUUUCAGGUUCCUUUCCUGGUGAGCCUAUCAUAGUAAAGAAACCUGGAAGAAAACAUUGGAGAAAGGAAUUCACAAAAUGCGGAAUUAUUAAUACUAAAUGACUGUUGAUGUUCAAAUGCAUGUCAGUUCUAAAUAAAUAAAUGAUUUUCUUCUUCUUUCUGCUCUUCAAUGUUUUCUUCCCUUACAAGAUUCUAGCAGUCUUAACACCAUUAUGGCCACAGAAAAAAAAAACAUCUAUCCCAUUUGUUACACGAGCUAAAAAUAAAAAUAGCACAUGAGCAUGGGCUGCAGAAAUGCACAUUCUUACUUCUAAGAAUAAUGUCAUCAAGAGAAGCAAAAGGCUGGUUUUUUGUGACAAUAAUUUAUUCAAUGAAAAGAGUGAGCCCGGGUUGCACGAAAUAUGAGUUUAUCUAUUUUUCUUCCAACAAAAUAUCUGGUCUACCAUCACUGCACCUUCGAACAUCAGAGUGCACACAGAACAAGAAAUAAAGAAGCAAAAGGGCCCUUGCGUAACUCAUGUAUUUUCAAACAAUGCUACAGAAAAUAUCCCUUAUACUCCCUCCGUCUAGGUUUGUAAGUCAUCUUACGAAAACAAAAUAAUCCCAAAACACUUAGGCGCGGUGCGUUAACUUCUACCUCGUUUCUUGUUUCUUGACAUAUCAACCAAUAAGAGAUAUGGGUGUGCAUGCUUUUAAUGACUUGAGACUACCAAACACGACAUGCAGUGGUUAGUUCAUUGCAUGCAAUGCUAUUAAUUAGCAAAAAACAUUAAGUUCUCUCGUUUUCCCUCCUCCUUGGUCACGGUGCACAACAUAAGAUGACUUAUUCACUUAGACGGAGGGAGUAUCAUGGAUUUGCGCCUGCAUCAAUUGUUUCCGAGUGCUGUCAAAGAGAAAAAUUUACUAAGAUUUCCAUUGUCAAACUGUGAUGUCCGACUAGUGUUGGUGGAAGAAUCACAUAUUGGAGAGGAUAAUUUGGAGUAGGGGAUGAGAAGAAGUUGAAGAACAGAUGAAGAGGGUGAGAUGUAGAACAGAGUAGGUGAGAGUUCAAACAAUUCUCAUUUCAUCGAUAAGUUACGGCACAUGUCUGAUUCACUUGCCCCUUUUAAACACAUAGGCACUCUCUUACAAGUGGGCCCUCAAAUCCACACGCCCAGUGCACUAGAUGAUCUUCCUAUGGCUCACUCCUAAGUUGUCUCUCUCUAGUUGUUGGGCCCUUCGUCCUCCAUAUCCUAGUCCUCCUCAUUCCACUGGACUGGGAUCUUGAUUUCCGUCGAGGGUGUGGUAGAGAGCAGAUGCAUGACACAAUCUUUGUUCCAUUACGCUUCCUCAAAGUCGCCAUUUUAGACAUUGUCAUGUCUACAACACACAAUUAGACGCUUGGUGACCUGUUGCUUCAAAAAUAUAUUUUGAAAUCAUGUGCCUAGAGGUGUUUUGAAUGUAUGGCUACAAAUGUCACUGAGGUUCCUAGUUCCUGUUCCAUCAGCAUACCCUGCCGAAGUGGUAAUCUGACUUCAAGUGGAAUAAGCAAGACAGGAGAAAGAAUUAAGGUGGUAUUCAGCUCGUUUUCCCCUCACCUUUUUGACUCUCACAUUUUUGUUUUCCUCCCAUAUCUUAGAUGGGGUGAAGCUAUAUGCAUAAACAAAUAUGAAUUCAUAUCACACUCACCUCGACAUCUCAGUAGUACAACACAGGGCUUUCGUCACAGGGCAAUUUUCACAUUAGUCCCGGUUCAGUCACGAACCGGGACUAAUGUGAGCAUUGGUCCCGGUUCGUGCGGCUAAGGCAUUAGUCCCGGUUCACCUGGGCCCUUUAGUCCCGGUUGGUGCCACGAACCGGGACUAAAGGGUGCGAUGCCCAUUAGUACCGGUUGGUGGCACCAACCGGGACUAAAGGUCUAACCUUUAGUACCGGUUGGUGCCACCAACCGAUACUAAUGCGCUUUGAGGCAUUAGUACCGGUUCAUGGCACGAACCGGUACUAAAGGGCCCAUUUUCAAACUCUACCCCCCCUGGUGGACCGCCUUUUCAGUUUUAGGAAAAACAAAAGAAAAUGAUGGAAAUGUCAAAAAAAUAAAAUAAAAUAAGUUUCCCAUGUGAUAUGUGGUCUAGUUGUUGGGAAAAUUAACAAAUAUGAAUUUCGACUUUAUUUGCAAAAUCUCUCUGAAAUUUCUUAAAAUGGGCAUAACUUUUGCAUACGAACUCGGAUGAAAAAGUUUUUUAUAUGAAAAAUCAUCUACUCAAAAUCCUCAAAAACCUAACAGAAAAAAAGAUACGGGACUUUUAAGAUCUGGAGAGGCAAAAAAAUUCAAAAAAUUUCAAUUUGUGGUCAAACUGUGGUCAAACAAUAGUCAAACUAAUUAUUCUAGAAUAUUAGUGUUACUAAAUAAUUAUUUCAGUUUUUUUGAAUUUUGGUCAAAUCUGGUCAAACUGUGGUUAAACAGUGGUCAAACAAUGGUCAAACUAAUUAUUCCAGAAAUAUUAGUGUUACUAAAUAAUUAUUGUUUUUAAAAAUAAUAGUUUCAAACUCAAACAGUGAAAUAUGUCACUUCAUGCUCAAGCUAAAUUCCUGAGGGUUAAUAAAAUUGACAUCUUACUAUUGUCAGGAAAACAACAAGUGCAGACUUGGAAACGAGGGAGAAUAGAACCCAGAAGUUAAGCGUGCUCAGGCUGGAGUAGUGAGAGGAUGGGUGACCGUCCGGGAAGUUAGAUGAUUUGAAAUGAUGAGGGGUGAUUAGAGAUUAGAGGAUAAAUUGAGCAGUGAUGAGGGGUGGUGAUUAGAGAUUAGAGGUUAAAAUAAUUCAGAAAUUUGAAAAUCAAAAAAAAAGUUCGCAAAUUUUUUUUUCAAAAAAAAUAUAUCAUAAAAUUCUGCGUCCACGUGGACGGCCUUUAGUCCCGGUUCGUGUCUAAAGGCUUGGGUAUAUAUAGACCUUCUACACGUCUCCAAUCUCUAGUAGCUCUUCAUAUGAUAAAAAUAUAUUGUGAGUAUGGGAUAUGUGUUGAGAAGGCCAUUCAGGAAUCGUUUAUCAUGUGAGUAGACUGCAAAAUGACAUAACCAUUCCACGAGCAUGCUUAAGUUUGAAAACUCUUUCCCGGGAAGUAUCCUAUGUGAUUGAAUGUAACUCAUAAUUAUUAAAGAAUGUAUAGAAGUUUCUAAACGAGCGAGUGGUUGAAUGUCAAAUGCAUCUGAUACUCGGCGAAGACUUAUGUUUGCCAAAUUCGGUACUCGGCAAAGUUUCGCCGUGUUUAUUAUGGGCUCUGCCAAGUUUCUAAGAAGACAAUCCGGGUAGUGAUGGAUGCCUGAUCUUUAACAUGGAAUGUCUGUAUACAUAGUCCUCAAUGUGGGGCAUAAUGUAGUAGCCGGACAAGACGCUUGAUUAAUCUGGUUCUUCUCUACAAUAGAAACUCGCCUUGUACAUGAACAUAUUUUGUUUUGGGUAUAUAUAGACCUUCUACACGUCUCCAAUCUCUAGUAGCUCUUCAUAUGAUAAAAAUAUAUUGUGAGUAUGGGAUAUGUGUUGAGAAGGCCAUUCAGGAAUCGUUUAUCAUGUGAGUAGACUGCAAAAUGACAUAACCAUUCCACGAGCAUGCUUAAGUUUGAAAACUCUUUCCCGGGAAGUAUCCUAUGUGAUUGAAUGUAACUCAUAAUUAUUAAAGAAUGUAUAGAAGUUUCUAAACGAGCGAGUGGUUGAAUGUCAAAUGCAUCUGAUACUCGGCGAAGACUUAUGUUUGCCAAAUUCGGUACUCGGCAAAGUUUCGCCGUGUUUAUUAUGGGCUCUGCCAAGUUUCUAAGAAGACAAUCCGGGUAGUGAUGGAUGCCUGAUCUUUAACAUGGAAUGUCUGUAUACAUAGUCCUCAAUGUGGGGCAUAAUGUAGUAGCCGGACAAGACGCUUGAUUAAUCUGGUUCUUCUCUACAAUAGAAACUCGCCUUGUACAUGAACAUAUUUUGUUUUGUGGAACUUCCUCCGGAUUAAAAAUACUUGAAGAUAGCAACAUAAUUGAUGAACUAAAAAAUGGUACUCUGGUAGCAAUGGGAUAAAACAAUAUUAUGCCUUUCUUUCAUUAGUUAACUAAAAAUUUGUGCUGCAGUAGUAACGGGAUAAAACAAUAUAAGUAGAAACAAUUUUGAUAAGCAAUAACAUUUCCUUUUGCUAGGGCAACGCUAUAGGUAACUCCUACAAACUAUUUCUCCUAGGUGUUGAUUAAUAAAUUAGCCAUAUGCAAAAUUAAACUGCAGUGGAUUAGUAAUACACGGUUGAAGUCAACACUUCCGGUUAAUCUUAUAAAAUCUAGCCUCUUUAGUCUCCAAUCUCACAUUGAGACAUGGUUAAUAGUUGUUGGUAUAUCUAAAUCCUAUGGGAGGACAUCCUCUUAUUCUCAGACACAUGAGCCCAAGUAUCUCCACAAAAAGUUCACCAGACAUACAUAUCAUGUCCUUUCAUAGCCAUCCAAAAAAAGGAAGGUGCUAUGAUGUAGUGCAACAUUGAUGGAAUAAUACCAAAAAAUGUAAAAAGGGUGUUUCAUUCUCAAAAAUAACUUUGGAAGUAUAUCGGUGAACCAUCUAAACAGGAACAUACUAGUAAAUUUGUUGAGGAAAUUGUUAACUGGUAGCAGCUUGGUUGGCUAGGGAGUAGGGGAUUAAUAGGGUGAUCGGCAAGUUUAUUGGCCUAUUAAGCAAUUAAACGGAGGAUUUAUCAGUUUAUUGGCUACAUGGUGACCUUACAAGUAGGGAUUAAUUCCCAAGUUAACUGGUUAAUCAGACGAAUUCUUCAACAGGACCAGUAAUCAUGCUAAUAUGGUACAUGAUAAUCUCUUAUGGUUGAAUGAAUAUGAGUAAUGUCUGUAGCUAUCUUUAACAGUAUUUUAUUGAGUACCUAAAUAUGUAAAGUUCAGUAGUUUGUACUAUCAUGUUAUUGCACAAAAAAAAAGGAAAUCUCUCAUUCCAAUUUUUUUAGCUAAACUAAACAAAAGAUACUAGCAUGUUGCUCAGGAGAUAGGAAUGGUAGCAGGGGUAGAUAGCCAACAAAAACAUUAUGUUAUUACAGUGUGAAUAAUAAAUAAGAUUAUUUGGAUCAUAUGAAGGAUAAAGCCAUCAAUCUCGCCCAUGUGCAAUAAUUUUAAUUUGUCUUUGUGUAGUAUAUAUUGUUGAUUAAUCAUUCGUGAUGAGAUAUGCACCUUCAUAUGGUUUAACAAAUAGAAGAUGGGUGGCGCCAGAAUAAUUUUUCUGACCGUGCAAAGAUAGAGAUCUGCAUUGCUCUCAUCAAUGACCUGCAACGAUUCAUGCAUGCUUCUACUAUGAUCCUUGAGCCUAUCAAAAUUAAUUGCUAUAAUCUUGACUGACCGAGCUACUGAUAUGUGGGCGUCUUGAUGAGUAUGGCGAAUUCUCUUUUAUCUUGGUGGUUGUUCAUUUCAUAGACAUCUCAAUAUAUUGUUUAUUUGGAUGGUUUUGUCUCCUCCUUUAUUUUGGGGUUAUUUUUACAAAGAGAAGUCUAGUUUUCUCCCUAACAAUUUCACAUGGAGAAGUGUCACUCAUAUUUAUUUCAAUCACAUUUACCUCUUGACCUUAAUAUUCACUCACAUUUACCUCCUGACCUUUUGGUUUUGGUUUAAUUUUUCCAUUAAAAUUUCACAAAUGAUAGAAUCCUCCCUGGAAGUUUUAAGAAAAAAAAAAUCUAGUAAAGGCAUAUGUAAUUUUUUUGUAAAGGAGAAUGUAUUAAUAUCAAGCAGAUACCAAUUAUUCCCAGACUCUGCAACAACAAGAUGCCUAAAAACAUCCAGGAUGCACACAGCUAAAAAUUAAAAUAAAAAGGGAAGAAAAAAUGAGAAAAAAUAUCCCGCCACGGUGAUCAAUCACCCGAUGUAGCCGCACUCUAACCACCACCAAAGAUGUCACCCGGACUACAAAAUAGGUUCUCCAAAAGCAAUGCCUCUAGAAAGGAAACAAAACACAAGCAUUGUCGUUGCCCGAUCAAAGAUAUUACGUUUUCACCCUGGAGAAAGAUCAGGUUCCCAACAAUAAUGCCUUCAACAAGACUACCGCCAGGCACAACCAAUAAAGGCCAGACCUUGGGUUUUCACCUUGGAAAUCCUGAUUGGGUACUCAAAGGAGCACCGAAUAACAAAGAAGUCCUCCAAUGCCGCCACCCCCACUUGCGGAGGCUAAUACUGCAAGUCACGCACCAUUAGGCUCACAGGAAUUCACAUCCCGCCUGGACGGGAACAUAUCCUGUAAGCCAUGUCUAAACAACUGCCUAUGAAGCAAAGUCUUCAUCGCAUCCAAGACCUCGCAUUCGCCACUUGCAAGUCCUUCAAUCACGCCAUGGCAUUCUCCGUAUGUGUUGAUCCCAUGGAAAUCUUGGUGCAGACAUGUCCCAAGGUGCCAACAAAAACAGAGCUUCACGAUACCCCGGUAAACCUGGUUAUGCUGAUGUUGCGGGUGCGCACGACAGGCCCCUAUCUAGUCAAGGUGUCCAAAGAGCGCCAUAUGUGCCAGUCCUUUUUUUCCUUCAAAGGAGAAGUCCGGAAAUCGCAGAUGGCCAGAUUGAAGAUCUCAGGUUCUCAAUUGCAUGAGCUUGUGAGCAACGAGAAUGAGCAAGACCGAACAAGGGGAAACCAUCCAAGGACGGGAACACCGUGUGCACAAUAUAUAGGAUCCAAUUUGCACCAGCAAUGUUUAUACAGGAAUAACCAAAAUGUGAGUGUUGCCACGUACAUGUAUUUACUACUGCAGAUAGUUUUCUUUAUUGCACAGGUAUAAAACUUGUUCUUAAUUUUAAUCAAUUCUCUUGCACAAAUUUAUCCACAGAGAGCACAUAUAUGAUUUAUCUAACACUAUGUUUUCAAUAUCACAAGAUAAAAUCUUGUCUUUACAGAGCAAAAUUAUACACCGAUAAAAAUGUGUUGUCUGCCUGCAUGAAAUUACAUAUGCUAUGCAAAACUCUUUACUUCGUAUCGUCAUGAUCAUCCACAAUAUUAAAAUUGUAAAUAAACAAAAAAAGAGGUGCCGGCAAAUAGUUUUGGAUAGAGUAGUUUGGCACAAUAUAUAUGUUAUCCCUGAAAAUAUAACGUCUUCCUGGAUCACACUGUAGCUUCGUGAUAGUUUUGACGGCUAUGAUAACAAAAGCUGCCGACACAUGGCUCUGGAAAUAGUUAUGGCUGUAGGGGUAAAUAUAAUAGCUGACAGCUCUAAAAAAUAUUCCCGCAAAAGAAGGCAGCUCUAAAAAACAAGCCGACAAAAGAAUCAUGAAGCUACAGUGUGAAUUAUACUCUCUCCAUUCACAUUAUUAUGGGAAAACGAAUUGUGCGAGUACAGUCUGCCAAAAUGAGUGGUCGUCCAUGCACCUUGUUUAGGGGCAACUUUAUUUUAAUGUGUCUUUUUGUAGUAUAUAGUGUUGAUUAAUCGUCCGUGAUGAGAUCUGUGCCUUUGUGUGAUAUAACAAAUAGAAGAUAUAUGGCGCCAGACUAAUUUUUCCAUCCGUACGUGCAAAGAUGAGAUAUGAAUGCAUUGCUCUCAUGAAUGACCUGCAACGAUAGACAUAUGCAUUCAUACAUGCUUCUGCUGUGAUCCACGAGCCCGUCAAAAUUAAUUGCUAUGCAGUGGCUUAACUACUCAGAUGAACGUGGGCGUCUUAAUGAGUAUGGUGACUUCUCUCUUAUGUUGGUGGUUGUUCGUUUCAUAAACAUUUCGAUAUAUUGUUUAUUUGGAUGGUUCUGCUUCCUCCUUUAUUUUGGGGUUGUUUUUACAGUGAAAAUUCAAGUUUUUUCACUAACAUAUUCGCAUGGAGAAGUGUCACUCAUAUUUAUUUUCACUGACAUUUACCUCCUGACAUUUAUUUUCACUCACAUUUAACUCCCGGCCUUUUGGUUUUGGUUUAGUUUUCCCAUUCAAAUUUCAUAAAUCAUAGAAUUUUCUAUCGAAGUUUCAAGAUUUGUUUUUCUAAAAAAGGUACAUGUAUGCACUAUAUAUUAGAUCUAAUUUGUACCAGUAAUGUUACCAGCUACAUGAAUUUACUGCUGCAGAUAGUUUUUUUUUGUAUUGCAUAUGUAUAAAUCUUGUCCUUAAUUUUACUCAUUUCUCUUGCACAAAGUUAGCUUCAUAGUGCACAUGUAUGAUUUACCUAAUAUUAUUAUUUCAAUAUUCCAAAAUAUAAUUUUGUCUUAACAGAGUGAAAUAAUACACCAAUAAAAAAACAUUGUCUGUAUGCAUGAAAUUACAUAUGCUAUGCAAAACUCUUUAGUAUGUAUCGUCAUGAUCAUCCACAAUAUGAAAAAAUAGUAAAGAAACAAACAAGAGGAGCAGACACAUGGUUUUGGAUAGAGCAGUUUAGCACAAUAUAUUUUAUCCCUGUUUAUAUAACGUCUUCAUUGCUCACACUGUAGCUUCGUGAUAGUUUUAUUGGCUAUGAUAACAGAAGCUGCUGACACAUGGUUCUGGAAACAGAUAUAACAGCAGGUGUAAAUAUAAUAGCCGCAGCUCUAAAAAAUAAGCUGACAAAAGAAUCAUGAAGCUACAGUGAACUAUACUCCAUCCUCCCUUGUCUAGGGGCAACUUAAUUCGCUUUGCGAAGGAUAAUGCAUCCAUGGCAAACAGUUUCAGGGUUGUCAGAAUAAGAAAUCUUAUGCCUCCCGAUCAAGAUCUAGACAGAUUUUCAGGGCAUGGUGUGGCCGUCCAACUACCUGAUAAAAAAAAAGAUAAUGAAAAGGGCCCACAGCAUCAAACCAAUGACAGAUAUGUUCAGUUUCGAAUCUCUUAAUAUUUAGUUUGAAAGCUGCAGAUUUUCAGGUUGUGAGAGCCGAAACUCUUGGACCAAGCCAUAUGUUCAGUUUCGAAUCUGACCUAGUAGCGUCCUGGAACUAGUUAUCAUCGAUUGGCUGCCAAACUCCCCCAAGAAACUCCGCACACAUCUCUGCAAUCGAACCAGGGCAAAUUAAUUUAGCGAAGGGAACUCACAACGCAGUGUCUCUUGACACAUCAUCCUAUUUAGUGAAAACUAUUUAGAGACAAUGACCCCUAUUCAUUAUAUACUCAACACGUCUCUUAAUAUUUAAAGUAUCUUAUAAAUGUCGUAUCUAAAUGAUAUUCCAUUUAAUUAGUUUAUGGACCUUUUUUGCAUGUCAACAUUGUGGCCUACUCCAGUUGUGAAGACAAAAAUUGUGAGAUAAACCACAAAGGCUCAAAGCGUUAGUCACUAUACGCAGAAAAACAAGUUAAUUAAGAGCCAUAUCUACACUAAAUAGAACAUAGGGAAGCUCAUCGAUCCAUCACCGGCCACACUUCUUGAGUUAGGCGAAUGUUCUCUUUUGGAGACCAUUGAGGACAUGCGCAUUUCAUCGCUCCAUCUGCCUGUCACUACAAGGGAUAAGGCUACACUAGUAGAAAACAGGGUUUUGGUUCGGCCAGAAAAGAGCAUUAAUCCCGGUUGCAUUACGAACCGGGACUAAUGUGAGCAUUAGUCCAGGUUCGAGCGGCUAGGGCACCGUACAUGCAUUAGUCCCGGUUCAAAUGGGACCUUUAGUCCCGGUUGGUGCCACGAACCGGGACUAAAGGGUGCGAUGCCCAUUAGUACCGGUUCGUGGCAUCAACCAGUACUAAAGGUUAGAUCUUUAGUCCCGGUUCGAGCCACCAACCAGUACUAAUGGGGUUUGAGGCAUUAGUACCGGUUCAUGGCACGCCUUUUCAGUUUUGUAAAAAGCAAAAGAAAAUGAUAAAAACUUCAAAAAUUAAAAUCCUUCCAGAUGUAGUUAUGUUACUACAUGUCCUAGUUAGGAAAAUUUAAAAACUUCAAUUUGGACAUGUUUCGCAAAAAGUGUAGGGAAAAUGUAAAACGGCUAUAACUUUUGCAUACGAUGUCAGAAAAAACGUAUAAUAUAUCGAAAUGUUCAGCACGAAAAUCCGCAUCCGAUUUUGACAGCCUACGGCCUGUUUGUAAAUUUUUAGAAUCCUCAAAUUCUAAAAGGGAAAAAAGUUAUGCUAUUUCUGUUUUUUUAAUUUUUGUUAAAUCUGGUCAAACUAUGGUCAAACUACUUAUUCAAGAAGUAUUAGUGUUACUAAAUAAUUAUUCAAGAAUAUUAGUGUUACUAAAUAAUUAUUUCAGUUUUUUUGAAUUUUGGUCAAAUCUGGUCAAACUGUGGUCAAACAAUGGUCAAACUAAUUAUUCAAGAAAUAUUAGUGUUAGUAAAUAAUUAUUUCAGUUUUUUUGAAUUUUGGUCAAAUCUGGUCAAACUGUGGUCAAACUACUUAUUCAAGAAAUAUUAGUGUUACUAAAUAAUUAUUGUUUUUUAGAACAAUAGUUUCAAACUCAAACAGUGAAAUGUGUGACUUCAUGCUCAAGCUAAAUUCCUGAGGGUUAAUAGGAUUGACAUCUUACUAUUGUCAGGAAAACAACAAGUGCAGACUUGGAAACGAGGAAGAAUAUAACCCGGAAGUUAAGCGUGCUCAGGCUGGAGUAGUGAGAGGAUGGGUGACCGUUCGGGAAGUUAGAUGAUUUGGAAUGAUGAGGGGUGAUUAGAGAUUAGAGGUUAAAUUGAGCAGUGAUGAGGGGUGAUUAGAGAUUAGAGGUUAAAAUAAUUCAGAAAUUUGCAAAUCAAAAAAAAAAAUUUAAAAAAAAAAUCAUAAAAUUUCCUUCAGUACCGGUUGGUGUUACCAACCGGGACUAAAGGUGGACCUCACGUGGAGGGCCUUUAGUCCCGGUUCGUGUAAGAACCAGGACUAAAGGGGGAGGCUUUAGUAACGACCCUUUAGUCCCGGUUCCAGAACCGGGACUGAAGGCCCUUAUGAAGCGGGACUAAAAGCCCUUUUUCUACUAGUGCUAGUAGUGGCGCGGUUUAAAGGCAUAGGAGUAGCGCGGGUUGCCUCUCUACUUACAUUAGCAACUAUAUAAAAACUCAUCAUCAUCAUCAUCAUCAUCAUCAUCAUCAUCAUCAUGUAACAACUCAUCAGCGCGUAGCUAACUGGUUCCUAGUAAGACGGGCCAGGCUCGGCUCUAAUACUACUUACAUUAGUAGCAGCGCGGUGUUUGGCCCGUGCUACUAAUAACUAGCUAUAGCGCGAGGCCCCCCGCCACUACUAACUCUAUGUAUUUCCUUUCUACAUAUUAUACUAUAUUAUACAAUAAUUAUACAGAUUUUUAUACACUAGCAACUAUAUAACAACUCAUCAUCAUCAUCAUCAUCAUGUAACAAAUCAUCAUUAUCAAAAUGAUAUAACUCAUCAUCAUCGUAGUGAUAUAACAGCUCAUCAUGAUCAUAAUUAUAUAAAAAUGUCUCAUCAUCAUCGUCAUCAUCACCAUCAGCAUCAUCAUAAGUUAACCACUACUAGCUAAUUGUCAUCAUCCUAGGUAAGUAACUUUCAAGCACAUGACAAGUACUAUGACCUACUCUAGUGUCUUAGGUAAAAUAGAAUAAAACAGAAAAAAUAACUACAUCUCCAUGAUGGACCACAGAGAUCCCCGGUCUCCAAUUUGUUGCCCGCGCUCAUUGACUAUUUGCCUCCAUCAUUCAAUUUUGAGGCAUCCAUUUGAUUAACACUCAGUCAAGUAUGUAUAUUUGAAUCCGAUCUUCAAAGGGCAAAUAAUAGUCAUCUCACUUUUGACGUCCAUCAGCAGAGGCACAACAACAUUUGGGACCUUCCGCUGAAGUACAUAAUAGUAACAUAGUCGAAAUAUGCAGAUAUAGCAAGAAUGAUCCUAAUUUAUUUAGGCAUCACUACCAGUUUGCCCUCAAUGCCUCGAGCGCCAUCUGGCAGAUCAACCAAGUUCCAAACUUGAUUGUCAUCCAUGGACUUUAAUUCGGAUCUCAUGGUCUUAAGCCAUAACUCAGAAUCAGGGCUCUCCGUCGCUUCUGCAUACAUUGCCGACUCGUUGUUCUCCAAGAACAACACAUUGCAGUUAUGCAUAUUGCGCAACCUUUCCGACCUCUGUGGAAUCAGCGUCGACUCCACUAUGGGUUCCUUGACUAACUCCAUGUGGUUCUCGAAUUUCCUCUAGUCGGAUCAUCCUCCCACUAGCCUUCCGAUUGAGAAACUCUUUCUCAAGGAAAACUCCAUGUCGAGCGACAAACACUUUGCCCUCUUCACAGAUGUAGGAGUAAUAUCCCAAGGUUUCCCUUGGAUACCCCAUGAAUAUGCACUUGUCCGAUUUGGGUGUGCGCUUGUCUGACUGGAGUCGCUUGACGUAUGAUUCACAACCCCAAAUUUUUAGAGAAGACAAAGUUUGGCUCUUCGCAGUCCAUAUCUCAUAUGACGUCUUAUCUACAAACUUGGAUGGUACCCUAUUUAGUGUGAAAGCUGCAGUUUCUAGAGCGUAUCGCCAAAAUAACAAGGGUAAAUCCGACUGACUCGUCAUUGAUUGGGCCAUGUCUAACAGAGUCUGAUUCCUUCGUUCCAACACGCCAUUUCUCUGUGGCAUACCCCGAGGAGUCAGUUGUGGAACUAUCCUACGACUCUUCAGAUAAUCAUCAAACUCCUGGCUCAUAUACUCAUUCGCCACGAUCAGAUCGCAGAAGUUUGAUUCUCUUGUCGAGUUGAUUCUCCACUUCAUUCUGAAACUCCUUGAACUUUUCAAAAGUUUCUAACUUGUGCCUCAUCAAGUAGACAUAUCCAAAUCUACUCAAGUUAUCUGUAAACGUCAUGAAGUAUUGGAAACCACCUCUAGCUGGACUUGUUUUACCAUUGUUGAAAUGUCUUGUGCAUCGGGAUUCCGAGUCUGAUCGGAGGGUCUCGAGAUGGAGGAUUGUCUCUGCGGAUCGUGAGCUUGUCAUGGGCAAAGUUGGGACACCCCUGCAGGGUUUAAACUUUCGAGAGCCAUGCCCGCGGUUAUGUGGCAGAUGGGAAUUUGUUAAUAUCUGGUUGUAGAGGACUUGAACUAAACUCAAUUAAAAUACACCAACCGCGGGUGUAACCGUGACUGUCUCUUUCCAGGUGCGUUCGAGAAGAGAAUACGGUUGGGUUAUGUUUGAACGUAAGUGGUUUAGGAUCACUUCUUGAUCACUAUUAGUUUGCGACCGUUGUGUAGAUUCUCUUCUUACUUUUGUACUCGUAAGUUAGCCACCAUACAAAUGCUUAGUGCUUGCUGCAGCUUCACCACUAUCCAUUCCAUACCCAUUAAGCUUUGCUAGUCUUCAUACCCAUGGUAAUGGGAUUGCUGAGUCCUCGUGGCUCACAGAUGACUACAACAAUAGUUGUAGGUACAGGUAAUGCAAUGAUCUGACGUGAGAGCGAUGCUUGAUUGCUUUUGGAGUUCUUCUUCUUCUUCGAUCAAGGGAUUAGGUUCCGGGUCGGGGAGCCUGGGAUUAGUGGGGUGGAUAUUAUUCUUCUUUUUUGUUUGAUUUCAUCCGUAGUCGGAUCCUGCCCUUCUGUGUGCGCUCGAAAUGCGGUUGGAACAGACGAUCGCUAGACAGCGCGCCCGCAUUGCCACCCUCAAAGACGGUGAUGCCAGCUCUGCCUUCUUUCACCGGCAGUGCUCGUUUCAAUGACAGAAAAACCGCAUCUUCUGCCUCUCUGCGAACGGCACGCUACUCACAGACCAUGACGAGAUGGCCGAGGCUGCAUUCCGGCACUAUGACACACUGCUUGGCACGGCGGUCGAACACGACCACUCGAUGGACCUGUCGCAGCUCAUCGAGGGGAGCGAUCUCUCCGACCUUGACGCGACCUUUUGCCCGGAGGAGAGAUGGGAAGCUGUGAAACGCCUCCCCGCGCACAAGGCAGCUGAGCCUGAUGGCUUUAGCGCUGAAUUUCUCCGCGUGUGCCGGAGCAUCAUCAAGCAGGACUUCAUGGAUGUGUUCCAGUAGCUCUUCGAGCUGCGUGGCCGUGGCUUCUGCAAGGUCAACCAGGCCCUUCUCACGCUGCUGCCGAAGCCCAGGAGGUGCGCAACUACCGCCCGAUAUGCCUCAUUCAUAUCGUGGCCAAGGUACUCGCGAAGGCCCUCUCGCUCCGGCUAGCUCCAAAACUUGACCGCUUUGUCAGCCGCAAUCAAAACGCGUUCAUCCUCGGACGGAGCCUACACGACAACUUUAUGCUCGUCAGGCAAUCGGUCAAGCUGCUGAGCCAACUUGGGGGCCCCAGGGUGAUGCUCAAGCUCGACCUCACGCGCGCUUUUGACUCCAUCUCCUGGCCGUUCCUCUUUGAGGUUCUGCGCCAAUUUGGGUUCGGGAAUCGCUUCCUCGAAUGGAUCGCCAUCCUCCUGUCCUCGGCAAGCACUCGGGUGUAGUUGAUUGGUGUCCCAGGCCCACUGAUAUGGCAUAAGGGAGGGCUGCGGCAGGGGGGACUCCUUGUCCCCGCAGCUGUUCGUGCUCGCGGUCGACACUCUCGGCCGGCUGAUUCGGCGCGCCCAUGAUACGGGCAUCCUCCAGCCGCUGCAUCUGCGGAGGCCGAUACCGGCUAUAUCCCUAUACGCCGACGACGUCAUGCUCUUUUGCCAUGCCACGGAGAGUGACGUGACUGUCGUCAAGGAAAUCCUUGACCUGUUUGGUAGAGCGUCCAGCCUCAAGGUGAACUACACCAAGAGCUCGGCCACGGUCUUGCAUCGGGAAUAGGUUGCCUCCGAGAUGAUCACCAGCUUGGGGUGUUCGACUGCCGCGCUCCCGGUCACCUACCUCGGUAUACCUCUGACGAUGCGCCGCCCUUCCGCCGGGCAGUUGCAGCCCCUUGUCGACAAGGUCACCGGACGCUUGCCCACCUGGAAAGCAUGGCUCAUGAACAGAGCCGGCAGGCUCGCCCUCGUCAAGUUCUUCCUUUGCACUAUCCCGGUGCACCAGCGGGUUGCAUUUGCCCCCUCGAAGAAAAGACUGCAGCAACUCGAGAAAAUUCAACGAGGGUUCCUCUGGGCCGGGCGAGCCAUCACCAACGGCGGGCACUGCCAUGUGAACUGGCAUCAUGCUUCCCGCCCGCUCGCGCUUGGCAGCCUUGGGGUUCGUGAUGUCGAGCGCGUUGGACUCGCGCUCAGGCUGCGGUGGCUCUGGCUCUCGCGAACGGACGAAGGGCGCGCCUGGCAGGGGCUGGACCUCCAAUUUUCUAGCAACGAGCGUACACUGUUCUUUGCCUCCACCUACAUGACCAUUGGAAAUGGCAUGAACGCCCUGUUCUGGGAGGAUCGAUGGCUCAACGGGCACUCGGUUGGCGAGCUCAUGCCCCUGUUCUACAGCUGCAUCCCCAAACGCCGGCGCAAAGCUAGAACGGUGGCCGAAGGUCUCAACUGCAACGCAUUGGCCCAUGACAUCCAGGGCGUCCUCGUCAUCCACGAGAUAGGCCAGUAUCUACAGCUUUGGCAACUCACGGAACAGGCUAUGCUCAGCGAUGCUCCUGACCAGCUGAUCUGUAAGCAGACUGCGAGCGGCAUCUAUUCGGCGCAGUCUUGCUACGCGGCUACCUUCCAAGGAUCAGUGCACUCCUACUCUUGGAAGUUGAUCUGGAAGGCUUGGGCUCCCCCUCGACUCAAGUUUUUCCAUUGGCUUGCCAACCUGGAUCGCUGCUGGACUGCCGAUCGACUGGCCUGCCAAAGACUGCAGCAUCAUCUGUGCUGCCUUCUUUGCGAUCAGGCGCCGGAAAUGAUCCGGCACCUCAUGCUUGACUGCCCCUUCUCUAGGCAGGCAUGGCAUGAGACCCUGGCCUGGCUACGCAUACCGGCGUCGAUCCCCAACCAGGAGCCCACCCUCAUGGACUGGUGGCGGCACGCCGCAAGCACAACGCAAGGCCCUGCAAUCCGUAGUGCUACUCGUACCAUGGCUCGUCUGGAAGCAUAUGAACAGCCACGUCUUCGACAGCGCGACGCCCUCCCUAGGCACGCUAGUCGACCGGAUCAAGGAGGAAGCCGACUCCUGGGCUAAGGCCGGAGCAGUAGGCCUUAGAGUAGUCCUACCCCCUUUAUGGGACGUGCACUGAGCAUUGUAUCUGAUCCUUCAUUAUUCAUCCUAGGACGACUGUAACUGACUCCCUACCUUUUCAAUGAAAAGAAACGGAAAGGUCUUUUGCAUUUUCUCGAGAAAAAAAAGAAUGACCUUGAGGCAAGCUCAAUGAAAAUACGUUUUCCAAAGGUUUCAAGACUAUCUUCCUUGUGCUCUGGGAUAAAGCCAUUUGCAAUUCAUAGUCAGAUCAGCUUGUCCACAUCAAUCUUGUAAUCCUUUGGAAAUAUAGCACAAAAGGAAAAGCAUUGCUUCAUGUGUGAUGGCAAGUCAUUGUAGCUAAGCUUUAAUAUUGGCAGAAUCCAGUUUCCAAAGUGCAAAUGCUGCUACUAGAUGAUAUAGCCUUCCACUCUUCGACGCUAGUCUUGGUACGAAGUACAUAGCCCAAUGCAGUUGCAGCUAAAGGAGAGCCAGAACAUCAGCUUACAAUCUCAUCAACCAUCUUGCUUAGCUCGACAGGCUUUUCUUUCUCCGAACUGAAUGCUCUAGCCUCAGUAAUUUCCUUUACGAAGAAAUCCUCCACAAUAUUGAGAUUGUAGGCUCUACCUGCACCCAUAAUUUCAGUGACUUGUUUAUCACGAGUUCUUGUUAACAUUGCACUACCCAUGCCACCAUGUUGAGGACAGACCUUCAGCCUUCCCAACUUAUAGACCUCUCUGUUCCAGACAUCAUCCAAUACAUGGAGAUACCUGUGCCCGCUGUCCAGUUUUUGAAAUCUAUCCAAAGGUAUCAUAGACCUCUCUGGGGGAUGCCCGCUGUACCCAGAGCUGCAACUGAAAAUGAUUCUGAAUUUCAGGUUCAUUGUAUAUGAGUUACGCUAAUGUGGUCUUGCCAAGGCCCCCCAUUCCAACAAUGGGAACUACUGCGAGAUCAGUAUUGCUAGCUUGACCAAGUAGUAUGUCAACGAUAUUAUUCUUAUCUCCGUGUUUGGAUCUGUUGGCAAUUUCUUGUUGGUCGCUGAUGACAUAAUCUGUGUGCCUCCACUCCUUGGACACUCGUGUUUGCCUCAACUGAUUAGACACCAACAACGUCUGCCUCAACAUAAGCGCGACGCGUUGUUGGGCUAGGCCCAGAACGGUGCGCGGGCAGGUGGGGCGUAUUUUUACCGUAGUAACUGUUUCGUCCGCUGCGCUUCCCCACGACCUGCGUUGAACACGCACGUGGAGGGUCGUGCGUGACGUGGGGGUCAUGCGUGGGGCGGUCUCCACACGCAUGCGUCACAUCGCAUUUAAUGGGAAAAGAGGCGGCCCACGCCUUCCCCGUAAAAAGGAAUAACAGCGGGCGCGCUGUUCAUUUACCCCCUGCGUCUUCUUCAAUCUCGGAAUCGCCGUCCCCUUCUUCUUCCUUCUCAAACUCUCGCCUUUGCUCGUUGCCGCCGCAUCUUCGCUGUCCUCCGUCCUUUGCCUCUCGCAGCCGCCAUGGCCCCCAAAACAAGUAAAGGAAAGGGAGUGGCCAAGGAUGCCGGGGCGAAGGAGCCGCCGGAGAGCGAGUUGGUGGCGCGGCGGACGCAUCUCGCCUACUUCCCCUCGACGGUCGACGCGGUCGAACUCCGGGACUACUUCAGGNNNNNNNNNNNNNNNNNNNNNNNNNNNNNNNNNNNNNNNNNNNNNNNNNNNNNNNNNNNNNNNNNNNNNNNNNNNNNNNNNNNNNNNNNNNNNNNNNNNNNNNNNNNNNNNNNNNNNNNNNNNNNNNNNNNNNNNNNNNNNNNNNNNNNNNNNNNNNNNNNNNNNNNNNNNNNNNNNNNNNNNNNNNNNNNNNNNNNNNNNNNNNNNNNNNNNNNNNNNNNNNNNNNNNNNNNNNNNNNNNNNNNNNNNNNNNNNNNNNNNNNNNNNNNNNNNNNNNNNNNNNNNNNNNNNNNNGCGUGUCAUCCCCGCCAAUUGCGCCGAGGCCGCCCCGAAUCGGUAUCCGUUCUUCGUCGAUUACUUUUCUUGCGGUCUCUGCCCCCCUUUCUCCGAUUUCUUCAAUGAUGUCAUGCACACAUUUGGCUUCCACCUUCUGGAUUUCACUCCCAAUGCCGUGGCGUGCAUGGCUCUUUUCGCCCAUCUCUGUGAGGGCUUCGCCGGAGUUCUUCCCAACACAUUGCCCUUCCGCUAUUAGUUUUACCCUCGCAUCCAAAAGGGAGGCGCCAUCUCUGGUUGCGUCGCCUGGAUACCAAGGUCCAAAGGGACGUACCCGGAGGGCGCCCAGAAGGAGAGGUUGGAAGAGUGGCGGGGCCGGUGGUGCUGGAUUGGGGAGGACGACCCGCCGGAAUUUUUCCGGGUUCGUCAGGCGCCGCCGGUUCGCAGGAACGACUGGGGCGAUGUCAACGCCCUGGAUGACAAGCUCAAGGUCGCCACCACCAGGAUUCACCGCCUCACCGUUGCCGGGCUCACCCUGGAGAUGAUUGGGGCGGACUUGAUCCGCCGCCGAAUCGCUCCACUGCACAACAAGGGGAGACCGGCCUGGCUCUUCCAAAACGCGGCUGACAUCAUGAGGCUUCACUCUGGCCUCAACAACAACUUCACGGUGAUGGGGCACGCCCACUUCUGCUAGCGGAUCUUUCAGCUCGACGUGAACCGCGACGGCAGGGCCAAGAGGUCCGGCAAGGCUGCAAAGGCCGGCAAGGUCCUCAAGGGGCCCUUGUUUGGGUUGCCAGCGGGGGUGGUCCCGCUGAGCAACAACUCGCGCCAGACCGACAUCAUCGCCAUGAUGUCGGACUACAAUGCACACGGUCCCGUCCCAAAUUGGUUCGAGCCGCUAGCGGAUCAGGUGCAGGAGUUCUUUGAUACUUUGGCGGAGAAGUAUGUCUGCGACGAGCCGCUGCUCAUCUAGGACACCACCCAAGCAGAGCUGGACUACAUCGCCGCCAGGGCGGCGGAGGCGGAGCUCGCUAGGGAGGCCGGCAGCGCUGGCGGCAUGGAGGACGAGGUCGCAGCAGCCGCAGAGGAGAGGGAGCUCGCCCAGUGGGAGGAAUCCGAUGGGGAGGCCAGCAGCGCCAGCACCGGGGCCCCUCUUAUUGAAGAUGUGGUCGACGAUUCGGAGGAGGAGGAGGUCGAGGCUGUCGAUCCUCCGGUCAUGGGGAGAGGGCGAGUCCUGCGGCGGGCCAGCUCCGGCAAGCCGGUCCAGCCCGGCAGGGCUGUGCAACCGCAGCAGACCUAGGAGGGGUAUGUGCGCCAGACAAGGGCCGCGGUGGCGAGGAAGUUGGUGAAGGCCGUGGUGGCGAAGAAGAAAGCAACAACCUCUUCUUCGUUCAAGCGUGGCCAGACUCCACCUUCUUCCCCUCCUCGGGCAGACGUUGACACGGAGGUCGUCUUCGACUUUGGGUCCCUCAGCCCAAGGAGGAAGAGGAAGGCAUCAGAAGAGGAGGUGGAGGAUGAGUAAGUUUCUUGUUACUUUUUGUCAUCUCCGUCUCCUCAGACUGUGCUGCUUAUCUCGAUUUGUUUUCAUCUUUGCAGGGAUGCGGAGACGCUGGCCCAGAGGGUGAAGAGGGCCAGGUCCUCGGCUGGCGGCCGGCCUCCGGCGGGCACUUCGAGGAUGCCACUAGUGGUGGUGAGCAGCCCGGACAGCAGUCCCCGAAGCAGCCCCCGGCGUAAGUUCCCCACUCGUCCCUCGUCAACGUGUGUUGGGGGUACGAUCCCUUGGCGCUAACCUUGCCGUGAUUGCAGGAGGAGGACAACAGGAGGAGGAGCCACGGAGGGUUACCCCCAACACGCUGCCCCCAUCGACCACGCCGCCCCGAGGGGUGGUGUCUACUACGCAACCUUCUUCUUGUAGACGUUGUUGGGCCUCCAAGUGCAGAGGUUUGUAGGACAGUAGAAAAUUUCCCUCAAGUGGAUGACCUAAGGUUUAUCAAUCCGUGGGAGGCGUAGGAUGAAGAUGGUCUCUCUCAAGCAACCCUGCAACCAAAUAACAAAGAGUCUCUUGUGUCCCCAACACACCCAAUACAAUGGUAAAUUGUAUAGGUGCACUAGUUCGACGAAGAGAUGGUGAUACAAGUGUAAUAUGGAUGGUAGAUAUAGGUUUUUGUAAUAUGAAAAUAUAAAAACAGCAAGCUAACUAAUGAUAAAAGUGAGCACAAACGGUAUUGCAAUGCGUUGAAACAAGGCCUAGGGUUCAUACAUUCACUAGUGCAAGUUCUCUCAACAAUAAUAACAUAAUUGGAUCAUAUAACUAUCCCUCAACGUGCAACAAAGAGUCACUCCAAAGUCACUAAUAGAGGAGAACAAACGAAGAGAUUAUGGUAGGGUACGAAACCACCUCAAAGUUAUUCUUUCGGAUCGAUCUUAUUCAAGAGUUCGUACUAGAAUAACACCUUAAGACAAAAUCAACCAAAACCCUAAUGUCACCUAGAUACUCCAAUGUGACCUCAAGUAUCCGUGGGUAUGAUUAUACGAUAUGCAUCACACAAUCUCAGAUUAAUCUAUUCAAACCAACACAAAGUACUUCAAAGAGUGUCCCAAAGUUUCUACCAGAGAGUCAAGACGAAAACGUGUGCCAACCCCUAUGCAUAGGUUCAUGGGCGGAACCCGCAAGUUGAUCACCAAAACAUACAUCAAGUGGAUCACGUGAUAUCCCAUUGUCACCAGAGAUACGCACAUGCAAGACAUACGUCAAGUGUUCUCAAAUCCUCAAAGACUCAAUCCGAUAAGAUAACUUCAAAGGGAAAACUCAAUCCAUUACAAGAGUGUAGAGGGGGAGAAACACCAUAAGAUCCAACUAUAAUAGCAAAGCUCGCGAUACAUCAAGAUCGUACCACCUCAAGAACACAAGAGAGAGAGAGAGAGAGAGAUCAAACACAUAGCUACUGGUACAUACCCUCAGCCCCGAGGGUGAACUACUCCCUCCUCGUCAUGGAGAGCGCGGGGAUGAUGAAGAUGGCCACCGGUGAGGGUUUCCCCCUCCGGCAGGGUGCCGGAACAGGGUCCCGAUUGGUUUUUGGUGGCUACAGAGGCUUGCGGCGGCGGAACUCCCGAUCUAUUCUGUUCACCUAUGUUUUUAGGGUAUAUGGAUAUAUAUAGGCGAAAGAAGUCGGUAAGGGGAGCCACGAGGGGCCCACGAGGGUGGAGGGCACGCCCAGGGGGUGGGCGCGCCCCCUACCUCGUGCCUUCCUUGUUGCUUCCCUUACGUACACUCCAAGUCUUCUGGAUUGCUUCGGUUCCAAAAAUAACUCUCCCGAAGGUUUCAUUCCGUUUGGACUCCGUUUGAUAUUCCUUUUCUGCGAAACACUGAAACAAGGAGAAAAACUGAAACUAGCACUGGGCUCUGGGUUAAUAAGUUAGUCCCAAAAAUAAUAUAAAAGUGCAUAGUAAAUCCCAUUAAACAUCCAAGAUGGAUAAUAUAAUAGCAUGAAUACUUCAUAAAUUAUAGAUACGUUGGAGACGUAUCAGCAUCCCCAAGCUUAAUUCCUGCUCGUCCUCGAGUAGGUAAAUGAUAUAAGAAAUAAUUAUGAAGUGUGAAUGCUAGCAGGUGCACAAGUUUGAUCAAUGAUAAUUUCAAUCACCUUUUCAAGCAUCAUUAUAUGUCAUAACAGUAGCUCAACUCAUAAAACUUUUCAUGAUCAAGUAACAAGCUAUUCACAUAUUAAAGCAUAGACCAUAAACUUUCUUGAAAACUAACAAACUAUGUUCUCAGUCAUCAAACAAUUGCAAUUCAUCUUAUUUUCAGGAAGGGUCUAUGUAAGAGCUUUGAUUUAGCAAAUCCCACAUACUCAACUAUCAUAUAGUCUUCCAUGAUUGCUACCACUCAAAGCAUAUUUUCGGAACAAAUAGCAUCCAUCGAACACAGAGAAAGAUAGGGGCUUAAUGUUUCGCCUCCCAACUUAUUUAUCAUAUAGAUAAUUGUCAACAAUAAUAAUUCAUGAUCAAAUAUAUUUGAAUGGCCAUAUAUGCUUAGAUCUUUCCAUCACAUGAUGCUUGCCAACUAAAAAGUAGGUUGGAAUGAGAAGGAAUACUACUGACUCUUGCAUAAAAGUAAAAGAUAGGCCCUUCACAGAGGGAAGCAGGGAUUUGCAGAGGUGCCAGAGCUCGAAGCUAAAACAGAGAUGAAAAUAAUUUUGAGAGGUAUGCUUUCAUUGUCAACAUAACGACCAAGAGUUCCCAAUAUCUUCCAUACUACAUACAUUAUAGGCGGUUCCCACGCGGAAAGGUAAAGUUUUUACUCCCCCUCCACCAACAUUCACACUCCACGGCUUGUCCGAAACAAUGGGUGCCGUCCAACUAUCAACAUUCUUGGGGGAGUUUGUUGAAAUUAUUUGUGAAUUUGUUUUUGAUCUUUUGAUCAUAGGACUGGGCAUCCCAGUUACCAGCCAUUUUCUCGUGAAUGAUGAGCGGUGUCCACUCAUCGUGAGAAUAACCCACCCAGCAUGGAAGAUACUGACAGCCCCUAGUCGCUACAUGAGCGAUUCGGGCAUACAAAACAGAUUAUUAUUUGAAGGUUUAGAGUUUGGCACAUGCAAAUUUACUUGGAACGGCAGGUAAAUACCGCAUAUAGGUAGAUAUGGUGGACACUCAUGGAAGAAACUUGGUUCGAGGAAUUUGGAUGCACAAGCAGUAUUCCUGCUUAGUACAGACAUUUUGGCUAGCAAAUGAUUCUAAAUAGCAAGCACCACAAGUUAGAGGAUCCAUAACAAUAUAACUUCUAUACAAAUAUACCCAAGCAUAACUCAUUAUGUUGUCUUCCUUGUCCAACUUCAACUAAUUUGCUCAGGUUUGCUAAUAAUUAAUGGGGCUCACGAUCAUAGAAGAUGUCCAAGAUAGUAUUAUAUGUGAAAUCUCUCUUCCUUCAAUAUUCUUUCAUGAAUUGUUCAAGUGACAAAUACAAAGUUUGCUAACCUUCAAAAAAUUUACCACCUCUACUUCUUAUAUGUGAAGUCAUUACUCCCCAUGGGAUAAGUAUAUGAAACAUAUAUAAUUUCAGAUUUAUAAUAUUCAAAUCAUUCAACUAUUUACUCAUAGGAUAUAAGUGAAGCACACGAGUAAAUGACAAACUACUCCAAAAAGAUAUAAGUGAAGAUCAAUGAGUAGUUAAAUAAUUAUGUAGUUAUCUGAAGACUCUAUCUCAUUUAAGAAUUUCAGAUCUUGGUAUUUUAUUCAUACAGCAAGCAAAACAAAAGAAAAUAAAAUGACGCUCCAAGUAAAACACAUAUCAUGUGGUGAAUAAAAAUAUAGCUCCAAGUAAAGUUACCGAUGAACGAAGACGAAAGAGGGGAUGCCAUCCGGGGCAUCCCCAAGCUUAGGCUCUUGGUUGUCCUUGAAUAUUACCUUGGGGUGCCUUGGGCUUCCCCAAGCUUAGGCUCUUGCCACUCCUUAUUCCAUAGUCCAUCGAAUCUUUACCCAAAACUUGAAAACUUCACAACACAAAACUUAACAGAAGAUCUCGUGAGCUCCGUUAGCGAAAGAAAACAAAACACCACUUCAAGGUACUGUAAUGAACUCAUUAUUUAUUUGUAUUGGUGUUAAAUCUAAUGUAUUCCAACUUCUCUAUGGUUUACAAACUAUUUUACAAGCCAUAGAUUCAUCAAAAUAAGCAAACAACACACGAAAAACAGAAUCUGUCAAAAACAGAACAGUCUGUAGUAAUCUGUAACUAACGCAAACUUCUUGAACUCAACAAAUUCUACCAAAAUAGGACGACCUAGAUAAUUUUAUUAUUGAUCUGAUGCAAUUGGAAUCAGUAUUUUAUCACGUUCUGGUGAUUUUAAACAAUUGUUUUCGUGAACAGAAAGUUUCUGGAAUUUUCAGCAAGAUCAAAUAACUAUCAUCCAAGAAGAUCCUAUAGGUCUUACUUGGCGCAAACACUAAUUAAAACAUAAAACCACAUCUAAACAGAGGCUAGAUAGAUUAUUUAUUGCUAAACAGAACCAUAAAGAAAGAACAAAAAUAAAAAUCGGGUUGCCUCCCAACAAGCGCUAACGUUUAACGCCCCUAGCUAGGCAUGAUGAUUUCAAUGAUGCUCGCAUAAAAGAUAAGAAUUGAAAUAUAAAGAGAGCAUCAUGAAAAAUAUGACUAGCACAUUUAAGUCUAACCCACUUCCUAUGCAUAGGGAUUUUGUGAGAAAACAACUUAUGGGAACAAUAAUCAACUAGCAUAGGAAGGCAAAACAAGCAUAACUUCAAAACUUUAAGCACAUAGAGAGGAAACAUGAUAUUAUUGCAAUUCAUACAAGCAUACAUUCCUCCCUCAUAAUAAUUUUCAGUAGCAUCAUGAAUGAAUUCAACAAUAUAACCAGCACCUAAAGCAUUCUUUUCAUGAUCUACUUGCAUAGAAAUUUUCCUACUCUCCACGUAAGCAAAUUUAUUCUCAUCAAUAGUAGUGGGAGCAAACUCAACAAAAUAACUAUCAUGUGAUUGAAAAUUAAGAUCAAGAUGACAAGUUUCAUGGUUAUCAUUAUUCUUUAUAGCAUACGUGUCAUCACAAUAAUCAUCAUAGGUAGGAGGCAUGCUUUCAUCAUAAUAAAUUUGCUCAUCAAAACUUGGGGGACAAAAAAUAUCAUCUUCAUCAAACAUAGCUUCCCCAAGCUUGUAAUCAUGCUCAUCAUUCAAAUAUUUAGUGCCAAACAUUCUAAUGCAUUCUUCCUCUAGCAAUUGAGCGCAAUUAUCGGAAUCCUUAUUUUCACGGAAGACAUUAAAAAGAUGAAGCAUAUGAGGCACACUCAAUUCCAUUUUUUGUAGUUUUCUUUUAUAAAAUAAACUAGUGAUAAAACAAGAAACUAAAAGAUUCCAUUGCAAGAUCUAAAUAUAUACCUUCAAGCACUCACCUCCCCGACAACGGCGCUAGAAAAGAGCUUAGUUGACGGGGUGUGAGUGCCGCUUACCUAGCCUCCCCGGCAACGGCGCCAGAAAAGAGCUUGAUGUCUACUACGCAACCUUCUUCUUGUAGACGUUGUUGGGCCUCCAAGUGCAGAGGUUUGUAGGACAGUAGCAAAUUUCCCUCAAGUGAAUGACCUAAGGUUUAUCAAUCCGUGGGAGGCGUAGGAUGAAGAUGGUCUCUCUCAAGCAACCCUGCAACCAAAUAACAAAGAGUCUCUUGUGUCCCCAAAACACCCAAUACAAUGGUAAAUUGUAUAUGUGCACUAGUUCGGCGAAGAGAUGGUGAUACAAGUGUAAUAUGGAUGGUAGAUAUAGGUUUUUGUAAUCUGAAAAUAUAAAAACAGCAAGGUAACUAAUGAUAAAAGUGAGCACGAACGGUAUUGCAAUGCGUUGAAACAAGGCCUAGGGUUCAUACUUUCACUGGUGCAAGUUCUCUUAACAAUAAUAACAUAAUUGGAUCAUAUAACUAUCCCUCAACAUGCAACAAAGAGUCACUCCAAAGUCACUAAUAGAGGAGAACAAACGAAGAGAUUACGGUAGGGUACGAAACCACCUCAAAGUUAUUCUUUCGGAUGAUCUUAUUCAAGAGUUCGUACUAGAAUAACACCUUAAGACACAAAUCAACCAAAACCCUAAUGUCACCUAGAUACUCCAAUGUCACCUCAAGUAUCCGUGGGUAUGAUUAUACGAUAUGCAUCACACAAUCUCAGAUUGAUCUAUUCAAACCAACACAGAGUACUUCAAAGAGUGUCCCAAAGUUUCUACCGGAGAGUCAAGAUGAAAACGUGUGCCAACCCCUAUGCAUAGGUUCAUGGGCGGAACCCGCAAGUUGAUCACCAAAACAUACAUCAAGUGGAUCACGUGAUAUCCCAUUGUCACCACAGAUAUGCACAUGCAAGACAUACAUCAAGUGUUCUCAAAUCCUUAAAGACUCAAUCCGAUAAGAUAACUUCAAAGGGAAAACUCAAUCCAUUACAGGAGUGUAGAGGGGGAGAAACAUCAUAAGAUCCAACUAUAAUAGGAAAGCUCGCGAUACAUCAAGGUUGUACCACCUCAAGAACACGAGAGAGAGAUCAAACACAUAGCUACUGGUGCAUACCCUCAGCCCCGAGGGUGAACUACUCCCUCCUCGUCAUGGAGAGCGCGGGAAUGAUGAAGAUGGCCACCGGUGAGGGUUCCCCCCUCCUGCAGGGUGCAGGAACAGGUUCUCGAUUUGUUUUUGGUGGCUACAGAGGCUUGCGGCGGCGGAACUCCUGAUCUAUUCUGUUCCCCGAUGUUUUUAGGGUAUAUGGAUAUAUAUAGGCGAAAGAAGUCGGUAAGGGGAGCCACAAGGGGCCCACGAGGGUGGAGGGCGCGCCUAGGGGGGUGGGCGCGCCCCCUGUCUCGUGCCUUCCUCGUUGCUUCCCUUACGUACACUCCAAGCCUUCUGGAUUGCUUCCGUUCCAAAAAUAACUGUCCCGAAGGUUUCAUUCCCUUUGGACUCCGUUUGAUAUUCCUUUUCUGCGAAACACUGAAACAAGGAGAAAAAACUGAAACUAGCACUGGGCUCUGGGUUAAUAAGUUAGUCCCAAAAAUAAUAUAAAAGUGCGUAGUAAAGCCCAUUAAACAUCCAAGAUGGAUAAUAUAAUAGCAUGAAUACUUCAUAAAUUAUAGAUACGUUGGAGACGUAUCAAGGGGCGUCCCCGGCAAGGGCGCCAAGCACCGAGCCCAUGCACACAGAGGAGGAGGAGGCAGACUUGGGCGCUAGUGGCUCCGCCUCGGUGCCAGAUGUUGGCAGGGAAGGGGCUACUUCUUCCCAGCCCGGCACGGGUACGUCACUUGCCUCCUGUCCCUGCUUUUUCUUCUUCUUUUUGAAUCUUGGUCUUGGCUCCGCCUCAUCCCCUUCUCGAUAUCCAGACCCUCCCUCGGCGGACCGGGAGGACAUAGACACCGUCAUCGAGGAUGUCGCCAAGGACACCGCGGCGGAGGCCGAGAAGAUUGCCGCCGAGGAGGCCGCCAAGGGCGCUGCCGAGGACGCCGCAAAGCGAUCUGCCGGGGAGUCCGGCAUGUCUACUGCCAAAGUGGCCGGCAAGGGGCCUGCCGGGGAGGCCGGCAAGGCCGCUGCCGGGGAGGAGGUGGUUAACGACCAACCUUCCUCCUCUGCUGCCUCUGGUUCCGGCAGGUAUCUGAAGGUGAGCGACGACCUAUUCGUCAACCUCCUAGGGACGGCGAGCACUAGGGCGCCCACCGAGGGAGAGGUGUUCGACGAGGAGGUGCUUGCCGCCGCUGGGCUCGAGGUUGUUGACGAGUCGAGCGCCGGUGGCGACGGUUCCCAGGAAGAGCGGCUCCUUCAGGCCAUGGGCGCCAGCUUUCGGAAGCUCCAGGCGCUCCACCGCGCCCGCCUGGACAAGGCCAAGUCCAGGAUGGCAGCGGUGGAAAAGGCGGAGGCGGACCUCGAGGGUCGCAUCGUCGAGACGCAGGCUUGGUUCCGCCAGGGCUGCGAGGAGCUGAAGACCGCCCAGGACGAGCUGGCCAAGCGCAAGGUGGAGCUCGUCAUGAAGCAGGCCGACAUCGAGAGGGGCCAGGAGUUGGCGAAGAACCAGGCCGCCAAGGACGAGGUCGCUCGGUCCCAGCACCAGGCCGCGCUGAACUCCCAGGAAGAGGACCUUGCCGCUCGCGAGGAGAAGCUCGCCGUGACACUCCGCGGCAAGGACGAGGAGGUCAAGAAGCUUGUCCUGCAGCGGACCCAGGAGUUGGAGCAGAAGCACGAGGAGGCGCUCAAUGCCCAGGCUUAGGUCCACGCCGGCAAGGUGAAGGAGCUGGAGGUGGAGCGGGACGAGCUGAAGAAGCAGGCCCUGGAGUUGACGGCGGAGAGGGACGCUGCCAAAGGUGCCCUGGCCGACGCGCAGGCCGCAGUCCUCAGCAAGGCCGGGCUACUCUCCACGGCCAACGAGACCAUCAAGGACCUGAAGCUGAAGCUGGAGGGCCUUGAGGGGACGCUCUCGGAGGCCAAGGCCCGGGAGGAGACCCUGGCCAAAGAUUUGGAGGCCGAGAAGCAGCUGCGGAAGAACGAAACCGCCAACCACAAGGAUUUUGUGGAGGGCGAGAACCGCUGGAUCAGCCGCCUCAAAGGCGUCGCCGGCAGGAUCACCACGCAGCUGGCUACGAUGGGGAUGCCAAAUGUGAGGUACGCCCCGGAGCCCAAUGUGACUCCCAAUGCCAAGCUGACCCUAUUCUUCGAGGGUGUCCUUGGAGCCCUGGAGCAUCUUCGCUCCAGCAGGGCGGCCUCUUUGGCCGAUGAGGCCCGGAAGCUUUGCCGGGGUGCCAUGACCAAGGUCCUCACCAAGGUGGCGUACUGGAACCCCGACCUCGACUUCGACGCCGCACUAGAGAGCUUGCCGGAGGAUGCUGACCUCGCGGCGCUCAAGGAGCGUAUCAAGCCCAUCAUCAGUCGCGUCGACGGAAUCCAGAGGGUGGAGGGCCAGCGCUGGGAUUAGGCACCCCGUUUCUCAUUGCCGCUGCAGGUUCAUGACCAUGACAAUUUCUAUCUUUAGUUAGAACCGCGGCAACAACUGAUGUAAUAUAACUCUGCAGUACAUUCGUGAUGAUGUAUGUUAUCUUCCUGUUUGAUCUUCCUUUGUAUGUUCACCCUACGUUAAUCGGGUAGGCUUGCCGGCGCGUAAACCCAGGCCGCGGCGCCUUGAGGAUGGAUCCCCAAUGGCCUGCCGGGUAUGCUUGCUGCCAGGCGAACCACCUUACCGCAUUAGUAGAAAACAGGGCUUUGGUUCCGGCCUGGCCAGCCCAUUAGUCCCGGUUCUUCAUGAACCGGGACCCAUGGGGGGCAUUAGUCCCGGUUCAUGAGCCCAGGGGGCCGUCCGGGGCCUCGUGGGCAUUGGUCCAGGUUCCUCUGGAUCCAUUUGUACCGGUUCUAGAGGGCCGCGCUCCUUGCCCACAGCCAUUGGUACCGGUUCGUGCCUAUAACCGGGACAGAAGGGGGGGGGGCUUUAGUACCGGUUCGUGCCACAAACCGGGACAAAUAAGUUGCCUAUAUAUACUCGUCGCCGCAGCAGAGCACUCCACAGUGCUCUGUUUUUUCUGGCCGGCGAGGGGAGGGCAUUUGGGUGCUCUAGCUCACCUCCUAUGCACAUGAGGUGUUUGAUGAAAUGCCCGAGCGACACUAGUUAAGCUUUCUCCUCUUGAAGCUCGACCUCGGAGCUCCAUUUUUCCCAAGAUUUGUCUAGAUUUAGCGGUCCGUCACGCCCCGUCCCCGUUUUCACCGCCGUCAAUCGCCCGUGCCGAUCUCGUCGCCGGCACCAUCGUGGUGAGCCUCUUGUUCUUAUCUUCUUUCUGAUUUGCUUAAUUUAGAUAGAUACUUGUCUGAUUUUCUUACUUUUGACACACAUAAUUAUAUAUAAUGCACGCAGAUGAACCGGCAAUGGAUGUACGGUGACAGACACACCUCCGAGUACAUUAAGGGCGUGCAUGAAUUUCUCGAAGUGGCAGAGGCAAACAAGCAGAAUGGUUUUAUGUGUUGUCCAUGCCCUAAAUGUGGGAAUACGAAGUCUUACUCUGACCGGAAAAUCCUGCACACCCACCUGCUUUACAAGGGUUUCAUGCCACACUAUAAUGUUUGGACGAGGCACAGAGAAAUAGGGGUUAUGAUGGAAGACGACGAAGAAGAAGAGGACGAUGACAACUAUGUGCCCCCUGAAUACGGUGAUGCUGCAACGGGGGGAGCUGCCGAAGAUCAAGAGGAACCAGACGAUGUGCCCGAUGAUGCUGCAAUGGGGGAAGCUGCUGAAGAUCAAGAAGAACCAGACGAUGUGCCCGAUGAUAAUGAUCUCCGCCGGGUCAUUGUCGAUGCAAGGAUGCAAUGCGAAAGUCAAAAGGAGCAGCUGAAGUUCGAUCCCAUGUUAGAGGAUCACAAAAAAGGGUUGUACCCCAAUUGCGAAGAUGGCAACACAAAGCUCGGUACCGUACUGGAAUUGCUGCAGUGGAAGGCAGAGAAUGCUGUGCCUGAGAAAGGAUUUGAGAAGCUACUGAAAAUAUUGAAGAAGAAGUUUCCAAAGGACAAUGAAUUGCCUGACAGUACGUACGCAGCAAAGAAGGUCGUAUGCCCUCUAGGAUUGGAGGUGCAGAAGAUACAUGCAUGCCCUAAUGACUGCAUCCUCGACCAUGGUGCGUACAAGGAUUUGAACGCAUGCCCGGUAUGCGGUGCAUUGCGGUAUAAGAUCAGACGAGAUGACCCUGGUGAUGUUGACGGUGAGCCCCGCAGGAAGAGGGUCCCUGCGAAGGUGAUGUGGUAUGCGCCUAUAAUACCACCGUUGAAACGACUAUUCAGAAACAAAGAGCAUGCCAAGUUGAUGCGAUGGCACAGUGAGGACCGUAAGAAAGACGGGAAGUUGAGAGCACCCGCUGACGGGUCGCAGUGGCGAAAAAUUAAGAGAAAGUACUGGGAUGAGUUUGCAGGUGACCCAAGGAAUGUAUGGUUUGCUUUAAGAGCGGAUGGCAUUAAUCCUUUCGGGGAGCAGAGCAGCAAUCACAGCACCUGGCCCGUGACUCUAUGUAUGUAUAACCUUCCUCCUUGGAUGUGCAUGAAGCGGAAGUUCAUUAUGAUGCCAAUUCUCAUCCAAGGCCCUAAGCAACCCGUUAACGACAUUGAUGUGUACCUAAGGCCAUUAGUUGAAGAACUUUUAUAGCUGUGGAAUGGAAACAGUGUACGUGCGUGGGAUGAGCACAGACACGAGGAAUUUAACCUCCAUGCGUUGCUGUUUGUAACCAUCAACGAUUGGCCCGCUCUCAGUAACCUAUCAGGACAGACAAACAAGGGAUACCACGCAUGCACGCACUAUUUAGCUAACACCAAAAGUAUAUACCUGGACAAAUGCAGGAAGAAUGUGUACCUGUGCCAUCAUCGAUUUCUUCCGACCAACCAUCAAUGUCGAAAGAAAGGCAAGCAUUUCAAAGGCGAGGCAGAUCACCGGAAGAAGCCCGCCAUGCGUACCGGUGAUCACGUACUUGCUAUGGUCAAUGAUUUACACCUAAUGUUUGGAAAGGGUCCCGGCGGACUAGCUGUUCCGAAUGACGCUGGGGGACGCGCACCCAUGUGGAAGAAGAAAUCUAUAUUUUGGGACCUGCCCUACUAGAAAGACCUAGAGGUCCGCUCUUCGAUCGACGUGAUGCACGUGACGAAGAACCUUUGCGUGAACCUGCUAGGCUUCUUGGGCAUGUAUGGGAAGACAAAAGAUACAGCUGAGGCACGGGAGGACCUGCAACGUUUGCACGAAAAAGACGGCAUGCCUCCAAAGCAGUAUGAAGGUCCUGCCAGCUAUGCUCUUACCAAAGAAGAGAAGGAAAUCUUCUUUGAAUGUCUGCUUAGUAUGAAGGUCUCGACUGGCUUCUCGUCGAAUAUAAAGGGAAUAAUAAAUAUGCCAGAGAAAAAGUUCCAGAACCUAAAGUCUCAUGACUGCCACGUGAUUAUGACGCAACUGCUUCCGGUUGCAUUGAGGGGGCGUCUACCGAAAAACGUCCGAUUAGCCAUUGUGAAGCUAUGUGCAUUCCUCAAUGCAAUCUCUCAGAAGGUGAUCAAUCCAGAAAUCAUACCAAGGCUAAGGAGUGAUGUGGCGCAAUGUCUUGUCAGUUUCGAGCUGGUGUUCCCACCAUCCUUCUUCAAUAUCAUGACGCACGUCCUAGUUCAUCUAGUUGACGAGAUUGUCAUUCUGGGCCCCGUAUUUCUACAUAAUAUGUACCCCUUUGAGAGGUUCUUGGGAGUCCUAAAGAAAUAUGUCCGUAACCGCGCUAGGCCAGAAGGAAGCAUCUCCAUGGGCCAUCAAACAGAGGAUGUCAUUGGGUUUUGUGUUGACUUCAUUCCUGGCCUUAUGAAGAUAGGUCUCCCUAAAUCGCGGUAUGAGGGGAGACUGGCUGGAAAAGGCACGCUUGGAGGGGACUCAAUAAUAUGCAGGGACGGAUAUUCUUGGUCUCAAGCACACUACACAGUUCUACAGAACUCUACCUUGGUGACCCCUUAUGUCGAUGAACACAAGAACAGUCUGCGCUCCAAACACCCGGAGCAUUGCGACGACUGGAUUACAUGUGAACACAUCAGGACUUUCAGCAGUUGGUUGGAAACACGUCUCAGAGGUGACAACACUGUUUGUGAUGAGAUGUACUCGUUGUCCAGGGGACCAUUUUCGACUGUAUUGACUUACAAAGGAUACAAGAUAAAUGGGAAUACAUUUUACACGAUCGCCCAAGAUCAAAAGAGCACCAACCAAAACAGCUGUGUCCGCUUUGAUGCAGCAACCGAGAGGGGAAAGGACACAUAUUAUGGUUACAUAGUGGACAUAUGGGAACUUGACUACGGACAUGAUUUUAAGGUCCCUUUGUCUAAGUGCAAAUGGGUCAAUCUGUCAGGAGGCGGGGUACAGGUAGACCCACAGUACGGAAUGACAACAGUGGAUCUGAACAAUCUUCGGUACACUGACGAACCUUUCGUCCUAGCCAAUGAUGUGGCACAGUUUAUCUAUGUGAAGGACAUGUCUACCAAACCGAGAAAAAGAAAAGAUAAGGAAGCGAAUACAUCAUACGAUGAGCCAAAGCACCACAUAGUUCUUUUAGGAAAAAGGGACAUCGUGGGAGUGGAGCGCAAGACAGACAUGUCUAAAGAUUAUGAAAAGUUUCCUGAAAUUCCUCCCUUCAAAGUCAAGGCUAACCCAAGCAUCCUAAUAAACGAUGAAGAUUAUCCAUGGUUACGGCGCAAUAAGCAAACGACACAAGCGAAGAAAAAGUGAAGACUUUCUCUCUACAACUAUUAUGAUGAUGCCUUUGAUCUAGAAUAUCACUGCAAUUACAUGUGAAGAAAUGAAAUGCAUGUUGUAACAAACGAGUUUCCGUGUGAAAUGAUGAUACCAUGCCAAUUUGCAACCUUAUCGGAGUUCAUUUGAAAUGGUUUUCAAUUUCCGGGUCUUAUAGCUCAAAAAAGCAGUAAAUGCAUGAAAAAUAACAAAUGAAGUCAGAAAGGGUUGAAAAUUGAUGAUGUUGCUUUGAAUGGUGCAUUUUGAACACACAAGAAGUCUGGAGUUCAAAUAAGUUCGAAAAAAUGAAAUCCCUUUGUAACAGAUGAGCUUUCGUGCGAAACCCUGAUACUUCGAAAGAGAUUGUCCGUUUUGUACACAAAGUGCAUCUAGUUUUUGCCGUAACCCUCUCAACUUUCUUGCACAUGCUAUGUGGGUGAAAUGAUGAUAGCAUGCCAAUUUUCAACCUUUUCGGUGUUCAUUUGAAAUGCUUUUCAAUUUUCGGGUCUUAUAGCUCAAAAAAGCAGUAAAUGCAUGAAAAAUAAUAAAAUGCAUAAAACUAUAAUAUUUGUUAUGAUCACUAAAAAACUAAAAUCAAUUAAAAUAUUAAAUAGCAGGAAAAAGAAUCACUCAAAAAUCUAUUUUUAUAGUAAAUUUAUUCAUAAAACUAGUGAUUCACAUACAUUUAAAAAAAAUCAAAUUUUAAAACUAAUGGCACUAACAGAAAGUUUAUAAUUUUGUGACCCAAAAGCAAAAAGAAAUCACUAAAAAACUAUAAAAUUUAGUUUUAAGUAGAAAUAAAAAAAUAAAAAGAAAAAAAGGAAAAAAAAUGCCACCUACUGGACCUCCUCGGCCUAAAUACGACUAGAAACCCUACAAUGGGCCAGGAUUCAGGCCCGCAGAAGGCCCAAUAGGCCCAACAGGCAUGGCAAAGUAGAGAUUAGGCCCGUAAGCCUGCAAUAGAGAGGAGCUCGAGAGGGUGGCGGCAGCAAAGCUUAUAAACCACCCCGAGCCCCUCUCAACUAGCGAGGUGGGACUAAACAUCCCACCGCACCGUGCCAGCACAAGGCCUAUGGUCCCGGUUCAUGCCACCAACCGGUACCAUAGGCGGGCAUUCGUACCGGUUCGUGGCACCAACCAGUACCAAUGCCCACCUACGGUCCCGGUCCGUGCCACCAACCGGGACCAUGGGCCUCUGUUUCCCGCCCUUGGGGCUGCCGAAAAGAGACCUUUGGACCCUGUUGGUGGCACGAACCGGGACCAUAGGUAGGCAUUGGUACCGGUUGGUGCCAUGAACCGGUACCAUUGGUUUUGCUAUAUAAGGUAGCACUUGUGAAAAUUUCGCCAACUGCUCCCCCAUUCCCCCCGACGCCGCCAGGCCGUUCCUCGUCGUCGUCGCCGUCGCCGCCCCGAGCCCCUGCCCCGACGNNNNNNNNNNNNNNNNNNNNNNNNNNNNNNNNNNNNNNNNNNNNNNNNNNNNNNNNNNNNNNNNNNNNNNNNNNNNNNNNNNNNNNNNNNNNNNNNNNNNNNNNNNNNNNNNNNNNNNNNNNNNNNNNNNNNNNNNNNNNNNNNNNNNNNNNNNNNNNNNNNNNNNNNNNNNNNNNNNNNNNNNNNNNNNNNNNNNNNNNNNNNNNNNNNNNNNNNNNNNNNNNNNNNNNNNNNNNNNNNNNNNNNNNNNNNNNNNNNNNNNNCCCGACGACGUCGCCGCGCCCUUGACCCGCCGUUGACGUCGUCCUCACCGUCGCCGUCGUCGUCACCGCCCCCGAGCCGCUCCUCCCAGAGCCCUCGCUGUGCGCGUACCCCUCCCCCAAGAGCCCACCGUCCUCGUCGCCGUCAUCGUCACCGGCCUCGUCGUCGUCCUCGUCACCGGCCUCGUCGUUGUCCGGCCUUGAGCCCCCAGUGAGCCCCUUCCAAUCCCGAUCCGUGCACUGCCGCAGCUGCCGCCGCCCCCCCGCGCCGCGCCGCCGCCCCUGUUUUUUAUAUGUAUGUAUGUAUGUAUCUAUGUAUAUGGAUGUAUGUAUGUACGGAUGGAUGGAUAUGCAUGUAUAUGGAUGGAUGUAUGUGUAUGUGUUCAUAGUUUUUUUUUGUUCAUAGUUUUUUGUUGAUAGCAUUUUUAGGCUGUAUAGUUUUAUUUUUGUUCAAUUUUUAUGGUUAGAAGAGGAGAGGAAAAAAUUGUGUUGCUAAAGUUACAUUUAAGGUUAGUUGAUUUAGUUCAUUUUAGGUUAUUAGUUCUACUGUUAGUGCAUUUAAGGUUAGUUUAUUUUUAGUUGAACUAGUUGAUUUAAUAAAACUAAUUUAUUUUACUAUACAUAUAAGUAGUUUAUUUUUAGUAAGUACUACUUUAUUUUAUUUAUAGUAAGUGCUUAGUAGUUGAACUAGUUGAUUUAAUAAAACUACUUUAUUUUACUAUAGAAGUAGUUUAGUUUUAGCAAGAAAAUUAAUAGAAUUAGUUUAUUUUUUAGUUCAAGCAAUUAUUCCCGCAUCGACAUCGACGAUGCCUAUCCCGCAUCCUCGUCGUCGACUCGGCGGAGGAGGCCGACUUGAUCAGAGGGGCCAUGUCCGGGACUGGGCUCCGCCGGGCUGGUAUUGGGAGGUGCUACCUUCCGGGGGGCGUAGGUUGGUGAGGAGCCAGCCCGUCGUUGACCCGAUCCUUGUUUGGUGGCGGUCGCGUGGGCCAGUGACUGUAUCGAGGCUUCCGGACACCGCGGAGGUGGUACGUCACCAUGUCAGCGAGGAGGACGAGCACGCCCGUCGCUACAUGGUUGCGUUGGAGGGCAGGUUCGACAAUACCUGGCAGCUUCUUCAGGGAUCUCAUUGGAGCUAUGAUCAUGUGAUGGUUCCUUCUCUUUGGGCAUCCACCGCCCGCGCCGAUACCCGUCGGGCGCUACGGUUCUAGCUGUACUAGCGAUGCUAUAUGUAUGAUAGUAUUCGAGGUGUAUUAGUGAUAAUAUUCGACGAUGUACGGACGCAAGAGAUGAUGUAGUUUUGCUUAUAAUUGAAUGCAUCCUAAUUUGAAUACUACUUUAUUUUGCGAUCUGAUUUUGCUUAUUGAAUGCUCAAAUUGGAAAACUACUCCUACUUUGAAUGCUAAAAUUAGAGAGCACUAUGCAAGGCGUAUGCAUAUGAUUAGUUGAUAGCUUAUAGUGUUUUUGUUUUCGCAAAAAUAUAGGAGCCCCCAACCAUCAUCCCCGCCGUCGUCCCCGUCACUGACCCCCUCCGACGUCGAGGUGAGACCAGCCAAAUCUCCAUGUCAAUAUGAGUCCUAUAAUAUGAGUCCUCGGGUCGACUUUAAGUCUGUCGAGUCUCCACCAUAUAUGAAAGGACGAAGAAUCAUGACUGUUGUCGUGGGGGUAGCUUCUCCUUCGUUCCCGUGAUGAAUAAUAAUGAUCUAACUUAGGUUUUUAGUACAUAUAUUUAAUUGUAGAUGUUUAAUAUUUGAAUUAUGAACAUAGGAAAUGUCGUACUCAGACUACGAAAGUCUCCCGGGGGAGUGCGACUGGUGCCACGACGACCGAGGUUAGUGCGACCGGCCUCACCUGGACGAAGAUCAGCGCUUCAGCAUUAAGCUGGAGGAGACCUUCGAUGUUGAAACGGUACGCAACGACGACAAGUGUUAUUUUUUCGUAAUUAAGCACGACUUCAAGUAUUUCAACGUGUACUUCUUAUCUUUUACAAUUCGACUAGCUUAUCCCAUGCCAUGCAAGACGCUAUGUCUUGGAGAGGAUGGGUUUUGAAGACCAGGAAAGUUUCGAAACAAAGAAAAUUCAUCUAAGGACCCAUCAUGGUGUGGAUUUUGAAGUAAAGCGGUACAAUUCUGAGAGCGUAACCCAUUUUGGUUGCAAAAAAUGAGAAGCACUUUGCAAGAUGUAUGGUUUUGAUGAGGGUAUGCUUGUCACCAUUGAUCUUGGUGACCCUGAAAUCGAGCAAGACAAUAUGGACAUUUGGGUCCUUGUUGAUACGCCUCCAAUUCUACCGCUAUGUGAGUUUCUCAAACAUAGUUAUUAGCUAAUUUAUAUUGUUUAUUUCAAAAUAGUUGACAACUUAUUUCCAUUGACAGCUUAUUUUGAUUGUUCAAACAAUGUGCGGAACAUGGUAGACAAAACCCACUACACCGAUGGCUCCGAAUUAACUUAUCAGGAGAAAAAUCAUCUGGUCUGAUUUUGUACUGAUAUUGAGAAUUACAAUAUCUAGAAUCAAACUCCUCAACAUUAUUGUCAAUACGUGCCACUAGUGCACGUGUUGAACUACAGUAACUACCAUGGAGAUACCCUGGUAAGAUUUUUUACUAUUACGACAUCCGUGCAUCUUUUGCAUACUUCUAAAACUAGUACAUCAUUGCUAACUAUGAAGUUAUUACUAUGUUUUUCAACAGAGAAUCCCAGAGGAUUGUGUGCCUCAUUUGAUGUAGCAGAAUGGCAGCCUUCGUGUUUUGAACAUAUAUCCAAGUCAUCCAACGAAUCUCAACUGUCCAUACCGGAUUUAUCAAUGAAGUGGAGACAUGCUAAUCAAAAAAUGGAAAAAAUGUAUGGACAGUCGUAAGGAGGUUCUUGGAAGCAAAAGGAAGCGAAGCGUAAGAAUUGGAGACAGGAUGAUCUCCAUUCUCCAUAAUGGAGAGUCAGGGUCUAUAUUGUUUUAUGCUAUUUUACCUUAAAGAGGGUAUUUAGGUCCUACCUAAUACUGAUGAUCAUGUGCUAAGAACAAUUAAGUAGGGCUGGUUCGAUGACUAUGAGGAUGAUGAUCGUAUGACUUGUUAUUAAUAACGAGUAGAAGUUGUAUGAUGAUGAUUAGUAGGACUUGUUAUUAUAUAAGAUGAUGCAUGAUGCGAGCAUGAAGAGUUAUUAUAUAUCAGCGGGUGAAAUGAACAUGGAUUGGAUUGAAGUGAAGGCAACAUGCAUGUGGUGCAUGUCGAAAGUACUACAAUCCAAACUUGAUCAAAGUUAGGAUUAGUAUUACUUUCGACAUGCACCACAUGUUGCCUUCACUUCAAUCUAAGCCAUGUUUAGGCAUAGCAGUAGCGUUGGUAAACCAAGCACGGAGAUAUAAGAGAGGACACUUCUCUCUAUUAUAUUAGCUAGCUAAUAACAACCUAAAUUAACCCCCAAAACCCCUAAAUCAGCCCCUUUAAAAAAACAAAAAGCUCAACUCCAGCCAGCUGCUGACGCGUGGAUGCCUUUUGGUCCCGGUUGGUGUCACCAACCGGGACCAAAGGCCCCCCUGCCUGGGCUGGCCGUAGUGGCCACGUGGAGGCCCAUCUGUCUCGGUUCGUGUAAGAGCCGAGACUAAAGGCCAAGGGCAUUAGUAACGACCUUUUAGUCCCGGUUCCUAAACCGGGACAGAAGGCUCUUACGAACCGGGACAAAUGGCCCUUUUUCUACUAGUGCCGCUCUAAACGCGGCCGCUCGAACUGUUGAGCUUGACUCGAGUCAGAAUCGAGAGCGUUGCCGAUUGCGGAAGGCUAUGUUGCCGUUCUCGACGCGGCCGCUUGAGCUAUUGAGCGGACUCGAAACAGAGUAAGGGCGUUGCCAAUAGCGGAAGGGCCCCUUUGCGUGCAUGUUUUCCAUACAUAGGGCAGGACCUUCGAGUACAAUAACCUUCUAUAUAAAAAGAUAUUGCUUAAAGUUUCACACGACUUAGCUUUUCUGUCAUUGCACGGGCGUCCACCGCAUCUGCAGAUGGUGCCGUCAAGCUUGGUCGUCUUCUAUCUUGGAACGACGGCCACGAUGAAGCCGCUGCUCCGAUCAGACCAAAUUUCCACAACUGCGCCCCCUACCUAGCGCGCCAAAGAUGUCGGGGGAAAUCGACACCUAUGGAAUCACAGGGAUCCCUUCUACGGUUGGCGGGCGCGGGGUUGUGCAAAGAGCAGGUCUGACAGGAAGCACGCAGAUCGUUUACCCAGGUUCGGGCCGCGGAGAUGCGUAAUACCCUAGUCCUGCUAUGGUGGAUGUAUUCGAGUGUUCUUGUGUUCUUGAACUAGCUACGGGGUGUAACUUGCCCAGAAGAUCCGAAUCCCUGUCCUGGAUGCCUCGGGCCUCCUUUUAUAGACAAAAGGGGUUGCCACACUGGCACACAGGAGGUGGAAAGGUGUACAGUGGAUGAGUCUAUCCUCUGGCACCGUUGGACGAACACAUUUAAUGCGCUGCCAACGUGACCCUCUCGCUUUAUCGGGGACGGUCAAGGAAGCUCGUCCCAGCUGUCGCCGCCUCGCCUGGCUUCGACACGCGUCCGAGCUGACGAGGCGUCGUGGCGCCACAUUGGCUGGCUGCUGGGCUGGCGCGGUGGUGGAGCCUUCACGAAGGUCUGCAUGCCACCACGCAGGUGCUUGCUGUGUCGGUGUAGAGGCCGCUCGUCGCCACGCAGGUGCCUGCCCAGCUGGUUGGGCUAGCAGCUGCACGGGGACGGCGGUGGAGUCUUGGCAGGCGCGGGCCUGGCUGUGGCCCCGCUGAUGCCCUUGGCAAGGGUCUUGCCGGGGGCCCGGCAAGGGUCUUGCCGUGGUGCCGCGGUCGUCCCCGGCAAGGCGCUUGCCGGGGGUCUCGUGGAUUUCCUCGGCAAGGACCUCGCCGAGGAUCAUCGUCUUCUGGUCCUCAUCUGAUCUUGUGUAUUUAUGAUCUUCACAAAGAUCAGCAUGCCACCACGGAGGUGCCUCCCGAGCCUUGGUCCCAAUGUGGUUGAUGGCGUUGGAACCCUUGGGCUCAAUGGAGGCGCGCUUCGUUGGCGUCAGGCAAGUUGCCCCGGCAAGGCUCUCGCCGGGGCUGAGGAGGCCGUCCCGGCAAGGGUCUUGCCGGGGGAGUCCACCUCGCCCUCUUGCCCUUUGUGUCUCUGGUCUUGGCAUUGCCAUGGCUGUCUUGUGCUCCGGCUUCCCUCCUCUGCCCUGCUAAGUGUGGCCGUGGGCGCGGCUCUGACUACCAGUGCACAAGUAAAGGGGUCAAAAGGAGAGCCCCUAGUUUUAUACACCGACAUGUAUCCUCCCAGAAUCUCGUAGAAGUACCGUUACUGAUCACAAGCUUUGUCUGAUUGAAAAAAAUGGAUUUAACUCUCAUCAGUCCUUUCCAAAAGGGCUAGUCCAUUGGCCUCACUGUGACCUGGGAUAAAGUUCUGGAAUGAAGGUACUUAUUACGCAGUAUUUGUGCCCAUGUAGCCCCCGUCUCGCUAGAUAGCUUAUACAGCCAUUUGCUGAGAAGACAUAUGUUCUUCACCUUAAGAUUUUUGAUACCUAGACCCCCUUGGUCUUUGGGUCGACAAAUAAUAUCCCAUUUAGCGAGUAUACUUUCUCUUCAGAUCAUCACUUUGCCAGAAGAAACGGGAUCGAUAGAAAUCUAGUCUUUUCCGAACUCCAACUGGUACCUCGAAAAAAGACAAGAGAAACAUGGGCAUGCUCGUGAGAACCGAAUUAAUAAGAAUUAAACGGCCUCCAUAUGACAUGAGUUUGCCAUUCCAGCAACUGAGUUUCUUCUCAAAUCGAUCCUCAGUGCACUUCCAUUCUCUCUUUGUUAGCUUACGAUGGUGAAUUGGUAUGCCCAAUUAAGUGAAAGGCAAAGCCCCCAAUUCGCAUCCGAACAAUUGCUUAUAUGCCUCUUGUUCCUCAUUGGCUCUUCCAAAAUUGUAUAAUUCGCUCUUGUGGAAAUUAAUUUUUAGUCCGGUCAAUUGUUCGAAUAAGCAUAACACCAGCUUCAUAUUUCUCGUUUUUGCCAAGUCAUGGUCCAUGAAGAUGAUAGUAUCAUCGGCGUACUGUAGGACAGACACACCUCCAUCCACUAGAUGAGGUACCACAGGAGAGCACCUGCGAUAAUUAUAUCAUGCCACACGAGUACAAAGGAUGAAGCAUCUUAGACGUUUGGAAUAGAUUUGGGCAUCACAUACGAUUUAUUUUUCCAAAAAGGUAUGCAUGAUUGGGCUCUAUCUGUAGGAGAUAUGCCCUAGAGGCAGUAAUAACAGUUAUUUUGUAUCUCCAAGUUUGUAAUGAAUGUUUAUGAUCCAUGCUAUAACUGCAAUGAUUCUCGAGUCUACAAUAUCCACGAGGCUCGGAGGGAACUCAUAUGCACGUGUGGUAUUAUAAACGGUAAAAUAUAUUCCUAGUCUUGCCUCUAAGACUAGCUCAAGUAUUGCAUGAUGAUCCUGUUUCCUGAUCAUGGGCAUGACUAUGCCGGCAAUUUUGAGGGCACAAGUUUGGUAGAACGCUUGUGUUGAAUCAACCCGGAUUGAUGUUGUGCUAUGAGAUGCCUUCGUCACAAGUUUAUGGUUAAUAUCAUUGAGAUAGUUAAUGUUUGCAUAAUUCCUUAGACCAUGAGAGUAUCAAGUUCCUUCGUGCUUGCUUCGUGAACUUUGGGGUUUGUUAAACGUCAUCCGUAACUUGGUGGCUAUUAUGGCAGCUUUCGGGUUCACGGAAAAGUAUAGGAAGUAACAAGAUAGCUCAAGAUUGGGAUUUGCUCCUCCGACGAUGGAGAGAUAUACUCGGGCCCUCUCAGUGUAACGGUAUCCAUCAUCGUCUGGCCAGACACAUUGUGAUUUGAUCACUGGGAUGCCGGAACACGGAAACGAGAAAAGAGAACAAAACCGGUAACGAGGUAACUUGCAUGGUGGACAAAUUGUUCGUCCAUGGGCAUGCAAUAAAUCUCACCUCGGGUGUUUGUGACAUAUCGCGAAGCAACAGGAAUAGCUCACUACAACUAGAGGUUCACUCGAAUAUUCAUUCGUGUGGGUAUAGGGGUCAAUAUGGGUGUCCACGGCUCCGAUGUUGAUCAUUGAUCGGAAGGGGUUCCAGGUCAUGUCUAUACUUCACCGAACCUAUAGGGUCACACGCUUAGGGGUCAUCUAUCUGUUGAAUACUAGACAGGGAGUCUGAGAGAAAAUCACCGAAAAAGUUUCGGACACCGAAAAGUUUCGGACAGCGGAAUCGUACCGCAGAGAGAGGUCAUCGGAUAAGUUUCGAUGAUACCGAAAAGUUGUUUCGGGAUACACCAUUAAGUCAAAUUGGUUUCGGCACAUGCCUGAUAAUUCUUGGAGGAUGCCAGAAUCAUUCUGGAAGCUUUUUGGAAUUUUCUGACAUAAAAACCGGAAAUGUUCCGGAGCUGCCGGAGCCACUUCAGAUGCGUUUCGCAGAUGAAAAUCACUAAAACCGGAAUUGUUUCGGAACGCGUUGAAAAACAUUUUAGUGGGUACUGGAAAUGUUCUUAGCCCACAUAAAUAUUUUCAGUUCGAUCAGACGCUGAAAAAUGUCGUCGUGAAUAGUGAAAAUCAGCUUUAUGGUUACUUUAUGGAAAGCCACCUUUUGGGGCUUUGCUCCAAAAGAUCUUGGGGAUGACAUGGAUGGAUAGGACCCAUUUUUUGGGCCCCUCAUGGGGGUGUGGCCGGCCACAUGGGGUAUCCCCCCUUGGGGACCCUUUUGUUCAUUGGUUUCACUUCUAGGUCCUUGUGGAAGGACUUCAUUCAUGUGCAUUUUGGGUUUUUGUGUGAAACUACCCUACCCCUUGGGAUUUCCUAUAAAUAGAGGUGGAGGGGCAGCCCUCCACACUCAUCCCUUGCUCUCAUACACAUGCCAUGCAUUAUCUGGCUUCUUCUCUCCCUCCCACGAAAAGAGUUUCGUAGAGCCGUAAGGCUGUCUGGGUUCCGGCAGGAACUAGUUCUGGACGGCGAAGCCCUGCCGGAUAGCUGACACCGUAUGUGUGCAACCCCGUAGAGAGAUUGUAGUUUCGAUCUUUUGCCCGAGGGGCUGUUCGAGUGUCCUCCCGAAGGGCUGUCCGAGUCUCCGUCCGAGUUUCGAGGGUCCUCCCGAAGGGCUGUCCGCGACAUUGUCCGGGGGACUGUCCGACCGCCUCCCGAAGGGCUGUCCGGAGAGGGAGUACAUCCUCGCGGUUGGGAGGUUGUAAAUCCUAGCUGCGGGGAUCUGCACCGACGAUCUACACCGACUCUUCUUCCGCUGCGCUUCGAGUCGGUACGGAUCAGAUCAAACCUUGUAUGCAGUCUCCAUAGUGGUCCUGGGCGUGCUCGCUAUACCGAAAAUUUUCGUUUUCUGUCGCGUUCCCCUACAGUGGCAUCAAGAGCCGUGCUAUGCGUAGAUGCAGGUUACGAUCUAGAAUACAUGGAGAUGUAUGGGUAUUGCAUAAUAUAAUUUUGGAGUAGAUGAGAUGUAUUGCUGAAAAUUAUUUAUGCGGGUGACAGAUGAAAUCUGUUACCCGACGUUCUUGUUGCUUCCCUAGAAUUUGCGUUUGCUCAAUCUCGAGACAGGAUGGUGGAAUUUGACAAAGUUCUGGCAAUCCGUGAUCCUGAUUGAUCAUGGAAGUGCUAUCAGUUCUUUGGGUUCUGCCAUAGUCAAAAGAAAGAUGAAAUUCGCAGAUGAAAGGGCAUUGCAGAUAUGAUCUGCACGGGGGUCAUGCGUAUGACGAAGUUUAGUAUGGGGCUCGAGAUUUAAUUAUCUCGUGUUUCAUACACCCCGAGAUGUUAAUCUAGCAACUUGAAUAAUCAUACUUGAUGAUAAAACGUUGGUAGCUGCGGUUUAAGUCAAAACCUUAGAAGCCACGUAAAAUAAAAUUUUGCAUAAACCGAUUAGAGGCGUCUAACUUGGUUUUGCAGGAUGUGCAUGUGAUGUGGUAUAGCAAUGCUCAUAUUCAAUUUGAUUAUGUAUGAGAUGACUAUAUGAUGUAACUAACAUGACCUGCGUGUCAUGAUUCUGCAUGAUGGCUGGAGCCAUAUGAUUGCACUUUAAUGACCUGCGUGUCAACCUUAAGUAAUGCACUUAUUUUAUUAGCUAUAGAGAUAGCAAUAUUAUCUGGUGCAUCGACAAGGUGGUGGCAAUCUUCGCGAAGGUGAACACCGACGCAAAUGCCGAAGACGAAGAAUUGAAAGACUUCUCCGUCAGAAAGGGCUAUACCAUAUCAUGCUAAUUAUGAAUUGCCUGAGAUGUUUAUCCCCUAUGAUGCACCCUUCUUGAUUGCGCGGUAGUCGCUUUUAUUAGGGUGAUCUCUCACUUAAAAAUAUCAAGUAGAUAGUGUUCUCCCAAGUGUAGCACCGUCACGGCACCUAUCGUUUCGGGGUGCGCCGUGUCACACGGGUACGAACGAUUAGAGAAGUGUGAGGCGGGUGAGUUGAGACCUCGCAGCGAGAUCACUUGGUUGUCUUGACGUUCAGGCAUGACCGUCAUGAGCUCGGAACACACGCAUCGAAAGAUGAACAAGAGUCACAUAGUGAUGUGAUUGGCAAGUUGGCCUACCGGUUAAGAUUUUCGUCAUCAGUGGUGUUACACCAAUGGCGAACAAUCAAGACACGGAUCUUGAAUCACUCAUAAUCAAUUUUGAGAGAUAUUGAUUUGAGUGGGAGUGCAUUUUAGAAUAAAAUGUUUAUUCACUAGUGCAAAUUUCAUUAUAAACAAAGUCUAAGUGAAACUUGUGUCUUCGUUGUAGAUCAAAUGGCUCGCAACACCGCGUUCAACUUAGGCCCGAUGUUAGAGAAAGAGAAGUUAGCUACGACUGGAAACAACUAUGCGGACUGGGCCCGUAACCUGAGGAUUGUCCUCAGGAGCGCUAAGAAAUUGUACGUGCUUGAAACUGCUCUUCCAGCUAAACCGGCGGCAGAUGCACCGGUAGAUGAACAAAAUGUCUGGGCCACUAAGGAUGAUGAUCACAACUUAGUGCAGUGCCUCAUGCUAGCUUGCAUGAGUCCAGGGCUUCAAAAACGUUUUGAAUUCCAUAAAGCCCGUGAUAUGAUCCGGGAAUUGGAUGCUCUGUACAAGGAAACCGCAAAGUCUGAACGAUAUGAUAUCAUGAAGGCUUGGAUGGAUUGCAAGAUGGCUGAGGGUAGUUCAGUUGGCGAACACGUGGUCAAAAUGAUUGGCUAUUCUGAAAGGCUUAAAGCCCUAGAAUUUCCACUUCCACCUGGCCAUAUGAUGGACAUGUUGCUUUCUUCACUCCCCCCGUCUUACGACGGUUUUGUCAUGAACUACAACAUGACAGGGAUGGAGAAGACGCCGAAAGAAGUGCUCGCCAUGCUGAAAACUACAGAAGGAGGACUGCGGAAAAAUCGCAAGUAAGUGUUGCUUGUGAAUAAAACCGCCUGUUUCAAAAAGAAGAAAGGCAAGCCAAAGAAGGGCAAGGGCACCGGUAAGACCGGCUCCCAAAGCAACUCUAAGGGCGGAGCCAAGAAUGAAACUGAGUGCUUCUACUGCAAGGGCACAGGACACUGGAAGAGAAACUGCAAGAAGUAUCUGGAAGAUAAGAAGACCGGGAAAACCGGAAAAGGUAUAAUUGUUAUACAAGUUAAUGUCAUUGACGUUUUGCUUGCUAGCGAAAACUCUAAGUCUUGGGUAUUUGAUACCGGAUCGGUUGCUCACAUUUGCAACUCGAUACAGGGACUUCAGAAGGUGCGCAAGCUAGCAAAGAAUGAAGUCGUGAUGCGCGUCGGGAACGGCGCUGGGAUCGCCGCUCAAGCCGUCGGCAUUAUGCCUCUACGUCUCCCUUCAGGAUUUAUCUUAGAACUAAGUAACUGUUAUUUUGUUCCACUGUUGUGUAGAAACAUUAUCUCCGGAUCAUGUUUGGUACACGAUGGGUAUUCGUACAAGUCUGAGAACAAUGGUUGUUCACUUUAUUGUAAGGAUAUGUUUUAUGGAUUUGCACCCAUUGUUGGGGGCCUUUUCAUACUAAAUCUUGAAUGUGGAAGUGAUGUCUUUAACAUGAAUGCUAAACGCCUUAAGAAGGCUGAUACCACCACCACUUUCAUGUGGCACUGUCGCCUUGGCCACAUCGGUAAGAAACGCAUGCAAAGACUCCAUAAAGAUGGAGUUUUACCGUCCCUUGAUUUUGAAUCAUUUGACACAUGUGAAGCUUGCCUGAUGGGGAAAAUGACCAAGACGCCGUUCACGGGUCAUCCUGAACGGGCGGGUGAAUUAUUGGAAAUAAUACAUAGUGAUGUAUGUGGUCCAAUGAACACAGGCGCACGGGGUGGAUAUUUUUACUUCGUGACUUUUACUGAUGAUUUGAGUAGGUAUGGCUAUAUCUACUUAAUGAAGCAUAAAUCGGAAACCUUUGAAAAGUUCAAAGAAUUUCAGAAUGAGGUAGAAAAUCAUCGUAACAAAAAGAUUAAGUUUCUGCGGUCUGAUCGCGGAGGCGAAUAUCUUAGUCAUGAGUUUGGCCAACAUCUGAGUGAUCGUGGAAUCGUUUCACAGCUUACGCCUCCCGGAACUCCACAGAGAAAUGGAGUAUCGGAACGACGUAACCGAACCUUGUUGGACAUGGUAAGGUCAAUGAUGUCUCUUACAAAUCUUCCAAUAUCUUUUUGGGGUCACGCACUACUUACUGCUGCUCACACACUAAACAAAGCACCGUCUAAAUCUGUUGAGACGACGCCACAUGAGAUGUGGCACGGGAAGAAACCCGACCUGUCGUUUUUCAAAAUUUGGGGUUGUGAAGCUUAUGUAAAACGUUUACAGCCAAGCAAGCUUGAUCCCAGAUCAGACAAAUGUUACUUUGUAGGUUAUCCCAAGGAGACAGUUGGGUAUUCUUUCUACCACGCCUCCGAGAAUAAAGUGUUUGUUGCAAAACAUGGAGUCUUUCUUGAGAAAGAGUUUCUCACUAAAGAAGUGAGUGGGAGGACAAUACAACUCAAUGAGAUUAGUGAAUCUUCGGGAACCGUUGAUAUGGCUAAGGAACCGGAAGAAAUUCCGCUAAUUAUCCCUACAACCGAGCCGGAAGUUGUCGCAUGUGAUGCGGAGACUUCAGACAAUGUUGUAACUGAACCGCGCAGAUCAGGUAGGGCUAUCCAGCCACCUGAGUGGUUUCAUAACGAAAUCUUCAUUCUUGAAGACGAUGAACCUGCGCACUACAAGGAAGCGAUGGCGGGGCCCAGCUCAAAAGAAUGGCACAAAGCCAUGAGAUCCGAAAUGGAAUCCAUGUACGAAAACCAAGUUUGGAACUUGGAAGAACUUCCAGAAGGCAUAAAGCCCAUUGGUUGUAAAAUGGAUUUUCAAAAGAAAGACGGACGCGGAUGGUAACAUUACUAUCCACAAAGCUAGACUUGUCGCGAAAGGGUUCACACAAGUUCCAGGAGUGGACUACGACGAGACUUUCUCGCCAGUAGCUAUGCUUAGGUCUGUUCGGAUAUUGCUAGCAAUUGCUGCUUAUUUCGACUAUGAAAUAUGGCAGAUGGAUGUCAAAACGGCUUUCCUAAAUGGAAACCUCAAAGAGGAUGUAUACAUGAUACAGCCAGAAGGUUUUGUCAUUCAUGAGGAUGCUGGAAAGGUAUGCAAACUUCAGAAAGCCAUUUAUGGUCUGAAGCAAGCAUCAAGGAGCUGGAACAUUCGUUUUGAUGAAGUGGUCAAAGAGUUUGGCUUCAUCAUGAAUGAUGAAGAAUCUUGUGUUUACAAGAAGUUUAGUGGGAGCGCAAAAGCAUUUCUAAUCUUGUAUGUGGAUGACAUAUUGUUGAUUGGAAAUGACGUGAAUUUUCUUAGCGAAAUAAAAGACUCAUUGAAGAAAAGUUUUUCAAUGAAAGACUUAGGCGAAGCGGCAUAUGUAUUAGGCAUCAGGAUCUAUAGAGAUAGAUCAAAACGCCUGAUAGCGCUUAGCCAAAGCACGUACAUUGACAAGGUGUUGAAAAGGUUCAACAUGGAGAACUCCAAGAAAGGCCUACUCCCCAUGUCACCUGGCACAGUGCUUUGCAAGAAUCAGAGUCCUCGGACUCUGGAUGAGCGAGUACAAAUGAAUGAUGUUCCAUAUGCCUCGGCAGUUGGUUCUAUUAUGUAUGCCAUGCUAUGUACAAGACCAGAUGUUUCCUAUGCGCUAAGUGUUAGCAGCCGGUACCAAAGUGAUCCAGGGUUGGAACACUGGGCCGCAGUCAAGGGUAUUCUUAAGUACCUCAGAAGGACCAAGGAUUUACUCCUUGUGUACGGAGGUGAUGAAGAGCUCAUUGUAAGUGGUUACAAUGAUGCAGGCUUCAUGACUGACCCAGAUGACUUCAAAUCUCAAUCAGGCUACGUUUUCAUAUUGAACGGCGGCGCAGUUGAUUGGAAAAGUUCCAAACAAAAGACUGUGGCGGAUUCUACGACGGAGGCGGAAUAUGUUGCUGCUUCAGAAGCCUCCAAGGAGGCGGUAUGGAUCAAACAAUUUCUUGAAGACCUUGGUGUGGUUCGUAGUGCCCAGGACCCGGUGGAGAUCUAUUGUGAUAAUAGUGGCGCCGUGGCUCAGGCAAGGGAGCCAAGUUCGAACCAUAAGACAAGACAUAUUCAACGCAAAUAUAAACUCAUUCGACAUCAUGUCGAAGAGGGUUUAGUGAAAGUACGCAAAGUUCACACGGAUCUGAACGUGUCAGACCCGAUGACAAAGCCUCUACCACGAGCAAAACAUGAGCAACACCGGAUAGCCAUUGGUGUUAGGGAAGCCAUGUAACUGGAUUAUGACUCUAGUGCAAGUGGGAGUCUGUAGGAGAUAUGCCCUAGAGGCAGUAAUAACAGUUAUUUUGUAUCUCCAAGUUUGUAAUGAACGUUUAUGAUCCAUGCUAUAACUGCAAUGAUUCUCGAGUCUACAAUAUCCACGAGGCUCGGAGGGAACUCAUAUGCACGUGUGGUAUUAUAAACGGUAAAAUAUAUUCCUAGUCUUGCCUCUAAGACUAGCUCAAGUAUUGCAUGAUGAUCCUGUUUCCUGAUUAUGGGCAUGACUAUGCCGGCAAUUUUGAGGGCACAAGUUUGGUAGAACGCUUGUGUUGAAUCAACCCGGAUUGAUGUUGUGCUAUGAGAUACCUUCGUCACAAGUUUAUGGUUAAUAUCAUUGAGAUAGUUAAUGUUUGCAUAAUUCCUUAGACCAUGAGAGUAUCAAGUUCCUUCGUGCUUGCUUCGUGAACUUUGGGGUUUGUUAAACGUCAUCCGUAACUGGGUGGCUAUUACGGCAGCUUUCGGGUUCACGGAAAAGUAUAGGAAGUAACAAGAUAGCUCAAGAUUGGGAUUUGCUCCUCCGACGAUGGAGAGAUAUACUCGGGCCCUCUCGGUGUAACGGUAUCCAUCAUCGUCUGGCCAGACACAUUGUGAUUUGAUCACUAGGAUGCCGGAACACGGAAACGAGAAAAGAGAACAAAACCGGUAACGAGGUAACUUGCAUGGUGGACAAAUUGUUCGUCCAUGGGCAUGCAAUAAAUCUCACCUCGGGUGUUUGUGACAUAUCGCGAAGCAACAGGAAUAGCUCACUGCAACUGGAGGUUCACUCGAAUAUUCAUUCGUGUGGGUAUAGGGGUCAAUAUGGGUGUCCACGGCUCCGAUGUUGAUAAUUGAUCGGAAGGGGUUCCAGGUCAUGUCUAUACUUCACCGAACCUAUAGGGUCACACGCUUAGGGGUCAUCUAUCUGUUGAAUACUAGACAGGGAGUCUGAGAGAAAAUCACCGAAAAAGUUUCGGACACCGAAAAGUUUCGGACAGCGGAAUCGUACCGCAGAGAGAGGUCAUCGGAUAAGUUUCGAUGAUACCGAAAAGUUGUUUCGGGAUACACCAUUAAGUCAAAUUGGUUUCGGCACAUGCCUGAUAAUUCUUGGAGGAUGCCAGAAUCAUUCUGGAAGCUUUUUGGAAUUUUCUGACAUAAAAACCGGAAAUGUUCCGGAGCUGCCGGAGCCACUUCAGAUGCGUUUCGCAGAUGAAAAUCACUAAAACCGGAAUUGUUUCGGAACGCGUUGAAAAACAUUUUAGUGGGUACUGGAAAUGUUCUUAGCCCACAUAAAUAUUUUCAGUUCGAUCAGACGCUGAAAAAUGUCGUCGUGAAUAGUGAAAAUCAGCUUUAUGGUUACUUUAUGGAAAGCCACCUUUUGGGGCUUUGCUCCAAAAGAUCUUGGGGAUGACAUGGAUGGAUAGGACCCAUUUUUUGGGCCCCUCAUGGGGGUGUGGCCGGCCACAUGGGGUAUCCCCCCUUGGGGACCCUUUUGUUCAUUGGUUUCACUUCUAGGUCCUUGUGGAAGGACUUCAUUCAUGUGCAUUUUGGGUUUUUGUGUGAAACUACCCUACCCCUUGGGAUUUCCUAUAAAUAGAGGUGGAGGGGCAGCCCUCCACACUCAUCCCUUGCUCUCAUACACAUGCCAUGCAUUAUCUGGCUUCUUCUCUCCCUCCCACGAAAAGAGUUUUGUAGAGCCGUAAGGCUGUCUGGGUUCCGGCAGGAACUAGUUCUGGACGGCGAAGCCCUGCCGGAUAGCUGAAACCGUAUGUGUGCAACCCCGUAGAGAGAUUGUAGUUUCGACCUUUUGCCCGAGGGGCUGUUCGAGUGUCCUCCCGAAGGGCUGUCCGAGUCUCCGUCCGAGUUUCGAGGGUCCUCCCGAAGGGCUGUCCGCGACAUUGUCCGGGGGACUGUCCGACCGCCUCCCGAAGGGCUGUCCGGAGAGGGAGUACAUCCUCGCGGUUGGGAGGUUGUAAAUCCUAGCUGCGGGGAUCUGCACCGACGAUCUACACCGAUUCUUCUUCCGCUGCGCUUCGAGUCGGUACGGAUCAGAUCAAACCUUGUAUGCAGUCUCCAUAGUGGUCCUGGGCGUGCUCGCUAUACCGAAAAUUUUCGUUUUCUGUCGCGUUCCCCUACACUAUCGCAGCCGGUUAACUUGCGUUGUGUGUGAUGGACACCCUUUUCGCACACCUUCACACAGCGAUGCAUCAAAGGUACGUGAGCAAAAGGGGUUUUUAACCGUUUGUGUUGGACUUGCGUGCACUAGUGUGACAUGCGUUACUUAACCUAGCUUUUGUUUAGUUUAGUUAAAUUUCAAGUAGUUUUUUAUGUAACUUGUUAAAUUUUAUCAUAUAUGCAUAUAUGUAAUAUAUCGUACUAGGUUUAUUUUCAUUCGUAAUUCAUUUGAAAUGUGUUCCGAACCGGGGGGUGGUAGUUAAAUGCAGAAAAAACACCACAAUAGCCAUCUCAUUAGCAAAAACAACCACUUUACAAUUUGUGGCAAAAAGGACGACACGCAACAACGGACAGUGGCAAAAGAGCCGGUCGGGACCGGCUCUUUCAAAAUGUGGGGUCCCACUCACCCACUCACUCUCUCACUCACCAGCUCUCGCUCACACUCGACGCCGGUGCCGCUCCUGCUUGACGCUGCCACACAAUGCAUUCAUGGAAUGACGAAGAGGAGAGCAGCAAGGAUGCCCUCAAGUACAGCAGCAUGGAUAUGGAUUUGUGGGUAAGUUUCAGCGCUCAAUAACUAGACGUUUGGAUUAGGGUUAGUGUUUGGAUUUGGGGAUUUAGGGUUUGUGCUCGUUUCCAGCCUUAUUGAAAGGAUUUGUUAGUUAAUUUAGAUAUUGUCAAUGCAGGAGAACCCUGAGACCAUUGUGAAUUCAUUUUACUAUGGGACAGUGGCAUUUUCGGCCAUCAAAUCCAAGCUUUACCAGGCAAGAGCCAAAAAAUCUGUUGGUUUUGGUGACAGACACUAGGAGGAAACUUUAUGGCUGCACUGCACAAGUACUCCCUCCGUCCUAUAUUAAUUGAGCUAAAAUGGAUGUAUCUAGUACAUAUGGAUACUUUCAUUUCAACAACAAUUAAUAUGGGACGGGGCAGUAAUUUUAACUUGCCUUGCUGUUUCACCACUUUGCUCUGUAGCUGUUUGAUUUCGCUGUGUAGUUAUCUAUGUAGUGACGAGUCAUCUGAACUUAGUUGUAUCUUGUUCAUUUUGACUGGAUUAAACUUAGUCUUGCUGCUAUUAAAGGUUAGUCUGUAAUUUAGUAAAUCGAAAUUUAACUGAAUUUUGUUGUUCAAGUUCAGUAUGUAGUUUAGUGAAUCAGAAUUUAACGGAAUAUUGUUUUUCAAGUCCAGUCUGUAGCUUGCUGAAUAUGUAUUGUACUGAUUGUUGUUACUCAAGUUCAGUAUGUAGUUAAGUCAAUCUAAAUUGUAGUGUCAUCAUGUAGUAAAAUAGGUAGUAUAUGUGAAAGAAAUAGGCUUGAUUUAUUGUUGUGUAGUUUUGGAAACAAUAAAUUUUGAGAUACUUUUGUCUGUCUGAACAAUAUGUCACUAGUAGAAAACAGGGCUUUGGUUCGGCUAGAAAAGAGCAUUAAUCCCGGUUGCAUUACGAACCGGGACUAAUGUGAGCAUUAGUCCCGGUUCGAGUGGCUAGGGCACCGUACAAGCAUUAGUCCCGGUUCAAAUGGGACCUUUAGUCCCGGUUGGUGCCACGAACCGGGACUAAAGGGUGCGAUGCCCAUUAGUACCGGUUCGUGGCACCAACCGGUACUAAAGGUUAGACCUUUAGUCCCGGUUCGAGCCACCAACCGGUACUAAUGGGGUUUGAGGCAUUAGUACCUGUUCAUGGCACGAACCGGUACUAAAGGUCCCAUUGUCAAACUCUACCCCCACCCUGGAUCGCCUUUUCAGUUUUGUAAAAAGCAAAGAAAAUGAUAAAAACUUCAAAAAUUAAAAUCCUUCCAGAUGUAUAGUUAUGUUACUACAUGUACUAGUUAGGAAAAUUUAAAAACUUAAAUUUGGACAUGUUUUGCAAAAAGUGUAGGAAAAAUGUAAAACGGCUAUAACUUUUGCAUACGAUGUUAGAAAAAAAGUAUAAUAUAUCAAAAUGUUCAGCACGAAAAUCCGAAUCCGAUUUUGACCGCAUAUGACCCGUUUGCAAAUGUUUAGAAUCCUCAAAUUCUAAAAGGAAAAAAAGUUAUGCUCAAAUUUCUGUUUUUUUUAAUUUUUGUUAAAUCUGGUCAAACUACUUAUUCAAGAAGUAUUAAUGUUACUAAAUAAAUAUUCAAGAAUAUUAGUGUUACUAAAUAAUUAUUUCAGUUUUUUUGAAUUUUCGUCAAAUCUGGUCAAACUAUGGUCAAACUAAUUAUUCAAGAAAUAUUAGUGUUACUAAAUAAUUAUUUCGGUUGUUUUGAAUUUUGGUCAAAUCUGGUCAAACUGUGGUCAAACUGUGGUCGAACUAUGGUCAAACUACUUAUUCAAGAAAUAUUAGUGUUACUAAAUAAUUAUUGUUUUUUAGAACAAUAGUUUCAAACUCAAACAGUGAAAUGUGUGACUUCAUGCUCAAGCUAAGUUCCUGGGGGUUAAUAGGAUUGACAUCUUACUAUUGUCAGGAAAACAACAAGUGCAGACUUGGAAACGAGGGAGAAUAGAACCCGGAAGUUAAGCGUGCUCAGGCUGGAGUAGUGAGAGGAUGGGUGACCGUCCGGGAAGUUAGAUGAUUUGGAAUGAUGAGGGGUGAUUAGGGGUGACAAGUUUUUGAUUACUUGUCCGGUAAGUAUACGAAUUAGAAACCGAGUCGGUUUGGGAUUGUGGUCGCGACACAAUACCGCCUCUGGUCCUAAUAUAUAUACAGCUACCGGCUGCGGCCAGAGACACACCGAAAAACACCUAGGGUUUUGCCUCAUCUCACAACCUGCGCCGCCAUUGUAGUCUACUCCAUCCCAAACGCCGGCGUGCAUCGACGCGUGGGAGAGCAGGUCUCCGGAACCGUUCGUCUUUGCGAUCCUGCACCGGGAGAGGACGAAUUAGGUUUAUGGGAAGCGUUGUGCGCGACUGCUCAAAUUCGUCAUCACGGGUCGUCUUCCGUCCAAGUCGGGCGGUGCUACUCAUCGUCGUAUUCAUCGCCGUCAGCAGCAGAUCGUCACCAACAUCGUCAUCAACACUGUCACACCCUUAAUAGCUAACGAUCAGUACGUCCGACAUCCUCUGUUCAUGUCUGCUUCUACAGCUAUUGUUACGUGUUUGCUGCUGUUAUGCAUGUCUUGCUGUUCUUCUAGUUUGCUAGAUUAUUGCAUGCUAGUAUCUCUUCUAGUCAUGAAUUAUUUACUGGAAUCAAUCAUGAACUUGCCUAAUAUUCCAACAAUCCAAAAACCUAAUUAUAGGCAAUUUCCUGAGUUAACUAUGGCUGGAUUCGCUGAUGCACUGAGGCCGGAUAAGUUUACCGGUGUGCACUUUAAGAGGUGGCAGUUGAAGACCACGCUCUGGCUUACUGGUCUGAAAGUUUUCCACGCUAGUGUUGGUGCUCCAGAGGGAAUGACCGACGAAGAUCGGAGAAAAUUCCAGGAAGCCAAUACUAUGUUUGUGGGAUGCAUUCUGAGUGUUCUUGCUGACUGUCUGUGUGAUGUGUACAUGCACAUAAAUGACGGAAAGAUUCUGUGGGAUGCACUGAAUGCAAAAUUCGGUGCAACAGAUGCAGGCAGUGAACUGUACAUCAUGGAGAGUUUUCAUGACUACAAGAUGGUGAAUAACCGUUCUGUGGUUGAACAAGCUCAUGAGAUACAGUGCAUUGUGAAGGAACUUGAACUCCUUAAAUGUGUUCUACCUGACAAAUUCGUGGCUGGGCGCAUGAUUGCAAAGUUGCCUCCUUCAUGGAGGAAUUUCGCCACAACUCUGAAGCAUAAGAGACAGGAGAUAUCAGUUGAAAAUCUGAUUGCAUCUCUUGAUGUUGAAGAAAAAGCUCGGGCUAAAGAUACUACUGAAAAAGGAGGUGAGGUUCAGCCUACUGCUAACAUGGUGCAGAGGUACCCACAGAACAAGAACAAAGGGAAGAACAAACCUGUUUUCAACAAGCCUACCAAGACUACUACCUUCAAGAAGAAGAAGUUCAACAAGGCUGAGCUAGAGUGCUACGCCUGUGGGAAGCCUGGACACUUUUCCAAGGAAUGCCCUGAACAUGCAGACCGCAGAGGGAAAAUAAGCUCCAAGACUGUCAACAUGGUGACCGCUAGCAAUACUGAUGGGUAUGGUAAUUUACCUAUUGUGCUUUCAGUAUUUCAAUCAUCUUCGUGGUGGAUUGAUUCGGGUGCUAACGUUCAUGUGUGUGCUGACAUCUCCCUAUUUACUUCUUAUCAGGUCGCAAGGGAUUCUUCCGUCCUAAUGGGGAAUGGGUCACAUGCUUCGGGAAAGAUCGUGCAACUAAGGAACGUGCAGCAUGUCCCUACUAUGAACAAGAAUCUAGUUAGCGUCUCCCUUCUAUGUCGAGAUGGAUUUAAGGUAGUUUUAGAGUCCAAUAAAGUAAUCGUGUCAAGAUUUGGACAAUUUAUAGGAAAAGGCUACGAGUGUGGAGGCUUGUUCCGCUUUUCUCUUUCAGAUUUUUGCAAUAAGUCAAUAAACCAAAUUUGUGCUAGUGAUAAUGAUGAUGCAAGUAUUUGGCACUCUCGUUUAUGUCAUAUUAAUUUUGGUUUAAUGUCUCGGCUAUCCAGCAUGAGUUUAAUUCCGAACUUCAGAGUUGCCAAAGGUUCUAAGUGCCAUAGUUGUGUGCAAUCUAUGCAACCUCGAAAGCCUCAUAAGGCCGCCGAGGAGAGAAACUUGGCACCUCAAGAACUCAUACAUUCUGAUCUUUGUGAGAUGAAUGGUGUGUUGACAAAAGGUGGAAAGAGAUAUUUCAUGACUUUGAUUGAUGAUGCGACUAGAUUUUGCUAUGUUUAUUUGUUGCAAACUAAAGAUGAAGCAUUAGACUACUUUAAAAUCUAUAAAGCUGAAGUUGAAAAUCAACUAGAGAGAAAGAUCAAGCGUCUUAGGUCCGAUCAUGGUGGAGAGUAUUUUCCAAAAGUUUUUGAUGAAUUUUGUGAGGAACAUGGUAUUAUUCAUGAGAGGACGCCUCCCUAUUCACCUCAAUCAAAUGGAGUGGCCGAGAGGAAAAACCGCACAUUGACUAACUUGGUGAAUGCCAUGUUAGACACUGCUGGUUUAUCUAAGGCAUGGUGGGGGGAGGCUCUAUUGACUUCAUGUCAUGUCCUGAAUAGAGUUCCCAACAAUAAUAAGGAGAAAACCCCUUAUGAGGAGUGGGUUGGGAGAAAACCAUCACUUUCUUAUUUGCGCACUUGGGGAUGUUUGGCAAAGGUCAAUAUUCCUAUUCCUAAGAAACGCAAACUUGGACCAAAGACAGUGGAUUGUGUCUUUCUAGGGUAUGCUCAACGGAGCAUUGCUUAUAGGGUUUUAGUGGUAAAAUCUGAAGUUCCUGAUAUGCAUGUUGAUACUAUAAUGGAAUCUCGUGAUGCAACAUUUUUUGAGAACAUAUUUCCUAUGAAAGAUAUGCAUAGCAUUGCUAGAUUUUCUUCUGAGAUAAUUCCUGUAUCUAGUACAACUGAUGAAUAUUUCGAACAAUCACAUGAGGAAGUCCUUGAGAAGGAUAACAAUGAAGUUCCUAGAAGGAACAAGAGACAAAGGAUUGCAAAAUCCUUUGGUGAUGAUUUCAUUGUAUACCUUGUGGACGACACACCCAAGACGAUUGCAGAAGCAUAUGCAUCUCCGGAUGUAGAUGAUUGGAAAGAAGCUGUUCAUAAUGAGAUGGACUCAAUUAUUUCUAAUGGAACUUGGGAACUAACUGAUAGACCAUAUGGUUGUAAACCUGUGGGCUGUAAGUGGGUGUUCAAAAAGAAGCUCAAGCCUGAUGGUACUAUUGAUAAGUACAAGGCGCGGCUAGUGGCCAAGGGCUACACUCAGAAAGAAGGCGAAGAUUACUUUGACACCUAUUCACCCGUUGCUAGAAUGACCACCAUUCGAGUGUUACUUUCCUUGGCUGCCUCUUAUGGUCUUAUCAUUCAUCAAAUGGAUGUAAAGACAGCUUUUCUCAAUGGAGAGUUGGAAGAGGAGAUCUAUAUGGAUCAGCCUGACGGGUUUGUGGUUAAGGGUGAAGAGAGAAAGGUGUGCAAGUUGUUAAAAUCUUUGUAUGGUCUGAAACAGGCACCUAAGCAAUGGCAUGAGAAGUUUGAAAGAACUCUGACUUCUGCAGGAUUUGUCAUUAACGAGGCUGAUAGGUGUGUUUACUAUCGCCAUGGUGGGGGCAAUAGUGUCAUAUUAUGUUUGUAUGUGGACGACAUACUGAUCUUUGGUACAAACAUUAAUGCAAUUAAUGAGGUCAAGUCUUUUCUAUCAAAAAGUUUUGACAUGAAAGAUCUGGGAGAAGCCGAUGUAAUUCUAAACAUCAAACUUAUUAAGGAUGAGAGUGGGAUUACAUUAACGCAAUCUCACUAUGUUGAGAAGGUCUUGAACCGAUUCGGUUUUAUGGAUAGCAAGCCUUCUCCAACACCUUAUGAUCCCAGCGUGACACUCAGAAAGAACAAGAAAGAAACGAGAGAUCAAUUAAGAUACUCUCAAAUUGUCGGUUCACUCAUGUACUUAGCUAGCGCUACAAGACCAGAUAUCUCUUUUGCUGUGAGCAAACUGAGUAGGUUCAUGUCCAACCCGGGUGAUGAUCAUUGGCAUGCACUAGAAAGGGUCUUACGCUAUCUGAGAGGUACUAUGAGUUACGGAAUUACUUAUUCAGGGCAUCCUGCUGUGCUAGAAGGAUAUAGUGAUUCAAAUUGGAUCUCCGAUGUUGAUGUACUUUACGCAACAAGUGGGUAUGUAUUUACUCAUGGUGGUGGCGCAGUGUCAUGGAGGUCUUGCAAGCAAACCAUAUUGACGAGGUCAACUAUGGAAGCAGAAUUAACUGCUUUGGACACAGCUACUGUUGAGGCAGAAUGGCUGCGUGAGCUCUUGAUGGACUUGCCGAUUGUUGAAAAACCUGUACCGGCUAUUCUUAUGAAUUGUGAUAACCAAACGGUUAUCGCUAAAGUGAACAAUUCUAAAGAUAAUGCAAAGUCAUCAAGACACGUGAAAAGACGUUUGAAGUCUGUCAGGAAGUUGAGAAACUCCGGAGUAAUAACUGUUACAUAUAUACAAACAGACAAAAACCUGGCAGAUCCCUUUACAAAGGGACUAUCACGAAAUGUGAUAGAUAUUGCAUCGAGGGAGAUGGGUAUGAGACCCAUAGAUGUUACACCAUAGUACUAACCCAACCUUUGUGAUCGGAGAUCCCGUGAAUUAGGAUCUGGGAAGAACAAGCUAUUGGUUAACUGAGGAGAGUAAUAACUUAUGAUCGUCUCCAAGUGAAGAUGCAAAACUCUCAGAGCUGUAAAGCUCAGAUCUGUAAGGCAGGUUGGCAACAUGCCUUAAUGUGGUUCUAUUGGCUAUAAUUAGCAAAGAUGCUGUCCUACAGAGCAGUCUUGAAAGAACACACCUAUAUGAGUUCUGACUGUAAACGUCGCAGUCUAUGAGAUUUGGGUGAUCUCUAGUAAGCUCACGAAGAGACAAGGGAGUAUGACGUAUAAGCUCCAAACCGCGGGGUAGCCUACUGACGUAUAAGCUUCCUUUUGCCGUUUUAUUUUUAUGUCUUGGCAUACAAGUUUUUUAUUACUUGUCCGGUAAGUAUACGAAUUAGAAACCGAGUCGGUUUGGGAUUGUGGUCGCGACACAAUACCGCCUCUGGUCCUAAUAUAUAUACAGCUACCGGCUGCGGCCAGAGACACACCGAAAAACACCUAGGGUUUUGCCUCAUCUCACAACUUGCGCCGCCAUCGUAGUCUACUCCAUCCCAACGCCGGCGUGCAUCGGCGCGUGGGAGAGCAGGUCUCCGGAACCGUUCGUCUUUGCGAUCCUGCACCGGGAGAGGACGAAUUAGGUUUUUGGGAAGCGCUGUGCGCGACUGCUCAAAUUCGUCAUCACGGGUCGUCUUCCGUCCAAGUCGGGCGGUGCUACUCAUCGUCGUAUUCAUCGCCGUCAGCAGCAGAUCAUCGCCAAUAUCGUCAUCAACACUGUCGCACCCAUAUAGCUAACGAUCAUUACGUCCGACAUCCUCUGUUCAUGUCUGCUUCUACAGCUAUUGUUACGUGUUUGUUGUUGUUAUGCAUGUCUUGCUGUUCUUCUAGUUUGCUAGAUUAUUGCAUGCUAGUAUCUCUUCUAGUCAUGAAUUAUUUACUGGAAUUAAUCAUGAACUUGCCUAAUAUUCCCACAGACGCAAUAAUUGUUUUCGGGAUUUUGAAUAAAUCAGAAAAUGAUUUGUUUAAUUCCGAAAAUACUCCAAAAUUUGGAAAAUCAUGGAAAAUAAUCUGUAACUCAGAUGGAGAUAAUUUAUAUAUGAAAAAUUAUCAGGAAAAUAUGAAGAAUCUAUUUAUAGCAUUUUCAUGUAUGUUUGAACAAGUUAAGUUUUCUGUAUAAGACAAUUUGAAUAAAUGUCAUUUUAAAUUCUUAUGUGGAGUUUGAAUUUGAACCUUUGGUUCAAACCAACUUUAUUUAAAUUGUUGCUAGUUGCAUUAGUCCAAACACCAGCAUGCCAUGUCAUGAUCAUGCAUCAUACUGCUGCAUUGCAUUGAUUGUGUUCCCUCUCUGUUGCCGGUGUUUGUUCCUUCUCGAUAGAAGACGAUUCGGACGUUGUGAUCAUUGACACCGAUGAAGAGCUACUAUCUUCAAAGUGUCAGGCAAGCAAAUCCCCUUUGAGCAUUCUGAUACAAUCCCACUCUCUAACUCUUGCUCUCUUUUACUGCAUUAGGACAACAAUGAUUCAACUGUUACAUGUUGUGGUAGUUGAACCCAUUCCUCUGCAUGAUCUGUCUUUGCCACAGUAAAUAGUAAAACCCACUAGCAUGAGUAGGAGUAUUUUGAGCCAUGAUGUGCCUACUCAUUCAUGCUUGCUUGUUAUACCUGCUAUGCUUAGAGUUGUGUCAGGUUUGAUUCAUCUGGGUUGGCUUGGAAUGGUGAUGAACAUGUCCUACUGCUGAGCUCUAAGUGUGUGAACACGAUUUGGUAAAGGUAGCGAUGAGAGGCAAUGUAGGAGUACAUGGUGGGUUGUCUCGUUGAAAUCGUCCUUAGGAACUGAGUUCCGUGUUUGUGAUCCAAGACAGUUACUACCACACAUCGGGUUUCGAUAACUUGACCCCUCUCGACUUACUAAUCGCCUUGAUCUCUAUCUAGGAGUUGUAACUAGUUUCUGGUGUUUGUAGGAUGUGCUGGGGGCUGUACCUAGCGCUGACCGGAGGGGUAGGCUUUGUUACGGUAGGCACCAUGGCACGGUGUAUCAAGCGCAGUACUAUUGGUCGAGGUGGACAUGGGAAUCCUGCACACAUCGUUUGACGCCGUGAUGGAAACUUCGGCCGAACAUCCGUUACGGGUCAGUUCUCAGAUAGGCGAUAAACCUAGACUAGAGUCUUGCGUGGUUAGUCAGGUUGUGGCUGACACCCUCGCUAGGCUUCCGCUUGAAGGUUUCCGAGAUACAUGACGUGUAUAUGGUGUUAAGUGGUGAGAGCGUGUGUGAAGAAAUACACCCCUGCAGGGUAAUAUAAUCUAUUCGGAUAGCCGCGUCCUCGGAUAUGGACUACUUGGAAAGCUUGUAUGGUCCAUAGAUAACCUGAAGUGGAUACUCUAAAUGCGCAAAAUAAGUGUGAGUGCUAUGGAUGGCCUUCUCAUGGGGAGACGGGAGCGGAUCCAUAGUGGUGUAUUGAUAUGGUGAAUAUGUGGACUCACGUGCGCUUUCUCACCUCAAAGAAGUUAUUGGUAGUCAUAGUACAUGAAAGCCACUGAGUCAAAGCUGGCUUGCUGUAGUUAAACUCCACAACCCCAUUGUUGAUACUGAUGCAUAAGUAGAUAGUUCUGAUGUAAGUCUUGCUGAGUACAUUUGUACUCACGUUUGCUUAAUUGAUGUUUUUGCAGAGGAGAUUUCAAUCUCGCUAGUAGUUUCACAUGGGCUUUGACGGUUAGCUUGGGAAUCCCAGACAGAGGUAUGGCUCCUAUGGAGGGUAUUGUAGACAGACAUGCUUCCUAGCCUUCUUUCUUUUCAGCUGUCUAUAUUCAGACAGGUUUAUGCUUCCGCUUGUUGCUUGUAUGACUUUGUAUGUUGGGUCAUGAGACCAAUGUUCGUAAUAUCAUGUUAUGUGUGGCUCUUCAGAGCCUCUUAAAUAAAUACUUGAGUCGUAGAGUUAUAUUGUGACGACAUGUUGUAUCCACACAUAUUUGCAUGUUCUACAUACAUAUGAUGUGUGUUGCAAUGUGUUGGGUCACGAUAAAUCUUCUAUUGGAUUGCUUGAAUCUUUUGAUCUUUUGGUCCAACAAAAUUAUACUGUAAUAAUUAGGUCCAACAGAACAAAUCAGAAAACUUUGCUUGUACCAGACAUGGUUAGGUCCAAUAGAACAAAUGAAUCAUCUCUUCUUGGAGGAUUGUUUAAUUUAUCUUAGAUGUACCAAAAAUGAUCAUUGUGUUGGUCACCAGGAAGCAUCACAAGAUAAUUUAACAUCCAACAUGAAAGAACAUAGAUCUCAAUUCAAACAUCAUGCAAUAACUAACAGACUUCUCAAGUGUAAAUGGAAUCAUCACCACUAUAGCAGCUAUAUUUUGAACACCACGGAAACUCCAAUUUGAAACUGCAUCCUCAUUAAUAGAAACUGGAAAUUAGCUUGUCUAGUUCCAGUUUGAUUUGUUCAUCAACUAAAGAGUUAUAGUUUAAAUGACAAAUUUCACAUCCAAACUACAUAUCACAUCACAAAUUUAGGGUAAUUCAUACAUAGUAUAAAUAUAGGUAGCAUAGUACAGAAGAUCAGUUCCCAUCAAUCAAAUAUAGCAAUAGUCUUUGCAACAAAAUAUAUAAUAUAGACUUUCUUCUUGAGCUCAGCCACUUAGAUCAAUGACAUCAUCCUCUUCAAAAUUCCCUUUGAUAUUUUUCGGCUUGCCCUUGUGAAUUUCCCCAAUUUUAAGAAGCUCAGCUAUGACAUACUCUACCUUCUUAAUAUCUUUCCGGAUAACAUCCAUGUCCUUCAUCAUAGUCUCGAGCUCAUAUAUGUCCUUCUUCAGAACAUCCCUCUUCUUCAUCACAUCAUCCGAAGGGAAAGCUAGCUCCUUCCUAUCCUUUUUUAGGUCAAGGGUCUCCCUCAUGAUCAGAACCAUCUCCUUCUUGAGCCCAUCUUUGUCCACUUUCAGCUUAUCAUUAUCCUUCCUAGUGUUCUUGGUCACUUCUCGCUGAACAACAUGAAUGGCCUUGAGAUCACUGAUUACAUACUGCUUGUUCUCUAGCUGCUUCUGCAGGUCUAUAGAGUCCUCUGACAUCAUUUUUGGUAAUUCUCUUGCCACACCUUUUGGCAUUGCCUGACCCAGUGCUUGUUCCCAUCACUAGCAAACUCAGUGAAUUGGAAGUCCAACUACUUAAUCUUAUCUUUGAGAUUGAGCACUUCCUCUGCAGGAUCAAGCCCUUCCUGGGUUCUAGCAACCAUACACUUUUCAUAUUUUUUCCAGAGCAUGUGAAGUGCCUUUUUCAGGGCUUCGGGCCAGUCCUUCACUACUAGGGAAAACCUUAUACACAGAGGUAUAGCAGUAGCGCUGGUCAAAACAUGGCGCUAUUGCUACUUAUUAGUUGCGCUUGUUACAAAAGCACGCUACAACCAUUGUUGUAGCAGUAGCGCGUCUGCCCGGAAAAGCGCUACUACUAUAAUUCCCUCGUUGGUGCCGGUAGGCUAGGAAUAGUAGUGGCGGUUCUUCCAGAAGCACGCUACUGCUAAAAACUUUGUAGCAGCGCAUUUAUGCUGUAGAGCGCUACUGCUAUGAAAAGGAAAAUAAAUAGAAAAAUAAGUAGAAAAGUAAAUGAAAAUGAAAGAAAUAGAAAAAGGAGAAAUGAAAAAAAGAAAAUGUAAAGAAAACAAAAGAAAAAGAAAAAGAAAACAGAAAGGAAUAGCUGUAGCGCGUUUCGCUGGAAAACGCUAUAGCUAACUUAGCUAUAGCGUGUUUCGGUAAAACGCACUACUGCUAGUUUGACUUAACCCCCAGCCGCGCGGGCUCAAAAUUUUGCUAAGUCCUUCCCCCUCCACUCCCCCCUCUCCCCCAACUGCUCCAUCGCCGUUGUCGCCCUGCCGCCUUCAACCACACCGCCGCCACCCAAGGCCGUCUUCGACCACACCGCCGCCGCCCGAGGCCGCCCUCGACUUCACCGCCGCCGCCCGAGCCAGAGCCUGCCCUCGCCGUCGACCGUAAAGCUCUGCCUCUCCUUUCCCCUACCCUCCUAUCUCUCUUUGCUAGGGUAAUUCAUAUAUAUGUUGACGUUGUGUUGAUGUUCAUAUGAACCCUAGGUGUUCAUAUGAACCCUAGAUUUGUUGAGGGCAGUAGGCAUUUUUUGGCAUUUAGGAAAAAUGAUUGGCAAUUUUUUUAGGAAAUUAGCUAGGGAAAUUUUUUAUGAAAAUGCCUAAACAGUAAUUCCAUUUAGCUUUCAAUUAAUAGAGGGUAUGUAAAUAAUAGUAGCAUUUUGAUUAGAUUAAUAGACGCUAUAAACAAAAAACACUUAGAUAUAAAAAUUUAUUUGGACUAUGGACUUGAAUCUGUUCCAAAUUUCAUUCAAAUGAAAUUUGAAUUAUUUGGACUAUGGACCUGAAUCUGUUCCAAAUUUCAUUCAAAUGAAAUUUGAAUUAUUUGGACUAUGGACCUGAAUAUUUCUGAAGAAAUUGGGUGUAGGUACUAAGCUCUUGCUGCGGAAUUUUUGGUGAGGUCAGAAGGGUUAGAGAAAAUGGAGUUCCUAGACUUUUAGCUUUAGACAAAAAACAAAAGUAUUUAGCUAUAAAUAAAAAACAGUAGCUAUGGCAUUUAGCUAUAAACAAAAAACAGAAUUGUUUUUCUUUUCAAAAACUUGGUUAAACUAAUCGUUGCUAUGUAAACAAAAAACAAGAUUUUUGUUAUAUCAUAUAUGUCAUUGAUGUUCAUUUGCACAUUCCAUUAUUGUUGAUUAUAUCUUUUCAUUGAAGUGGCUAUGUUAUAUGCAAAUUCCUCAAUAGUGUUUGCUCAUGUUAUAUCUUUUCAUUGAAGUGGUUCGAUUGUGCCCAAAGUGGCUUCGUUGUUUCCAGGGAAUGAAGCCGAGUGGCCUAUGUUUUUCCGGAAUGUUGAUUCGUUUCCGUUCCGGCAAAUUUCAGGCUCUCGAUUUGUCCACUUUUUAGCAAAAGUCAUGCCGAAAUUUUCCGUGAAUUUCGGCAUGACUUGUGCUACAAACUAGGACAUAUCGAGUGCCCGGGAUUUGCCGCACAGGGAAGGAGUCAACGUUCCUGCAGAGCAUAGACCUUUUUUUAUGUCAUUAUUCAUUUUAUUAGGUCUAGAAUUAAUUGACUAAAUUUAAUCGUAGGAAACAUGGCUAGCAACGAUGAAGGACAGGGUUCUGGUGACUGCGACAACGUCUACCUGGCAGCAGAAGAAUUUUUUAUGGAAGAUGACGAUCAAGAGUUGAUGUUGCUGGGUCCACCUGUCACAUCAGAGAUUGAGACCGACAUCGAGACCGGCGCUGAGAUAGAGACUGGCACUGAGAGUGAGACCGGCAUCGAGACCGGCACUGAGACUGAGACCGGCGCCGAGACCGGCGCCGAGACUAGCGGAGCCGGUAUAGACCCGAAAGCAAAGAGGCAACUGCUUCCUAACAAGCUCAGGUCUAAUAGACUGGUGGUCACGGAGGUGGACGACGGCAAUUUUGAACCAAACGCGCCCUAGGAAGCGCGCGCGUGCUACGACAAUCAAAUAGGAUGCAUCAUACGGACAACCGCCACCAUCAAAGAUGAGAAACUAAAGAAGAUAGAUAAUAUGAGGCCCUCCCUCCUAAAGAAGUUGCACCUGAUAUUCUUGUUCCCGGGCCGGAAUGAAAAGGAUUAUAAAGAUCCAGAUAAGGACCUGGCAAUGAAGAAGAAAAACAAACACGUCAUGACCAAGUUUAGCGACGCGUUGGCCGCCUGGAAAUCAAGGGUGAAAUAUCGGAUCGUUGACAAAAAGGAACCCUACUCCGAGAUUGUAAAGGAUAAUCCGACAACCAUGGUAGAGCACUUUCAAAUAUUCAAGGCAGCUUGCGAGGCCGAAGCUGCCAAAAAAUAGUCGAAGUACAUGAAGGGGCUUCAAUAGAGGAACAUUGGGUGCCCCCACCUCGGAAGUCGUGGUUACGGCAGGAAGAGGUCCAUAUGGGCCAUGGAGGACGCGGAAGCCGCGAGUCCGGGCAUCCCAGACCCCUUGGCGGAGUUCACCGUCCCGCAGGAGCGUGACAUCCUCAGGGCCCGGCACCGUUGGGAUCCAAUGAAGAAGGUUUUCGAGACGAACGCGGUCACGGCGGAGUUCAUGUGACUGCUGGCAAUUUUAGUUUCUGAUCAAUUCGACUGCACGUUAGUCAUAUUUAUAAACGAUCCUUGUGCCAUUUGCAGAGAGAGCAGCGCAGGAUUGCGGCCGAAAGCGACUCGCCGUCUGAGGCGUUGGCGAGGCCCAAGUGGGACACUCCAUUCAACCGGGCGUUGAACAUAUUGAAAGGACUCCCGGUGGAGACUCGACUGUCGUAUGGACGCGUGCACGGUGUCGGAGAUGGCGCCACGUGGAAGAAGUACUACCGUGAGACCACGGAGGAGAGAAAGGAAAGACGGAGGUUAACUGAAGAAAACAUUGACAAGAAGGUUGAGAUUGCGGUUGAGAAGAAAUCAUCUAAGACAGUCGCAAUAGCGGUAGCUGCCGCAAAACAGGUGCUUGUACAUAUGUCUACUACCUUGGUUCCGGCCGUUUUCAAUUGGAGCAGGCAAAAUCUAGAAAAAAAUGCAGCGGAGUUUCCCCUUGCUGACUUCUUUGGGAGCAGCUCGACUAGCGUUGCACCAGCACCUGCAGCUGCACAUGCUCCCGCACCGGCUCCCGCACCGGCUCGUGCACCUGCUCCCGCACCGGCUCCCGAACCUGCUCCAGCACCGGCUCCGGCACCGGACGUGCUCGGCGGUGCUUCGUCUUUGGCUGAGCUCGACGCCCUCACGGUGUCUGUCACACCGGCCCCCAUCAAUAAAUGUAUUAUCUCCCGUUUUCGUUGCCUUUCGGAUGUCUCACGUCACAGACUUUUCUUUGCAGGCCGACGAAACCCCGUGCACCAUAUUGUACACCAUCGGCGACAAGAAGGUGGACGUGGGGAAGGCGACGAUAAUGGAGCCGAAGGAACCAUUGUUCCACAGCGGCUGAUCCCCCAGGACGUCUUCAAGGUUUCCGUGGCCAGUGUCAAACCGGGCCACGAGAAUUUGACUCCUCUGGUACUAGUGGGGGAUGACAACGAGACCCCACGGCGGCUUGGUAAUUGUUGCAAUGGGUGGGUCCUGUUGUGGCCAAAGAGUCUGCUUCGUCUGGAGGUGGCCGGGAGCACACCCACGAGCACACAGUUAGGUAUGAACAUCAACACCUCACCUACCCAAUUAGCGUCGGCUGUCGUGCUAGGUGAUAGCGGAGGGGGUGAGGAAGAGGCUCCAUUAGUCACUGGUGAUGUCGCCAUAGAUGAGGAUGAGGAUGACGAUGACACUCAACAGUAUGUCAAUACUGGUGCCUACUUAGGGUUUGAGCGUCAUGAGUCGGUGCCUGAAUUGCCGCCUCCGAAGUCUGAACGUAUUAUGGACAACCUUCCGGUAGUAAAGAAGUCUAGGAAGAGACCGAGGAAAGGCAAAAAAGCUGCUUCUAUGAUCCAGCCGCCUCAGCAGCCUCGGGUUCAAGACUGUAUAGAUAUCCCCGGUGCGGCAAAAUGGCAUAUCCAUGGUCAACCAAUCCUACCUAAAGCAGCGCUAGGGGCUAGAUUCGGCGAUUUAAGGAGACUUCAUGACGAUGUGCUGCGGAUAGAGAAAUGGCUCAUCGCCUCAAAAAAUCCAGGAUACCCACUCUACAUGGUUAACGUGCCGCGGCAAUUCUCGUACGUCGACACAUUCCCCGCGGAGAAGUUCUUCCUUCGAUUCGAUUACAUCUUCGACAUGUUUCACUUAAAGAAACUGGAUUUUACGUUUGUCCGCCUUUAUGUCUUGCACAUGAACUACCUCAUCAGGGUUGAGCAGAUACCUCAUAUCUGUGUCGCUAGCCCGUACUUCAUGCAUGAGGGCUUCUUGGGAGUCUGCGCAGAGCACCGUGAAUAAGCAAGGGAAUACAUCGCCAAUUUCAUGCUCACCAUAAGGACAAGGAGGCGAUUCUCGUGCCUUAUCAUCCCCUGUAAGUCAUCUGCGCGGAUAUCCUUCCUUUGAUUUCAAUCAUUCAUUUGCACAGUGGAGGCUAAUUAAUUUGAGGUGUACUUAUUUUUCGCAGCGGCGGGCGCGCCGUCCUCAUCAUCCUCUACCCCCGAUACUCCCACGCUCUUUACUUGGACUCGUCGAAGAACAUUAACAAAAAGGAUUACACCCACAUGAAGUCUGUUCUCGACAGUGCUAUGUUUUACUACGGCGCACGGGGUGGAGAGGUCAAGGACAAGAAGAAAAGGGACGGCAGGCCCGCCUUUGGCCAUAAGACCGACUUCUGCUGCAUCCACCAACCGAGUUAUUCUCUUAAUGAUGGAUUCUAUGUCCUACACCACAUGCUGGAGUACAGACGGGAUCACCAGAACCUUCGCAUGUCACCUAGAUCCGGCGAUGCCCAUAUUCUGCAAUGGGCAAAGAACUUAGGAGAUAUCGAGGAUCAUCGACUUCGAGCUGAGUUCUAUCACAUCCAGCGCAAACUUGCCCAAAUCAUCAUGAAGGAGGUCGUCGAAAAAACAGGGAUUUUCUAUGAAGAAGGACAAAUGUCGCGGGAAGACGUCCGAACACGCGUAGCGGCUCAGCUUCUCGACCUGAAGCCUUUCACUAAGCUUGGGGACUAUCUCCCUGACUUGGAUGCAUGGCACGACAUGUUGGAGUGAUUGUCGAUAUAUGACAAUGUGUCUGUUUAGUCCAUACUAUCUGUAUCACGAAACUCUGAGUUAUGCAUGACGAAACUUUAUUUGUUAUGUAAUUAAACCGUCCUCCUCGACUAGUGAAGAUCACUCUAGUUAGGGCUUUUUGGGUACGAUGAAUUUUGUUAUAUAUGCUUAUGGUAUGUUGCUUCUAUUUUUGCCAAGUCUGUCUCUUUCUGUUGCUCAACUAUAUAUGUUGCAUAUCAUCGACUCAUGUGACGAUGCAGGUGUAUAGAUCAUCGAUGGCGAAGAAGUGCUACGCCAGGAGUAUACGACGAGUGGCCGGAAUGUCAGGCCCAGGUGUACCGGUUUCCGGUUUCCGAGCGACAGCCAGUAGUUAGUUUAGGUUCACGCUAAUGCGAGAGAGGGAUACGAACUCAUGUACUGCAUAGUUCCGCUCUCACUCAAAGUGAUAGCUCUUCUCGCGUAUAUCAUUGUUUAGAUGGAUGACGACGUAGUUGCAAGUAAUCGAGACUUGUAUCGCUAUUUUUGAGAUGAUGACGAGAGACCACUUGUUGUUGGAUGAUGAUUAUGAUGAUGGCAUGAUUUGAUGAGACUAUUUGUAUGUAUAUGCUAUGAUUACAUUUGUAUGUGUAUGAUAUGCUAAAGAUUAUUGUAUAAAGCCUAUUCAAAUACAAAACAAAUAUGCAUAAAAAAAUAAAAACUAAUAAAACUAGCAGUAGCGAGGGGAACAAAGUUAGCAGUAGCGCUCCCUUACCAGUAGCGCUUCGUGCUAAAAAGCGCUGCAGAUAUUAGCAGCAGCGCUCUGCACUAAAGCGCGCUACUGCUAGCCAUGUAUAGCAGUAGCAUGGGAUGACAGGUGCUACUGCUACACGUUAGCUGUAGCGCCUUAUCAGUAGCACGUCGUCCCGAGCUACUGAUAGGCAAAAUACCCGCGCUACUGCUAGGGUUUUCCGUAGUAGUGCUUGUCAACCCAAUGAAUAAAUCUACCGUUUCCUAGUUGCAAUAAGAAACAAUUAGCAUUUAAUUAAUGGACACACAUUAGUCAAUAUAUUUUGAAAUGAGCAAAGUAUAGCAUAACUAGAUGAAAACCAAAUAUAGCAUAAGUGAGCUAGAAUGUUCCACAAACACGACAUGUCACAACUAAGUUACAAUGUUCUACCAACACAGCUUAGCAGCCAAACAAAACAUAGCUAUAAGACAUCCAAAUAUAGCACAAUAUAGUUGAAUUGUUCCACAAAAGUUGUGCAUGGGAUAACUGAAAUAUACAAUGGGUAUUGUCACAGAACACUAACUCUAGUUUAUACCAUUUACAUAUACUUUUUCCAGACAACCAUCACUUACUGAACAAGCAUCCCAUCAUUAGAGUCUGAGAAGAAAUGCAGCCUUCUCAGGGCGUCGAGAUCUGGGCCGUUGGAUUAAGCUUUCAAAAGAAUUGCGACCAUCAGAUCUUCAGAUGGAUCGAUCCGGGCCGUCGGAUCAUAGCAAACACUGCUACAGUGAAUAGUGUUGUUUCUUUUUUAUUUUGGUCUAUUAUUACUAUCUCGCUGACUGAUGGGCCACGCGGUAAGUGGUCCAUUGCUGUUAGUGAGAGCAGAGCACUAAGCGGUCGGUGCUGGUUCGUACAGGCUCAGGGGUCAGGCCAACGCCUGUGAAAUUGGGUAGCCGCUGAGGGCAAAUUCAACAUUUCACGUCAUCGCCCCUGCGUGACGCUCCGUGGAUGGCUAGUCAGCAAGUAAUGGCGAGGGAGCGACCCAUUGGCUAGAAACCUAGCCGCCUCUUCCCCGUCGUGUUCCUAUCUGUGUCGUUUGAGCUGCGGUCGCCAUCGAGGACGUGUCACUCGCACCGCCACUUCCCUGUCGAGCUCAUGCGUCCACUAGCCACACCGUCUCUUUUCCAUGCCUGCUCAUCCUCCGUUCCUCUUCGAUCACCGAGCUCGCCGUCGCUAUCGUCGGGAGGAAGCGAUUGGUGGACCUAGCCCACCGCCAUCAACGGGUGGAGCGCAGGAACCCGCGAUGCCCCUCCAGCGACCAGCACUUAUCCCUCGCCCAGCGACGAGGCCCCAUCGAACUCGCGUGUGGUCGCAGCUGGGAAUCCUCCUGUCCGCUCCUUGCUCCCCGCCGAGAGCCUUGAUUGGAUCUGGAUCCUGAGCUCUCCGUGCCCGCAUCGCCCCACCAUUCAUGGUGCACCACCAGCACGAGCUGCACAUCAUCAUGUCGUCAGAGGGAGAGCGGGAGGAAGUUGGCGCUGUUUAUCCCCACGAGGUGUGCCGUCGACGGUAGGAAGCCAGGCAGGGCGACGGGGAAAUACCGACGUAGUUCAAGCCGCAUCAAAAGGAAUUUCUGGCGCAGUUGCCAGGGAGACAUCAUCAACAUCUAUGAGGUUCCUAAUCACAAAUCCCAUCUCCUUGCAAUUUACAUUAUUUGCCAUUUGCCUCUCGUUUUCAUCUCCCCCACUUCACAAAAAAUUGCCGUUUUAUUCGCCCUCUUUUUCGUUUGCCUUUUUCUGGUUCGAUCUUAUGUUUGUUUGUGUCUCCAUGUGCCUUCUAUUUUGCUUGCAUCUUUUCUUGCUAAAACCUAUUGUUAUGGAUCCACUCAAAGUUUUGUACCUGGAUCUUGUUCGACCCAUAUGUGCUCGUGCUGAAACCCCAACUAGUUUAGUUGAGGGAAAAUCAUUAGAUGAGCAUGCUCUUUUUGCCCGUCAUCGUUUGUCUGAAAAAGGGAAGCUCUUAUGGAAUCAAAUAAAUUGUUUGCUAUGAUAUGCUUGGAAUCAUUAUGAAAUUUGUGAUUUUACUUGUUGCUCUAAGAACCCCAAAAAACACUUCCCCUAUCUAUGUGAGUUUAAUGACAAUGAAGUCUUAUGUUCUUAUGCCAAGGAGGUUUAUAGUUACUAUGAUAUCGAACAAAUUGAACAAUUUGUUGCUUUUAAGGGUGCUUAGAAGUUGCUUAUUUGAUUGAAAAGUAUGAUAUUACUCUCUACAAAUCUGAAAAUUUUGACAUACUUAAAUAUUGCUAUGAAAACUAUGCUCAUAAUGCCUAUGUUAAAGAAUUUAUUGAGAGAAUGUCCUAUGCUUUGAAAGAAAAUAGUGAUAUGCAUGAAGCUAUGGAUAACCAUGAUUCCGUUGAUUUGAUUGAAUUAUCCCCUCUUGAUGAACACGUUGCUAGCUAUUCUUGUGGCCAUGAUGCCAAUAUUAAUGAUGCUUAUGAAGAUGAACUUGCUAUAGUUCUUUAUGUUAAACAUGAAAUUAUUGCUAUUGCACGCACGCUGGAUAGCUCCUUUAAUGAAAAGCAUGAUUGCAAUGAUAUUAUUAUAGAUUCUAUUAAUCUCAAGUUUGUUAGUGAUAUGCAAAACCCCAAGCUUGGGGAUGCUUGUUUUGUUAUGUCCGCUACUUAUUGCAAUGAUCAUGAUUGGGGUGAUGAUGACUUUUAUGAUCUUGAUAGUCUAUUUAAGCCUCAUGAUGAAUAUGUUUGCAAUAAUAUUAAAAGUGGGUUUGGAAGAGUGUCAAAUAUUGAUAAAAAUAAUCCCACAAAUUUGGAGAGUGUUCAAUCUUAUGAUUUUUUUAUAAAAGUGGGCUUGGAAAGGUCAUGACUUUAUUUUAUGGUAAUCCCACUAUUUUGGAAGAGUGUCAACUUUGCAUGCAUGUGGAUCAUGUAGAGAAUAUGUUAUGUGAUAUCUAUAUUAUUGAAUUUGAACAUGAUUCCACAUGUAAUUGUUAUGAGAGAGGGAAAUAUGGUUGUAGAAAUUUCUUGCUACUAAGUCACCUCUCGUUAUGUUGAAUUGUCAAAGUUUUAUUUGUUUCCUAUGUAUAUGCUAGAUAUUUCUUGUUUUGAUAAUUUGUUUGCCUGUAAAAUUCCUAUACAUAGGAAAUAUGUUAGACUUAAAUGUGUUUAUCACAUGUUUUAUGAUCCUCUCUUUGUGUUUCAAUUAUUAUCUUUCAUGUGAGCAUCAUUGAAAUCGCAAAGCCUAUCUUAAUGGCUAUAAAGAAAGAGCUUGUUGGGAGGCAACCCAACGAAUAAAUUUUAUGUUUGCCUUUUUGUUUCUGUACAAUUAUGCCUCUGUUAUGAUUAUGUUUUUUAUGUUUUAAUUAGUGUUUGUGCGAAGCAAAGCCUUUUAGGAUCAUGUUGGGUGAUAGUUGAUUUGAUCUUGCUGAAAAACAGAAAAUUAUGAGUCCAGUAACACAAUUAUUAAAAUUCACAGAAGCGUGAUAAAAUUCUGAUUUUUUUACAGAAGAUUAAUACAAAUAGCGUAUGUUGUCCUAAUUUUUCAGAAUUUUUGCAGUUACAUAAGUAUACGAAGUUUUCAGAUUGCUACAGACUAUUCUGUUUUUGACAGAUUAUAUUUUCUUUUUGUUGUGUGCUUAUUUUGAUGAAUAUAUGGACUUUAUUGGAGGGUAUAAGCUAUAGUAAAGUUCGAAUACAGUACAUAUAAUGCAAAAAUAAAAUAUGAAUGGGUUUGCAACAGUACUUAGACUAGUGAUUUGCUUUGUUAUACUAACGGAUCUCACGAUGGUUUUGUUGAGUUUUGUGUGAUUGAAGUUUUUCAAGUUUUGGGUGAGAUCACGAUGGAUGAAGGAAUAAGGAGUAUGAAGAGACUAAUCUCGGGGAGGCCCAUGGCACCCCAAGUUAUUAUCCAAAGAGGAACAAGCAAUUAAGAUUGGGGAUGCCCCCGAGUGGCAUCCCCUCUUUCUUCUAAUGACCAUCGGUAUUUUACUUGGAGCUAUAUUUUUAUUCGUCACAUAUCAUGAGUUUUGCUUGGAGCAUCUUGUAUUAUAUGAGUCUUUGCUUAUUUUGCUUUUUUAUUUUGUGUCAUCUAUCCUUGCUGGACACACCUAUUUGAGAGGGCCCAAAUUAUGCUAUGGAAUCUUUUUGCUUCACUUAAAUCUUUUUGAGCUAUGGAAUUGAUCUUUGUGCUUCACUUAAAUCUUUUUGAGCUAUGAAAUUGCUCUAGUGCUUCACUUAUAUCUUUUUGAGAACGGUGUGCUUUGGUAUUUUUGAAGAAAUGCUCUCAUACUUCACGUAGAUUUAUUUGAGAGUUAGUAAAUUUUUUAAGAAAUCCUCUCAUGCUUCACAUAAAUUAAUUUGAGAGAAGAAAUUUUUUAUGCUCGUGUUCUUCACUUAGAUUUGUUUGAGCUAUCAAAAGCAACAUAUGAAAUUAGUCCCAAAGUGAUAGAUAUUCAAGAGGGAUAUAAUAAAAACUUUCAUGAAGAUCGUUAGACAAAAUAAACUUGAUUCUUUGUAAUAGUUUUGCGGUAUGACGAUAUAAUAUGUGAGUCAUGUUGAUGAGUUAUUACGCUUUAGUGAGAAUAUUGAUGUUAAGGUUUGUGAUUCUCUAUGUAAGCACGAAAGUCAAUAGUUAUGCAAUGAAAUUACAUCCUACUUGUCGUGCAUUAUUCGGUGUUAGUUCUGCUUAAUUCUUGCUUAUGAGAUUUUUUGUUUCUUGGUUGGAUGCUUCUCAAUAUUUUGCUAGCCUUCAAUUGUACUAAGUGGGAUUACUACUUGUGCAUCCAAAAUCCUUGAACCCAGUUUUUGCCAUAUGAGUCCACUAUACCUACCUAUAUGCGGUAUUCAUUUGCCGUUCUAAGAAAAUUUGUAUGUGCCAUCUCUAAUCUUCAAAAUAACUUCCUUUUUGUGUGCUCGUACCGCUCAUGAAACGGUAGGGGGUGGCUGAUAUUUUUCCAUGCUAGAUGUGUUAUUCUCAAGAUGAGUGUUUAUUCACUUGUCACUGCACGAGAGUAUGGCAAAGUUAUUAGGGAUGCCCAGUCCUGAAAUGAAAAAUGAAUUUACUUUAUGUUGUCAAAUAAUAAACUCCUUGGAAAGUGUUGGUAUGGACGGUACCCGUGGAUUCGGUUCGCCGUGGAAUGUGAAAGUAUGGUGGAAAAAGGAAUAAACUUUAUUUUCUGUUUGGGAACCACCUAUGAUAUAUCUAGCAUGGAAAGUAUUGGGAACUACUCGAUCGUUUUCAUUGACAGGAAAGGCAUGCCACCCAAAAUGUCUUAUCUCUAUCUUUUUCCGCUUUUAGCUCUGGCACCUCUACAAAUCCCUACUUCCCUCUGCGAAGGGCCUGUCUAUUUACUUUAUGAAAUUUUUAUUUUUAUUUCAAGUCUCCAUCUUCUCUUACAAAGCACCAACUAAGGGGCACUACGAUCGUACCAUAGCAUUGGGUGUAGCUAAUAUGCGAGUGUGUUUCAUGAAUGGAUCAAUGAUUGAGCAUAAUGGGCUAGGGAUAAAUUGCUUUAGUGUUGAUAUUUUGAAAGACAUGGUUGCUUGUUGAUAUGCUUGAGUAUUGAAAUCUUCAUAUCAACACUAGACUAUUCCUUUGAAUCAUAUAAAAGUCCAAAUGUCCAUGCUACAAAAGAAAAAGAAUAUGUGAUGAACAUGAUAGGCAACAUUCCACAUCAAAAAUUCUAUUUUUAUCAUUUACCUACUCGAGGAGGAGCAGGAAUUAAGCUUGGGGAUGCUGAUACGUCUCCAACGCAUCUAUAAUUUUUCAUUGUCCCAUGUUGUUAUAUUAUCAUUUUUGGAUGUUUUACAAUCAUUUUAUAACAACUUUAUAUCUUUUUUGGGACUAGCCUAUUGACAUAGUGCCUAGUGCCAGUUGCUGUUUUUUGCUUGUUUUUACACUGCAGAAAAUCAAUACCAAAUGGAGUCCAAAUGCAGCGAAACAUUUUGCAGAAUUUAUUUGGACCAGAAGACACACGAUGGGCCAAUAGAGUACUAGAGGGGGGCUCCGAGGGAAGCACAACCCACCUGGGCGCGCCCUGGUGGGUUGUGCACACAUCGGCUCGCUAUCGUGCCGCCUCUUUGCUCCAUAAAUACCCCGAAAAUCCAAAAACCCUAGGAGUCGACGAACACAAUUCCAGCUGCCGCAAGUUCCACAAAGCACAGAUCCAAUCUAAACACUGAUACGUCUCCAAUGUAUCUAUAAGUUUUUAUUAUUCCACGCUAUUAUAUUAUCUGUUUUGGAUGUUUUAUAUGCAUUAAUAUGCUAUUUUAUAUUAUUUUUGGGACUAACCUAUUAACCUAGAACCCAGUGCUAGUUCCUGUUUUUUCUUGUUUUAGAGUUUCGCAGAAAAGGAAUAUCAAACAGAGUCCAAACGGAAUGAAACUUUGGCGAUGAUUUAUCUUUGACCAGACGAUAACCAGAGGACUUGGAGUACACGUCAAGGAAGCCACAAGGAAUCCCAAGGGGGUAGGGCGGGCCCCCCACCCUUGCGGACCCCUAGUGACACCACCGACCAAUUUCUUCCGCCUAUAUAUUCUCAAAUACCCCAAAACCUUCUAGGAGAGCCACGAAACCACUUUUCCACCGCUGCAACCUUCUGUACCCGUGAGAUCCCAUCUAGGGGCCUUUUCCGGCAUCCUGCCAGACGGGGACUCGAUCACGGAGCGCUCCUACAUCAACAUUGCCUCUCCGAUUAAGCGUGCGUAUUUUACCACAAACCUACGGGUCCAUAGCUAGUAGCUAGAUGGCUUCUUCUCUCUCUUUGAUUCUCAAUACCAUGUUCUCCUCGACGUUCUUGGAGAUCUAUUCGAUGUAAUACUUUUUUGCGGUGGGUUUGCCGAGAUCCGAUGAAUUGUGUAUUUAUGAUCAGCUUAUCUAUGAAUAUUAUUUGAAUCUCCUCUGAAUUCUUAUAUGCAUGAUUUGAUAUGUUUGCAAGUCUCUUCGAACUAUCGAUUUGGUUUUGCCACCUAGAUUUGUUUUUCUUGCAAUGGGAGAAGUGCUUAGCUUUGGGUCAAUAUUGCGGUGCUCGAUCCUAGUGAUAGAAGGGGAACCGACACGUAUUGUAUUGUUGCCAAUGAGGAUAACAAGAUGGGGUUUUCAUCAUAUUGCUUGAGUUUAUCCCGCUACAUCAUGUCAUCUUACUUAAUGUGUUACUCUUUUAUUCAUGAGCUUAAUACUCUAGAUGUAGGCAGGAGUCGGUCGAUGUGUGGAGUAAUAGUAGUAGAUGCAGGCAAGAGUCGCUCUACUUGAUACAGAUGUGGUGCCUAUAUUCAUGAUCAUUGCCUUAGAUAUCGUCAUAACUUUGCGCUUUUCUAUCAAUUGCUCGGCACUAAUUUUUUCACCCAACGUAAUAUUUUCUAUCUUAAGAGAAGCCUCUAGUGAAACCUAUGUUCCCGAGUCUAUUUUCCAUCAUAUAAUCUUCUAUUUUCCAUCAUAUAAGUUUCCGAUCUACAAUUUUAGUUUCCUAUUUACUUUCUUUGCAAUAUUUUGCAUUCCGAUCUAUAAACCAAAAAUACCAAAAAUAUUACUUUACCGUUUAUCCAUCUAUAUCAGAUCUCACUUUGCAAAUAAUUGUGAAGGGAUUGACAACCCGUUUAUCGCGUUGGGUGCAAGUUGGUGUUUGUUUGUGCAGGUAUUCGGUGGCUUGUGCAUUGUCUCCUACCGGAUCGAUACCUUGGUUCUCAAAACUGAGGGAAAUACUUACUCUACUUUGCUGCAUCACCCUUUCCUCUUCAAGGGAAAAACCAACGCAAGCUCAAGAAGUACUGGGAAGAAUUUUUGGCGCCAUUGCCGGGGAGAUCUACGCCAAGCCGAGACAUACCAAGUACCCAUCAUAAACUCUCAUCCCUCGCAUUACAUUAUUUGCCAUUCGCUUCUCGUUUUCCUCUCCCGCACCUCUCACUACUAGGAAAAGGGCUAUAGACAAUAUGCACACUAAUGGCGCACCAGACAUGCGGUGCGCCACUACUAUAUAGCGGUGGCGCACCGUGUGCUGGUGCGCCAUUAGUGUGAUAGACACUAAUGGCGCACCACAACCAUGGUGCGCCACUACUAACAAAUUUUCUUUUUCUUUUUAAAAAAAUACUAAUGGCGCACCGCAACCAUGGUGCGCCACUACUAAUUUUUUUCCUUUUUUCCAAAAAUACUAAUGGCGCUACUUGGCACAGUGCGCCAUUACUAGUUUUAACUAGUAAUGGCGCACCAGUCACCCCGUGCGCCACUACUAUCAUUUUUUUGCAAAACUACUAAUGGCGCACCGCCAGCUGGUGCGCCAUUAGUAACCAGGGUUACUAAUGGCGCAUUUGUUGGUGGUGCGCCAUUAGUAACCUGGGACCAGCUAGAUAUUUUGGACAGCCACCUACACACUCACUUUCCCCACUUCAUUCUCUCCACCUCCUCCUCCAAGCUUGUCUCGGCUGCCUCCUCCUCCUCACCUCAUUUGCACCAUAGAUUCAUCCAAAUUAAGUGGUUAAAUUACCUUUUUUGAUAGGUAAGUAAGGGGAAAGCUUUCUUUAUGUUGUAGAUCUACUUUUUUCUCCCUCCAACAACGUGCACAUGCACUUUUUAUGGCCUAGCUAGAUCUAUGUAUGUUUGUGGUGUUGCAUAUGUUUGUGGUGUUGCAUAUAUGUUUGUGUUUGCACGUACCGGUAUUUGAAAUGCGAUAGUUGCCAAUAUUUUGCCAGAAUGUUGAUUCAUUUCCGUUUCGUCAAGAAUUUUGGCACUAUGCAUUCUUUUUUGUCCUAUUUUUAGGCAAAGUCAUGCCAAAUUUUUUCUUGGUUCUAAAAUAUCGUUUUGCUCUACCCUGCAGGCGACCAUGGUCUGCACGAUGACCGAAGGCAUCGUGAAUAGGUUUUUGAGCUCCGCGAAGGCCGAGAUGCUUCAAAAGAAUGAGACGGAGAUAAGAUGUCCGUGUCGAAGAUGCAAGCUGAGGAGCCUUAUGGACCCGGAUUCCGUACAGGUGCGGGACCACCUGCUCUUGCGUGGUUUCAUGGAUGGCUAUCGGUGGCAAGGUGAUGAAGAUGAUUAUGAAGUCGUCCAUGGGGGCCGGCCGGUAAGAAAUGAGGAAGGGCAGCAAGACAACCGCGGCGAGGGCGGGCGAGAAGACGAAGAAUCUCCAGGACAUGAUCACGAAGUAGAUGCAGUACGCAGUCAUCAUGUAGAAGAUGCCGGACAUAAAGAUGAGGAAGAUGCCGGAGCAGACGAAGGGCAUGAUCAUGAAGAUGAAGAUGCCGGAGCGGACGACGAUGGACCAUCGAUGGGCUGGGUGCAGGACCCUCAUAUUCAAGAGCUGCUUCUCAAGCAGACGGAUAACGCAAGAGCUGCCGCCCGAGAGAAAGCCAAGCUGGAUCAACUGGAGAUAGACGCGGUUACUCCAUUGUAUGAAGGAUGCAGGCCCGAGGAUACCCGCCUGAAAGUAACGCUCAUGGCUCUGGAGAUGAAGGUAAAACACAAAAUGACCGACGCAUGCUUCGACGAGAACAUGUCAUUCUGGCACGAACGUCUUCCCAAGGGGAACAAGUGCCCGACCAGUUUUGAGGAGGCGAAGAAAAUCGUGUGUCCUCUGGAUUUACCGCACGUGAAAUACCAUGUGUGCAUGAACAAUUGCAUCAUUUAUCGGGACGAGCACGCGGAGUCUACCAUAUGUCCGGUGUGCGGCGUCACUCGAUACAAGAAGAGGAAGAAAGCUCCUCGAAAAGCGGUGUGGUACUUUCCGAUCGCUCCUCGUGUGCAGCGGUAUUUCGCGGACCCUAAGGUAGCAAAGCUCUUGCGUUGGCACGCGGAUAGGGAGGAGAAGAAGCGAGAAGAUGACGCAAAUGAUCCGGAGAUAAAUAAAAAAGACAAGAUGCUGAGUCACCCUAAGGAUGGGAGCCAGUGGCAAGCGUUGAACUUCGAACACCCAGAAUUUGGGAACGAUCCAAGGAACAUCGUGCUGGGCGCGAGCACCGAUGGAGUCAAUCCGUUUGGCAGCCAGAGAAGCACACAUAGCACCUGGCCUGUGUUUGUGGAUGUACAACCUUCCCCGCUGGUUGUGCAUGAAGAGGAAGUACAUUCACAUGAGUAUGCUAAUUGAAGGGCCGAAACAACCAGGGAACGACAUCAAUCUGUAUCUGGGGCUGCUGAAAGAGGAGCUAGACACGCUGUGGAAAACGCCAGCCAAUACGUGGGACACCGCAGAGAAAGAAUAUUUCCCUAUGAGAGCCGCUCUGCUCACGACGGUGCACGACUAUCUCGAUUACGGAUAUGUCGCGGGGCAGGUGGUCCACGGAUUUUCUGGAUGCGUCAGGUGCAUGGAUGACACAACAUAUCGCCAGCUAGAUAGAGAUCUCAGGUCUUCGAAAACCGUGUUCAUGGGACAUCGAAGGUGGCUUCGCGACGAUGACUCAUGGAGGAAACGCAAGGAUCUGUUCGAUGGUGAAACCGAAACCCGAAGACGCCCGCGUACGAGGAGCGACAAGGAAAUAGACGAGUUGUUGAAAAAUUGGAAAGAUUGCCCACUGCCGGGAAAGAAGCAAAAGGCACCAGAGCCGGAAAAGAAGCGAAAGGCGCAAGAGCCGCUGCUGAAGGUAUGGAAAAUGAGGUCUGUUUUCUGGGACUUGCUGUACUGGAAGAUCCACCGUGUGCCUCACAGCCUUGAUGUCAUGCAUAUCACGAAGAACGUGUGCGAGAGUCUGCUUGGUACCCUGCUCAACAUGCCGGAGAGGACCAAAGAUGGGCCGAAAGCAAGGGCAGACUUGAAAUCAAUGGGCAUCAGGGAGGAGCUUCACGCUAAUGAUGAUGAUGAUGAGGCGAAGCAGGACACGGAAAGUCGUCGCAAAGGCAAAAAGGCCAAGAAGACCGAAAAUGACUUCCCUCCCGCGUGCUUCACUCUAAGUCAGGAGGAGAUCGAUCAGUUUUUCACCUGCCUCGUAGGAGUAAAACUUCCUUACGGUUACGCGGGGAAGAUAAGCAGAUACCUAGACUCAGCGAAGCAGAAGUUCAGCGGGAUGAAGUCUCAUGACUGUCACGUGCUGAUGACGCAGAUACUUCCAGUUGCAAUCCGUGGGAUCAUGGACGCGCACGUCCGUGAAACGCUAUUUGGCCUAUGCAACUUUUUCGACGUCAUCUCUCGGAAGUCGGUUGGUGUGAGGCAACUCAGAAGGCUACAUGAAGAGAUCGUAGUGAUACUAUGCGAGCUUGAGAUGUACUUCCCGCCCGCAUUCUUCGACGUUAUGGUGCAUCUGCUGGUCCAUAUCGUGGAGGAUAUCAUCCAACUCGGGCCGACGUUCCUGCACAGCAUGAUGCCGUUCGAAAGGAUGAAUGGUGUCAUCAAAGGAUACGUUCGCAACAUGUCACGUCCAGUGGGAAGCAUAGCCAGGGGCUUUCUGACCGAAGAGUGCAUCUCCUACUGCACGAAUUAUCUAGGCAUCGAGAACCCCGUUGGUCUGCCCGCCAACAGGCACCUCGGCAGGCUCGCUGGAUGGGGUCAUCGUGAGGGUUGCCGCGAAAUGCAUGUCGAUUUCGAGGGUCGACUCGCCGACUUUGAAAGAGCAAACCUAGUCGCGCUACAACACAUAGACGUGGUCGAUCCUUGGGUGGUAGAGCACAAAACCUUUAUUGAGAAGACGUACAAUGACCGAGACCAACAGAGGACGGACGGAGAUAUAAUCAAAGAGCACAACUCAUAUUUCACGCGUUGGUUCAAGCAGCAUGAGGAUUCUUCCGCGGAAGAACAACUCAAAUUCGCCUUGUCACAGGGCGCCGAGCACAACCUGAUGACGUAUGAGGCGUACAAUAUCAACGGCUACACAUUCUACACCGAGGGAAAGGACAUGAAGAGCGAUGGUUAUCAGAACUCUGGGGUAACGAUGGAAUCCUACACCGGUAACGAUAAGGACAGAUACUACGGAAGGAUCGAGGAGAUCUGGGAGCUGAGCUAUGCUGGAGAGAAGGUCCCGAUGUUCCGUGUCAGAUGGGCCAAGAGCGUCCUAAAAGAAGACCGGUAUUUCACCACCAUGGUUAUACCCGAAGCCAAAUCCAAGACCGCGGGCGCAAACGACACCGUGAAAAAUGAGCCAUGGGUACUGGCUUCCCAAGUGGACCAAUGCUUCUUCAUUACCGACCCGUCAAAGCCCAGUCGUGUUGUCGUGAGGAGAGGCAAAAGGAAGAUCAUCGAAAUGGAUGGAGUCGCCAAUGAGCAAGACUUCGACAAGUACGGCGACCCGAAGAUGGAACAUGACGACGAUGAUGAAGUACCAGCAUACACCACAAGAAGAAGCAGGACCACCCUACCUAAAGGACGUCCGUUCAAGAGAAGAACUCCAUUUACGAAAAAUAAGGGCAAGAAGAUUGUGAACAGAUAGCUAGCUAAGAUCGAUUGUAUUUAAAUUGUAGCCUUCAUUUCUCGAUUGUAUUUCAUGGGCACUUUUUGAACUCAUGAAUAUUUUUAAAUUUCAUGGGCACUUUUUGAAUUCAUGAAUAUUUUUUCAAAUUUCACCGCCGCCGCCGCCGACCCCCCGCACCCUCCCCCGCUCCACCGCCACCGACGACCCACCGCACCCUCCCCCGCUCCACCGCCNNNNNNNNNNNNNNNNNNNNNNNNNNNNNNNNNNNNNNNNNNNNNNNNNNNNNNNNNNNNNNNNNNNNNNNNNNNNNNNNNNNNNNNNNNNNNNNNNNNNNNNNNNNNNNNNNNNNNNNNNNNNNNNNNNNNNNNNNNNNNNNNNNNNNNNNNNNNNNNNNNNNNNNNNNNNNNNNNNNNNNNNNNNNNNNNNNNNNNNNNNNNNNNNNNNNNNNNNNNNNNNNNNNNNNNNNNNNNNNNNNNNNNNNNNNNNNNNNNNNNNNNNNNNNNNNNNNNNNNNNNNNNNNNNNNNNNNNNNNNNNNNNNNNNNNNNNNNNNNNNNNNNNNNNNNNNNNNNNNNNNNNNNNNNNNNNNNNNNNNNNNNNNNNNNNNNNNNNNNNNNNNNNNNNNUCCACCGCCACCGACGACCCCCCGCACCCUCCCCUCUGCCCUCUAUCACAGCGGGGACAACAGGAAGCCGCCGUCGCGCCCCUCUGCACCGGCUGCCCACGGCGCCUCCGUCCCGAAGCCGCAGCCCAAGUGCCCACCACUCUCUGUCCACGGUGAGCCAUCCUCUCUGUCCCAACUCUCUGUUCUUCUUUUUUAGCUAUCCUUUGUUGAAACAGUAGUUGCUGUGUAGCAAAUCUUUGGGAUUAGUGUUCAGUACUUUGUUGGGUGAGCGGCCAUCUGAGACAUCCUGCUUACAUAGUCUCCUUUUUAAAACUCGUCAAAUUGGUUUUAGAUAGAAAUGAUCAACACUCAAUUGGCCAACUGCAUGUGGAAUGAUUUCGAAGGGCGCCAUAACUUAUUGUAGAUGCUGACUACAAUAACAAUACUAAACUCAGUGUAGUCUGUUGUAAAGACACUUGUGCUUCUUUCAUCUGGAAAGGGGUCGUCUGGCCUCCAAAACUGUCAGAUUAGGUUGUGCUGUAACUCCUCACAUGGCCAUGUUUUUGGAAGAUUGGUCGUUUGUCACCGGCCCUUUGGUCACCCAGCAAUGGGACUUGUAUCAUAUUGCCAAUGAGGUUAAUAAAACAGUAGUGCAUCAGUACUUUGUUGGAACAGAAAGUCAGAAAAUCAGAAAAUCCACGGUACUUUGUUUAGAUCUUCACUGUUGACAAACGCAGUCAACUAAAAAUCCAGUUCAGUGCAUAAUUAGUGUUGACAAAUACACUGAUCUUUAUCUGCAGUAAUUCAGUUUAAACUGAAAAUUCAGUGUUGUAGUACAGAAAAUUUAAACUGAAAAUUCAUAGUCUCCUGGUGCAUAUUGAUCUCAGUGUAUGAAUUCAUAGUGUUUCAAAUUACUGAUGCUAUGGUCCAGGAGUAGAAAAAUUUGUACUCCAAGAUCAAUAUGGUUCAAUUUCUACUGUACUGUAAUCAAAGUGGAUAUAAAUUGCAGAGUGUUUAUGUUGGCAUUCGACAACAUCUAAAUUUACCAAAUGAUUGUGAACUCAGUUUAUGUUUGCAACCAAAUGCUUAGUUCAUUGUUUACUCCAAAUGAUUGUGAACUUAUUCAAAGUUUCCAAUAUUGUUCAGACACUACUUGUACUGGAACUGGAACUACUACUACUGAUGCAGCACCCCAUGUAGUUUAAGUUUUCUUUAUCUUAAACUCAGACAGCUCUCUAAUUAUUGGAGUUUAUAUCAUAUAUAUUGCUGGCAUGUAUUUCAUAUGUUCUGUAGCAUUAAGGCUACAUAGCAUUGCUUUUGUCUCUGACCAUCGUGUCGUGAUGAUAUUGUGGGGUGUUGUGGGGUUGCAGAGGCCCUUGAGUUUCAUCGCGAUGAUGCUAAUCGUGAUGACCGCAGCUCUCUUCUAUGUGAUGGUAGUUUAGAUGAUCGAUAUCGACUUGUAAUGUGAAGACAAACUCGCUACUCGCGGUUUCGAGACUUGUAGUGUUCUAACUUUGUUUGGUCUUUUGAAUUCGGAGACUAAUAUGAUGAAUUGUAUUCGGAGACUAAUCUUCUAUUGUAUUCGAUAACUCUGCUGUUUAUAUGUUGUGUGUCUAUAUUCUGUGCAGUAAUAUGUUUUGUAACCUGUGCAAAUAUCAGAAAAGAAAAAAAUCCCUAAUAUUCAUACUAGUGGCGCACCACCCAGAACUUUAGUGGCGCACUGCAAAAUGCAUACUAGUGGUGCAUCAGCAAGCAGUGCGCCAUUAGUAAGCCAGAGACAUGGUUAAAUAUGGCCCCCUGGGAGGCAUUCUAAUGGCGCAUCAUAGGGUGUACUAAUAGCGCACUACAUGGUGCGCCAUUAGUAUCUGAUAUACUAAUGGCACACUUGUGGUGCGCCAUUAGUAAUAAAAUCUAAUGGCAUGGUACUAGUGGCGCACCUGUAGUGCGCCAUUAGUAGGCAAAACAGGUGCGCCACUAGCAGCCCUUUUCCUAGUAGUGUCUAAAACGAUUUUCGAAAAAUUUGUCUUUUCUUCGCCCCUCUUUCGUGCGUCUUCUUCUUUUGCUCUUUGUUCGCUUGUCCGUUUGAUCUUUUAUCUUGCUGUCAUGGCUAGUUUUCCAUCCUUGUUAGCACUCCCAAUAAUAAGGUCCUCAACUUCAAACAAAGGGAAGGAGAAAAUUUAAAAGAUGCUUGGUAUAGAAUUUAUAAUGCUCAAAUUUGAUGAUUACUGCUGGAGAUGACUAACAUCCUAGAUGUUACUCACUAUGUCUAGAUACAUUCGUUUGAGUGUCAACUAAUUCUGAACAUCUUAGGUGUUACUCCCAAGUCUAGAUACAUUUUUUUGAGUGGCAACUAAUUCUGAAUGGAGGAAGUACACAAAGCUAAGCCACAGCCAUGAAAUAUAUAUAGGGCGGGGGGCGCUCGUUCCACAAGGAGCGGCGGGUAGCUUAGCUAUAGCUCGAUCGAUGAAUAUGGCUGUAGAUGGGUUUGGUGAGCUGGGCAUUCGUGUGGUGAGUCGCCGGCUGGUGCUCUGCCUGCCAGCUACUGCUCUGCCUGCCGCUCCACCUCCUUGUCGAUCGCGCCCACCCAAACGGACGUCCAUGACACAUACACCGACAAUGUGCUCCUCCACGGCCACGACUACCCAAGUAGUGGCCACGGCACCUCCUCCACAGGCUCGGGCGUGGGCGGUGCUGGUGGUGGUGGGGGCACGUUGGCCUCCACUCCGGCCGCCAAUUGGGCCAGCGCCUGCGCAAGGCCAGGCCACCUGGCCUUGCUCCUCGCGCUCGGCCUCCACGAUGGCCCUCCAUGUGGCCUCCUCGAGGGACACAACACAGGCCUCCUCGGCAUCCUAAUCCUCCUCCUUCACCACUCCCGGAAGUGGUGGUGGAGUGGCAAGAACGCGUGGUGCACCGGGCGCACACUUGACGCACUACCGGCAAUGUUGGUCGUGCUCGGUGGCAAACCACGCGUCCUAGUUACCGCAUACGUUGGGUCACGGCGGAGGUUGGCUAGGAGUAGAGCAUGGGAUCUCCGUCAGCUGUGCGCGGCCUGAGGCCGGCACCGGAACCCUAGCAAGGUUGAGGUCCCACCCGUGCGGUAGGUUCACACUGGGCUAUGGCGCAGGCACGCCAUACUCCCAAAAGUACUGGUAGCGGUGCAUCGGCAUGUAGUGCCGAAACCAUGGCUGCCGACUCAAGGUCGAUUUAUCUGUUCUUAUAAACUAGCGAAUUAGCAACUAUAUUACCCAAGAGUAACAACCAAGUCAUAUAUACAAUGUACGCUUGCAACCAUUGAAUAAAUUGUACAGAAUACCAAACAAAGAAGAUUGAACGAGGUCGUGGAACAACUCACAUGCACCAUCCACAGGUCAAGUGGAUGAUCCCAAUGAUGAGCGAAUGAUCCUAAUGACGAGCAGUUGGCGAGAUUAUGUUGCUCUUGUGAUGGUUAGUGAUGUCUGCGCUAGAGCUUGCUUACAACCUUGCGAGGUAAGGAGCUACGGCUACAUGCGUAUUAGGUUUUAUAAGCCGUGAAACCUCGAUAAAAGUUGCCGCUAUAAGUUUUUUCUUCAUGUCACUAUAAACCUUAUNNNNNNNNNNNNNNNNNNNNNNNNNNNNNNNNNNNNNNNNNNNNNNNNNNNNNNNNNNNNNNNNNNNNNNNNNNNNNNNNNNNNNNNNNNNNNNNNNNNNNNNNNNNNNNNNNNNNNNNNNNNNNNNNNNNNNNNNNNNNNNNNNNNNNNNNNNNNNNNNNNNNNNNNNNNNNNNNNNNNNNNNNNNNNNNNNNNNNNNNNNNNNNNNNNNNNNNNNNNNNNNNNNNNNNNNNNNNNNNNNNNNNNNNNNNNNNNNNNNNNNNNNNNNNNNNNNNNNNNNNNNNNNNNNNNNNNNNNNNNNNNNNNNNNNNNNNNNNNNNNNNNNNNNNNNNNNNNNNNNNNNNNNNNNNNNNNNNNNNNNNNNNNNNNNNNNNNNNNNNNNNNNNNNNNNNNNNNNNNNNNNNNNNNNNNNNNNNNNNNNNNNNNNNNNNNNNNNNNNNNNNNNNNNNNNNNNNNNNNNNNNNNNNNNNNNNNNNNNNNNNNNNNNNNNNNNNNNNNNNNNNNNNNNNNNNNNNNNNNNNNNNNNNNNNNNNNNNNNNNNNNNNNNNNNNNNNNNNNNNNNNNNNNNNNNNNNUAUAUAUGUAUAUAUAUAUGGGGCAUGAAACUGCAAACUACCACUAUUGUUGCCGGUGGACCUCCCGGCUCCGGUGCACAUCCCAACGUCGCCCUCGUGAAGCAAGCGAAUGGCCCCGCGAGCAUGUGGACGUUGUCCAUGUGGCAUUGGGUUCCCGCUUCUUGAGUGAACCGGAAAAAAAACCCAAAGCUGGUCAAUCUUCGGCUCGAAAGGAAGCCUGGCUUAUGGUUUUGUGUUUUCGCGCCGGCGUAGCCGCUCUCCGUCUGGGUGAGCGAGCGGUGGAGGACUGCCGCAAUGGAGGAGAUGGUGGUCCUUGGGCCCCGAUGCCUUUCGUGGCAUGAGGGCCGUGUCUUGUAUUCGAUGGCCGGGGACGCCAUCCGGAGCAGCUUGAGAAGGCACCGUCGGGGCUUUGCGCUUGCACCCCUAUGCAGCCAUGCCCGGCGCAGCGGGCUGUCCGCUGUGUGUCUUGCGGAGUCUGAGUGCAUCCAUCGGCUGAUUUUUAUUUUAUUCUUUCGAUGAGGAUUAGUAGUCGGAGAGUAGAUAGGUUCUUCCUCGAUCCCAUGAUAUAAAAGCUUGGGUGUUCGUUGACGCUAGCAAUGUCAAAAACGCUCUUAUAAAAUGGGAGGGAGUCCCUCGCAAAGAAAAAAAGAGAGUAGAUAGCUACUUUAUCUUUUAUUUUGAAGGUGGGAGUAGAUUGAUAACUACUUAGUGCACGUACGAAAAGAAAGACACGAUCGCCUAAAAAAAAGAAAUACUAUAUUGAGAUAUAUAUAGGGCGUGCGGGCGCUAGCAGUUCCACAACGAGCGGCGGGUAGCUAGGUUCAACAUCCAUAUAGGUUGAAUAUGGCUGUAGAUGGGUUUGGCGAGGUGGGCAUUCGUGUGGUGAGUCGCCGGCUGGUGAAGGCAUCCGACCCCUCCAUCCAACCGCAGGUGGUGCCCCUCUCCAACCUCGACCUGUACGUCGGCAACGUACAAGUCGCCAUACUAUGCCUCUAUCCCAAGCCUCCGGCGGGCAGGGAUUUCGCCGGCGUGGUGGCCACCUUCGAGUCCUUGCUGCCGGCUUUACUCAACGAGUUCUACCCUUUCGCCGGCCGCAUCGGCACCAACCCAAGCUCAGGCCUCCCCGAGCUGCUCUGCCAGAACCAGGGCGCAGAGCUGGUCGUGGGAGAGGUCCGCGUCGCUCUGGGGAGCCUGGACUACGGCCUGGCGGACAAGUCCCUGAAGAAGCUGAUGCUCCCGUACGCGGAGGACGUCACCUUCUCGGUGCAGCUGCUAUCCUUCGCCUGCGGCAGCUUCUCCGUGCUGUGGGCAACCAACCACCUCGUCGGCGACGGCCAUGACAACAUCAGGUUCCUGCGGAUGUGGUCUGAGCUCGCACGAACGGGCAAAAUCGUCGCCGACGGCGGGGACGGAAAGCUAAGCCACGACCGCUCGGUGUUCCGCCCUCGCAACCCGCCGUCAUACAGAGCCUCGCUCGCCACCGACCUAACGACGUUCGACCCGCGCCGGCUGGUAAACGUCCUGACGGCCCACGACAGCUUCGUCGACCGCCUCUACUACAUCGACGCGGCCGACAUCGCCAGGCUGCGCGAGAUGGCGAGCACCAAGCUGCAGCGCUCGUCACGCGUCCAGGCCGUGUCCGCGUACCUGUGGAAGGUCCUCGCCGGCGUGGUUGCCGCUUCCCGCGUGCCCGAGGAGCGCUGCCGCAUGGGGUGGUGGGUGAGCGCGCGCCGUCGUCUCACGUCGCCUGACCUCGCCUCUGCGAUGCGCAACUACUUCGGCAACGUCACGACCUAUGCCUACGGGGACGCGACGCUGGAGGAGAUCCAGCGCAAGUCGCUCGCGGAGGUGGCGGCCAUGGCGCGGGAGCCGGUCGCCUCCGUCAACUACGACGAGUACAUCCAGGAUCUGGUGGACUUCGUGGAGGUGCACAAGGGACAAGGGCUGAUGGAGACGGCCGUCGUCGGGCUGGGCAGCCCGACCCUAAGCCAGUCCGUGUUCGACUCAUUCCCACUCGACACCGACUUCGGCUUCGGCCAAGCUGCUCUCGCCAUGCCCAUCUCCGACUUCGCCAACCUCUGCUCAGCCUACCUGUCCAUCAGCGCGCGGCCGGCAGGCGACGGCUCCUGGCUCGUCAGUGCCUACAUAUGGCCGCGUCUCGCCGCCGCCCUCGAGGCCGAUGAGCAGCACAUCUUCAAGCCUCUCACGGCGGACUACCUUGGCCUCACAGCCUGCUAGACAACACCCACGCUAUUCUGUGUGUUCUUUUAGCCAACAAUAAAAUUCCUUGGUGUUUUGCUCUUCUUCCAACAAUAAAAUCCUUGUGUUGUGUUGUGUGGUGCUAUGUACUUUGGUUUUUUUCUUCAUCCAACAAUAAAGUUAGGAAGCGUUACUUUUUGAAAAAUAGCACACCUUAUAUAUACAUUUACUUUGAAAGUUAGAGAGGAUUUACUUUGAAAGUCACAGGUUUGCCAAGCACCUGAGGAAAAACACUCGGCAAAGCCAGCCCUUGGUUUCCGUCAGCCAAUAAAAGAUAGAUCACACGCGUGGCCGCCUGCUUAGCUAUAACCAAGGGCUCGCCGCCGCCAUACCCCCUUCACCUCCCCGCUGCCCCCAUCGGCCUCCUAAUUCCGACCACAGCCGCCUCUAUCCCCCACUAGCCGUCCAACUUUCUCCUCUUCAUAGAUCUAAAACUAGGAAUGGGUUGGAGGGCUCAAUGAACUAGAUCUACUAUAUAGUCAUCUUUGAGCUCAGCUAUUGGGCAUCAUUGCUAGUUGCAAGCUCCCAAUUGGUCACAUCACUGCUAUUCAUAUACCAGCGGGAUCAAAUUGGCCUCUACACGAGUAAGUUGGUCCCUACGGUGAAGUACAGCAGUGGGCCCAUAUUGGCACCCACCACUGAUAGGUGGCAAAGUAAAAUUGGCAUGUGAAAAGAAUUGCCAUGUACUGAUAAGAAUUUACCAGUGCGGUCCCACUUUGCACACACCACUGGGAAAAAAAUGAGACCAACCCAAGGGAUAACCCUCGUUGGCAUUUUCUUUAUAGGAGAAACUUCGCGAGCACCACACGUCCAAGCCGAAGCUCGAACUCGCGUGGGCUGGCAGCUACCCCAGCUACCGAGCCGACGGGUCGACGCCCCGUCCUCGCACACACCUAUGUGAUUUGGCUAUAUUAUGAGUUGGUGGGCCAUUAGUGUUUUAUGCAUAUUCCAAAAAAUCACAUUGUUUUACCAAUAUUCUGCGGCAGAAGCUUAUCCUCAAAGUGCACAUAUCCCAUAUUUACGAAAAAUACUCGUUUAUUCGUUUUUCUGCAGACCGCUCGGCGUUAAGGUUGGUUUACAGCCGAGCAAGCCGACUGCUCGGCGGGAUGAAGAUGAAAAGGCAGUGGGCUAAGCCGCGUGUGUUUUAUCAACUACAUGGGCUACAUUUAGGUAUUUCAAAACCAAAGGGCAAUAUAUAAGCCGAGUAAGGCGUUAGAGGACACUCGGCCAAUACCAAGACGUCGUCAUGGAGCCGUCAAGCACGUGGCAAUAGAAACACUGCAGUUGCUUGCGUGAGCCACACGUGUAUGCCGUGGUUUUUCUACAUAAUAUAUCGUGUUCUUUCUGUAGGCCAUGCGUCUUUUUACGUUGUAUUCGGUUUACAUGGAGCUAAGUUGAGGGACCUGCAAAUGCCGUGUGUUUUCAAGAUGGUACUCGGCUUAGGGUCUCUUUGAUUCAAAGGAUUUUGAUAGGAUCUUUGAAGGAUUAAAAUCCUGAGGAAGUUUUCCUAUGUUGGUCGUUUGAUUUGUAGGAUUGAAUCAUGUAGGAUUUUUUUCUAAAGAUGUAUUUGUACUACAUUUUACAGGAAUUCUAACAUCCACUCCAACCUUUUGGAAGAAAUCCUUUGUUUUCUCCAUGACACAAUCAAACAAACUCAAAUCCUAUAGGAAUCCAAUGGACAUGUCAUUCCAAUCCUACGUUUUUCCUAUGGAAAACUAUUAAAAUCAUCCGACUUAUUUUUCACGAACGUAAACCGUCUUUGACGGACGCCACGUGUCCCUGCUGGUCGCUCACUCCUUAUCCUUAUCUUUUCUCCAGAAGAAGCGUGAGCCACUCAUUCCUUUUCCUCCUUUUUCUUCUUCCUUCGAGCAAACAUGCUUUCCCAGGGACGGCUCUCUCCAGCAAUCCCAGUCGCCGCUCACUUCGUGUUGAUGUAGGGCUAGGCUGAGAGGAUGCUCCUUCCAUGGCCGGCGGCGGAGCUGCGUUUGGUGAUGCGCGACGAUGUUGCGGCCACGUUGACGGCAAAGCUGCGUUGGAGCAGAAGGUGCUACGAGCUGCUGCCAUGACCGGCGGCGCUACUGCACAGCAACGGCGAAGCUGCGUUUCAGCAGCAAACAGCUAUGAGCUGCUGCCAUGGCGGGCAGCAGAGCUACAUGGCAGCAUGCAGCAGGCGAUGCGUCAAUGAAACUUGGCCGGAGCUCCAUUGAAGCUUCGCCGGUGCGUCAAUGAAACUUCGCCGGAGCUCCAUUGAAGCUUCGCCGGUGCGUCAAUGAAGCUUGGCCGUAGCUCCAUUGGAGCUUCGCCGGGGCGUCAAUGAAACUUCGCCGGAGCUCCAUUGAAGCUUCGCCAGUGCGUCAAUGAAGCUUCGACGGGGUGGCUCGGUGUUGCUAUGGAGCAGCACCCGGUGGCUCUCGGUGUUGUGAUGCAGCGGUCGCCGGUGGCUCCGGGGACGCGAGGUCGCCGAGGCAGGGUGACAGGGGAGGGUCUGCGUUGCUCUGCAUCAGGAGGAGUUGUUGUGCGCUGCUCUGUAUCAGAUGGCUGGGGAUUAGUGGAGAAAGGCCCAGGUUGUGUCGCGGCGAUCGAACGACCAUCUGUGCGGACCGAACGGCUGGCUGGGCGGAUGAUAUCUCUAGGAAAUCAUCCGCCUGAUUUGUAGCAGCCGCCUCCUAUUCCUGUGUUUUUGCAAUUCUAUGAAUCUGUCUAAGACGAGUAUCCGAGAAAAUACACCCGGCUUACCAAAAAGCACUAAGCAACAUGUCUUUUUCUCGUAGUGGCCUUUUAAGGUUUUUAUUUUACUUCAUAUAGGGCUCAAAGAGCCAACCUCGCCACCAACAUCGCCUACCAAACUUUGCCCAAGACGUCAUGUCCAUGAUCACAGACCAGUCAGGUUUAAACAUGUUUUCAUCUCUAUGAAAUUCACACAAAAAUUCCAAAUUGACUAGGUGUUUAAACUUAUGUUUCGACAAAGACUCAGACACCUGGACAUUUGAAAAUAGGACAAACGUCGACGCUCACAUGGACGCACCUAGACUCACAUCUAUGAACUUAUACACUAUCUCACUAAAUAGCAUAAAACUACUACAAUUCGGACUAGAGUUUCAAAAAACUACUAAAUAUAUUUUUCCGCUCAUAACUACUAAAUCAGGGGUCGGCUGUUUCAAAAAACCCAAAUCAUCGAGUCUUUAGUAAUUGAUCACGAUUAUGACAGUUGGGGCCAAGCGUAAGAUAACCGUUUGUUUGACCGUUUAGUUUGAAUGUUAACUUACAUGUGGGUCCCACAUGUUAGUUUUUUUAAAAGCAAUCAGGUCCCUGUAAGUUUUCUAAAAUAGCAACCGGGUACAUGUGAGUUUUCUAUAAGGUCCCUAAAAGUUUUUGCAAAAAGCAAUAUAAUCAGGUCUCCAGAGGAGCCGCGCCCGCGGCAGCCUGCUCGAUCCCGAGCGCUCUGCCCGAACCACGACGCUGCCUCCAUCGGCCGGCCAGCCGCGCCCGCAACGGCCGAAUCCACGCCGUGCCUCGCCUGCCACCAUGGCGUGACUCGCAUGCCGCCAUGUCAUGCCUCGCUGGCGGCCGCUGCCACGCCGUGCCUCACCUGUGGCUGCCGCCAUCCCCUGCCGCGAGCUCCUCAAGCUAGACGUGGACGGCCUGCGCCGCUGCUGGAGUGCGCACCUCCCAUUGCCGCGGACGAGGUCGCUGUCUGCUAUGCCUCCUCGAAGCCACCGUCACCACCAGGAGCUACGGUGAGCACCUACCACGACCAUGGGGAGGGUGGGAAGGAGAGGGAGGGUCGCCGCCAGCCAGGCCCGGCCCGGAUGGAGGGGUAGGGGGCGGCCGCCCCAGGCCCCCGAAAUUGAGGGGACCCCACGUUCGUGUGCUCUCUGUAUCCAGCCCAUGUGCUCUCUGUAUCCAGCUGAUGAGAAAAAAUGAUUCUGGGCUACUUUUGAUGAAACAGACCUGUACAUGUAGUGGAACUUGUGUUUCCCUCGCGUAGGUCCGCGGAUGACGACAUGAGCGAUCAACCUAGCGAUAUAUCCUACAAGCCCGAGGGAAACCCCGCCGCCGACACAGCCUCCUCCCGUGGAGGCCUCCCCCGAUGAUUUCUCGUCCAAUGGCGGAUCGAGUAAUUUCAUGUUCAUCGCCCUGGACAGGAGUAACAACACCACCGGCCCUGGCAGGCAGUUUUAAACUACAGAGGUCAGGUUAGCAUCUUCCUGAUGCAUCAUCCAACGGAGCUAGCUAGAUUGAUAUGUGACUAGUUGGUGGCAGAAUUAUUAGAUCUAGUGUAUUAGCGGAGAGGAGUAGGACGUAGUUGUCCUUCUGACUAAUUUUUUUAAUGCAAUCCUUCCGAUUAAUUAAUCUGGUCGUGUUGGAGAUCGAUGAAAGAUGAGGGGAGAGGAUGUCUAGAAUCCAUGGGAUAAUGAUAAUUGGCAAGCUGAAAUUAAUUGGAGGAUUCAUGGUCGAUUCAAUAUGAUUAGGUGGCAAAAUUAAUUUUUAGUAGCUAAAAAAAUUAACUUUUAGUGUUGCAAACUAUGAAGCUAUUCUACCUGCAUGCCACCAAGAGCAGUUCAAAUUACUUUUUGUUUGCCAAACUAUGAAAUAUACAAUGCAUGAAACUUCCCUAUCAAAAUCUUAGCAAAAGUGAGAAAUAAUAAUUAUAAUAAUGUAUAAUUAGAACCCGGAACUAGGUCGACCAGCUGGUUUUGCACGCCAUGAUAAAAAAAUUAACAACAAUUCAUGUUUAAAAUUUAUCUAGACAUGCACAUAAUGAUUAUAAUUUUGGAUAUAUAAAGGGCCUCCGAUUGUAUUUUUGCCCCGGGCCCCUGAAAUCUCAGGACCGGCCGUGCCGCUAGCUUGGGAUGGGAGGGGACGGUCGUCGGCUUGGGAGCGGAGGGGAGGGUCGCCGGCUUGGGAGGGGAGAUGGCCUGCUCGGGAGACACCAGAAGAGAGACGAGAAGAGACAAAGAGGAAGAAGAAAGAGAAUAGCAAGAGGAAACUUACAUGUAGGCCCCACAUGUAAGUUAACGGCCAAACUAAGGUCAAACUGACAGUUUGUUUAGGUGCGGGCCCAACCUGUCGUGACCGUGAUCAACCGAUAAGGACUCGGGGAUUUGGGUUUUUUGAAACAGCCGACCCCCCGGCUUGGUAGUUAUCAGCAAAAAGAAUUUGGUAGUGUUUUGUAACCCUAACGUGAAUUGUAGUAGUUUUAUGCUAUUUACUCAAACGAUCUCUAUGAGCAUUUUCAAGAUACUGAACCGGCACAUCAUUUUGAGAUUGGUGAACACCACAGACGUCUUCAUAGUUGACAGAAACGUCUCCUCCCAAUGAACGAACAUCGCAAAAGCCUGAAAUAAAUCCCAAAAACUGUCAGCACCAUUACCAAGUUUAAAACUUGAACCCUGAUAGGGUUGGUUCCACCACAAGAAAUCUAACUAUUUGAGCCAUGCACAUCUCAUAGUUUUCCCUGUGGCCAUGGAGGGUGCCACAUAUGUAACCCAUUAAUAUGGGAACCCAUACCUGUAAGCUUGUCAGCAUUUAUAGGCUAUAUAUGCUAAUCAAUUAUAAAAAAAACUGGGAUAACAAGUUUGAACUACACCCAUUAUUCCUCCGCCUAUAUAUUGUCGUGCAUGCAUGCCAGUGCCAUAUACGGAAACAAACCGACCGAGAAGGCCCUUAAUUAACAGCUAGCUAGCUCUCUUGGUCGAAUAUGGUAACUGCUAAUGCUAUUGGCUCCGGCGACCUGAGCAUCCGUGUCCUGAGUCGCCGCCUUGUCAAGGCCUCCGACCCAUCUACCAAGCCGCACGUAGCCGCCUUCUCGAACCUCGACCUCUACCCUGGCAACGAGCAGGCCUCGAUAGUAUGCCUCUACCCCAAGCUCCCAAACGCCGGUGACUUCCCGGCGGUUGUAGCCACCUUCGACUCCAUCCUCCCGUCGUUGCUCAACGACUUCUACCAUUUCGCCGGGCGCAUCCGCACCAACCCAAGCUCCGGCCUCCCCGAGCUGCUCUGCGACAACCAAGGCGCAGAGCUGGUGGUCGGCGAGGCCGGUGUCGCCAUGGCCAGCCUGGACUACGGCCUGGCGGAGCAGUCGUUGAAGAAGAUAAUGCUUCCGUACGCCGAGGACGUCACGCUCUCGGUUCAGCUGCUCUCCUUCGCCUGUGGCGGCUUCUCCGUCGUGUGGGCGACCAACAACCUUGUGUGUGACGGCCAAGCCUUCACCAUGUUCGUCAGGAGGUGGUCCGAGCUCGCCCGAACUGGGCGCAUCGUCGACGGACCGCCCAACCAUGACCGCUCGGUGUUCAGCCCUCGCAGGCCGCCGUCGUACGGAGCCUCGAUCAGGGACAUGUUCGCGACGUACGACCAUGACCGGCUGGUGAACGUGCUGACGGCGCACGACAGCUUCGUCGAGCGCCUCUACUACAUCGAGGCGAGCGACAUCGCUGCCCUGCGGGAGGCGGCAAGCAGCAAGCUCCAGCGCCCGUCGCGCGUCCAGGCGGUGUCCGCGUACCUGUGGAAGGCCCUCGCCCGCGUGGUGGCCGCGUCCCGCGUGCCGGAGGAGCGCUGCUGCAUGGGGUGGAUGGUGGACGCGCGGCGGCGGGUGAAGGCGCCGGAGCUCGUCCGGGCGAUGGGCAACUACUUCGGCAACGUUACGGCCUACGCUCUCGGGGAGGCAGCCGUUGAGGAGAUACAGGAGAAGGAGCUGUCGGAGGUGGCGGCCAUGGUGCGGGAGACCAUCACGUCUAUCGACUACGAUGAGUACACCCAGGAGCUGGUGGACUGGGUGGAGGAGCACAAGACAGAGAGGCUGAUGGAGAAGGGCGUCAUCGGGCUCGGUACGCCCACCUUGAACCAGACGGUGUUCGCGUCGUUCCCGCUCGACACCGACUUCGGCUUCGGCCAUGCCGUGCUGGCAAUGCCCAUGUGCGACUACGGGAGGCUCAGCUCGGGGUACCUGUCGAUCGGAGCUCGGCCGGGAGGCGACGGCUCCUGGCUGGUCAACGCCUACAUAUGGCCUCGCCUCGCGGCGGCGCUUGAGUCGGACCAGCAGCGCAUCUUCAAGCCUCUCACGGCGGAGUAUCUAGGGCUCGUCUAGGCGUACCACUCUGCUGUCUGCCCGGUUUCUUCUUCAAUAAGUCUUUGCUUCGUCUUUUGAGGCAUGAAAGCAGCUCGUGCUUGUUUUACUUCCACCUAUUUUGCAAUACCCCAAAUAAAGCCCUUCUGUGUGGAGGGUAGUUUGUUUGAUCAAUAAAUGUUUGAGUCGUUCAUAAGGUUUCCUUGAUUAGUAUACAAAUCAGUUGAUGACUACGUUUCACAACUCAUGUGCAUGGAGAUGCUAAACCGAUAGUAUGGACUCGGGGAUGGAGACCACGCAGUCGGACAUACCAACUCUGAGACGCAGCGAGAUGUUGUCAUAUGUUAGUGUCAAGCACAAUGUUUAUGCCAUGUCCUAGACCUAAGGUCCUCGCAUGUUCUCGGGAUGAGUAUCGACUCACUUAAGGUCUAUCAAACGCUACUCCAUAACUGGCUAGAUAUAAAUGUAGCUUUUGGGUGGGUGGUGAGAUAUGCCGCGAGACAUGGCCGACCAAGAUGGGAUUUACCCCUCCUAUUUGAAGAGAUAUUUUCUGGACCCUCUCGAGGGAUCGGAUUCGGAAAGCAUGACCAUGCGACUUGGUUAAGUGUUAACCCAGUGCGGGAAUCUAUAUCACGGUGUCAAGAAGAGAGGUCGAGCUACCACAAGGGUGACAAGUACUCACCUUGAGCUUGACAACAUAUAUCGUGAGGCAAAAGGAAUGUUGCAGAUGAUACAUUGUCGAGGUUCUUCGAACGACUUUACACGCACAUGAGAGUUGGCACGUUCAGCGAGGAGCUGCUACCAACUAUCGACUCUGGUCGUGUCCAUGUGUACGUAAACCUAUAGGGUCGCACACUUAAGGGGCUGCAGGCCAUUCGGAUUGGAUUCGAGUGGAAAUGGUUUUACUCCUAGUGGGCCUCAAGUAUUGAGCCUAUCUCGGAGGUCUAUAUAUAGGGGAGUGGCCGCACAACUGAGGUUGAUCUUUUUCCACCAUGGACAGCCUCCAUCGCAACUCCCCACGCCCAUCCCGCGCGACCUAACCUAGAUGCCUACCGCCCGACGCUGCUCCCCGUACGUGUGGAUACCUUGCAGGCAUCGCAUCCGUGGUGCUUGGAUGAACUGUUCGAGGGAACCGCGAGGUGCCGUUCGCGGGAGAUCAACGUUCACAGGUCUUUGUUGUUCGCGGGAGAUCGACGACGCGAGGAGGAGACGCCUCGGGAGAUCGUCUACAUGCAUCUCCAACUCUAUUUUCUGCUGCGGUUACUGCGCGUCUAGUGGUAAACUCGAUCUCAUGAUCUAUUUCCAGCAACUUGAUCUUGGGUGCGUGGUAGAAUUUUUUUUAUUUGGCUCUAGCUUAGCAUACCGCGUGUUUCUACAGUCGUAUCAGAGCCUAUGCUACGUGGUAUUAGAUUCAAGGUAGAAUUUUCAAAUGAUGAUAUGUAGAUUGCUUUAUGUACUGGCCGAUGAGAUCGGUUGUCAAUAUGAUUGACUAUACAUGGUGUCAGGCAUUCGAAAUUGUGAUCUAAUUUUCCGUGAUGAUGUUGUGGAGGUCGUGGCACAAAUUACCUAUACCGGUCGGUUUCGGCCAUCGGGUAAGACAGUGGAACGUAAAGUCGGUCACAACACGCGAAGACCAAUGAGAUUGGUUGAAUCAGAUAGAUGGUCAAAAUAGGAUAAAUAUGAUUUGCCGGUGAAAAUUCCCAUGCAAAAAUGCAUAGAUAUUGCAAGGGCGCUGCCAGUUGACCCCACAGGGGGCAAAGCCCCAUCGACCCCCAUCCUGUUAAUCUCUUAGGGCGGUGGAUAACUUGUUUUUGCAGGUAAUGCUUGUGAUUUGGUACAACCCGGGUAUGUUGCAUGUACGUAAUUAUAUCAUGACCUGCGUGUCGAGAGUACAAUAACUGGUUGGAGCCAUAUGGUUGUCCCAUUAUUGUAUUAAUGACCUUCAUGUCAACAUGAGAAGCAUUGUAUUGUUAUUUACUUUCAAUAGCUAUUAGUUUGUAAUAGCGUAGUAUCUUAUGUAACACUUGGCGGUUGACACCAUGGCGUGGAGAUGAAGAUCUCCACGAGGACAACCAUGCAUGGAGAUGGAGAUCACCAUGGGCAGGCCGUGCAGGUGGAGACGAAGAUCACCAUGCGAUAUCAAAAGGGGCUAAACCAUAUCACACAUAUAAACUGCCUGUGAAAGUUUAUCUCUGUUAUGCACCCUUCUUUUGCAUGGUAGACGUUUCAAGUAGGGUGAUCCCUCAAAGAAUGUCAAGUAAAAAUGCCUCUCCAAAUGUUGCACCAUCACACAUCAAGUAUACUUAGUGGUGGGAUUAUAAAAUUAAGGUGCCAUUUGGUGUCCUUGAAGUGAUGGGUUCGGUUCGGACACUUACAUGCAUAGCAUUGGUUAUCUUGUCGUGGCUAUCAAAACAGUUUUGGGCCUCGAGGCGUAGGAGUUGGUGCGACAUGAGAUGUCCCCAACAACAAGAGUCGUAUGGAGACACGAUUAGCAAGAAAUACUUAUGGAGUGAUCUCGUCUUCUAGCAGUGAUGCAAAUGCUCACUAGUUAACAUGUUGAUCUUGGAUCUUGAAUCACUAAGUAUCAUCUGAGGGAUGUUGAUUUUAUUUGGAGUGAUGAUCUUAUUAAAAUGUUUAAUAUGAAUUACUCUUCAUGAAUACAUGUCUUAGUGUUUUGCAUCUUUCUGUUGGAGAUCAGAGGCACCACCUGCUCAAGUUACUCCUUUUGCGCUGAAAACAAUCCUAGAAAAAGAUAAAUGGAAUGGGACAAACUUUACGACCUGGUAUAGAAAUCUGGGAAUUGUUCUUAGGCAUGAGAAAAAGGACCAAGUUCUAGAAAAUCCGCUUCCAGAUGUACCUGCCAAGAAUGCUAAUGCCACAACCAGGAGUGCCUACCAGAAACCCAUUGAUGAAUAAAAUGAGAUCAUCUAUCUCAUGCCGGCUUCAAUGGAGCCCGAUCUACAGCAGCAGUUCGAAAACAUUAAGGCUUUCGAUAUGAUCGAGAACCUCAAAAGCAUGUUUCUGAUGUAGGCUAGGACCGAAAGGUUCAACGUCUGGCUAUCCUUGAUGGAUUGUAAGUUGAAUGAAAGUGAUCAAGAUGACUAGGUACAUGCAAGCUUUGGAUUGGUUGGGCUUCCCACUUGGGAACGUUCAACUCGAACUACCAUAUGCAUGGGAUGGAAAAGAAGCUCACUGAAUUGCAUGGGAUGCUCAAGGUGGCAGAGCAGGAUAUAAAGAAAGUUACGCAUCGUCAAGUGUUGAUGGUGCAGAACUGGGCUAAGUUCAAGAAGAGAUGUUCCAAGAAAAAGCAUAAGGCAAACGGCCAGGAGGAGAAGGCAACUCCAACUUCUGCCGUUGCGCCUAAGUCAGGGCCAGCCGGGGACCGUUUUCUUUCACUGUAAGGAACACGGCCACUAGAAAAUGAACUGCAACAAGUGGCUUGUCGAGAAGGGCAAGAAGACUGGAAGUGUCACUUCUUCAAGUACACUUAUUGUAUAUGUUAUAGACAUUUAUCUUGCUGAUGUUUCUAGUAGCUCUUAGGUAUAUGUUACCGGAUCGGAUGUUCACAUAUGCAUCUCGAUGCAGAGUCUAAGAAGAACUAGGAAUGUUGGAAGAGAAGUUGACAUACACAUCGUGAAUAAAGCAAGAGUUGAUGCAUUGGCCGUCAGCACUAUGCAACUUAAUUUACCUUCAGGAUUUGGAAUGGAACUUGAUAAUUGUAAUUAUGUUCCUGCUUUGAGUCAAAACAUUAUUUCUGCCUCAUGUUUGAUGAUACAAGUUUAUGAAAUAAGUAUUAAGGACAAUGGUUGUUCUAUGUACUUGAAUAAAAUGUUUCAUGGCUUUCCACCUAUUGUGAACGGGUUAUUAAUCCUAGAUCUUGAAGGUGAGCCAGUCUAUAACAUAAAUGUCAAGAGGCAUAAGCCUAACGAAAUAAACCCGACUUACAUCUGGCAUUGUCGACUAGUACACAUUAGUAAAAGUGCAUGAGGAAGCUCAAUGAUGAUGGAAUUCUAACUUCAUUUGAUUUUGAAUCAUUCGAGACAUGUGAGUGUUGCCUUCUUGGCAAGAUGACUCAGACUCCUUUUGCAAGGAGUUGCGAAAGGACGUCCGAGUUAUCGAAACUCAUCAUAGUGAUGUAUGUGGACCAAUGAGCACGACAGCAGGUGGUUUCCAAUAUUUCGUGACGUUUACAGAAAACUUGAGUAGAUUUGGAUAUGUCUACUUGAUGAGGCACAAGUUAGAAACUUUUGGAAAGUUCAAGGAGUUUGAGAGCGAAGUGGAGAAUCAACUCGGCAAGAGAAUCAAACUUCUACGAUCUGAUCGUGGCGGUGAGUAUAUGAGCCAGGAGUUUGAUGAUUAUCUAAAGAGUCGUGGAAUAGUUCCACAACUGUAUCCUCGGGGUAUGCCACAGAGAAAUGGCGUGUUGGAACGAAGGAAUCGGACUCUGUUAGACAUGGUCCAAUCAAUGACGAGUCGGUCGGAUUUACCUUUGUUAUUUUGGCGAUACGCUCUAGAAACUGCGUAUUUCACACUAAAUAGGGUACCAUCCAAGUUUGUAGAUAAGACGGCAUAUGAGAUAUGGACUGCGAAGAGUCACAGUUUGUCUUCUCUAAAAAUUUGGGGUUGUGAAGCAUACGUCAAGCGACUCCAGUCAGACAAGCGCACACCCAAGUCGGACAAGUGCAUAUUCGUGGGGUAUCCAAGGGAAACCUUGGGAUCUUACUCCUACAUCCGUGAAGACUGCAAAGCGUUUGUCGCUCGACAUGGAGUUUUCCUUGAGAAAGAGUUUCUCAAUCAGAAGGCUAGUGGGAGGAUGAUACGACUCGAGGAAAUUCGAGAACCACAUGGAGUUAGUCAGGGAACCCAUGGUGGAGUCGACGCCAAUUCCACGGAGGUCAGAAAGGUUGCGCAAUAUGCAUGACUGCAAUGUGUUGUUCUUGGAGAACAACGAGCCGGCAACGUAUGCGGAAGCCAUAGAGAGCCCUGAUUCCGAGUUAUUGCUUGAGGCCAUGAGAUCCGGAUUAAAGUCCAUGGAUGGCAAUCAAGCUUGGAACUUGGUUGAUCUGCCAGAUGGCGCUCGAGGCAUUGAGUGCAAACUGGUAGUGAUGCCUAAAUAAAUUAGGACCAUUCUUGCUAUAUCUGCAUAUUUCGACUAUGUUACUAUUAUGUUCUUCAACAGAAGGUCCCAAAUGUUGUUGUGCCUCUGCUGAUGGACGCCGAAAGUGAGAUGACAAUUGUUUGCCCUUUGAAGAUCAGAUUCAAAUAUACAUACUCGACCGAGCGUUAAUCAAAUGGAUGCCUCAAAAUUGAGUGAUGGAGGCAAAUAGUCAAUGAGCUCGGGCCACAAAUUGGAGACCGGGGAUCUCUGUGGUCCAUCAUGGAGAUGUAGUUUUUUUUCUCUGUUUUAUUCUAUUUUACCUAAGACACUGGAGUAGGUCAUAGUACUUGUCAUGUGCUUGAAAGUUACUUACCUAGGAUGAUGACAAUUAGUUAGUAGUGGUUAACUUAUGAUGAUGAUGAUGGUGAUGAUGGUGAUGAUGAUGAUGAUGAGACAUUUUUAUAUAAUUAUGAUCAUGAUGAGCUGUUAUAUCACUACGAUGAUGAUGAGUUAUAUCAUUUUGAUAAUGAUGAGUUGUUACAUGAUGAUGAUGAUGAUGAUGAUGAUGAUGAUGAUGAUGAUGAUGAUGAGUUGUUAUAUAGUUGCUUGUGUAUAAAAAUCUGUAUAAUUAUUGUAUAAAUAUAGUAUAAUAUGUAGAAAGGAAAUACAUAGAGUUAGUAGUGGCGGGGGGCCUCGCGCUAUAGCUAGUUAUUAGUAGCACGGGCCAAACACCGCGCUGCUCCUAAUGUAAGUAGUAUUAGAGCCGAGCCUGGCCCGUCUUACUAGGAACCAGUUAGCUACACGCUGAUGAGUUGUUAUAUGAUGAUGAUGAUGAUGAUGAGUUUUUAUAUAGUUGCUAAUGUAAGUAGCGAGGCAACCCGCACUACUCCUAUGCCUUUAAACCGCGCCACUACUAGCCUUAUCCCUUGUAGUGACGGGCAGAUGGAGCGAUGAAAUGCGCAUGUCCUCAAUGGGCUCCAAACGAGAACAUUCGCCUAACUCAAGAAGUGUGGCCGGUGAUGGAUCGAUGAGCUUCCCUAUGUUCUAUUUAGUGUAGAUAUCACUCUUAAUUAACUUGUUUUUCUGCGGAUAGUAACUAACGCUUUGAGCCUUUGUGGUUUAUCUCACAAUUUUUGUCUUCACAACUGGAGUAGGCCACAAUGUUGAGAUGCAAAAAAAGGUCCAUAAACUAAUUAAAUGGAAUAUCAUUUAGAUACGACACUUAUAAGAUACACUAAAUAUUAAGAGACGUGUUGAGUAUAUAAUGAAUAGGGGUCAUUGUCUCUAAAUAGUUUUCACUAAAUAGGAUGAUGUGUUAAGAGACACUGCGUUGUGAGUUCCCUUUCGCUAAAUUAAUUUGCCCUGGUUCGAUUGCAGAGAUGUGUGCGGAGUUUCUUGGGGGAGUUUGGCAGCCAAUCGAUGAUAACUAGUUCUAGGACGCUACUAGGUCAGAUUCAAAACUGAACAUAUGGCUUGGUCCAAGAGUUUCGGCUCUCACAACCUGAAAAUCUGCAGCUUUCACACUAAAUAUUAAGAGAUUCGAAACUGAACAUAUCUGUCAUUGGUUUGAUGCUGUGGGUCCGUUUCAUUAUCUUUUUUUUUAUCAGGUAGUUGGACGGCCACACCAUGCCCUGAAAAUCUGUCUAGAUCUUGAUCGGGAGGCAUAAGAUUUCUUAUUCUGACAACCCUGAAACUGUUUGCCAUGCAUGCAUUAUCCUUCGCAAAGCGAAUUAAGUUGCCCCUAGACAAGGGCGGAUGGAGUAUAGUUCACUGUAGCUUCAUGAUUCUUUUGUCAGCUUAUUUUUUAGAGCUGCGGCUAUCAUAUUUACACCUGCUGUUAUAUCUGUUUCCAGAACCAUGUGUCAGCAGCUUCUGUUAUCAUAGCCAAUAAAACUAUCACGAAGCUACAGUGUGAGCAAUGAAGACGUUAUAUAAACAGGGAUAAAAUAUAUUGUGCUAAACUGCUCUAUCCAAAACCAUGUGUCUGCUCCUCUUGUUUGUUUCUUUACUAUUUUUCAUAUUGUGGAUGAUCAUGACGAUACAUACUAAAGAGUUUUGCAUAGCAUAUGUAAUUUCAUGCAUACAGACAAUGUUUUUUUAUUGGUGUAUUAUUUCACUCUGUUAAGACAAAAUUAUAUUUUGGAAUAUUGAAAUAAUAAUAUUAGGUAAAUCAUACAUGUGCACUAUGAAGCUAACUUUGUGCAAGAGAAAUGAGUAAAAUUAAGGACAAGAUUUAUACCUAUGCAAUACAAAAAAAAACUAUCUGCAGCAGUAAAUUCAUGUAGCUGGCAACAUUACUGGUACAAAUUAGAUCUAAUUAUAGUGCAUACAUGUACCUUUUUUAGAAAACAAAUCUUGAAACUUCGAUAGAAAAUUUUACGAUUUAUGAAAUUUGAAUGGGAAAACUAAACCAAAACCAAAAGGCCGGGAGUUAAAUGUGAGUGAAAAUAAAUGUCAGGAGGUAUUUGUCAGUGAAAAUAAAUAUGAGUGACACUUCUCCAUGCAAAAAUGUUAGUGAAAAAACUUGAAUUUUCACUGUAAAAACAACCCCAAAAUAAAGGAGGAAGCAGAACCAUCGAAAUGUUUAUGAAACGAACAACCACCAACAUAAGAGAGAAGUCACCAUACUCAUUAAGACGCCCAUGUUCAUCUGAGUAGUUAAGCCACUGCAUAGCAAUUAAUAGAAAGAAAACUGCAUAGAAAUUAAUUUUGAUGGGCUCGUGGAUCACGGCAGAAGCAUGCAUGAAUGCAUAUGUCUAUCGUUGCAGGUCAUUCAUGAGAGCAAUGCAUUCAUAUCUAUCUUUGCACGGAUGGAAAAAUUAGUCUGGCGCCAUAUAUCUUCUAUUUGUUAUACUACAGAAAGACAUAUUAAAAUAAAGUUGCCCCUAAACAAGGUGGAUGGACGACCACUCAUUUUGGCAGACUGUACUCGCACAAUUCGUUUUCCCAAUAAUAAUGUGAAUGGAGAGAGUAUAAUUCACACUGUCGCUUCAUGAUUCUUUUGUCAGCUUAUUUUUUAGAGCUGCCUUUUUUUUUGCGGGAAUAUUUUUUAGAGCUGUCAGCUAUUAUAUUUACCCCUACUGCCAUAACUAUUUCCAGAGCCAUGUGUCGGCAGCUUUUGUUAUCAUAGCCGACAAAACUAUAACGAAGCUACAGUGUGAGCCAGGAAGACGUUAUAUUUUCAGGGAUAACAUAUAUAUUGUGCCAAACUCCUCUAUCCAAAACUAUUUGCCGGCACCUCUUGUUUUGUUUAUUUACAAUUUUAAUAUUGUGGAUGAUCAUGACGAUACGAAGUAAAGAGUUUUGCAUAGCAUAUGUAAUUUCAUGCAGGCAGACAACACUUUUUUAUCAGUGUAUAAUUUUGCUCUGUAAAGACAAGAUUUUAUCUUGUGAUAUUGAAAACAUAGUGUUAGAUAAAUCAUAGAUGUGAUCUUUGUGGAUAAAUUUGUGCAAGAGAAUUGAAUAAAAUUAAGAACAAGUUGUAUACCUGUGCAAUAAAGAAAACUAUCUGCAGUAGUAAAUACAUGUAGGUGGCAACACUCACAUUUUGGUUAUUCCUGUAUAAACAUUGCUAGUGCAAAUUGGAUCCUAUAUAUUGUGCACACGGUGUUCCCGUCCUCGGAUGGUUUCCCCUUGUUCGGUCUUGCUCAUUCUCGUUGCUCACAAGCUCAUGCAAUUGAGAACCUGAGAUCUUCAAUCUGGCCAUCUGGGAUUUCCGGACUUCUCCUUCGAAGGAAAACAAGGACUGGCACAUAUGGCGCUCUUUGGACACCUUGACUAGAUAGGGGCCUGUCGUGUGCACCCGCAACAUCAGCAUAACCAGCUUUACCGGGGUAUCGUGCAGCUCUGUUUUUGUUGGCACCUUGGGACAUGUCUGCACCAAGAUUCCCAUGGGAUCAACACAUGUGGAGAAUGUCAUGGCGUGAUUGAAGGACUUGCAAGUGGCAAAGGCGGGGUCUUGGAUGCGAUGAAGACUUUGCUUCAUAGGCAGUUGUUUAGACAUGGCUUACGGGAUAUGUUCCCAUCCAGACGGGACGUGAAUUCCUGUGAGCCUAAUGGUGCGUGACUUGCAGUAGUAGCCUCCGCAAGUGGGGGUGGCGGCAUUGGAGGACUUCUUUGUUAUUCGGUGCUCCUCUGAGUACCCAAUCAGGAUUUCCAAGGUGAAAACCCAAGGUCUGGCCUUUAUUGGUUGUGCCUGGCAGUAGUCUUGUUGAAGGCAUUAUUGUUGGGAACCUCAUCUUUCUCCAGGGUGAAAACGUAAUAUCUUUGAUCAGGCAACGACAACGCUUGUGCUUUGUUUCCUUCCUGGAGGCAUUGCUUUUGGAGAACCUAUUUUGUAGUCCGGGUGCCAUCUUUGGUGGUGGUUAGAGUGCGGCUACUUCGGGUAUUGAUCACCGUGGUGGGAUAUUUUUUCUUCUCUUUUUAUUUUGAUUUUUAGUUGUGUGCAUCCUGGAUGUUUUUAGGCAUCUUGUUGUUGCAGAGUCUGGGAGUAAUUGGUAUCUGCUUGAUAUUAAUACAUUCUCCUUUACAAAAAAAAAUUACAUAUGCCUUUUCUAGAAUUUUUUUCCUAAAACUUCCAGGGAUGAUUCUAUCAUUUGUUUAAUUUUAAUGGAAAAAUUAAACCAAAACCAAAACGUCAGGAGGUAAAUGUGAGUGAAUAUUAAGGUCAAGAGGUAAAUGUGUUUGAAAUAAAUAUGAGUGACACUUCUCCAUGUGAAAUUGUUAGGGAGAAAACUAGACUUCUCUCUGUAAAAAUAACCCCAAAAUUAUGGAGGAAACAAAACCAUCCAAAUAAACAAUAUAUUGAGAAGUCUAUGAAACGAACAACCACCAAGAUAAAAGAGAAUUCGCCAUACUCAUCAAGACGCCCACAUGUCAAUAGCUCAGUCAGUCAACAUUAUAGCAAUUAAUUUUGAUAGGCUCAAGGAUCAUAGUAGAAGCAUGCAUGAAUCGUUGCAGGUCAUUGAUGAGAGCAAUGCAGAUCACUAUCUUUGCAUGGUCAGAAAAAUUAUUCUGGCGCCACCUAUCUUCUAUUUGUUAAACCAUAUGAAGGCGCAUAUCUCAUCACGAACGAUUAAUCAACAAUAUAUACUACACAAUGACACAUUAAAAUUAUUGCACAUGGGCGAGAUUGAUGGCUUUAUCCUUCAUAUGAUCCAAAUAAUCGUAUUUAUUGUUCACACUGUAACAACAUAAUGGUUUUGUUGGCUAUCUACCCCUGCUACCAUUCCUAUCUCUUGAGCAACAUGCUAGUAUCUUUUGUUUAGUUUAGCUAAAAAGAUUGGAAUGAGAGAUUUCCUUUUUUUGUGCAAUAACAUGAUAGUACAAACUACUGAACUUUACAUAUUUAGGUACUCAAUAAAAUACUGUUAAAGAUAGCUAUAGACAUUAGUCAUAUUAAUUCAACCAUAAGAGAUUAUCAUGUACCAUAUUAGCAUGAUUACUGGUCCUGUUCAAGAAUUCGUCCGAUUAACCAGUUAACUUGGAAAUUAAUCCCUACUUGUAAGGUCAUCGUGUAGCCAAUAAACUGAUAAAUCCUCCGUUUAAUUUCUUAACAGGACAAUUAACUUGCCGAUUACCCUAUUAAUCCCCUACUCCCUAGCCAACCAAGCAGCUACCAGUUAACAAUUUCCUCAACAAAUUUACUGGUAUGUUCCUGUUUAGAUGGUUCACCAAUACACUUCCAAAGUUAUUUUUGAGAAUGAUGCACCCUUUUUACAUUUUUUUGGUAUUAUUCCAUCAAUGCUGCACUACAUCAUAGCAUCUUCUUCUUUUUGGAAUGGCUAUGAAAGGACACGAUAGGUAUGUCUGGUGAACUUUUUGUGGAGAUACUUGGGCUCAUGUGUCUGAGAAUAAGAGGAUGUCCUCCCAUAGGAUUUACAUAUACCAACAACUAUUAACCAUGUCUCAAUGUGAGAUUGGAGACUAAAGAGUCUAGAUUUUAUAAGAUUAACCGGAAGUGUUGACUUCAACCGUGUAUUACUAAUCCACUGCAGUUGAAUUUUUGCAGUUGAAUUUUGCAUAUGGCUAAUUUAUUAAUCAACACCUAGGAGGAAUAGUUUGUAGGAGUUACCUAUAGCGUUGCCCUGGCAAAAGGAAAUGUGAUUGUUUAUCAAAAUUGUUUCUACUUAUAUUGUUUUAUCCCGUUACUACUGCAGCACUAAUUUUUAGUUAACUAAUGAAAGAAAGGCAUCAUAUUGUUUUAUCCCAUUGAUACCAGAGCACCAAUUUUUAGUUCAUUAAUUAUGUUGCUAUCUUCAAGUAUUUUUAAUCUGGAGGAAGUUCCACAAAACAAAAAUGUGAGAGUCAAAAAGGUGAGGGGAAAACGAGCUGAAUACCACCUUCUUUGUCCUGUCUUGCUUAAUCCACUUGAAGCCAGAUUACCACUUCGGCAGGGUAUGCUGAUGGAACUCGAACUAGGAACCUCAGUGACAUUUGUAGCCAUACAUUCAAAACACCUCCAGGCACAUGAUUUCAAAAGAUAUUUUUGAAGCAACAGGUCACCAAGCGUCUAAUUGAGUGUUGUAGACAUGACAAUGUCUAAAAUGGCGACUUUGAGGAAGCGUAAUGGAACAAACAUUGUGUCAUGCAUGUGCUCUCUACCACACCCUCGACAAAAAUCAAGAUCCCAGUCCAGUGGAAUGAGGAGGACUAGGAUAUGGACGACGAAGGGCCCAGCAACUAGAUAGAGACAACUUAGGAGUGAGCCAUAGGAAGAUCAUCUAGUGCACUGGGUGUGUGGAUUUGAGGGCCCACUUGUAAGAGAGUGCGUAUGCGUUUAAAAGGGGCAAGUGAAUCAGACAUGUGCCGUAACUUAUCGAUGAAAUAAUAAUUGUUUGAACUCUCACCUACUCUGUUCUGCAUCUCACCCUCUUCAUCUGUUCUUCAACUUCUUCUCAUCCCCUACUCCAUAUUAUCCUCUCCAAUAUGUGAUUCUUCCACCAACACUAGUUGGACAUCACAGUUUGACAAUGGAAAUCUUGGUAAAUUUUUCUCUUUGACAGCACUCGGAAACAAUUGAUGCAGGCGCAAAUCCAUGAUAUAAGGGAUAUUUUCUGUAGCAUUGUUUGAAAAUACAUCAGUUACGCAAGGGCCCUUUUGCUUCUUUACUUCUUGUUCUGUGUGCACUCUGAUGUUCGAAGGUGCAGUGAUGGUAGACAGAUAUUUAGUUGGAAGAAAAAUAGAUAAACUCAGAUUUCGUGUAACCCGGGCUCACUCUUUUCAGUGAAUAAAUUAUUGUCACAAAAAACCAGCCUUUUGCUUCUCUUGAUGACAUUAUUCUUAGAAGUAAGAAUGUGCAUUUCUGCAGCCCAUGCUCAUGUGCUAUUUUUUCUUUUUAACUAGUGUAACAAAUGGGGUAGAUGUUUUUUUUUCUGUGCCAAUAAUGGUGUUAAGACUGCUAAAAUCUUGUAAGGGAAGAAAACAUUGAAGAGCAGAAAGAAGAAGAAAAUCAUUUAUUUAUAUAGAACUGACAUGCAUUUGAACAUCAACAGUCAUUUAUUAUUAAUAAUUCCGCAUUUUGUGAAUUCCUUUCUCCAAUGUUUUCUUCCAGGUUUAUUUACUAUGAUAGGCUCACCAGGAAAGGAACCUGAAAAUUUAAAUCGUGUCAAUUUCCUUUUCACACAAUUCUCUCAUGAUGCAAUGGUUUCAGAGAACGCUGUUGUUAUUUGCCAGACAUGUGAUGUUUAGUAUGACUUGAACUAACAUAACAUGCAUAAUACGUUUAUUGAGUACAUGAAGGUUGGUUUCUUUGAAUCAUUUUGGAUUAGCCUGUUUGCAAAGGCUAUUAUCAUUCCACCACUCAGUGAUUUAUGAAUAUCUCCCAUUCAUUUGAUGUGAGUUCCCUGCAACCACACACGAUAUUUCCCUUACUCCGUUUUCGGUAAGAUAUGGGAAACUAAACAUUCAAGGAUAUUGUUCCCACAAGUGGAGAGACUGAAAAAGUCGCGCGCGUUGCUCUCCNNNNNNNNNNNNNNNNNNNNNNNNNNNNNNNNNNNNNNNNNNNNNNNNNNNNNNNNNNNNNNNNNNNNNNNNNNNNNNNNNNNNNNNNNNNNNNNNNNNNNNNNNNNNNNNNNNNNNNNNNNNNNNNNNNNNNNNNNNNNNNNNNNNNNNNNNNNNNNNNNNNNNNNNNNNNNNNNNNNNNNNNNNNNNNNNNNNNNNNNNNNNNNNNNNNNNNNNNNNNNNNNNNNNNNNNNNNNNNNNNNNNNNNNNNNNNNNNNNNNNNGAGGCCGAACAGGUGAAGCCCGCCUCGGUGGGCGGCGGCAUCAGGGCAGUCUAUUCCCGCGGCAACUCAUCGCCCUGGACGGCGGAGCCCGCUCGCGGCACGGUGGCGAAAGUCGGCGCGUUGGAUCCCACGGUGGACCCCUCGUCAGCGUGGAGAGAUGCUUGUGUGUGGCUGACCGGGGUCGAGCACGAGGGAUUCGGGCCUUGUUCGCCGUAUCAAUCUCGCGACGACACCUAUGUCUUCAGCUGGUGCGGUCAGGGUGGUGACCCGGGCUGGCGGCGGCGACCGGUUCCUCCAUGGCUGGUGGGUUAAGUCCUUGACCUGGACGACCAUGUGACGAUGGGUGGUGGCAGAGGCCGCAGAACUAGCGUGCCAUCCAGAUCCAUCUCGGCGUGGCCUUGGCCGGCAGGCGAUGCGUGCAGGGACCGAUCUGGGGCGGCUGGAGGCCCUAUGCCGACGUUCCAGCGAUAGCUUACGUCUCCAUGGCGACGCAACUUCUAGUGAAAAUGUGCUGACUGCGGUCAUGGAAGAUGGUGGCAUCUCUAAUGUCGUUUCCUUCUUCGAGGCAUCGUCGUUUGUAAGCUGUGUCACUACGCUCGGGAUGUUCCGGGGGGAACUCUAUUUCUGGGUAUCCCGGAUCAGACGAUGACGGUGCCUUCAGCGCCAUUCUCCCUCCUAGGGGCAUUGUUCUGGAGCAGGUGCCGACUGGAAGAGACAAGUGGAGGAGCGGUGUUACAUCUACCGCAAGGAUGACGCAGGGUCUCGGUGGCGUGGCAAGGCAGAGUGUCGGCGACGAGCGCCCACGCUAGAUGGUUGAGCUAUCUGGUGUCGAGAUGGCCUGGCGAGAUGAAUACGUUGAUCGCUCCUGAAGGUGGGACAGCAGAACAUGGCGGUGGCUUAAUCUAAAGUGUGUGCAUGCUGUGCGCGCAAAGGGUCUAGCUAGACCAGUUGGUGCUCUCGAAUUGCCGGCAGACAUCUUGGUGAGGUGACCGGAAUAUAUGAUGUGUGUUGAUAAGUGGUCAGGGCACGGCAUUAAAGCUUGUAGGUGUAACGACAAUAGUUUCUAGGGAGGUGGCUUUGCCUUGAUCCAUAUAUUUGUUUUGUUUGGUUCCGUUGAAUAAUAUAAUAAAAUGGUUGUGUGCAUGGCCCGAUGCAUAGACUAGGGGUAAUCGUCUUUUUCGAAAAAAAGUAGAAUGGUACAGUCACACCAUUUUGCCAGUGACAUGCUAAAAAUGGCAUGAUAAACAAUUCCUGAAUGAUAAAUCACAUGGUGACAGUAUAUCUAUUUUAUAGGAAGAGCUGGAUAGAUUAGAGUAUACUGCCCCAGGAUUUUAAAGUGAGUGCGAGAGUUCAGAUUUAUUUACAUGUUUAGCUUCAGAGCUUCAGAACGUCUUUUUUUCACGAAUACACAAAGCUUGAAUAUCUUUUAUUGAUAGAAGAAAGAGAAUGAGUACAACAGAGGAUACAACACAUGGCAUGAACCCAAAGAGGCAUGAUCAUGGAACCCGGAGUAGAGAGACAAGGGGUGCUCAGCCCGAAUAGGGAAAUGACACAACUACACCCACAAAUCCUAAACAGAGAGGCAGGCCGAACAAGCACGGCGUCGAACAUCUCAAAAUCCAACACCAGGGACACCACGAGCGAACAAGAUAGCGCCUUCAGGAAGGGGUGCGACGUCGUGACACCGCCGCCAUCCGAUCCGAGGAACCGGAUCUAGGGUUUCCCCCAGCGCUCAAAGAGGGGCACGGAUAAAAGCCAUGGCAAAUAACUCACGAGUGUCGCCUCUGCCAACAUCGGCAAGAAGAGCAUGGAUUUCGCCUGGCCCAAGUCCGAGCAAUCCCAUAGCUGCCAAAUCAGGAUCCGAAGAUGAGGAAGACAAUCCGCUAGUCAACCACCGUCCCAGUACGGAGGUGGUGGGGCUGCACCUGCUGCCAAAAGAACACGAGCUUUGGAAAUGACAUGCCGUGGGUGUCGACGGGGUCGGGGAGGCAGCGUGGUAGACAGCUUGCAUGGAGGGUGGGAUGGUGACCGGCGCCGCUGACGAGAUGGAGCCGGAAGGGAGCACAAGUCCGAGCUGCCGGAGGUGAAGCCGCCAGAACACCGGCAAACCGAAGAUGCCGGAAGGGGACGCAGCGACCGGGGUGUUGGGGCUGAAAUUGAAGGAAAUAUGCCCUAGAGGCAAUAAUAAAGUUAUUAUUUAUUUCCUUAUAUCAUGAUAAAUGUUUAUUAUUCAUGCUAGAAUUGUAUUAGCCGGAAACAUAAUACAUGUGUGAAUACAUAGACAAACAGAGUGUCACUAGUAUGCCUCUACUUGACUAGCUCGUUAAUUAAAGAUGGUUAUGUUUCCUAACCAUAGACAUGAGUUGUCAUUUGAUUAACGGGAUCACAUCAUUAGGAGAAUGAUGUGAUUGACUUGACCCAUUCCGUUAGCUUAGCGCACGAUUGUUUAGUAUUCUGCUAUUGCUUUCUUCAUGACUUAUACAUGUUCCUAUGACUAUGAGAUUAUGCAACUCCCGUUUACCGGAGGAACACUUUGUGUGCUAUCAAACGUCACAACGUAACUGGGUGAUUAUAAAGGUGCUCUACAGGUGUCUCCACAGGUACUUGUUGGGUUGGCGUAUUUCGAGAUUAGGAUUUGUCACUCCGAUUGUCGGAUAGGUAUCUCUGGGCCCACUCGGUAAUGCACAUCACUUAAGCCUUGCAAGCAUUGCAACUAAUGAGUUAGUUGCGAGAUGAUGUAUUACGGAACGAGUAAAGAGACUUGCCGGUAACGAGAUUGAACUAGGUAUUGAGACACCGACGAUCGAUUCUCGGGCAAGUAACAUACCGAUGACAAAGGGAACAACGUAUGUUGUUAUGCGGUUUGACCGAUAAAGAUCUUCAUAGAAUAUGUGGGAGCCAAUAUGAGCAUCCAGGUUCCGCUAUUGGUUAUUGACCGAAGACGUGUCUCGGUCAUGUCUACAUAGUUCUCGAACCCGUAGGGUCCGCACGCUUAAAGUUUCGAUGACAGUUAUAUUUUGAGUUUAUAUGUUUUGAUGUACCGAAGGUAGUUCGGAGUCCCAGAUGAGAUCACGGACAUCACGAGGAGUCCCGAAAUGGUCGAGACAUGAAGAUUGAUAUAUUGGACGACUAUAUUCGGACACCGGAAUGGUUCCGGUGGUUAUCGGAUAUAUACCGGAGUACCGGGAGGUUACCGGAACCCCCUGGGGGUUUAAUGGGCCUACAUGGGCCUUAGUGGAGAAGAGGAGAGGCGGCUAGGGCAGGCCGCGCGCCCCCUCCCCCUCUAGUCCGAAUUGGACAAGGAGGGGGGCGGCGCCCCCCCUUUCCUUCCUCUCUCUCUCCUCUUUCCCCCUUCUCCUAAUCCAACAAGGAAGGGAAGGGAGUCCUACUCCCGGUGGGAGUAGGACUCCUCCUGGCGCGCCCCUCUCCUGGCCGGCCGCCUCUCCCCCUUGCUCCUUUAUAUAAGGGGGCAGGGGGGCACCCCAAAGACACAACAAUUGAUCAUUGAUCUUUUAGCCGUGUGCGGUGCCCCCCUCCACCAUAGUCCACCUCGAUAAUAUCGUAGCGGUGCUUAGGCGAAUCCCUGCGUCGGUAGAACAUCAUCAUCGUCACGACGCCGUCGUGCUGACAAAACUCUCCCUCAACACUCGGCUGGAUCGGAGUUCGAGGGACGUCAUCGGGUUGAACGUGUGCUGAACUCGGAGGUGCCGUGCGUUCGGUACUUGAUCGGUCGGAUCGUGAAGAAGUACGACUACGUCAACCGCGUUGUGCUAACGCUUCCGCGUUCGGUCUACGAGGGUACGUGGACACACUCUCCCCUCUCGUUGCUAUGCAUCACCAUGAUCUUGCGUGUGCGUAGGAAUUUUUUUGAAAUUACUACGUUCCCCAACAGUGGCAUCCGAGCCAGGUUUUAUGCCUAGAUGUUAUAUGCAUGAGUAGAACACAAGUGAGUUGUGGGCGAUACAAGUCAUACUGCUUACCAGCAUGUCAUUCUUUGGUUCGGCGGUAUUGUUGGAUGAAGCGGCCCGGACCGACAUUACGCGUACGCUUACGCGAGACUGGUUCUACCGACGUGCUUUGCACACAGGUGGUUGGCAGGUGUCAGUUUCUCCAACUUUAGUUGAACCGAGUGUGGCUACGCGCGGUCCUUGAGAAGGUUAAAACAGCACUAACUUGACGACUAUCGUUCUGGUUUUGAUGCGUAGGUAAGAAUGGUUCUUGCUCAGCCCGUAGCAGCCAUGUAAAACUUGCGACAACAAAGUAGAGGACGUCUAACUUGUUUUUGCAGGGCAUGUUGUGAUGUGAUAUGGUCAAGACAUGAUGCUAUAUUUUAUUGUAUGAGAUGAUCAUGUUUUGUAACAGAGUUAUCAACAACUGGCAGGAGCCAUAUGGUUGUCGCUUUAUUGUAUGCAAUGCAAUCGCCCUGUAAUGCUUUACUUUAUCACUAAGCGGUAGCGAUAGUCGUAGAAGCAUAAGUUGGCGAGACGACAACGAUGCUAUGAUGGAGAUCAAGGUGUCGCGCCGGUGACGAUGGUGAUCAUGACGGUGCUUCGGAAAUGGAGACCACAAGCACAAGAUGAUGAUGGCCAUAUCAUAUCACUUAUAUUGAUUGCAUGUGAUGUUUAUCUUUUAUGCAUCUUAUCUUGCUUUGAUUGACAGUAGUAUUAUAGGAUGAUCUCUCACUAAAUUAUCAAGGUAUAAGUGUUCUCCCUGAGUAUGCACCGUUGCGAAAGUUCUUCGUGCUGAGACACCACGUGAUGAUCGGGUGUGAUAGGCUCUACGUUCAAACACAACGGGUGCAAAACAGUUGCACACGCGAAAUACUCAGGUUAAACUUGACGAGCCUAGCAUAUAACAGAUAUGGCCUCGGAACACUGAGACCGAAAGGUCGAGCGUGAAUCAUAUAGUAGAUAUGAUCAACAUAAAUGAUGUUCACCAUUGAAACUACUCCAUCUCACGUGAUGAUCGGACAUGGUUUAGUUGAUAUGGAUCACGUGCUCACUUAGAGGAUUAGAGGGAUGUCUAUCUAAGUGGGAGUUCUUAAGUAAUAUGAUUAAUUGAACUUUAAUUUAUCAUGAACUUAGUCCUGGUAGUAUUAGCAUAUCUAUGUUGUAGAUCAAUAGCUCGCGAUAUUGCUCCCCGUUUAAUUUUUAUAUGUUCCUAGAGAAAACUAAGUUGAAAGAUGUUAGUAGCAAUGAUGUGGAUUGGAUCCGUGAUCUGAGGUUUAUCCUCAUUGCUGCACAGAACAAUUAUGUCCUUGAUGCAGCGCUAGGUGACAGACGUAUUGCAGGAGGACAUGCAGACGUUAUGAACGUUUGGCUAGCUCAAUAUGAUGACUACUUGAUAGUUUAGUGCACCAUGCUUAACGGCUUAGAAUCAGGACUUCAAAGAUGUUUUGAACAUCAUGGACCAUAUGAGAUGUUCCAGGAGUUGAAGUUAAUAUUUCAAGCAAAUACCCUAGUUGAGAGAUAUGAAGUCUCCAACAAGUUCUAUAGCUAAAAGAUGGAGGAGAAUAGCUCAAGAAGUGAGCAUGUGCUCAGAUUGUCUGGGUACUACAAUCACUUGAAUCAAGUGGGAGUUAAUCUUCCAGAUAAAGAUAGUGAUUGACAGAAUUCUCUAGUCACCAUCACAAAGUUAGUAUAACUUCGUGAUGAACUAUAGUAUGCAAGGGAUAACGUAAACGAUUCCCGAGCUUUUCAUGCUGGUGAAAUCAGAAAUCAAGAAAGAGCAUCAAGUGUUGAUGAUUAACAAGACCACUAGUUUCAAGAAAAUGGCAAAGGGAAAGAAAGGGAACUUCAUGUAGAACGGCAAGCAAGUUGCUGCUCAAGUGAAGAAGCCCAAGUUUGGACCUAAGCCUGAGACUGAGUGCUUCUACUGCAAAAGGACUGGUCACUGGAAGCAGAACUACCCGAAAUAAUUGGCGUAUAAGAAGGAUGGCAAAGUGAACAAAAGUAUAUUUGAUAUACAUGUUAUUGAUGUGUACUUUACUAGUGUUUAUAGCAACCCCUCAGUAUUUUAUACUGGUUGGCAACCUCUGCUUGCCUCUGCGAAGGGCCUAUCUUUUACUUUUAUGCAAGAGUCAUGGUGAUCUUCACCUUUCCUUUUUUUCAUUUUAUCCUUUGGCAAGUACCUCGUGUUGGAAAGAUUCUGAUAUAUCCAAUUGGAUGUAAGGCAUCAUGAACUAUUAUUGUUAACAUUACCCUUGAGGUAAAAGGUUGGGAGGCGAAUCUAUAAGCCCCUAUCUUUCUCUGUGUCUGAUUAAAACUUUGAACCCAUAAAUAUCGCGUGAGUGUUAGCAAUUGUGAAAGACUAAAUGAUAGUUGAGUAUGUGGAGUUUGCUAAAUCAAAGCUCUGACAUAGACUCUUCCUGAAAAUAAGAUGAAUUGUAAUUGUUUGAUGACUAAUAACACGGCUUGUUAGUUUUCAAGAAAGUUUAUGAUCUAUACUUUAACAUGUGAAUAGCUUGUUACUUGAUCAUGAAAAGUUCUAUGAGUUGAGCUACUGUUAUGACAUAUGAUGAUGCUAGAAAAAGUGAUUGAAAUUAUCAUUGAUCAAACUUGUGCACCUGCUAGCAUUCACACUUCAUAAAUUCUUUCUUUUAUCAUUUACCUACUCGAGGAUGAGCAGGAAUUAAGCUUGGGGAUGCUGAUACGUCUCCAACGUAUCUAUAAUUUAUGAAGUAUUCAUGCUAUUAUAUUAUCUGUUUUGGAUGUUUAUGGGCUUUAUUGAACACUUUUAUAUUAUUUUUGGGACUAACCUAUUAACCUAGAGCCCAUUGCCAGUUUCUGUUUUUUGCUUGUUUUUGAGUUCUACAGAAAAGGAAUACCAAACGGAGUCCAAUGGACGUCCCAAUUUUUGACGAUUUUUUAUGGACCAAAAGGAGACCCCGGAGCAAAAGGGUUGGGACAGGAGAGUCCCGGGCUGCCCACGAGGGUGGGGGGCGUGCCCUCCCCCCCUGGGCGUGGGCCCCUGCCUCGUGGACAACCCGGAGACCCCCCUGACAUGAGACCUACGCCAAAAAAUCCUAUAAAUACUGAAACCUCCAGAAAGCAGAAUAGAUCGGGAGUUCCGCCGCCGCAAGCCUCUGUAGCCACCAAAAACCAACCGGGACCCUGUUCCGGCACCCUGCCCGAGGGGGUAUGUCGGUGUCAAAACCGGCGGAUCUCGGGUAGGGGGUCCCGAACUGUGCGUCUAAGGCGGAUGGUAACAGGAGGCGGGGGACACGAUGUUUACCCAGGUUCGGGCCCUCUCGAUGGAGGUAAUACCCUACUUCCUGCUUGAUUGAUCUUGAUGAUAUGAGUAUUACAAGAGUUGAUCUACCACGAGAUCGUAGAGGCUAAACCCUAGAAGCUAGCCUAUGGUAUGAUUGUUUUUGUCCUACGGACUAAACCCUCCGGUUUAUAUAGACACCGGAGGGGGCUAGGGUUACACAGAGUCGGUUACAAGGGAGGAGAUCUGCAUAUCCGUAUUGCCAAGCUUGCCUUCCAUGCCAAGGAGAGUCCCAUCCGGACACGGGACGAAGUCUUCAAUCUUUUGUCUUCAUAGUCCAACAGUUCGGCUAAAGUAUAUAGUCCGGCUGUCCGAGGACCCCCUAAUCCAGGACUCCCUCAGUAGCCCCUGAACGAGGCUUCAACGACGAUGGGUCCGACGCGCAGAUUGUCUUCGGCAUUGCAAGGCGGGUUCCUCCUCCGAAUAUUCCAUAGAAGAUUUUGAACACAAGGAUAGUGUCCGGCUCUGCAAAACAAAUUCCACAUACCACCAUAGAGAGAAUAAUAUUUCCACAAAUCUAAUCUACUGACACAUUCUGCAGCAUGACAUCACACCAUGGCCCGGUCAUUAUUCGGACCGUUUUUCUUAACCAGCCACUGCACAUAUCGCGAGGCGGUUUUCUUGGCACGUCUUGUCGAAGCAGAGAUCGUGUCCCCCUAUCACGGGAUUGUCAUCAAUACGGGUGUGGGUAACCUAACCGCGCCAUCAAUUACAGCUCUUGGGGAAUAAGCGAGUUUACCAGGCAGGUGGGGAGGCGCAUAGUUCCUUCCGCCCUUAUAAAGAGACAAGGAUUCAUCUUUUUCACCCACGCCCUCUUCCUCCUUGCUCAUCCGUUCUUGCGCACUUGAGCUCCAACACCCAAGUUCGCAUUCUCUCCUCAAACCACUCCAAGCAUGUCCGGAGCAGGAGGCAAGUGGAUGGUCUCCUCCGUUACGAAGGAGGACAUCACAAGGCUAUGGGGAGCCGGAUACCUGGCCGCGGAUAUCGCGCACCGGCUACAAGAUGCGGGGCAGAUCGUCCCUACUCCAGAACCCCAUGAGAGGGUGAUAUUUCUUACCCACUUUGUCCGCGGACUGGGAUUUCCCCUCCACCUGUUUGUCCGCGGGCUCAUGUUCUACUACGGGCUGGACUAUCACGAUCUGGCCCCCAAUUUCAUCCUCAACAUCUCGGCGUUUAUCGUCGUGUGCGAGGCCUUCCUCCGCAUCAAGCCCCACUUCGGCCUGUGGCUGAAGACCUUCAACGUUAAACCGAAGGUGGUGGCCGGCCAGCAAGCGGAGUGCGGAGGCGCCAUGGUGGGCAAAAUGCCCAACGUCACCUGGCUAGAAGGCUCCAAUGUGGAGACCGUAAAGGGGUGGCAAUCGGGGUGGUUCUACAUCACCGAGCCGCGCGACACCAACUGGGUAGCGGCCCCCGAAUUUUUAUCCGGAAUCCCCAUGCGGCUCACCUCCUAGAAAGAGAAGGGCCUAUCCUGGGGUUCCUCGGUAGAGCUGACCGGACCCCAGACCUGCGUCAAAAACAUGAUGAGCAAGAAAAUCAAGCUUGUCAACAUGGUCCAAGUCAUGCUCUUCCGCCCGAUCCUCCCGUGUCAAAGACGGGCAUUCAAUUUGUGGGAGUUCGACCCGGCCGAGCACCAGACGCUGCGAGAGCUCUUCGACACGGCGCACAAGGACGUCUGGAAGGUGAUGUUCAAGGGCGCUGAGGUACCUCCUCCCCUUACCAAGGACCGCGGACUCAGCGCAAAGCGCCCUGCCAAUCCGGUAUGUCUUUUAUAUUUCAUAAGAUGUUCUUUUCCCCAGUAUAACCACACGCGGGAUCUAAGCCCCCACGCCAUUUAACAGGACUGGGUAGCGACAGCGGAGCAGAUCGAUUGUCCAGCCCCCCUGCCUGAAGAUCCAGCGGAUGCUCUCCUAACGGAGAUCCUGGUUUCGGCGCCUUAUGAGGUGCCGGAGAAGAAGGCCACGGGGACCAGGAAGGGUCUCCGGCGCAAGGUUAUAUCGGACUCAUCGUCCGAAAACACCGAGGCGCACUCCUCCCACGAAAACGGGGAGGAAGAGGAAAGUUCUCCCCCCCAGCCAGGGGGGACAGGACAAGGAAGGCUGCCCCAUCAGGGGAGGCCGAAGGGUCCAAGAAGGGAAGGACCCUCCUCCCGGACUGCUCCACAAAGGCCGCUUUUAGCGACGAGGAGUGGUUACCCAGGGACAAGCCCCUGGCAAAGUCGUGAGUAUCCGGAUACCAUAAUAAUUCUUGGUACGUCUUAUUGUACUGUUUCUUAUCACGCCGCGCAUGAUUAUGCAGUCCGUCCCGAGCCCAUAUCGACGUAUCUUCGUCGGAUGAUUCUUUGGGCCCGUCAGAUAUGAAUAGCGAUUCACUCCCGACUGCCUCCUCCCCCCGCCCUACGGACGACGCCGAGGUGUUGUCUCAAAGGGAACUAAACCAAGGGGAGACAGUUCCGGAGGCGCCCCAAGGCGACAUUCCAGGCGCUAGGUGCACGAGGGGCAAGACUCCCCUAGGCCCUAACACCGGGGGCAGUAAGUCUAGCCCCAAGCCGAAUACGGCGCCGGAACCUCCAGUGGUUCCGGAUUCUGUCAGGCAACCCCUCGCUAAGGGGGGUAAGCCGUCUGUGCCGAUGGCCUCUGUCCAUCCAGAGGCAUCGGACAACUUGCUAGAAGUGCUUCGCGGCGCUUCCAUUGACGAAGAGCACCGCACUAUUAUGAGUGCGGUAGUUAAGAAGGUUCAGUCCGCUAAGAGCGGACUGACUGAAGCCUGUGCCAACCUCCUAACCGGCUUUGAGGUAAGUAAUCAAAUUGUAAGAAAAUGUUACAGCAUAGACAGUAGCCCCUGAUGCUCUGUUUGGCGUUCGCGGAGAAAGGCCGAAUAGAGGAUCAAAUAAUAAUCGCAGGAGUCUAAUCAGAAUGUGUCUAUGUGAAUAAGCGGGCUUCACUGCUGGCCGCCGCCGCUCGUACUGCGGAGGUCACCGCACUGAAGCGGGACCUUGAGCGGUCCAAGGAAGAGCUCGGCCUUACCAAGAGGCAGCUCGAAGAGAACAAAGGUAAGUGACACCCCGUCUGAAUAUUGGUAAAGAAAAAUUUGGUUUUGGAAUAAUAGGAUCCUCAUGAAUUUUGCUAGGGGCCACGACCGAAGUGGCGGCCCUGCAGAAGGCGCUAUCUGAGGCCGAAGACAAAGCGGCCAAGGAGCACAUCGAGCGAGAGAAGCAAGAGGCCCGAGUAGGCGAGGUGCGGCAAGAGCUCCAGGCUCUCGUCAAGAAACACGAGUCCUUGGAGCUUGACUCUAUGACGCAAGGGUCCGAGCUUGCGAAGGCCCUCGAAAGCGCACAACAUGCCAAGGCCAAAGCCCAAAAGGCCCUCCAGGAAAUUUAGGCGGUUAAGAAGAUAGCGGCGGGUAAGGCAUUCAUUAUGCAAAGCAAGCAUGUGAAGGAAACUUUCUUUUUACUUACCCGAGUUCGGAGUUCUCCAGAAGCGUUCGCAGAUCUACCCCGCAGUGUGUCGGAUGCCACGGAGUUCUACCGGGCCGAGGAGGGGAGCUCGGCGGAGAAGUUGUUCUGGUCUCAGUAUACUGGGACCGAACAUCCAAUGCCCUUGAGCGACCAGUUGAAGCAACUGGUCGAGCUUCACAAGGCGGCCGAACAGGCCAUGAAGGGUCUUAUGGUCUGGAUGUGGCAUGGCGACCCCUGCCUGGUAGCUACUUCGGUCUGGUGAGGCGGCUUGUGAAUGCCUGCACACGGUUUGAAGUCAUAAAGCGGUCCGUCUGCAUUGAGGGUGCGCGCAGGACUUUUGCCCGGGCGAAGGUGCACAGGGCGAAGCUGGACGCCGAAAAGCUGGUGAAGGAGGGGCCGCCGGAGGGCAAGGAGCAUCGCCACCCCGAAAAGUAUUAUGAUAGUGUCCUGAAGGGUGCUCGCCUUGUGGCGGAGGAAUGUGCUAAGGAUGUAAUAUUUGAAUGAAUGUACUCAUGUGAUCCUGUAAUAUGAAACGAGUUCAUUUGCGUACGCAAUGCUUGUUAAUUUAAAAUAUUACCUUCUAUGCGGCCGUUUAUAAAAUCUGAGAGUUGGCCAGUCGUCGGCUUCUGCCCCCAUGUAACUAGUACUAAGGUGUUCGGGGUAAACCUGAGCACUCUUUAUCCCAAUUUUGGGUCCUUCGAAGGAGGUGUUUAGCACAAUGAACCAGGCAAUCGGACUAUAAAGCUUUAUCACUCUCACUUAGCCAUAGAAGUCUACAAUUUUAAAUUUUGGCGAAGCCCCUAGUAUUUCGAAGGCCGAAUUUGGGGCACUAUAUACGCCUAAGUCGGGCAAGACGACUCCUUGCCCGAAGCGGAAAGAGACUUUAAGGACUUGAGACCUCUCGAACAGCGACCAGCUCUCGCCUCAUUAUGACAGUCAGUUUUCGGCUUUCUCUACUGAGGUGCUCGUCCGGAAGAACCGGGACACAAUCGCAGUAGUUCUCCCAAGGCUACCUUAGCCGAUAUUGCGGAACGUAAGGUACCAAAACAUGGGAGCCGGGCAAACCCAACUAUUGACCCAAGACAUGAUUCGGAGCUGGUGCAUAUAAUUCUAUAAGUUCGGGGUGCCGCACUGUCGAAAGUGUUCGGACUUCUCACACUGUAUUAUGGGGUAUACUAAAGCCCCUGGCGCACUGGUCAUACCAGGAUGUACGGGUGCAAUUUGUCGUAAAUAAGCAGACAAGGAAAAAAAAGAAAGGGGAAUGCAAUAAUAGACUAACGAUAUGCAUUGUUAUUAAAUAAUACGUCAAAGCGACGGAUACAAGUAGUGCAAUAAGCAAAAAAUAAGACUAUUUGACAUGUCCUAUCCAAGGGCAAGCUGCGUAUGGGUAUGUAAAACAGGUAUUUCGAUCGUUAUCAGAGACCACCUAGGGAUUCCCUUGUACGUCAGAGCGUCUUGCUUCCUUGGUAUUUCCUUACCGCGAUGGGUCCAACAAUUAGAUUGCCGAAAAGGGCUUCCAGAGAGUAAGGUCCUGAAAGAGAGAAAAUGAUAAAGGUAUAUGGCCCCUGGGGCGGUUGAGCCACCUUGUGGGACGUGCCGUAGCUGUGCCUCCGCCUAUGCCCAUGGUAUCUUGAGUGCGUAGUUAUGUACGCGCGGCGCAAAUUUCGCCACUUGACUGGGACUAGGACGGAGGCCGAAUUGCUAGGCGAGCUCAAAACGUGCAUGGCGAUCCUCCUGCGGGGUACCCCGGACUCGCUUGAAGGUGUCCGGGGUCUUUUUCGCCGAAUUGGCGGUUUGCCUAUUAAGGCUGCUUUGCGCUUCUGCUGCGAGGGCUGCAGUGUGCUCCUCCGUGCGGAGCGAGCGCUCUGUGUUUCCAUUAACUGUUAUAACCCCGCGUGGUCCUGGCAUUUUGAGUUUGAGGUAUGCAUAAUGCGGUACCGCAUUGAAUCUGGGAAAUGCGGUUCGUCCGAGCAGUGCGUGAUAGCCGCUGCGAAAGGGGACGAUGCCGAAGAUUAACUCCUCGCGUCGAAAAUUGUCCGGAGAUCCGAAGACCACUUCCAGUGUGAUUGAGUCCGUGCAACAGGCCUCUACACCUGGGAUUACACCUUCAAAGGAGGUUUUGGUGGGUUUGAUCCUCGAGGGGUCUAUGCCCAUUUUGCACACUGUAUCCUGAUAGAGCAGGUUCAGGCUGCUGCCACCGUCCAUAAGGACGCGAGUGAGGUGAAAUCCGUCAAUGAUGGGGUCAAGGACCAAUGCGGCAGAUCCGCCAUGACGGAUACUAGUGGGGUGGUCCCUGCGAUCGAAGGUGAUCGGACAAGAGGACCAUGGGUUCAACUUUGGGGCGACUGGCUCCAUAGCAUAGACGUCCCUUAGUGCACGCUUCCGUUCCCUCUUGGGAAUAUGGGUUGCGUAUAUCAUGUUCACCGUUUUCACUUGUGGAGGGAACCUCUUCUGUCCUCCAAUGUUCGGCGGCCGAGGCUCCUCCUCGUCGUCGCUAUGGAGCCCCUUGUCCUUGUUUUUGGCAUUUAACUUGUCGGCCUGCUUGAAUACCCAGCAUUCUCUGUUGGUGUGAUUGGCUGGCUUAUCGGGGGUGCCAUGAAUUUUAACGAGCAAUCGAGUAUACGGUCCAAACUGGACGGGCCCGGAUUGCUUGUUUUGAACGGCUUCUUCCGCUGACCGGAUUUAGAGCCACUGAAUCCGGCAUUGACUGUCGUGUCUUCGGCGUUGUCGCCGUUGUUGUGGCGCUUGUGUCUGUUGCGACGUGGUCUGCCAAUAGUAUCUUUGGCGUCUGAAUUGCCGGGAUUUCUUGAUGUGCUGUUGCUGCGAGCUAGCCAGCUGUCCUCGCCCGCGCAAAAGCGGGUCAUGAGUGUCGUGAGGGCUGCCAUGGACUUCAGCUUCUCUUGGCCGCGGUGUCAGGCGAGCCACUCGUCCCGGAUGUUAUGUUUAAAUGCCGCUAAGGCCUCGGCAUCCGGACAGUCGACAAUUUGGUUCUUUUUAGUUAGGAACCGAGUACAGAAUUUCCUGGCCGAUUCCCCUGGCUGUUGGGUUAUGUGGCUCAAGUCAUCAGCAUCUGGUGGUCGCACAUAAGUGCCCUAGAAGUUGUCAAGGAAUGCGUCUUCCAAAUUCUCCCAACUGCCAAUGGAGUUUGCUGGCAGGCUAUUCAGCCAAUGUCGAGCUGGUCCUUUGAGUUUUAGUGGGAGGUACUUGAUGGCAUGUAGAUCGUCAUCGCGGGCCAUGUGGAUGUGGACGAGGAAAUCCUCGAUCCAUACCGCGGGGUCUGUUGUACCAUCAUAUGACUCAAUGUUCACGGGUUUGAAUCCUUCUAGGAAUUCAUGAUCCAUUACUUCAUCGGUGAAGCAUAGUGGGUGUGCAGCGCCUCUGUGCCGGGCUAUGUCACGACGCAGUUCAUACGAGUCUUGUCUGCUGUAUUCGGCCCCGCCGGAUUUGCUUUUAGUGUAUCCGGCAUGACGAUCAUCAUCACACAUUGGGGCGCGACCCCGUGAUCCGUAGAUCGAUCUUGUUUGUCCUGCUCUGUUUUCCUAUACGUCUCGCAGGUCCCGCGUGUUGCCCCAGGCCUUGGUAUUUAUGUUUGAAUGGCGGCGGGGUGCGGGCUGGACUUCGGGCUGAUAUGCCCCUCUGUCUCGGCCACGAGGUGGCCGAUCAGCCGCAUCAUACGCUGGUGAUGUAGGUUUUAAUGCUUCCUCCUCGAUUUGGGGUAGCAACCUGCGCUUUGGGUAACUCUUGGUUGGGCGCUCGAGUUCGUAUUCCUCUACCUCCAGGACUUCAGUCCAUCUAUCCGCUAGCAGAUAUUGAUCAGCUCGAAGCUGUUGUUGCUUUUUCUUCAGGCUGUUUGUUGUAGCUAUAAGCCGACGCUUGAAGCGCUCCUGCUUGACGGGAUCCUCAGGCACGAUAAAUUCUUCGUCGCCGAGGCUCACCUCGUCUUCGGAGAGAGGCAUGUAAUUGUCAUCCUCUGAUUCUCCGUCUGCUGCCUAUUCCGGAGGGCUAGCUUGUUCAUCCUCUCGCUCGAGGUCUGGCUGGAGGGGAUUGUCGUCGUCUUUGGCACUAUCCGGAGCGUUAUUGUCUCUUGUGCCGGUAUCGCUGCUUUUGCUAUGGCGGGACUUAGAGCGGCGCCGCUGACGUCGGUGCUUGGGUUGCUUCUUGGAGGGAUUAUCCUCGGUUGUCUUAUCGCCGUCGCCUUCUUUGGGGGUGUCCACCAUGUAUAUAUCAUAUGAUGAGGUGGCAGUCCAGCGCCCUGUGGGCGGUGGUUCCUGUUCGUCUCCUGUAUCGUCGUCCAUACCGUCGAUGUUUUCGGAGCCGAAAUCGAGCAUGUCGGUUAAAUCGUCGACAGUGGCUACUAAGUGGCUGGUGGGUGGGGAGCGAAUUUCUUCGUCGUCCGCAUCCCAUUCUAGCCAGACAUAGUUCGGCCAAGGGUCUCCUGACAAGGAGAGAGACCUCAAUGAGUUCAGCACGUCGCCCAGUGGUGAGUGCUGAAAGAUAUCCGCGGAGGAAAACUCCAUAAUCGGUGCCCAAUCAGAUUCGAUAGGCACAUACGCAGGCGGCUCAGAGCCCGUGGCCGGGGAUGAAUCCAGGUGUCCGGCGACACAGGUCUCAUAGGAGGUGAAGUCAGUAUUCGGCUCUAUCGCCACUCAGUGUGUGGCCUCCGAGGCGGGGUCCAUCCACCCGUCCUCGGACGGCGCAAUCGACUCCGGAUCUAGGGCCGGAGUAGCCAUGGGUGUGAUCUCCCGAACACCGUCCGGCGGCAGAGCUAAGUCGUGCUCGUCGUGACUGUGCGGCGCACCUGACAUGGGCUCGAAUCCGUCAAAGAUAAAGUCUCCGCGGAUGUUGGCACUGUAGUUUAAAUUUCCAAACCUGACCUGACAGCCAGGGGCGUAGCUCUCGAUCUGCUCCAGAUGGCCAAGCGAGUUGGCCCACAGUACGAAGCCGCCGAAUACAAAGAUCUGUCCGGGGAGGAAAACCUCACCCUGGAUCGCAUCGUUGGCGAUGAUUGAAGGAGCCAUCAAGCCUUUAUCGCGACGGCAGAGUGGAACUCUCAAUGAAAGCACCAAUGUCGGUGUCAAAACCGGCGGAUCUCGGGUAGGGGGUCCUGAACUGUGCGUCUAAGGCGGCUGGUAACAGGAGGCGGGGGACAUGAUGUUUACCCAGGUUCGGGCCCUCUCGAUGGAGGUAAUACCCUACUUCCUGCUUGAUUGAUCUUGAUGAUAUGAGUAUUACAAGAGUUGAUCUACCACGAGAUCGUAGAGGGUAAACCUUAGAAGCUAGCCUAUGGUAUGAUUGUUGUUGUCCUAGGGACUAAACCCUCCGGUUUAUAUAGACACAGGAGGGGGCUAGGGUUACACAGAGUCGGUUACAAGGGAGGAGAUCUACAUAUCCGUAUUGCCAAGCUUGCCUUCCACGCCAAGGAGAGUCCCAUCCGGACACGGGACGGAGUCUUCAAUCUUGUGUCUUCAUAGUCUAACAGUCCGCCUAAAGUAUAUAGUCUGGCUGUCCGAGGACCCCCUAAUCCAGGACUCCCUCAGGGUAUCCCUCACCGGUGGCCAUCUUCAUCAUCCCGGCGCUCUCCAUGACGAAGAGGGAGUAGUUCACCCUCGGGGCUGAGGGUAUGUACCAGUAGCUAUGUGUUUGAUCUCUCUCUCUCUCUCGUGUUCUUGAUUCAGCACGAUCUUGAUGUAUCAUGAGAUUUGCUAUUAUAGUUGGAUCUUAUGAUGCUUCUCCCCCUCUACUCUCUUGUAAUGGAUUGAGUUCUCCCUUUGAAGUUAUCUUAUCGGAUUGAGUCUUUAAGGAUUUGAGAACACUUGAUGUAUGUCUUGUCGUGCUUAUCUAUGGUGACAAUGGGAUAUCACGUGAUCCACUUGAUGUAUGUUUUGGUGAUCAACUUGCGGGUUCCGCCCAUGAACCUAUGCAUAGGGGUUGGCACACGUUUUCGUCUUGACUCUCUGGUAGAAACUUUGGGGCACUCUUUGAAAUACUUUGUGUUGGUUGAAUAGAUGAAUCUGAGAUUGUGUGAUGCAUAUCGUAUAAUCAUGCCCACGGAUACUUGAGGUGACAAUGGAGUAUCUAGGUGACAUUAGGGUUUUGGUUGAUUUGUGUCUUAAGGUGUUAUUCUAGUACGAACUCUAUGAUAGAUUGAACGGAAAGAAUAGCUUCAUGUUAUUUUACUACGGACUCUUGAAUAGAUCGAUCAGAAAGGAUAACUUUGAGGUGGUCUCGUACCCUACCAUAAUCUCUUCGUUUGUUCUCCGCUAUUAGUUACUUUGGAGUGACUCUUUGUUGCAUGUCGAGGGAUAGUUAUAUGAUCCAAUUAUGUUAUUAUUGUUGAGAGAACUUGCACUAGUGAAAGUAUGAACUCUAGGCCCUGUUUCCUAGCAUUGCAAUACCAUUUACGCUCACUUUUAUUAUUAGUUACCUUGCUGUUUUUAUAUUUUCAGAUUACAAAAACCUAUAUAUACCAUCCAUAUUGCACUUGUAUCACCAUCUCUUCGCCGAAUUAGUGCACCUAUACAAUUUACCAUUGUAUUGGGUGUGUUGGGGACACAAGAGACUCUUUGUUAUUUGGUUGCAGGGUUGUUUGAGAGAGACUAUCUUCAUCCUACGCCUCCCACGGAUUGAUAAACCUUAGGUCAUCCACUUGAAAGAAAUUUGCUACUGUCCUACAAAGCUCUGCACUUGGAGGCCCAACAACGUCUACAAGAAGAAGGUUUUGUAGUAGAUAUCAGGGGGAGGGGGGUGAAACCGCCCCGCCGCCGCCGUCCCCGAGCGCGGCGCGGCUUCGCUGGCCGGCCCUCCGGCGGCAGCGAUGCGGGGGGAGGGGGGCACUGGCGGAGGAAGGCUACCGGUGGCGAUGAAGGUUUCCCCCGUAUCGCCUGUUGCGGGCGACGCGGGGGCAGGGUUGACCAGCUCGAGGAUUUCGGCUGAGCUGUAGAACGUAUGAAAUAUUGAAGGAAAACAAAAACAUGAGAAUCAACAGAUAUUGGAGAAGUUGGUACAGAGUGGUACAUGGAAAGGAAAUUUUACUUUUACUGGAGGUUGAAUGAAGUUAUGUUUACACCUUCCAUUUCACUUUGUGGGCACUCCGAAGUUGCAAAGAAAAAAUAUAUAAAAUAUCAUCAUUCGUACGCAUUUAUAUGCAGGUAAUGAAAAUGGCUCCACCUAAUUAUAAGAUUAUUAAGCACUUUUAGUACCCGGGAGUCCCUGGUACUGUGAAGAUGAUAUUAAGACUAAUUAAUGGACAUGGAUUUGUUCUGAUCACACAAAGAUAGCUCAAACACCCAUCCGCUUACUUGCUUGCAUUUCAAAAGAUUGAUAACCACAUUUCAUCAUUUUUCCCCACUUCUCCACCUUGCUGGUGAUAUAUAUCCAGCUUCCGCAUAUAUGAUAUUUUUCACUCUAGCACUUUCAGCUUCUUUUUGAAAUGAAGAGUACUUUUCUUGCUGAUGCAGCAACAAUAGUAAGUCAGAGCUUUCUUAGGCCUUGUACAAUGCAAGGUGCUUUGAGAAAUAAACUAGGCUUUCCUUAAGCACCGAUACUUAUUUGUACAGGAUACUUUAUUAAUUUUUCUCACAAGAUCUUACAAAGUCAUACAACAGUAAGACUAAAGCCGCCGUCUAAGCAACAAACUGUCGCUACACCUAUCCAGUUGAUGAAGGGACGCAGAUAGCCUGGGCCUAAUACCAAACAGACAUCGCAUCCAAGCCUAACAUCUAAGACCUGAGACCCCAACCUAGCCACUUGCCGGGUCUGGGGCACACACUGGUCCGGCGUGCUCUCAGAGGCCGCCGCCGCCAACUGCCACCGCUCCAUCUUCAGAAUUGUACUGAUGCAUCAACCUUACUCGGUCUAGCUAUCGUCGACGCCACCACUGCGCCCAGCGGCACCUCCUCCCUGCCCGCAAACAACUGAGCACAUCGCGGUCGCCACUGAUACACCUCAGCACCAUGCUGCCAAGUACCACCAGCUGACACAGCUUGAAGUCCUUGGAAGAUCUUUCAUGCGUAGCACCUGCCGACCAAGUAUGACAAAGUGUAGCACCUGUCGGUCAGGCAUGACUUGACAUCUCCACCGAAGCUCCGUGCAAGACGAAGCCGCUCCACCUCCUGCCUCUGACUUCCAGCGCUGCUCCACAAACGAUGCUCCCAAGAGAGAAACGAGACAGCGGUGCCACAAUCGUCCGAUCUGGAACACCAGAUCCUAGAGUUUCCCGUGGAGCAGCACGAGUGGGUCGACAGUAGUUACACGAUGAUGCCUCCAUCAAGGUAACGACGAGAACGCCGCCAUCGCCUACCGUCGGCUCGAUUUUCACCGGCAACCAUGUCUCCCCUACUCGCAGUCGGGACUAGAUGAUGGAUCUCGAGAUCCGAUCACCAAGCCUCUGGCCGGCCAUCUCUGGAAGAAGAUGACCACCACGUCCACCAGCGUCACCACACCGGGCACGCGUUGCCGCCGGCACCCCCAUGGUGCCUAGAGGCCGACAAGCCCCGACGAACACCACGCCUCGCCAGCCGCCAUAGCCCAGGCCCAAGCACCACCAGAUCCAGAUCAGAUCGGGGUCAAGGGCCCCAAGCCGCAGCCGUCGCGGAGGCAGCACCACUAGACGGUGCCCUGCCCUCCACCCCGCUGUAGGAUCGAGUCAUCGCCGGAGCUCCGCCACGCCACGCCGCCAAGACGCCGCCGGAAGAACUCGCGCCGCCGCUAGGGGAGAGAGAGACGCGCUAGGGAGAGGCCCCGCCGCUGGCACUGCCUUGGCUUUGCCCGGCUGUGUCCCUCGGCGGCGGCGAGGGGGGAGGGAGGGUGGAGGAGGGCCGGCGGCGGAGGGGGCUAGGGUUCCCCCGAGUCGCCUCAGAGAGGGACGCAGGCGACGGGGUGAGAAAACUGAGAGAGUGGAUAUGGCCUUUACUCGAGCUCAUGGGGUGGCCCGACUGCUGGUGAGUGUUCUCGAUAUUGAGUUCGUGCCUGAUGUGGUUAAGUGGACAUAUAGGGGACAGAUUUUCAACCUCGAGAUUGAGUUUGAGGAUGCCGCUCUCUUCGCUGAGGCUAUCAAUGGGACUGAUGUAGAUAUGCACGAGGGUGAUGACAGCUCGGGUGCUAAGGAGGCACCGGUUGAUGAUGUUGGACGAGAGUUGUCCAACUAAUCGGGGCCCGUUCCUCAGACGCCCAGGGACGGGACGGCACCAUCCUCUUCGGUGCCUAUGAGUUCUCUGAGAUUUGGGUCGUUUGAGCCAGCUUCUGCUCCUCCCAGACUCUGGAGUGACCGGGUGGAGUCCGAUGACGUGUUUGAGCGCACGCUACCUACCCUGGAUUUUGUUGCUGCUGAUAGUCCCGUGCUUGGAGGUUUGGAGGGGAUUAUCUCUGUGCAGACCUCGGUAAGGGGAGGGGAGGCGGAGCUUGGGCAGGUGGCCCCUCUUUCCCCCGCUCUCCCUGCGGUGUCACCUCGGGAGACGGAGUCGACUAUGGAGGCUGUCCCUAGGGAGGGAGUCCAUGGCAGGUGGCCUCGGCUCCUUCUUCUCUUCUCGCGGUGCCGGAGCUGCAGAUGGCGGUUGUGCUUAGGGGAGGCGGUCCAGGGCAGGUGGCCUCGGCCCCCUCUUCACCUCUGGCGGCUAGGGAGGCCACACCCCCUAUGGCGCCGGAGACCUCUUCUAGCCAGAGGGCUGGGGCGGGAGGAGCGUACGGGCAGGCGGCCCACGCGCUUCCCUCUCCCGGCGCGCCAACGUCCCAGGGCCUCGGUUCGAGGUGGACGUCAGUGGGGCCGGGGAGGUCCCCGCCGCUGCCCCCGGCAGCUCCCGCCGACUCUUCGACGUGUGCAGCUUCGCGGUGUGCUGGGGGUGAGGCCGGUGGCUUUACUCCGAGCGGGGUCACUCGGGAGGAGGUCAUCGCCUUUGGAGGGAUUCUAGAUCCUGUCUCUGCGGGGCGACGGAUGAGCUGUCGUCUCUAGGAUCAUCCGGAGGUUGAUGACAUGCAGCAGCGGUGCGCCAUGAGGGCGGCCAAGCUUCGUGACAUUGAGGUCACUACUGGUAUGUCGGUCAACACUUCUAAUUCCAUUCUGCAUUUUUCUAAUAAUGAGAUUAUUAAUAAUUCAAAUCAAUUGGGAGUUUCACUAGGUAGUAAUGAUAGUGAAAUUUCUAACUUUGUAAAUGAUAUCCUGGAUUUGGAAGCGGAACGCGCUUUAGAAAUGAUUCAAAACUUAGCAGCGGUUAAACCCAUGAAUGAUGCAGAUAUCGAUGCGUUGGGGGUCAGGGUGCUCGAUAAUUUUUGUGCAGAUCUUGCACCAUCCAUUCCUGAGUCAGAGGAAGAGGAUAACACUUUUGAGGCUGCCGUAGAUCGAUCCAUGGAGCCCGGUUGUGAGGACUGGGUGGAGGAUCAAAACAAACCUAAACGCAAGUGGAAGCGGAAGAUCUACCCUGCUUCGGCGGUGCGUAGGAGUGCUAGGAUCCGUACUAUUAAAACAUUUCAUGAUGAAAUAUGAAAGGAAUCUUUUGGAAUAGCAGAGGUCUGAAAGACUUGGCUAAAAGAAGGUUUCUUGCAGAUGCGUCUAUCGAGCAUAGGUUGGAUUUUAUCACUCUCUCGGAAACUGGUAGAGAUAAUUUUUCGCCCCAGUUUCUCAGUACUUUAUCGGGAGGUGUUGAUUUCAAUUGGCACUGCCUGCCUCCGAGAGGAAGAUCGGGUGGGAUCUUACUUGGAGUGAGAUGCGAUUCGCUAGAAGUCUGAAGUGUAGUGAUGGGAGAUUUCACAAUUAAGUUCCGGGUUAGGUCGAAAGCCAACGGGUUUAAUUGGGCUCUGAUGGCGGUUAUGCUCCCGCGCAGCCCGAUCUCAAACCAGAGUUCUUGGCGGAUCUUGUUCAAAUUUGCGGCUCUGAGCAGCUCCCAAUCCUGGAUGGGGGUGAUUUCAACAUCAUUAGGAGGAGAGAGGAAAAGAAUAAUGAUAAUUUCGACGGCAGGUGGUCGUUUAUGUUUAAUACCAUUAUUGAAAGCUUGGAUCCUAGAGAGAUAGAGCUUUCGGGUAGAAAAUUCACCUGGGCUAAUACUUUGCCAAAUCCGACGUUUGAGAAGCUGGAUCGAGUCCUAGUGAGCGUCGAAUGGGAACAGAUAUUUCCUUUGGUAACGGUCCAGGCUCUUUCGCGUGGUAUUUCUGACCACACGCCUUUAUUUGUGGACUCUGGUGAGCCAACCCACAUGGGGAACAAAAACUCCUUUUCUUUCGAGCUGGCAUGGUUUGAACGAGAAGGCUUCUUGGAUAUGAUAGCCAGGGAAUGGGCUAAGGAUGCAGGAGGUAGGACUUCGAUUGAGCGCUGACAGAAUAAGAUAAGGCACUUGAGAAGUUUCUUGCGUGCGUGGGCUAAGCAUCUUAGUGGGGUUUAUAAGGUCGAAAAGGAAAGGCUCCUUACACUUAUUCAGUCUCUAGAUUUAAAAGCCGAGUCCACAAUUUUGCAAGCCACAGAGCUUCAUGAUAAACUGGAGGCGGAGAUGAGAUUGAAAGAGCUUCUCCGUGAAGAGGAAUUAAAGUGGGCGCUGCGGGCUAAGGUUCGCAAAGUUGUCCAGGGGGACGCGAAUACUCAAUUCUUUCACAUGAUCGCUAAUGGCAAGCACAGAAAGAAUAGAAUCUUUCAGCUUGAACCAAGAUGAAGGAACGAUUUUAGGACAGGAAAACCUAAAAUUAUACAUAACCGAAUACUACAAGCAGUUGUUUGGGCCUCUGGAGGAUAAUUGUGUAUCCCUGGAUGAGUCUAGGAUUGAGGAUGUGCCUCAACUUACUGCUGAUGAGAAUGAUAUUUUGAUUGCCCCUUUUUCGGGGAAAGAGGUGUUUGAAGCCAUUACACAGAUGAAAAACAAUAAGGCUCCAGGGCCGGAUGGAUUUCCGGCGGAAUUCUAUAAAAAGUGUUGGCAUAUUAUUAAGGGGGAUUUGCAACCAAUGUUCCAUGAUUUAUUCUCUGGACAGCUUCAGUUAUUUCACUUGAACUUUGGAAUGAUAACAUUGCUUCCUAAGAAAACAAAGGCUGUGAGAAUUGAGCAGUUCAGGCCGAUCUGUCUUCUCAAGGUUAGUUUCAAAAAUUUCACAAAGGUUGGGACUAAUAGGCUCACGCAGACUGCGCAUUCUGUGGUGCAGCAUUCCCAAACUGCUUUCAUGCCGGACAGAAACAUCCUAGAAGGGGUUGUGGUCCUUCAUGAAACGCUCCACGAAAUUCACACGAAAAAACUAGAUGGAGUUGUUUUCAAGGUGGAUUUCGAGAAAGCGUACGAUAAAGUCAAAUGGCCUUUCCUUCAACAGGCCUUACAUAUGAAAGGUUUUGAUGAAGCCUGGCGACGCCAGGUAGAAUCUUUCACGCAAAAAGGGAGUGUUGGAAUUAAAGUGAAUGACGACAUAGGUCAUUAUUUCCACACACAUAAGGGCCUGAGACAAGGGGUUCCGAUGUCUCCUAUUUUGUUCAACAUUGUAGUUGAUAUGUUGGCAAUUCUAAUAGGAAGGGCUAAGGAGGUUGGUCAGGUGGGUGGCUUGGUGUCUCAUCUAGUUGAUGGAGGUGUGUCUAUCCUACAGUACAGCGAGAAAUAUGAAGCUGGUGUUAUGCUUAUUUGAACAAUUGACCGGGUUAAAGAUUAACUUUCACAAAAGCAAAUUGUUCUGCUUUGGAAGAGCCAAUGAGGAACAAGAGGCUUAUAGGCAAUUGUUUGGGUGCGAAUUGGGGACCUUACCAUUUACGUAUUUAGGUAUACCAAUUCACCAUCGUAAGCUGACAAACACAGAAUGGAAGUGUAUCGAGGAUCUCUUUGAGAAGAAACUGAGUUGCUGGAAGGGCAAGCUCAUGUCAUACGGAGGCCGAUUAAUUCUGAUUAAUUUGGUUCUCACGAGUAUGCCUAUGUUUCUCUUGUCUUUGUUCGAAGUCCCAGUUGGAGUUAGGAAAAGGCUGGACUUCUAUCGAUCCCGAUUCUUCUGGCAGAGCGAUGAACUAAAAAGAAAAUACAGACUCACCAAAGGGAUAUUAUCUGUCGACCGAAAGACCAAGGGGGUCUUGGCAUUGAAAAUCUUGAGGUCAAGAACAGAUGUCUUCGCAGCAUGUGGCUGUCUAAGUUAUCUGUAGAGAUCGAUGCCACAUGGGCGCAGAUUCUUAGUAGUAAGUAUCUUCAUUCCAAAACUUUGUCCCAGGUGACAGCGAGGCCGACAGACUCACCUUUUUGGAAAGGGCUUAUGAUAGUCAAAUUAGCCUUUUUUAAUAGGACAAAGUUUAUUAUCGUCAAUGGCGCUAGCACGCGAUUCUGGGAGGAUACUUGGCUCGGAGAGACCCCCUUGCACUUCAAUACCCGUCUCUGUAUCGUAUUGUUCAACGACGUGAUGCUUUCGUUGCAACGAUACUUCAAUCCAUCCCCCUUAAUAUUUAGGUCAGGAGGACGCUAGCCGGUAAUCGUUGGGAAGAGUGGCUCCAUCUAGUGAGUAGACUGAUGGAGGUUCAGCUGUCUCAACAGCCCGAUCAAUUACGCUGGAAACUUACUAGGUCUGGAGAGUGUACAGUUAAAUCAAUGUAUCUCGAUGUGAUCAAUUCUAGCUCUAUUCCUAGUUCCAAAUAUGUUUCGACAGUCAAAGUUCCAUUGAAAAUUAAAGUGUUUACGUGGUUUGUACAUAAACAAGUCAUCUUAACCAAGGACAAUUUGGCAAAGCGUAACUGGACAGGACCUACUAAGUGUAGUUUUUGUGAUCGGGAUGAAACUAUCAAACACCUUUUUCUUGAUUGCUCGAUGGCCAAAGUUCUAUGUCGGACAGUCCACAUAGCCUUUGACAUUUCCGAGUUCUGUUAGCACGUUAUUUGGAACGUGGCUUAAUGGGAUAGAGUCCGAAACAGCGAGACACAUUCGCGUAGGAGUAUGUGCUUUAUUGUGGGCAGUCUGGAACUGCAGAAAUGAUUUGGUUUUUAACAGAACAACAAAUAUUCAUUUUUUGCAGGUUAUCUUCCAAGCCACUGCGUUGAUCCGUACGUGGUCACUACUCACUCCGACGGAGGCCAGGGAGCGUUUGGUUACUGGAUCUAUCCGGUGGGAGAUGGUAGCACGGGAUAUCUUCAACCGGUUUGAAUGGCGGUCAUGUAAUAGGAUAGGCAAUUAGUUUACCUAUCUUUCUUAUGCCGGCCGAUUGUGGCUUUUUGGCUAGUUUGUUAUUGGCCCUUUGGCUCUUUAUGAGCUUUCCUUUACUUUCGUUUGAGACUUUAAGACCUUGUUAAACCUAUUUGCUUUUUUAUAAAGUUGGCCGUAUGCAUCGUUCUGAUGCAGAGGCCGGGGAGCCCCCACUUUUCGAAAAAAAACCUCUUGUUAUCUUGUAUUCUUGUGUGACAAUGCUCGAAGAAUAUAAAAGGGCUAGGUGGAAAGACCCCCAUAUCGAAAACUUGCCUACCUACGAGUUUUAUAGACACAGAGCCUCAUUGGAUUGUACUAGAUGGAGCCUCCAGUGAGAGCUGAAGACGAGGCGAUGAGCACGGAGGAGCUGCUCCAAGCCCAGACGGAUCUCUACCACCACUCCCUAGCCUACAUCAAAUCUAUGGCGCUCGGUGCCGCCACAGAACUCAGCGUCGCCGACGCCAUCCACGGCCGUGGCGGUGCCAUCACCUUGUCUGACCUUGCGGCCGCGACCGGCGUCCACCCGACGAAAGUCCAACACUUCGGGCGGCUGAUGCGCGCGCUUACCGUCACUGGUGUCUUCACCUCGGAAGAAAAAGAAGGCGGUGGUGGUGCCCUGUACAAGCUCACUCGGAUUUCACGCCUCCUUCUCGGAGUCGGCAAGCGUCGGCUCUCCCCGAUGGUGCGUAUGCUUGUCAGCGAGGUCAGUUUCACUACUCCCAUGAGCAUCUGCGAGUGGAUCACCACUGAGACGCCGGCCAGGGCCAUGUUCGAGGCCCAUUUUGGCUCUACGCAAAAUGGGUUGUGGGAGAAGGACGACGCGUAUGGUGCCCCCUUCUACUCAGCAAUGGCUGCGGACAGCCGUCUCGUCAUGGAGGUUCUGCUGAGAGAGUGCAGCAGCGUCUUUGAGGCCGUUGCCGGCUCACUUGUCGAUGUCGGCGGCGGCAGCGGAGGAGUCGUGGCUGCCGCCAUUGCCACAGCGUUCCCUCACAUCAAGUGCUCCGUGCUGGACCUCCCCAACGUGGUAGCCGCGGCUGACGACACCACCAACGUGCAGUUUGUCUCCGGCGAUAUGUUUGACUACAUUCCACCAGCGGAUGCCGUUCUACUCAAGGUACGUACUUACAUAGUACUCCCUCCGUAAGGAUAUAUAAGAGCAUUUAGAUCAUUAUUAUUUUAGUGAUUGAUCCAAACGCACUUAUAUUUCUUUACAGAGGGAGUAGCACAUACAAAUGCAGCAAGCUAUCCAUUUCUUAUAUAUAUAAUGAACCAAAUUAAUCAACCAAUCCUUCCUAUAAAUUUUGUAGUGGAUUUUGCAUGACUGGGAAGACCAAGACUGCGUCAAGAUACUGCGCAAGUGCAGAGAGGCCAUCCGCACAAGAGGUGCUGGGGGGAAGGUGAUUAUAAUCGAUUUCGUCGUCGGUGCUGGUUCUUGCAAGGAGACGGAGACACAGGUUCUGUUUGAUCUUUACAUGAUGAUGGAGAAUGGGGCUGAGCGGGACGAGCAAGAGUGGAGCAAGAUUUUCUUUGAAGCUGGAUUUAGUGACUACAAGAUCAUGCCAGUCUUAGGCGCUCGUUCACUCAUUCAAGUAUUCCCAUGAAUUCUGGCGGUUUGAUGUCCAAAUGUACUUCCUGUUUCCAAAUGUUUGUUUGCUUUCACAUCAGAAUAAUGCCUAGGACUAUACUAUAUAGUCUCGACUUUGAAUCUGAAUAAUGAAACUGUUUGUUAUCCUACGUGUUGUUUUCGUUCAUAAUUCAUAUGCUCACAAUGAAAUACAGUCUGCUAUUUUUGUUUACAUUAAAUUAUACUUUACCUAGCAAUAUGGUAAACAGGCUCACUUAGCAGAGGCUGGCUUGUUCGCUUAUUCGCCGCCCUAGGAAUGCGAGCUCCUUGCCGAAAUGAAAUUCUAGUAGCACUGGUUACUAUCGGGUCCUGCAUGUUCGUCAUUUGUGCAAGUAAACACAAUGCAUACGAGUACUCUACUGAAUUGAACUUUUUUGUAUUGUUUUCAUUGGACCAUCCACUGUAUAGUAACAGAGUAUUUAUUGCACACAGACUAUUUUAUUCUUUCAACCCAUAGUUCAUCCACCCACACUUUUAGUCUGAUUCUAAAAUUUGUAACACUUUUAAAUUUUGAACUUGUUCUGAACAAGUAAAAUUCCAAAUUUGACACCAUAAUGAAACUUAUGUCAAAUGUGAGAUCAUAUGAAAUGAAACUGAAGUGAACCAAUAAUAAAAAAUGCAAAAAUAAUUUAAUAAACCAUAAUAAAACUUAUAUCAAAUUUGAGAUGAAACAUAGACGAAUUGUGGAUUGAAACAAUAACGAAAACAAGCUAAGGGGAAUCUAUGAAUAAAUAAUGAGAACAUGUAAAAUUACGAUGACACGGAAAUGAUAUCGUAUGGAAAAUAUGCUAAGAGAACACUUUCAUUGGCCAGCCCAACCAUGAAAGGUAAUUUAACAAAAUGAUAUGAAACUUAUUUGAAAGCUCGAAAAAUAGAAAUAAAACCAGAAUGAAAAUAAUAAUGAAACAUGUAAAAAUACGAUGAAACACAUAUGUAAAAAUAAGGCCGCGAGAUCGUCGUCCUCUGAGUUGGAAGUUUAUGGUGAAGGUGACGUGGGAUCCAUUGCAGGCGCGCCCGGGGUCUGGUGUGGUUGUGGAACACAUAUGUGGAGAUCAUAGUAGCGGUGAAUGACGAACGUGAGCGCUCCGAAGAAUAUGGUGCAGGAAGGAGAAGUCGGUCUGUUAGUGUAGAACCGGCCUUCUGCGAUGAAGGUGAGGAAGCCGAUGGUUAAGCCGUGAGAUUGCCAGCCGUUAUUGAGGAUCUGAUCUAGAGUCGGUCCCCAGCUGACAUAGCCCCUUCCUGUGCUAACUGAUGGUAUGGGAAUUUGCGAGUAUCCUUUGUAGGGUGGCGAACAUGUCCGGAAGUACAAGAAGGGAGUUCGCCAAGGGGGUUUUCCAGAUUUGCGCCCUCAUGGCGAGGAAAUACCUUACGUCCUGCUAUUUGUUUUCUAUUGAUGAUGGAGAACGUUGAGCGAGGGGUUACAAGGGACAUAAAUAUGGCCAUAGGAGUAUAGUCUACGGGAGUAGAUUGGAAUCGCUACCCCUAUCCUCACCUUAUAUAGGUGACGGGGCUAGGUUUUACAUGGCGCCUACAUGAUCUCACACUGCCAUCAUCUUGGCUUCCACCCAAGAUGGUCUUCUGGCUUCCAGGACCCCCGGGCUGUCUCUUGAUGCCAGACCUCCUUCAAGACUUUUGGGCCCGAAGGCCGGCCCACUAUUGGGUUCAUAUCUAGUGUGCCAUCCACGUUGUAAUGCACCAUCACCAACCCCGAUUUCUGGGGCCUUAAGAGUGAAGCGAUUCCUAAUUCUUCUUGGUAACAUGCCAAAGUGUUGUGUCCCAAAGGCUCGACUGGGUAUUUUCGUCAUUGCGGUUGAUAUGGAGAAGGGGUGGGUCGCAUGGAGGCAGAAAUGGGUAAAUGAAGACAGAAACGAGGGGCUGGCCUGACAGUGGUUCAUGUAGACGACGAGCAAGAGCAUGUGGCCAAUUUUUCCGCAAGCGUUAGAAGCAUAGCCAUAAUUCCAGAAAUUUUAGUGGCGGCAACUGAAUUUGCCCUAUUAUAAGAAGGUAUUGCCCCACAACGGUGCGCACACGGGUGACCUUCCUCUUGGUCCAAUGACAGGUGGGCCAUGGACUCGCCGGGGGCCAUAUUAAUGGGACAUUGUCUAUCGUGCUCUUGUGAUUUCUCUCUCGGGUGAUGGGCGGGCUAGACCCACCUGUCGGUUUUUUCGGACACCGUUGGGCUGGCUCAGGUGUGCCAGGGGGCCAGGUCAGACUGUGGUGGGCCUAGACCCCGGCGGGUGUGCGUCGUUCAGGAUGGCCGGCCACGCGGGUGUGCCAUGCUGUUUGAUCGCGAGAGCUGGCAAAGCACGGGCACCAGGUUGUUCGGCUUGUGUGAGCGAAACAGGCGACGGUGAGUCUAUCGUCCAAGAGACGGGCCGAAUAUACCGACAGGCGGAUCAGGCUUCCUGCUCUUGUGCAAUACGAUGAGAAAGGGUUCUCGCGGGAGCACCGAGGCCGCUCCAUGAGAGUGGCCCUGCACGCACCCGCGGUCCACCCGUCAUGGACCCCCGAGUGCACGUCCACUAGUUGAAAACGGAGUUUUAUCACCGGUUCGUAAGGGCCUUUAGUGCCGGUUCUGCAACCGGCACUAAAGAGUGGGGACUAAAGGUCCCCCUUUAGUACCGGUUUGGCACGAACCGGCGUAAACGUGCCACCACGUGGCACGAGCCAGGCCUGGGUGCGUGUAGGACAUUAGUACCGGUUGGUAACACAACCGGUACUAAAUGUUUGGGUGUGUUUUGGUUUUAAUUUUUAUUUUUCCUUUAGUUUUGUGUUUUCAAUUUAAUUUAGUGAUUGUUUUACAUUAUAAUGAGUUGUUAAAUCAUUAGGUGAAAGUACCGCAGAUUAGUUUCGACUGGAUGCAUGUGGAUCCUAGCUAAGUGAUAAAGUAUAUGCCAUAUCCAUAUUACUUAGAUCUAAGUAAUAUGGAUAUGGCAUAUAGUUGAUCACUUAGCUAGGAUCCAUCCAGUUGAAACUAAUAUGCGGUUUCUUUCAUAAAUGAUAUAAUAACUCAUCAUCAUCAUCAUCAUAUUAAUAUAAAAACUCUUGCAUCAUAUCAUCACCAACAACAGUAUAUACUAGCUAGCAAAGAUAUCAUCGAGUUCAACAUGGUCAUGAUAUUAUAAGCAUUCAUAACACCACAAAAGCAAAUCACUCUUUGAGAUUAAGUUCAUGACGAAGAACACGGACACGCAUGAGAGGACAAGAAGUACUAAGAGCAUGAUAACUAGCUAAAUCACUCCUGCUGCUCUCUCUCAGGUAAAAUAGCAUAGAACAUGUAUAGCUCUCCUGAUUCAUCAUAUUGGAUCAUGCAGAUGAACCUGUCUCCUAAUCGUGGGCUGCGCUUCUGAUUGCUGCCCCCUAGUACUUCUUUGCGAUCGUUAACAAUUUUGCUCCAAUCUUUCACUAUUAAGCAUUCAUCGCUUUCAGAAAUUCUGAAUGCACUCAUGUGCACUGUAGGAUAUCUUGGCCGUAAGCUAACAAUUGACAUGCGACCUUUAGUCUUGAUCCACUGAGGCACAACUAUUAAGCAUUCAUCGCUUUCAGAAAUUCUGAAUGCACUCAUGUGCACUGUAGGAUAUCUUGGCCGUAAGCUAACAAUUGACAUGCGACCUUUAGUCUUGAUCCACUGAGGCACAACUGUCAUCGGGAGUCCCUGUUGAAGAACAUCGUAUAGUAAUUAAUAUACUUAGCAAUGAAAGUUUAGCUUGAAAAAUAAUGUAUGCAAAAGAUGCACUGAGGACUAAUAGUAAAAAUCUUACCAUCUUUCCUAAAUACAUGUGACCGUAGUUCAAUACGAUCACUAUUGGUCGCACGUUUUGAGUACUAAGAUUUUCAAAUUCAGGAAAAUGAUUUCUCUUAACAGCAUCAAGAUCCUCAAGCCAUGAAACAUAAUGACUUAUCUCCUCGCAGUUUAGUUCAGCCCCGGGACAGUGGAUGGUCCUGUCUACCAAGCGCCGAACAUGUUUGCUUGAAUCAAAAUAAGCUGUCAAUAGAAAUUACUUGUCAACUAUUUUUGAAUAAACAAUAUCGAAGACAUAAAUAUGGUUGAGAAACUCACAUAAUGGUAGAACUGGAGGCAUCUGCACAUCGACCCAGAUAUCUCUAUUACCUUCAAUAUCAUCUUCCGGACGAAUAUCAAAGGUGAUAACCAUAUCAGGCUCAAAUGCAUAAGUCUUGCAUAGUGCUUGCCAAGUUUUGCAUUCAAAAUAGGUGUAUGUGUCUGCAUUGUAUAAUUUGACGUUGAAAGUAUAACCAUGCUCGGUCUUCAGGUAAACUCUCUUUGCCUCCAUAGUUUCCAUAGCACUGAAACCUAUCUUAUCCAAGACAAAAAUUCUUGCAUGGCAGGGGAUGCGCUACUACAAUAGUGAAAAUUAAAAAUUAUAAGUUGAAGCAAAUGAAGCAUAAGUCAUGCUUAAUUAUGAAAAAAGACUUGUCGUUGUGACUUACUGUAUCCACUUCGAAGGUCUCAUCCAGCUUGAUGCUGAAGCGCCUAUCAUCAACAAGGAAAUUUCUGUCGCACAGGCCGCGCUGGUCUUCACAGUAUUCGCACUUAAUGAAAUCUUUUUCGUCGUCAGACGACAUUUCCUAUGUUCAUAUAGGUGAAACAUUAAACACUUACUAGUUCUAUUAAUUCAACUAGUUCAACUACUUCUAUUAAUUCAACUAGUUCUAUCAAUUCAACUAGUUCUAUUAAUUCAACUAAUUCAACUAAGCAUUUACUAAAAAUAAACUAGUUCUAUAUAUAUAUAUAUAUUAAUAUUUUAAUUAGAUCAUCAAAUCUCAAAUACCUAAAUUUUCUUACUAAAAAUAAACCAGUUCUAUUAAUUCAACAAAUUCAACUAAGAAUUUACUAAAAAUGAACUAGUUAUAUUAAUUUUCUUACUAAAAUAUAUAAAGUAGCUAUGUAUAGUAAUAUUUUAAUUAGAUCAUCAAAUCUCUUAUACCUAAAUUUUCUUACUAAAAAUAAACNNNNNNNNNNNNNNNNNNNNNNNNNNNNNNNNNNNNNNNNNNNNNNNNNNNNNNNNNNNNNNNNNNNNNNNNNNNNNNNNNNNNNNNNNNNNNNNNNNNNNNNNNNNNNNNNNNNNNNNNNNNNNNNNNNNNNNNNNNNNNNNNNNNNNNNNNNNNNNNNNNNNNNNNNNNNNNNNNNNNNNNNNNNNNNNNNNNNNNNNNNNNNNNNNNNNNNNNNNNNNNNNNNNNNNNNNNNNNNNNNNNNNNNNNNNNNNNNNNNNNNNNNNNNNNNNNNNNNNNNNNNNNNNNNNNNNNNNNNNNNNNNNNNNNNNNNNNNNNNNNNNNNNNNNNNNNNNNNNNNNNNNNNNNNNNNNNNNNNNNNNNNNNNNNNNNNNNNNNNNNNNNNNNNNNNNNNNNNNNNNNNNNNNNNNNNNNNNNNNNNNNNNNNNNNNNNNNNNNNNNNNNNNNNNNNNNNNNNNNNNNNNNNNNNNNNNNNNNNNNNNNNNNNNNNNNNNNNNNNNNNNNNNNNNNNNNCUGGGGCGGCGAUGGGGGCGGCGACGACGGCGGCGACGACGACGGCGACAGGAUGGGCUGGGGCGCGAUAGGGGCGGCGACGGGGGCGAAGAACAAACUGAAACGAACUGAAAAUAUUCGUAAGUGGUGCUUAUAUAGCGGUGGCCAUUAGUACCGGUUUGAUACUAAAGGCCUAUUUUGGCCAGGCCAAGAGGCGGGAAGAGCAGGCCUUUAGUACCGGUUGGUGGCUCCAACCGGUACUAAAGACCCACCUUUAGUACCGGGUUGGGCUACCAACCGGUACUAAAGGGGGUGCGCUGCCACCCGCGGUGUAGAAAGUUUAGUCCCACCUCGCCGGGCGAAGGGCAGCCGCACUGGUUUAUAAACCCAGCCGCGGCUGCUACUUUGAACUCCCUUGUAAAGCAGGCUUCUGGGCCUAACUAUGGCACGCUGCCCUGUGAGCCUGCUGGCCCUUGUGGGCCUGAAUUUCCACGCCCGUGGUCUUGUAGGCCCAUUGGGAAGCGCCCCAAUAAUUUUUUAUAUAGUUUGUUUCUUUUCUUCUUUAUUUAUUUUCUUCUAUUUAUUUCUGAGUAGUUUUUUAUAUAGUUUUUUCUUUUCUGCUUUUUUUUAUUUUCUUCUAUUUAUUUCGGAUUAGUUUUUUAUAUAUUUUUUUCUUUUCCCCAAAUCGGUAAAUGACUGAAAAAUAGCAAAUGUUGUCAGAAAGUGUUGAAAAUUGAUGACGUCGCUUUGAAUGGUGUGUAUGGAACGCAAAAAAGUCUGGAGUUGUAAUAAGUUUAAAAAAAUGAAGUGCCCAUGUAACAGAUGAGUUCUCGUCAGAAACCCUGAUACUACAAAAAAGAUAGUCCAGUUUGUACACGAAGUGCGUCCAGUUUUUGCCAUAACCCUCUCUACUCUUUUGCACAUGCUAUGUGGGUGAAAUGAUGAUACCAUGCCAAGUUUUGACAUUUUCAGAGUUUAUUUUGUAGUGAUUUUCAAUUUCACGGUCAUUUAACUCUCUAAACAAAUCGGUAAAUGACUGAAAAAUAGCAAAUGAUGUCAGAAAGUGUUGAAAAUUGAUGACGUCGCUUUGAAUGGUGCGUACGGAACGCAAAAAAGUCUGGAGUUGUAAUAAGUUUAAAAAAAUGAAGUGCCAGUGUAACAGAUGAGUUCUCGUCCGAAACCCUGAUACUCCGAAAGAGAUUGUCCAGUUUGUACACGAAGUGCGUCCAGUUUUUGCCGUAAUCCUCUCUACUCUUUUGCACAUGCUGUGUGGGUGAAAUGAUGAUACCAUGCCAAGUUUCGACAUUUUCAGAGUUCAUUUUGUAGUGAUUUUCAAUUUCACGGUCAUUUAGCUCUCUAAACAAAUCGGUAAAUGACUACAAAAGUGCAAAUAAUGUCAGAAAGUUUUGAAAAAUGAUGACGUCGCUUUGAAUGGUGUGUACGGAACGCAAAAAAGUCUGGAGUUGUAAUAAGUCUGAAAAAUCGAAGUGCCAAUGUAACAGAUGAGUUCUCGUCAGAAACCCUUAUACUUCGAAAGAGAUUGUCCAGUUUGUACACGAAGUGCGUCCAGUUUUUGCCGUAACCCUCUCUACUCUUUUGCACAAGCUAUGUGGGUGAAAUAAUGAUACCACACCAAGUUUCGACAUUUUCAGAGUUGAUUUUGUAGUGAUUUUCAAUUUCACGGUCAUUUAGCUCUCUAAACAAAUCGAUAAAUGACUGAAAAAUAGUAAAUGAUGUUAGAAAGUGUUGAAAAUUGAUGACGUCGCUUUGAAUGGUGCGUACGGAACGCAAAAAAAGUCUGUUGUUGUAAUAAGUUUAAAAAAAUGAAGUGCCAGUGUAACAGAUGAGUUCUCGUUCGAAACCCUGAUACUCCGAAAGAGAUUGUCCAGUUUGUACACGAAGUGCGUCCAGUUUUUGCCGUAACCCUCUCUAAUCUUUUGCACAUGCUAUGUGGGUGAAAUGAUGAUACUAUGCCAAGUUUCGACAUUUUCAGAGUUCAUUUUGUAGUGAUUUUCAAUUUCACGGUCAUUUAGCUCUCUAAACAAAUCGGUAGAUGACUAAAAAAUAGCAAAUGAUGUCAGAAAGUUUUGAAAAUUGAUGACGUCGCUUUGUAUGGCGUGUACGGAACGCAAAAAAUUCUGGAGUUGUAAUAAGUUUAAAAAAAUGAAGUACCCAUGUAACAGAUGAGUUCUCGUCAGAAACCCUGAUACUCCAAAAGAGAUUGUCCAGUUUGUACACGAAGUGCGUCCAGUUUUUGCCGUAACCCUCUCUACUCUUUUGCACAUGCUGUGUGGGUGAAAUGAUGAUACCAUGCCAAGUUUCGACAUUUUCAGAGUUCAUUUUGUAGUGAUUUUCAAUUUCACGGUCAUUUAGCUCUCUAAACAAAUCGGUAAAUGACUAAAAAAUAGCAAAUGAUGUCAGAAAGUGUUGAAAAUUGAUGACGUCGCUUUGAAUGGUGCGUACGGAACGCAAAAAAAGUCUNNNNNNNNNNNNNNNNNNNNNNNNNNNNNNNNNNNNNNNNNNNNNNNNNNNNNNNNNNNNNNNNNNNNNNNNNNNNNNNNNNNNNNNNNNNNNNNNNNNNNNNNNNNNNNNNNNNNNNNNNNNNNNNNNNNNNNNNNNNNNNNNNNNNNNNNNNNNNNNNNNNNNNNNNNNNNNNNNNNNNNNNNNNNNNNNNNNNNNNNNNNNNNNNNNNNNNNNNNNNNNNNNNNNNNNNNNNNNNNNNNNNNNNNNNNNNNNNNNNNNNNNNNNNNNNNNNNNNNNNNNNNNNNNNNNNNNNNNNNNNNNNNNNNNNNNNNNNGACUAAAAAUAGCAAAUGAUGUCAGGAAGUGUUGAAAAUUGAUGACGUCACUUUGAAUGGUGCGUACGGAACGCAAAAAAAGUCUGGAGUUGUAAUAAGUUUAGAAAAAUGAAGUGCCAAUGUAACAGAUGAGUUCUCGUCAGAAACGGUGAUACUCCGAAAGAGAUUGUCCAGUUUGUACACGAAGUGCGUCCAGUUUUUGCCGUAAUCAUCUCUAUUCUUGUGCACAUGCUGUGUGGGUGAAAUGAUGAUACCAUGCCAAGUUUUGACAUUUUCAGAGUUCAUUUUGUAGUGAUUUUCAAUUUCACGGUCAUUUAGCUCUCUAAACAAAUCGGUAAAUGACUACAAAAGUGCAAAUAAUGUCAGAAAGUUUUGAAAAAUGAUGACGUCGCUUUGAAUGGUGUGUACGGAACGCAAAAAAGUCUGGAGUUGUAAUAAGUCUGAAAAAAUGAAGUGCCAAUGUAACAGAUGAGUUCUCGUCAGAAACCCUUAUACUUCGAAAGAGAUUGUCCAGUUUGUACACGAAGUGCGUCCAGUUUUUGCCGUAACCCUCUCUACUCUUUUGCACAUGCUAUGUGGGUGAAAUGAUGAUAUCACGCCAAGUUUCGACAUUUUCAAAGUUGAUUUUGUAGUGAUUUUCAAUUUCACGGUCAUUUAGCUCUCUAAACAAAUCGAUAAAUGACUGAAAAAUAGUAAAUGAUGUCAGAAAGUGUUGAAAAUUGAUGACGUCGCUUUGAAUGGUGCGUACGGAACGCAAAAAAAGUCUGUUGUUGUAAUAAGUUUAAAAAAAUGAGUUGCCAGUGUGACAGAUGAGUUCUCGUUCGAAACCCUGAUACUCCGAAAGAGAUUGUCCAGUUUGUACACGAAGUGCGUUCAGUUUUUGCCGUUACUCUCUCUACUCUUUUGCACAUGCUAUGUGGGUGAAAUGAUGAUACUAUGCCAAGUUUCGACAUUUUCAGAGUUCAUUUUGUUGUGAUUUUCAAUUGCACGGUCAUUUAGCUCUCUAAACAAAUCGGUAGAUGACUAAAAAAUAGCAAAUGAUGUCAAAAAGUUUUCAAAAUUGAUGACGUCGCUUUGUAUGGUGUGUACGGAACUCAAAAAAUCUGGAGUUGUAAUAAGUUUAAAAAAAUGAAGUGCCCAUGUAACAGAUGAGUUCUUGUCAGAAACCCUGAUACUUCGAAAGAGAUUGUCCAGUUUGUACACGAAGUGCGUCCAGUUUUUGCCGUAACCCUCUCUACUCUUUUGCACAUGCUGUGUGGGUGAAAUGAUGAUACUAUGCCAAGUUUCGACAUUUUCAGAGUUCAGUUUGUAGUGAUUUUCAAUUUCACGGUCAUUUAGCUCUCUAAACAAAUCGGUAAAUGACUGAAAGAUAGCAAAUGAUGUCAGAAAGUGUUGAAAAUUGAUGGCGUCGAUUUGAAGGGUGCGUACGGAACGCAAAAAAAGUCUGGAGUUGUAAUAAGUUUAAAAAAAUGAAAUGCCAGUGUAACAGAUGAGUUCUCGUCCGAAACCCUGAUACUCCGAAAGAGAUUGUCCAGUUUGUACACGAAGUGCGUCCAGUUUUUGCCGUAACCCUCUCUACUCUUUUGCACAUGCUAUGUGGGUGAAAUGAGGAUACCAUGCCAAGUUUCGACAUUUUUAGAGUUCAUUUUGUAGUGAUUUUCAAUUUCACGGUCAUUUAGCUCUCUAAACAAAUCGGUAAAUGACUAAAAAAUAGCAAAUGAUGUCAGAAAGUUUUGAAAAUUGAUGACGUCGCUUUGAAUGGUGUGUACGGAACUCAAAAAAGUCUGGAGUUAUAAUAAGUUUUAAAAAAUAAAGUGCCCAUGUAACAGAUGAGUUCUCGUCAGAAACCCUGAUACUUCGAAAGAGAUUGUCCAGUUUGUACAGGAAGUGAGUCCAGUUUUUGCCGUAACACAAGAAGUCCGGAGUUGUUAUAAGUUAUUAAAGAUAAAAAAGAGGCACAAUGCUCGUUAAUUAGCUUCAAGCCUUUCGGAAUAGUGCAAACUGCACUGCACAUAGCUCCGUGCAGUCUACACUAUUCCUCAAGGCUUAAAGCUAAGCAACGUGUAGAUGAGCAUUUCACGGUCAUUUAGCUCUCUAAGCUAAUCUAGUAGCCAUGUUAAGUCGAUAAUGACGUGGAAUUGUUAUAUGACAUGCAAAUACCUUCUGAGUUAAUGGCACUAGUCAUCAACCCGUGCAACUGCAUGGGCUAGUUUUUUAAACGGUUCAUAGUUACAAUACUUUUCAUGACCACUUGUUUCUUUGCAUCCAGCAAGAAUAUAAAUUUGUUGUGUGUGAACCAUUAAAUGAACAAUUAAUAUGAAAAUAGAAAACUUAUAUCCUGAAAGUUUACAAUCUUCAUAAAAUAUUUAUAUUUUAUUUUAAGACAAACGGGAAAUUAAAAAUCCUACUUAUAGAGAUCCUGAAACAUAAUUCAAAUGUCGCAUAAAUUACGUAAUUUUGAAUGAUAAGUACUAAAAAUGUAAUAAUUUGUUUAGUUAAUAUUAAUCCUUUUUUUAUUUGGGAGUCUACUUAAUCAUGGGGUAUUUUGCAUAAUGCUUAGGCUUGUCAAAUGAAAUAAGCAUUUCAUAACAACAGUGUACCUCCCUACAGUUUAAUAACAAACUUACUCUACAAACACCGAAAACCGAACCAAAGACUGAAGAAGCAAUCAUAAGUGUCAUACUUCUUAAAUUCUCCUUUUUUUUCCCGGCACCACCCAUGGAGUAGUCUUUCCACCGUGUUUGACUCUCGUUGUGGUAGCAAAUGAUGGGUCCAAGUUUUCGCAUAGUAUUGUCCGUUUGUUUUAUCAUGAUAGAGUACUCCAUUAGUUGGCACCGCUCUUAUAUUUGUGUGUGAUCUUUUAGCAGUUCAACAUUAUAGUUCUUCCACCCAUAUGUUCGCAAUGUUAAAUCUAUGGAGAAAAAGAUUCAAAUCUUCACUAUUGUACCACAAAAGCAAGUCACAUGAAUAGCUCGCAAUUAUUUAACUACUGGUGGUUGGUGCCAGGUAUAUUAGCGUUAGGAAAGUAAAUGUACAUACUGAACAUUUGACUGUGGAAGAAAAUGAAUUUUCUUAUUUACUCUUAUUGAAUUCUAAAUAUAUUUUGGAUAUUUGUUUUCAGUAAUACACCUAAUUUUGGAAAAUCUAUUUCAUAGCCUUGUAUUUUUGAAAUAUUUUACAAAACAUGACACAAAUUGUUGUGUUUUUUCACAUACAUAUUUAUAACAUUAAUACACUCUUUAUAUGUAAUGUGAUAUUUAUUAUAUAAUUUUUUAAUCAUACAUAACUAAAUUCUUAUUAUUUUCAAAUCACAAAUUUUAAAUGAUAUGAUAACUUACAUUUUAAAAGCUCUAUUUCGGGACAUUAUAACUAAAAACUAUCUGAGCGAAUCGGGCACCAUAAUGUAUUUGGUGUCUACACUUUGUCGCAUACAUAGCCUUUUUUAUUUUUAAUGUAAUUGCUAAAAUAUGUAAUUAUGUAGAACUUAAUAUUACAUUCUAUUACACAGAUUGGACUUAUAUAGGUUGGAAAAGAAUUAAAUCUAUGCUGUCAAACCUACCGAAUAGCAUUCCUCCGGCACAUUGUAUAUCUGGCAUUUAUUAGUAAUGUGUCUAAAUCAGUUCGGGAUAAAUUCACUCUACAUCGUCAUAAUGGCUUGUUGUUAAAAUUUGGCAUCCUGACGCAUUACUUGGAAUUUUUAUAAACUCAGUGUAAACAGUUAUGUUAUCUUUUUAAACAUAAGUUAUUUAGUUCAAUUCGGAGUACUAUAUAGUAAUUUUCAACAGUAAAUCUAGCCUAUUUCAACUCGGUCAUUAUAAACAAUAAAUCUAGCCUGUUUCAACUCGGCCAUUAUAUUUAACUUAUUUAAGACAUAAGGUAAUCUAACUUUUGAACAAUCUUUAGAAAUCUACAUAUGUAGAGGUCAAGUAGGACAUACAUAUGUGAAAUUCCUUAAAAUAAUUUGAUAAUUGUUAUAUUAAAGAAAAUAAUAUUAUAAUUUAUUAUCUGUACUUACUAUAAUUGCAAUACUUUUUGAUAGCAUGUUCCCGUUGCAUAGUGUCGCUUACUGCACAAUAUCUUAAUUUGUUAUGUGUCUCGGAUAGAAAAAUAUUGUAUUUCCGCGUAUGUAUAUGCAUGUCUAUAUAUGUUUCACACACAUGAAAUUUUUUUAUAUAUUAAAAAAUGAUUUCGCCUGAGUUACAUCCAUGCAUGCUAAUUUCCUGUCUAUCAUUGGAGUUUAGAUCUAUGCAUGUAUGUGCUUGACUAAGCUCUGCACAUAUAUACGUGCCGGUCAAAUCAUAUACAUGAACGUACAUCACUCUAUUCUACUAUUAAGGGAUUCGUUGAGCACCUCGUCAAAGAAACAAACCUUUCAGAUCAACUUGUAAAUUUUCUUUUUACAUAUUUGCAUUUUUUUAGCAUAUUUGCAUUUCUUUCCUAAAAUAUUGCAAUAUUUGCAAAUAUCUGAAUCAUAUUCUUUUGAUUGACAAUAACACAAUGGCUUACCAGCAGAUCAAAACAGAUAUCUAGCUAGUGCGAAGGUUGUGCCACCUCUUGAUUGUUUCCUCCAUGAGCAAGCAAGCUUCUGGUAACGGUAACAGUCAUGGCGACGGAACAUGAUGUGCCGGCGAGCCGCAGACAUUAGAAAGAUCUGAAAAGAAGCAGAUAGGCAUGAUGCAUAAAUCUGGAAAGGAAGAAGAAUAUGCAUAACUCAAAAGCAUUGAAGCCGUCGGUUUUUGCAUUGCUCUACGAUCAGUUAAUGUACGCAUGCAUCGUAUAUGUACGCAUCCAGCCGCCGGAAUUUACUUCUCCUGCCUUCGUUUGUCAAGGGCAAAAAUACUGGCCAGCAGCACAAAUUGAAGACCAGCUUUCGGCACCUCCAUAACGCUCGUAGAAAAGUUCUCAAUGACUUGCAUCGGGAAUAUCUCUCCAGACCAGGGCAUGCGCCAAUUAAUGCUUCUUGCCGUGUCAUGUAUGCCGGGUCAUGUAUCUCUACGGGGACAACAAAAUUCAACUUGUUUAUUUUUGGAUAAUCAUUGGGAGAUAGAGACCCAGCACAGGACGUCUCCCAUGCGUGGGACAACCGAGGUUUUUUUUUUCAAUCUUAGGCUUCAUCAACGGCUAAAAUAUAUUAUAUUUUAAUCUGACGGAUGUAAAUCUUUAACUUAUAAAAUUGACGUGAAUCCUCGUAUGGCUCUUCCAAUUAGUAAAUAUAUAAGAUAGUAGUAGACGUGAAGAAUAAAGGGGCAGUAAUGGGAUAUUAAAUGUGGCAGCUAACUUGCUAGGCCUUCGAGUUAUAUUUUGUUCAGCAUUAAGUGGAAAACAUAUUUUGGCAUCCUUUUCCUCCUCUCGACUCUGACAAAAUGUUAGUGAUAUUCAAAUGGAAAAGCUUAGGCAAGAAAUAUUCCGAGGAAAAAUAAUGCAUCUACUCUAAAAUAUAUUUUCAUCAAUAGUAGUCCACUACUACCAUGAGCCAAUGGCCAUGGUUCUAUUCAAAAUUUUAAUUUAUCAAGAUCAGGCGUAGACUUGAUGUUGACAUCAAUGGCUAUCUAGGCUUAGAGAGAUGAGAGGAGUGAAGAACAAAAAAGGAGCGCCAAUAAUGGUUAUAACCCAUAGGGGAUAAAAUAAGGACGCCGCUAGUUGGCAUGAAUUGAUACAGGUAGACAUCACUUACUCUGCGUCCCUGAAUAGAGGCCAUAAUUUGUGUUGCUCUAGGGACCCAUAAUUUAUGAAUUCUGCUCACAAGAGAUCCGACUGUUGUGGGGAUCAAACUUUAGCACGCUGCCCUUAGAGCAACUCCAACGCGUCAACCCAAAUGGACGGCGAUUUUGUUAUAUUUUCGUCUGUUUGUGUCGACCGUCCACUCGGUGUCCGCCUAAUUUUCUUUUUGGGUCAGCAGUGCGCCCAAUGCCAGCGACUCAUUUCAUGUCCGUGCACAAAUUUUAAAAAGGCCCGCGGCUGUAGAUCAUGGCAGCGGCCAAGCCGUCACCCAAAGUUCAUGCCGGCACCAUGCCAGCAGCCGACAUACAAUGCCAGCUCCAAAAAAGCACCACACAGUUUGUGUUGGCGCACUUGCCAGCGACUGGCAUAGAUGCCAGCAAACAAAAAAGGGGCGGGAGUUCGACCACGCCAUCGCGACCGUAGUCAUGCCAACACACUUUUCGGCAUGCAAAAAAGGAUGGCGCUUUCCGCCAUAAAUCACUCGUCGUCGAACUUGAGCAUGUCGGCUUGCAUCUUGUCGAACCACGACCUCUUCCUCGGCGACAUGGUGUUGAGGUCCACCUUCAUGAUCUCCACACCCGUCAUCAUGCUAGCGAGAACCACUUCUUUCGCCUUGGUCUUGACAUUUGCGGCAUCGAUAUCUAGCAUCUUGGCUUGCACUGGUGCAGAACCGGGCUUUAGCACCAGUUCGUAAGGCCCUUUAGUGGCGGUUCUUGAACCGGUACUAAGGGGGGGGGGGCUUUAGGGAUUUUGGUUUUAUUAUUUAUUUUUCCUUUAAUUUUGUAUUUCCAUUUAUUUUAUUUUUCAUUUGCUGGUAUUUUACGAACUACAUAUUGUACACGUUAUGCAUAUAUAUAAAUAUAAUUUCUCGUAGAACCGAUCAUAUANNNNNNNNNNNNNNNNNNNNNNNNNNNNNNNNNNNNNNNNNNNNNNNNNNNNNNNNNNNNNNNNNNNNNNNNNNNNNNNNNNNNNNNNNNNNNNNNNNNNNNNNNNNNNNNNNNNNNNNNNNNNNNNNNNNNNNNNNNNNNNNNNNNNNNNNNNNNNNNNNNNNNAGCUAAUCAUUGAUAUAUACUACAUACUAAACGUACAUACUCUCUAUUUUGACGGAUACUACAUACAACAUACAAAAUGCAAGUGGUGGUAAUUACCACCGCUUGGAGGAAGCAUUUGAGGCACCACCAUUUGAAGCACCGCCAUUCACACAUAGAGCAGAAAAGAGUACCGGUUGGAGCGACCAACCGGUUUAAAGGGGUGUGCUGGCCCAGGUGCGAUGCACAAAGUUUAGUCCCACCUUGCUGAGCGAAGGGCGGCCGCACUGGUAUAUAAACCCAGCCGCGGCUGCUCCUUUGAGCUCCUCCCUAACGCAGGCCUUCUGGGCCUACUUGUGUUGCGCUGCCCUGUUGGGCCUACUAGCCUUGCGGGCCUACCUCCUGGCCCGACUACAGGUUGGGUUUCUAGUCGCAUGCAGGCCGCUGUGGCCCAGUAGGCGGGCUUUUAAAAAAAUAUUGUUUGCUUUAUUUAUUUUCUUUUAUUUAUUUCUGAGUUGUUUUUCCUGUAUUUCGAAUUUCUUUGUGAAUAUUUUUGCUUUAGGUACAAAAAAUUACAAAAUUUCUGUUAGUGCCAGUAGUUUUCAAAUUUGAAUAGUUUAAAUUUGUCUCCUUUAUUUAUUUUUAAGUUGUUUUUUGCUGUAUUUAGAAUUUCUUUGUGAAUAUUUUGCUUUAGGUAAAAAAAAUUACAAACUUUAUGUUAGUGCCAAUAGUUUUCAAUUUUGAAUAGUUUAAAUUUGUCUGCUUUAUUUAUUUUCUUUUAUUUAUUUGUGAGUUGUUUUUUGCUGUAUUUAGAAUUUUUUGUGAAUAUUUUUCUUUAGGUACAAAAAAUUACAAAAUUUCUGUNNNNNNNNNNNNNNNNNNNNNNNNNNNNNNNNNNNNNNNNNNNNNNNNNNNNNNNNNNNNNNNNNNNNNNNNNNNNNNNNNNNNNNNNNNNNNNNNNNNNNNNNNNNNNNNNNNNNNNNNNNNNNNNNNNNNNNNNNNNNNNNNNNNNNNNNNNNNNNNNNNNNNNNNNNNNNNNNNNNNNNNNNNNNNNNNNNNNNNNNNNNNNNNNNNNNNNNNNNNNNNNNNNNNNNNNNNNNNNNNNNNNNNNNNNNNNNNNNNNNNNNNNNNNNNNNNNNNNNNNNNNNNUAAGUUGUUUUUUGCUGUAUUUAGAAUUUCUUUGUGAAUAUUUUUGCUUUAGGUACUAAAAAUUACAAACUUUCUGUUAGUGCUAGUAGUUUUCAAAUUUGAAUAGUUUAAAUUUUUCUGCUUUAUUUAUUUUCUUUUAUUUAUUCCUGAGUUGUUUUUUGCUGUAUUUAGAAUUUCUUUGUAACUAUUUUUGCUUUAGGUACAAAAAAUUACAAACUUUAUGUUACUGCCAGUAGUUUUAAAAUUUGAAUAGUUUAAAUUUGUCUGUUUUAUUUAUUUCUGAGUUGUUUUUUGCUGUGUUUAGAAUUUAUUUUUGAAUAUUUUUGCUUUAGGUACAAAAAAUUACAAACUUUCUAUUAGUGCCAGUAGUUGUCAAAUUUGAAUAGUUUAAAUUUGAAUUAUUUGAAAUUUUUGUGAAUAACUAGUUUCGGAAUAACUUUACUUUAAAAAUAGAUUUUUCAGUGAUUCGUUUUUCUUAUGUCUAACAUUAGUGUGUUUUAUCAUUAUAUUCAAUUUGGUAAUACUUAGGUUAUUUAAAAAAUGAAAUGCCAUUGUAACAGAUGAGUUUUCGUCUAAAAACUCUGAUACUUCGAAAGAGAUUGUCCAUUUUGUACACUAAGUGCUUCCAGUUUUUGCCAUAACCCUCUAUACUUUUUUGCACAUGCUAUGUGGGUGAAAUGAUGAUACCAUGCCAACUUUCAACCUUUUCAGAGUUCAUUUGUAGUGCUUUUUAAUUUCAGGGUCAUUUAGCUAAAAAAAUCAUUAAAUGCAUGAAAAAUAGCAAAUGAUGUCCGAAAGUGUUGAAAGUUGAUGACGUGGCUUUGAAUGGUGCAUACUGGACGCACAAAAAGUAUGGAGUUGUAAUGAGUUUCAAAAAUGAAAUUCCUUUGUAACAGAUGAGUUUUCGUCCGAAACCCUGAUACUCCGAAAGAGAUUGUCCAUUUUGUACACGAAGUGCAUCCAGUUUUUUCCAUAACCCUCACUACUUUUUUGCACAUGCUAUGUGGGUGAAAUGAUGAUGCCAUGCCAACUUCCAACCUUUAAGAGUUCAUUUGUAGUGUUUUUCAAUUUCAGGGUCAUUUAGCUAAAAAAUCAAUAAAUGCAUGAGAAAUAGCAAAUGAUGUCAGAAAGGUAUGAAAGUUGAUGACGUGGCUUUGAAUGGUGCAUACUGAAUGCACAAAAAGUUUAGAGUUGUAAUAAAUUUAAAAAAUGAAAUGCCUUUGUAACAGAUGAGUUUUCGUCCGAAGCCCUCAUACUUCAAAAGAGAUUAUCCAUUUUGUGCACGAAGUGCAUCCAGUUUUUGCCGUAACCCUCUCUACUUUUUUGCACAUUAUAUGUGGGUGAAAUGAUGAUACGAUGCCAACUUCCAACCUUUCAGAGUUCAUUUGUAGUGCUUUUCAAUUUCAGGGUCAUUUAGCUAAAAAAAAUCAGGAAAUGCACGAAAAAUAGCAAAUGAUGUCAGAAAAGUUUGAAAGUUGAUGACAUGGCUUUGAAUUGUGCAUACUGAACGCACAAAAAGUCUAGAGUUGUAAUAAGUUUAAAAAAUGAAAUGCCUUUGUAACAGAUGAGUUUUCGUCCGAAACCCUCAUACUUCGAAAGAAAUUGUACAUUUUGUACACGAAGUGCAUCCAGUUUUUGCCGUAACCCUCUCUACUUUUUUGCACAUGCUAUGUGGGUGAAAUGAUGAUGCCAUGCCAACUUUCAACCUUUGUAGAGUUCAUUUGUAGUGCUUUUCAAUUGCAGGGUCAUUUAGCUAAAAAAUCAGUAAAUGCAUGAAAAAUAGCAAAUGAUGUCAGAAAGUGUUGAAAGUUGAUGACGUGGCUUUGAAUGGUGCAUACUGAAUGCACAAAAAGUCUGGAAUUGUAAUAAGUUUAAAAAAAUGAAAUGCCUUUGUAACAGAUGAGUUUUCGUCCGAAACCCUGAUACUCCGAAAGAGAUUGUCCAUUUUGUACACGAAGUGCAUCCAGUUUUUGCCGUAACCCUCCCCUACUUUUUUCCACAUGCUAUGUGGGUGAAAUGAUGAUACGAUGCCAACUUCCAACCUUUUCAGAGUUCAUUUGUAGUGCUUUUCAAUUUCAAGGUCAUUUAGCUAAAAAAUUAGUAAAUGCAUGAAAAAUAGCAAAUGAUAUCAGAAAGGUUUGAAAGUUGAUGACGUGUCUUUGAAUGGUGCAUACCGAAAGUACAAAAAGUCAGGAGUUGUAAUAAGUUUAAAAAAAUGAAAUGCCUUUGUAACAGAUGAGUUUUCGUCUAAAACCCUCAUACUUCGAAAGAGAUUGUCCAUUUUUUUCUACACGAAGUGCAUCCAGUUUUUGCCGUAACCCUCUCAACUUUUUUGCACAUGCGAUGUGGGUGAAAUGCUGAUACCGCCAACUUUUAACCUUUUGAGAGUUCAAUUUUAGUGCUUUUUAAUUUCAGGGUCAUUUAGCUAAAACAAUCAGUAAAUGAGCUAAAAGUAGCAAAUGAAGUCAGAAAAGGGUUGAAAAUUGCUGAUGUGCCUUGGAAUGGUGCAUAUUGAACACACAAAAAGUCUGGAGUUGAAAUAAGUUAUUAAAAAUAAAAUCCUUUUGUAAUAGAUGAGUUUCGUCCGAAACCCUGAUACUUCGAAAGAGAUUGUCCAGUUUGUAGAAGAAGUGCAUCCAAUUUUUGCCGUAACCCUCUCAACUUUUUAGCACAUGCUAUGUGGAUGAAAUGAUGAUAUCAUGCUAAGUUUCAACCAUUUCAGAGUUGAUUUGUAGUGCUUUUCAUUUUCAGGGUCAUUUAGCUAAAAAAAUUCAUUAAAUGCAUAAAAAUAGCAAAUGAAGGCAGAAAAGAGUUGAACAUUGAUGAUGUGACUUUGAAUGGUGCACAAUGAACACACAAAAAGUCCGGAGUUAAAAUAAGUUAUAAAAAUGAAGGAGAGGCGCAAUCCUCACUGGCACAUUGCUUAGCUUCAGGCCUUGACAAACUACACAUAGCUCUGUGCAAUCUACACCAUUUCCUCCAGGCAUGAAGCUAAGCAACGUGCAGGUGAGCAUUGCGCCUCUCCUUCAUCGUUCCUCGUCUCUGCACUCAGGGCUUAUAAACCGCUGAUACGUCUCCAACGUAUCUAUAAUUUUUGAUUGUUCCAUGCUAUUAUAUUAUCAAUCUUGGAUGUUCUAUAAUCAUUUUAUAGUCAUUUUUUGGUACUAACCUAUUGACAUAGUGUCAAGUGCUAGUUGUUGUUUUCUGCAUGUUUUUUACAUUGCAGGAAAUCAAUACCAAACGGCGUCCAAAUUCAAUGAAACUUUACGGGGAUUUUUUAUGCACCAGAAGACACCUAAUGGGCCAAGGCUGCGCCUAGGGGGUGCUCCGAGGAGAGCACAACCCACCAUGGCGCGCCAGGAGGCCCGGGCACGCCCUGGAGGGUUGUGCCCACCUCGGGUGCCCCUCGGGCCGCCUCUUUGCUCUAUAAAUAUCCCAAUAUUCCAGAAACCCUAGGGGAGUCGACGAAAAUCAAUUCAAGCCUCCGCAGAGUCCAGAACCACCAGAUCCAAUCUAGACACCAUCACGGAGGGGUUCACCACUUCCAUUGGUGCCUCUCCGAUGAUGCGUGAUUAGUUCUUUGUAGACCUUCGGGUCCGUAGUUAGUAGCUAGAUGGCUUCCUCUCUCUCGCCAAACUCUCAAUACAAUGGUGUCUUGGAGAUCCAUAUGAUGUGACUCUGUUUGCGGUGUGUUUGUUGGGAUCAGAUGAACUUUCAGUUUAUGAUCAGAUCUAUCUUUUUAUAUCCAUGAAAGUUAUUUGAGUUUCUUUGAACUAUUAUAUGCAUGAUUUCUUAUAGCCUCGUAUUUCUUCUCCGAUAUUUGGGUUUUGUUUGGACAAAUUGAUCUAUUUAUCUUGCAAUGGAAAGAGGUGCUUUGUAGUGGGUUCGAUCUUACGGUGCUUGAUCCCAGUGACAGAAGGGGAACCGACACGUAUGUAUCGUUGCUACUAAGGAUAAAACGAUGGGGUCUAUCUCUACAUAGAUAGAUCUUGUCUACAUCAUGUCAUCAUUCUUAUUGCAUUACUCCAUUUCCCCAUGAACUUAAUACACUAGAUGCAUGCUGUAUAGCGGUCGAUGUGUCGAGUAAUAGUAGUAGAUGCAGGUAGGAGUCGGUCUACUAAUCUUGGACGUGAUGGCUAUAUAUUGAUCAUUGCCUGGAUAUCGUCAUGAUUAUUUGGAACUCUAUCAAUUGCCCAACAGUAAUUUGUUUACCCACCGUUUGCUAUUUUGCUCGAGAGAAGCCACUAGUGAAACCUACGGCCCCCGGGUCUCUUUCUCACAUUAUUUGCCUUCGCGAUCUAUUUUAUUUGCCUUUUGUUUGCAGAUCUAUUAAACCAAAAAUACAAAAAUACCUUGCUGCGUUUUACUCUUAUUUAUUUUAUUUGGUGUUCGAUCUAUCAAUCUACUACAAUUAUCUCACGUCUGUUUGCCAAUUUCUGGCGCCGCUACCCGAAAGGGAUUGACAACCCCUUUAACACGCCAGGUUGCGAGGAUUUGUUAUCUGUGUGCAGGGGCUAUUUACAUUCUAUUGCUAGGUUCUCCUACUAGUUCGAUAACCUUGGUUUCAUAUCUGAGGGAAAUACCUACCGCUGCUAUGCUGCAUCAUCCCUUUCUCUUUGGGGAAAUACCGACGUAGCUUCAAGCCGCAUCAAAAGGAAUUUCUGGCGCCGUUGCCGGGGAGGAUCUUCAACAUAUACGAGGUUCCGAAUCACAAAUCUCAUCUCCUUGCAAUUUACAUUAUUUGCCAUUUGCCUCUCAUUUUCCUCUCCCCCACUUCACAAAAAUUUGCCAUUUUAUUCGUCCUCUUUUUCGUUCGCCUUUUUCUCGUUUGAUCUUUUGUUUGCUUGUGUUGCCAUGUGCCUUCUAUAUGCUUGCGUCUUCGCUUGCUAAAAAUAUAUUGAUAUGGAUCCUCAUCCACUUGCUAAUCUUUUUAAAAGAUCCAAUCAUGUUGAACCAGUUGCUAGUGAGUUGAGUGCACUAGAUUAUCUUUAUGAAGUUUUUCUUGAGAUUCGUGAAUCUAAAAAUUGCGAUGAAGAAAUUUAUGAAGUGAUUCAUGAUAGCUCCUUGAAUGAAAAGCAUGAUUGCAAUGAUUUUACUAUAAAUCCUAUUAAUGUCAAUUGUGCUAAUAAUAUGCAAAACCCCAAACUUUGGGAUGCUAAUUUUGCUAUGUCCACUACUUGUUGCAAUGAUCAUGAUUGGGGUGAUUCUUCUUAUGAGCUUGAAAUUUUAUUUAAACCUCAUGAUGAAUAUGAUAUUGAUAAUAAUGUUUGCAAUAAUAUUGAAAGUGGGUAUGGAAGAGCGUCAACUUUAGGUAAAAAUAAUCCCACAUAUUUGGAGAGUGUUCAAUCUUAUGAUUUUUUUUAUGAAAGUGGGUUCGGAGGGGUCAUGACUUUAGUUGAUGUUAAUCCCACUAUCUUGGAAGAUUAUAAGACUUGUAUGCAUGUGGAUCAUGAAAAGAAAGUUUUAUAUGAUUGCUAUAUUGUUGAAUUUGAGUAUUAUCCUACAUGUAAUUAUUAUGAGAAAGGAAAAUAUGGUUGUAGAAAUUUUUAUGUUACUAAAUUACCUCUCGUUAUGUUGAGAUCGUCAAUGUUUUAUUCCUCUUCUUUGCAUAUGUUAGAUGUUUCUUGUCUUGAUAUUUUGUUUUCUUAUAAAAUUCCUAUGCAUAGGAAGUAUGUUAGACUUAAAUGUGGUUGUCAUAUGUUUCAUGAUGCUCUCUUUGUGUUUCAAUUAUUAUCUCUCAUGUGAGCAUCAUUGAAAUUUUAUGCCUAGCUAGGGGCAUGAAACUAUAGCGCUUGUUGGGAGGCAACCCAAUGAAUAAAAUUUGUUUUUACCUUUUGCUUUCUGUUCUUGAAUGUUUGCACAAUUAUGCUAAUGUUAUGAUUGUGUGUUUUGUGUUUUAAUUAGUGUUUGUACCAAGUAGAACCUAUAGGAUCUUCUUGGGUGAUAGUUGUUUGAUCUUGCUGAAAAAACAGAAACUUUUGCGCUCAUGAAAACAAUUCUUAUUUUUUACCAGAGCGUGAUAAAAUGCCAAUUAUUUUUGCAGAAGAUUAAUAUACAAAUUUCUUAGGUCUUCCUAUUGUUUUAGAAUUUUUGGAGUUUCAGAAGUAUUCGAACAAUUCAGAUUGCAACACAUUGUUCUGUUUUUGACAGAUUUUGUUUUCUUUGCGUUGUGUGCUUGUUUUGAUGGCUCCAUGGUUUUCUUUGUUGAGUUUUUGCCAUAGAAAAGUUGGAAUAUAUUAGAUAUAAUGCAAGAAUAAAAUAUGAAUAGGUUGCAACAGUACUUAUAGUAGUGAUUUAUUUUCUUAUACUAAUGGAUCUCACGAAGGUUUUGUUGAGUUUUGUGUGAUUGAAGUCUUCAAGUUUUGGGUUAUCUUACGAUGGAUGAAGGAAUAAGGAGUAAGCAAAGCCUAAGCUUGGAGAUGCCCCGGCAACCCAAGCUAUUAUCCAAAAGAUAGCAAGCAAGUAAGCUUGGGGAUGCCCCGAGUGGCAUCCCCUCUUUCUUCUAACGACCAUCGAUAUUUUACUCGAAGCUAUAUUUUUAUUCGUCACAUACUAUGUGUUUUGCUUGGAGCGUCUUGUAUGAUAUGAGUCUUUGCUUGUUUUAUUUUGUGUUUUAAGUCUUGAUUCCUUGCGGGACACACCUAUUUGAGAGAGCCAAAAUUAUGCAUGACUUAUUAGAAUUGCUCUCUAUGCUUCACUUAAAUUUUUUAUGAGCCAUGGACUUGCUCUAGUGCUUCACUUAUAUCUUUUUGAGCACGGUGUGCUUAGUUAUUUUUUAAGAAAUGCUCUCUUGCUUCACUUAGAUUUGUUUUAGAGGUAGUAAAUUUUUCAGGAAAUUCUCUCUUUCUUCACUUAAAUUAAUUUGAAAGAAAGAAAUAUUAUGCUCAUGAUCUUCACUUAUAUUUGUUUGAGCUUAUCAAAAGCAACAUAUGAAAAUUAGUUCCAAAGUGAUAGAUAUCCAAGAAGGAUAUAAUAAAAACUUUCAUGAAGAUCAUUGGACAAAAUAAACUUGAUUCUUAGUAAUAGUUUUAAGAUAUGAUGAUGUGAUAUGUGAGUCAUGUUGAUGAGUAAUUAUGCUUUACUAAGAAUAUUGGUGUUAAGGUUUGUGACUCCCUAUGCAAGCACGAAAGUCAAUAAUUAUGCAAUGAAAUUAUAUCCUACUUGUGGUGCAUUAUUCGGUGUUAAUUAUGCUUAAUGCUCGCUUAUGAGAUUAUUCGUUUCUUGGUUGGUUGCUUCUCAAUCUUUUGCUAGCCUUCAUUUUGCACUAAGUAUGAUCUCUACUUGUGCAUCCAAAAACCUUUAAACCAGUUUUGCCACAUGACUCCACUAUAUCUACCUAUAUGCGGUAUUCUUUUGCCGUUCUAAGCAAAUUUGUAUGUGCCAUCUCUAAUUUUGAAAAUAAACUUCUCUUUUGUGUGUUCGUACCGCUCGCAGAGCUGUGAGGGGUGGCUAAUAUUUUCCAUGCUAGAUGUGUUAUUCUCACGAUGAGUGUUUAUUCACUUGUCAUUGCACGAGAGUAAGGCAAAGGUAUUAGGGAUGCCCAGUCCCGAAAUGAAAAAUGAAUUUACUUUAUGUUGUCAAAUAAUAAAUUCCUUGGAAAGUGUUGGUACGGAGGGAAACCGUGGAUACGGCUAGCCAAGGAAAGUGAAAGUAUGGUUGAAAAAAGAAUAAACUUUAUUUUCUGUUUGGGAACCGCCUAUGAUAUAUCUAGCAUGGAAAGUGUUGGGAACUCUAAGUCGUUUUCGUUGGUGGGAAGGACACACCUCCUGAAAUGUUCUUAUCUCUAAGUUUUUUCGCUUUGAGCUUUGGCACGUCUACAAAUCCCUACUUCCCUCUGUGAAGGGCCUUUGUUUUACUUUAUGCAAUUUUUAUUAUUGAAUUUGAAUCUCCUUAUAAAAGCACCAACUCGGAGGCACUAUGAUCUUACUUGAGCAUUGGGUGUAGCUAAUAUGCAAGUGUGUUUCAUGAAUGGAUCAAUGAUUGAGCAUGAUGGGCUAGGGAUAACUUAUUUUAGCGUUGAUAUUUUGAAAGACAUGGUUGCUUGUUGGUAUGCUUGAGUAUUUAAGUUAUCAUAUCAAAACUAGACUAUUGCUUUGAACAAUAUAAAAGUCCAAAUGUCCAUGCUAUAAAGAAAACAAUAUGAUAUGACAUGUUACGCAGUAUUCCACAUCAAAAAUUCCGUUUUUAUCACUUACCUACUCGAGGACGAGUAGGAGUUAAGCUUGGGGAUGCUGAUACGUCUCCAACGUAUCUAUAAUUUUUUAUUGUUCCAUGCUGUUAUAUUAUCAAUCUUUGAUGUUUUAUAGUCAUUUUAAAUAAUUUUUUGGUACUAACCUAUUGACAUAGUGCCAAGUGCCAGUUGUUGUUUUCUGUAUUUUUUUACAUCGUAGGAAAUCAAUAUCAGACGGAGUCCAAAUGCAAUGAAACUUUACGGAGAUUUUUUUAUUGACCAGAAGACACCUAAUGGGCCAAGGUUGCGCCUGGGGGCGCUCCGAGGAGAGCACAACCCACCAGGGCGCGCCAGGAGGCCCAGGCGCGCCCUAGUGGCUUGUGCCCACCUCGGGUGCCACCCGGACCACCUCUUUGCUCUAUAAAUACCCCAAUAUUCCAGAAACCCUAGGGGAGUCGACGAAAAUCAAUUCCAGCCGCCGCAGAGUCCAGAACCACCAGAUCCAAUCUAGACACUAUCACGGAGGGGUUCACCACUUUCAUUGGUGCCUCUCCGAUAAUGCGUGAGUAGUCCUUUGUAGACCUUCGGGUCCGUAGUUAGUAGCUAGAUGGCUUCCUCCCUCUCGCUAAAUUCUCAAUACAAUGGUCUCUUGGAGAUCCAUAUGAUGUAACUCUUUUUGCGGUGUGUUUGUUGGGAUCAGAUGAACUUUAGUUUAUGAUCAGAUCUAUCUUUUUAUAUCCAUGAAAGUUACUUGAGUUUUUUUGAUCUCUUGUAUGCAUGAUUUGUUAUAGCCUCGUAUUUCUUCUCCGAUAUUUGGGUUUUGUUUGGCCAACUUGAUCUAUUUAUCUUGCAUUGGGAAGAGGUGCUUUGUAGUGGGUUCGAUCUUAUGGUGCUUGAUCCCAGUGAUAGAAGGGGAACCGACACGUAUGUAUCGUUGCUACUAAGGAUAAAAUGAUGGGGUCUAUCUCUACAUAGAUAGAUCUUGUCUACAUCAUGUCAUCGUUCUUAUUGCAUUACUCCCUUUCCCCAUGAACUUAAUACACUAGAUGCAUGCUGGAUAGCGGUCGAUGUGUGGAGUAAUAGUAGUACAUGCAGGCAGGAGUCGGUCUACUAAUCUUGGAUGUGAUGCCUAUAUAUUGAUCAUUGCCUGGAUAUCGUCAUGUUUAUUUGUAGUUCUAUCAAUUGCCCAACAGUAAUUUGCUUACCCAUCAUUUGCUAUUUUUCUCGAGAAAAGCCACUAGUGAAACCUAUGACCCCCGGGUCUCUUUCUCAUUUUAUUUGCCUUCGCAAUCUAUUUUAUUUGCCUUUCAUUUUCAGAUCUAUUAAACCAAAAAUACAAAAAUACCUUCUUGCGCUUUAUUCUUUUUUUUUUAUUUGGCGUUCGAUCUAUCAAUGUACUACAAUUAUCUCACGUAUGUUUGCCAAUUUCUGGCGCCGUUACCCGAAAGGGAUUGACAACCCCUUUAACAUGUCGGGUUGCGAGGAUUUGUUAUCUGUGUGCAGGGGUUGUUUACGUUGUGUUGCUAGGUUCUCCUACUAGUUCUAUAACCUUGGUUUCAUAUCUGAGGGAAAUACCUACCUCUGCUCUGCCGCAUCAUCCCUUCCUCUUUGGGGAAAUACUGACGUAGCUUCAAGCCGCAUCAACCGCUGCGAGUCCCUCUUGCUAGGCGAGGUGGGACUAAAUUUUAGCCAUUGCCAGGACAAGGCCUUUAGUCUCGGUUGAUGGCUCAAUUAAAAUAUUUUGUUAUGAUCCACUUAUAGAAAGUUAUAAUAUUCUUCAAUAGCAAAAAGAAUCAACUAAAAAUCUCUAGUACCGGUUCGUGGCAUGAACCGGUACUAAAGGUGCUGGUGGGGGGCCCAGCCUGACAACAGCCUGCCACCACCUCUUUAGUACCGGUUCGUGGAACGAACUGGUACUAAAGGUUCGCCACGAACUAGUACUAAUGAGCACCGCCCGCCUAGCUGUUGGAACCGACACUAAUGGUCACAUUAGUGCUGGUUCAGUUACAAACCGGGACUAAUGUGCUUCACAUUAGGCCCUUUUUCUACUAGUGUUGCUUCUCCGCCUCCAUCUCAAGCAUCCUCAUUUGCUUCUCUGCCUCCAUCUCAAGCCUCCUCCUUUAGAUCUUCAUGAAGGCGUUCAUUUGUUCUUCCUUGUCUUGUCGGCGCUUCUCCUCCCUUGAGUCCUUCUUAGUCAUCAUGCCCUCCAUGGUAGCGAUCAAGGCAUUGGACGCCGCAUCCCUCUUGUCCUACUUCUUGGAGUUGGUCUUCCCCCACGGCCGUGGCUUCUCGCCCUCCCCAACCUCCUCCACGACUUUCUCUCCCCCACGCAACAUGAGGGCGGCAUAUUGCACCUUGAACUUCUCCUCGUCUUUGAUGACCCUCCAACAAUGAGAGAGGUUGAAGGACUUACCAUCAUGUUGGACCUUGAAUGCCUCCAAAGCUUGGAAUGCCUACAAAUGAAAUGCAUGCAAGCAUAUUGGCAAAUGGAUAUGAAUAUGGACUUGCAAGAAUAAACGGAAGAGGGGCGCAUGCAUGCAUACCAUAUCUUGCAUGCCGAUGCCGCUCACCGGGCGUGACUUGAUGCUCUCAAAGGUGGCACAAAACUUGUCAUGCUCUUGUUGGAUCACCUUCCAUCGGUUCGAAAUGGACACCCACCCGCGCAUGCUUUAUAUCUGGUACGGCAGAAACUUCUUGCGUUCGUGGAACUCACGAUGGACACGAGUCCAAAAGGUUGAUUCCUUUUGUUCGGCACCGACCAUGGGGUCUUGCCCAAUGUCCCUCCAAAACUCACAAAGGAGCUUGUCCUCGACCGUGGUGUAUGCCUUCGUCCGCCUGCUCUUGUGCUUUGGCUUCAGCCCGGCGGCUUGGCUGGCGAGCCCGUCCUCUUCCUCAAGGCCGUAGUCCUCCGGAAACUCGUGGUCGAACAGGAAGUCGUCUAGGUCCAGGCCGAAGUGAUCUUGCAUGAAGGCGUCCUGCAUGCUAUCUUGAUCAUAGGUCGACGGCGUGAACGGCCCUCAGCCGUCCUGGCUUUGUGUCUCCUCUGAAUCGUAGGCAGCCGCGGCGGCACCACAGGCGGCCGACGUACCACCCUCGAAGAUGAUGCUCACCAUGAAACGGUCGGCCGUCUUGUCUUCGCCGGAUGACGAGGCACCGACUACCGGUGUGGCGUUGAGAUCGAUGGGCGCGGGCGCGGGCAUGGAAUGCGCCACCACGCUCACCUCCAGCGAGCAUUCCCUGAAGAAUUGGGAGGCUUGCAAGUAGACGUGGAAGCCGGGAAUCGAGUAAGACGCCGACGCGCGAGGCGACUCUGGGAGCACCAUCCGAGGAAACGCGGACGAGUCGGAGCUGGCCACGGCCACAGCGGCGUUGACGAGCCCGUGCUGGCCAGGGUUUAGCCCUAGGUAGAUUAGCGCCUCCCUCAUUGCCGCGGCGACGUGGGCGGCGGUGUCCUCCUGCUGCGCGGCGGCGGCCAUGGCGAUGGCAGCGGACGCUGCUUCGUCCCACGCGUCCGCCGCGUGCCUUCGGCCCUUUCGCUUCGGUGACUCCGCGGCCCGCUCCUCGGACGUCAGCUGCUUCUUCUUCUUGGGCACGGUGGCAGUCUUGCGGGAGGCGCGCGGCUUGCCUUUGCCGAAGGGGGCGGCUGUGAUGCUGGACGAGGCAAGGGCGACGAGGCCGCCGACAGUAUCGAGGUCCUCAUCCAUGGCGUGCGGCCGGGAGCGAGCACGGGCGGAAGGUUUUUGAGAAAGUGGACGAAAAUGUUGGAGGCUUUGCCACCAAUUGGCAGGUCAGGGGUAGUUGGCACGCAACGCGCUUCUCCGUCUCGUGUCGCGCGCCAACGCAAAUGAGGCUCAAAAUUGGGCUGAGAAUGGGUCGGCAGGCGAACGAAAAGCGGACACGCGUCCAUUUGGGUCGGCACAUUGUGCCGACUUUUCUGUCCGCACCGACCCAAAUGAACGCGCGCGAACGAAAUGGGUCGUCACGUUGGAGUUGCUCUUACGUGGCACUGUAACAAGAAAUGAGGACCAGUGGAAACCAGCAUAUGCACCUAGAAGAAUCGUAUGGAUCUGCAUAUGUAAUUGAUCUAUAUCAUACGGACCCAUAAAUGAUAGGAAGGUCCUAGCUACCAGGUACCAGCUAUCCUGGUUACUCCAUUUGCUGCCCCUCCAACCUGGGUUCCGGUCAUGUCCUCGGGGUCUGUCGGUGGUUCCGUGUUCUUGUUCUGGACGGACGCUUGUAAGAUCAGGUUUUCGAUCGGGAGCCUUCUGUUGACAUUAUAAAAGUGCGUGUAUUCAAAGGAGAUGUAUGCAUUUCUCCGUGACAAAGCAAAUUAAGUUCUGCUGCUAGCUAUUUUCAAAAAAGAGUCUUGCCCCACCACUUGCGUCGUUUGCAAAGCCCUUAAAUAUACUGAUAUGUUAUACACACACACAUAUACACAUGAGAUUUAAUUUUAAAGAGCACACGGACAUGUUCGUUCUCGUGUUAAUGAAAUCCUAGAAAAUCUCAUUAAUUAACCAUGGGAUCUAUAAUUCCGAGAUCUUUAGCUGUUGGAUGUAUGUAAUGCCUUAAGAUGCAUUAAAACAAAUAUACGUGAGAUUUAAUUUUAAAGGCCUUAAGGUGCAUAAAAAAUACGCAUGAGAUUUAAUUUUAAAUAGCACAAGGACAUGUUCAUUGUCGUGUUAAUGAAAUCCUAGAAAAUCUCAUUAAUUAACCUUCGGAUCUGUAACUCCGAGAUCUUUAGCCAUUGGAUUUACAUAAUGCCUCAACCUGCAUCAAAAAAAAUAUACGCAUGAGAUUUAAUUUUAAAGGCCUUAACCUGCAUAAAAAAAUAUACGCAUGAGAUUUAAUUUUAAAGAGCAGACAGACAUCUUCAUUGUCGUCCGCUGGCUGUAUGAAUUAGAAUAACAUAUAUUUACUUAGUUGGAUUAGAGAGAAGAGAAAAGAGAAGAGAAGUGGGCUCUGGAUUAAAGCAAGUACAAUAAAAUGACGUAGGCGGGCUAUAAAAGAUGUCAUCUUAAAUUUGUGCUUUUUUAGUUAACCUUAAAUUUGUGCUUAGUUGAAGGAGAGAGAAGCGGGCUACAAGUGUGACAAAAGCCUUUUUCAGUAGGCAGGCUACAAACUUACAAUCGACUGUAGCACGAGCUCAAACAACCUUUGUAAGAAGAUAUGGGCCAUAUAUUAAUUCACAGUGUGACUUAAUGUUGACAUGAAUUGAUACAGGUGGACAUAGUUAGAGCAACUCUAGCAGACCCCGCAUCCCGCCCCGACUGUUAAAAUAACCGCCAAAAUGCGGGUCGGGCAGGAAAACCAGCCCGAUCAGACCCCGCAUCCCGCCCCCGCCCGCAAAAAAAUUUAGGGGGCGCGGCAAAAUCCCAACCCCAACCCGGGAAAACGCGGGUUUCCCUCUCGCGGCUGCGGUGCCCUGCAUAUAGGAGGAAGCGGCUGGUGAGGGGACAUUUCAUGCCGCGCUUUCUCCCACCAACCACCUCUCCUCUCCCCCCUCGCGCCGCUGCCGGCCGCCGCCCAAGAUUCUGGCGAAAGCAGCCGGCAGGAGCACGCCGGAAGGCCGCCACGCACACGAGGCCUCCCCUUCCUCCCCCUGCGUCGGCGGGCCACCGGAUUUGCAGAUUUGCAGCACUUCAUCGCGGGUCGCCGGAUUUGGCUUUUUCCGGCCGCCGGUUGCUGUCCCAAGCUAUGGAGUGGUCGGGGAGCCUCUCCCACAGCCCAGGCAAGGGCGCAUUGCCGCAUGCAGGUACGGGUUCGUCCGCCCGCCGCCGCCGAAGGUUUGCGGGCUUGGACUCAUCCGGCCGUCCACCGGGCUCGGCGCUCACGCAGCGUCUUUGUGGCAUGCCGAUGCCGCUCAUAGAGUGUGACGACUGCACGCGGAAAGUGCUGCGGCUCACUUCGGGCACGCCGAAGCACCCUGGGUGGGUGUUCUUCAAAUGCGAAAAUGACGGGGUACGUGCACUUGCGGUAGCUCGUUUCAUAGUUCAUUCUUUAGUUCAACUGCGGUAGCUCACUUCGAGCUUGCUCACUCUUUUGUGUAGGACGAUGGAUGCUCAUUUUGGUUUUGGGAAGGCCAAUACAUUUAUUUGUUGAUAGAAAGAAACUUAAUAGAUGUUAGUGCACUCCUUAGUACAAUCGAAGGCAAUGAUGCGGCUGCAUGUGCAAAUAGAGGGGAAGCAACGUCUACUUCUUUCGAACCAAAGAUGAAGAAAGAAGAAUGCAAAAUCAAGAAUCCACAGAUCAACAACGAAUGCAUGGAGAAGAUAUUAGUCCAACUAGUGGGGGCAGUUAUGGAAGUUGGAAAUCUUCUAAAAUGCAUACUUGUGGUUCUUAUUUUCUUUGGUCUUGCUAUUCUAGCAAAGAUUUGGUGAUGUCUUUUGUAUCCAAUGUUGUUGAUAAAGCAAAGCAAUGCAAUAUGCUAGAUCAAAUUAAGGUGCAAAUUUAAGUUUUGCGGGCCGGGAGAAGUUGCACCAGAUCAGACGCGGCAACCCAACCCGUAAAAAAGCAUAUUCCAGGAAUAUCGUUUUUACGGAUCCAUUAUGCGGGGUCUGCAACUGCGGCCGUCCGCGCCGGCCCGCAAAGCCGUUUUCCCGCGAACUGCAAAAACGUUUAGCGGGUCGGGAGGAUGUGGGGUCUGCUAGAGUUGCUCUUACUCUGCGUCUGUAAAUAAAGGUCAUCAUUUUUAUUGCUCUAGGGACCCAUAAAUGAUAGGGACUGUCCGCUACCAGCUACCAGCUAGUAGCUACCCUGGUGACUACAUUUGCUGCCCCUCAAACAUGGGUUCCCGACAUGUUCUCAGGGUCUGUCGGUGGUUCCAUGUUCUGGCCUUUGGGGUUGGUUUAACUAGUGGUAUGGGGGUUCUUGCAUCGCCCUGUACUCUCGAUCGGGACCCUUUAAUUCUAGGUGACAUACAGUGCGUGUAUUUAAAGCCGAGGCAUGGAUCCUCCGUGCCAAAGAAAAUUAAUUCAGCGGCUACUCGGGGAGAGUUGUGGCAGCAUAUCCGGGAUGCCAGCUUUUUAUUUUGGGUUUUGAUUGUCAAAGUUUUAGAUCUUAAAAAAAACUAAAAUUAAGUGCUGUUUUCAUAUUCGUGUUUCUCGUGACCAGCGCCUUGAAAUAAUAUCCAUUUUGAAUAUAUUUUGACGACUUUGAAAAAUGUUAAGUUUCAAAUGUUGAAACUUAGUAUGAGCAACCAAUAAAAAUCAAUUAUUUUGUACCUACGCCUGACAGAAAAAUGCUUACAGUUAUAUCCCUGAAACUUGCUGAAACUUUGCAUUUUUCAUCAUUGAAACUUAAAACUGUUUAAGGGAUUUUCUUUUUUACUGUGCCCUCAUGUGGGAUUCAACUACUCUUUUCUCUCCGUGAGAUCCACAUAAAAAAAGCACAAAUUUAAGAUGAGUGCCCUGCACUUACAUGCCCCUGCGAAUUUCCGCAGCUACUAGCUAUUUUUGGAAGAAAAAAAUCUUGCCCCGCCACUCCCAUCAUUAGCAGAGCCCUUAAAUAUACUCACAUGUACCAAAUUACGAGUCAGAAUCAAACAUGCGUUGGCAUCAUUACCUACGAACUCUACUAAACAAUGUUCCAACUAUCCUGCGAGUCAAAUCUAAUAACUCUUGUCUUGCACGUUGCAUUGUCCAUUGGCAGAUCUUUUUAAGAAUUUUACGUCAGAUCUAAUUUUAUUUGAACGAAUGAAAGAUAAGCAAGUAGUAGUAAAAUCGACCCAAUUUGCACAGCCGAAAUGUGGACCAGACAAUUUACUCUUUGUUACGGGACUAAGAAAUUCGGACCGGCUAAUNNNNNNNNNNNNNNNNNNNNNNNNNNNNNNNNNNNNNNNNNNNNNNNNNNNNNNNNNNNNNNNNNNNNNNNNNNNNNNNNNNNNNNNNNNNNNNNNNNNNNNNNNNNNNNNNNNNNNNNNNNNNNNNNNNNNNNNNNNNNNNNNNNNNNNNNNNNNNNNNNNNNNNNNNNNNNNNNNNNNNNNNNNNNNNNNNNNNNNNNNNNNNNNNNNNNNNNNNNNNNNNNNNNNNNNNNNNNNNNNNNNNNNNNNNNNNNNNNNNNNNNNNNNNNNNNNNNNNNNNNNNNNNNNNNNNAUGUCUCCCAUUUCUCAAUCCCAUCCCGACGGUGUGUCUACCAUGUUUAGAGGGCGCAUGGGGGAGUUACUCCAUUGGUUCUCGCGGGAUUUGAUCGAUGAUGGUUUUCCGUGGAUUUCCUUGAAUCCAGUUUUUGUUCAUCCUCAUCCGUGCGUUUAAAUAUCCCAACAAGGCGAAGAUUUGGUUGUGCACAGGCAACUGAGGAGGUGACCUACUUCUUUACUGUCUCCUAUGUCCCUUGUUACCCACUGAUCCUAGAUCCACAGCUCGAGACCCCCUACCCUGAGGUCUACCAGUUUUACCACUGACAACCGGCCACAAGGGAGAAAUCCCUUUGAAUUUAGAGAUAAGAUCUUAUCUCUAGAUUUAACCCUUUAAAUUUAGAGAUAUGACCUUAUCUCUAGAUUUUAAAGACAUGGAACUUAGGGACGAUGCGGCCAGCCCAUGUGGGUUGUUGCCCCACCCCUCGGUCUAUGUGGGGACUUUUCGGGUCGUUGGGCCCCAUGGUGGAACCCCGGAACAUUUCCGGUACUCUACCAAAUAUUCCCAAACUUUUCUGGAACCCAUAAAACCACUUUCCUUACAUAACUCUUUACCUCCAGAGCUCCUCGUGAUGUCCCGGAUUCUAUCCAGGACUCUGAACUACCUUCAGACUUACCACUAUGAAUGUCCCAAAACUAUCCAAUAGUGGUAAGUCUGAACGUUAAGUGUGUGACCCUGCGGGUUCGAGAACAUGCAUAAAUGACCGAGACACCUCUCCAAUCAAUAAUCAAUGAACAUCUUUAUCGGUUUGAACCACGAUGUCAAUGAUUCAGUUAAUCCCGUAUACAAUUCCCUUUGUCCAAUGAUUUGUUAUUUGCCCGAGAUUCGAUCGUCAGUAUCGCCAUACCUAGUUCAAUCUCAUUACCGGCAAGCCCCUUUACUCAGUCCUUAAUACAAGAUCCACGUGACUAAACACAUUGGUCACAUGCUUCCAAUCUAUUCACGAUGUUGUAUUACCGAGAGGACCUAGAGAUAUCUCUCUGUCAUAUGGAGUGACAAAUCCUACACUCGAUCUAUGUAACCCAACAAACACUUUCUGAGAUACCUAUAGAGCACCUUUCUGAUCACCCAGUUACGAAGUGACGUUUGUUUACCCAUAAUGUAUUCUUCCAGUAUUAGGGAGUGGCACGAUCUCAUGGUCUAAGGAACAGAUUCUUGACAUGAAGAAAGUUGUAGAAAAUAAACUAAGUGAUACGAUCUGAUGCUAAGCUUAUGGUUGGGUCUGUCCAUCACAUCAUAAUCCUAAUGAUGUGAUCCCAUUAUUAAAUGAUAACUCGUGUCUAUGGUUAGGAAACCUUAACCAUCUUUAAUUAAUGAGCUAGCCUAGUAGAGGCUCACUAGGGACACGUUGUCUAUUUAUGUAUCCACACAUGUAUUUAAGUCUCUGGUCAAUACAAUUCUAGCAUGCAUAAUAAAUAUUUAUCAUGAACACGGAAAUACGACAAUAACAUCUUUCUUAUUGCCUCUAGGACAUAUUUCCUACAGAUUAGUAGGAUAAAAGAUCAAGGUGGCCUUGGCAUUCAUGGCAUGAAGGUCAAGAAGGAUGCCUUACAUAGGAAAUGGUUAUUCAAAAUACUUACUAGGGGUGGCGUUUGGCAAACCUGUUGCGAAAGAAGUAUCUAAUACUAUGCCAAAAACUUAUCUCUCACACAUAUUGGAAAGCUGGUGACUCACACUUUUCGGGUGGUGUCGUGGAAUUCUCACGGCAGAUGUCCUAGUGUGAGGACUUAGUCGUGAGGCCAACGCAUCUAUGUGGUAGCUUGAGAGGGGUUGAUUGGGACGAGAGACGCAACACACAAGACAAGAAUUUAGACAGCUUCGGGCCCCAGGAAACAUCAUCCAAUAAUAGCCCUACAUGCUGUUUGUGGCUAGGUCUCAUUAUGAUCAUGAGAGAGUCAUCGGUAAGCCGGCUCUUUGUGUCUAGCCCUAGAGAUUGUUUCUUGUUUCUUGUCCCUCUUGGGGUGCCCUGCCCCUCCUUAUAUAAGUUAGAGGGGCGGGUUACAUAUGGAGUCCUAGUAGGAUUAGGACUAGUCUAUCUUUCUUUACAAGUUGAAUACAAGUCCGGGUCUUGCUUCCUUGUGAAGGAAAUAAUCCUCACGCCUUUCAUCUUAAACCGGCCCACCAAAGUAUAAGCCAGCCUGCUGGGCCUUGGGCCUUGUCGUCCGUCUGAUCAGCCCGCCGGGUCUCCAGUGAAUUACAAUGUCCAGGCGGGUUACCCUGUGAACCGCCAUGUUCGGGCGGAUCGCCAGUGAGUCGCCAAGCUCCAGCCAGGUCUCUGGUGAGUCGCCAAGUCCGGCCGGGUCAUACCGCGGGGUAUAUCCCCGACAUUAGCCCCCAGUUUAAUUUGGAUUUAUCCAUGUUAAACUGAUCCUGCAACAUAAACACAAGAACAAAUUUGACAGGUUGUGCUCCGGGUUAAAUAUUCUUGUAAGCCGGCACCUGAUCAUCCUUAAGUCCUUGACAUUUUCUCCUGAAAUAUCCGGGUCAAUAUUGGUCUUGAAAUAUCCAGCUUCAUAAUCCAUUUGCUGACAUUGGCUCUUGUAAAGAAAUAUUAUAAGAAAUAAUCCAUUUGAUUCGGCCUUCAAUGCUCUGAUUUGACAAAAAUAUUGCUCUUGAAAUAUCCAACUGAUAUUCAGCCGGCUUAAAGAUGUAGAUUCUUGCCGACGAUUGCCACAAUUGUCGGGUUAGAAAUAAAUGAUGCCGGGUCAUGAUUGUUGCAGACACCGGGUUAAUCUGGUCUACUCCAAACUGAGAAUUUGAAGAUUUUUUUCUCCCUUAUAUGCAUAUUACCUGUAGCCCCUAAGUCUUAAGGGGAGAACAUAGUGAUAACUUAAGACUUGCUUCAAUAUAAGUGUUGCAACCUUGAAGAAAUCCGGUUUAUUCAUCUCAAUCAUUAGUCAUAAGCUGAAUAUUCCACAUUCCACAUAUGUAGCCCCCAAGUGCCGAGUUGUCAUGCUUGCAGCAACCUGGGACUUGUAAUUGCCUUAUGCUCAUAAAAACUUCAACUAGUGUAGCCCCCAAGGGCCGGGUCAUUAUGCAAUAAUGAGCAGGGACUUUGUAAAUAUGAUCAUGUAAACUUGACCAGCAACGUGUAGCCCCCAAGGGCCGGGUCAGUAAGAUAUUACCGAGCUGGGACUUUGUAUAUGAUUCAUCGAUAAUAACAGCAUAUGAUGUGAUCUCCACCAUGGGGUUUGAACCCACGUCCAUAAGGUUAAGAGCUUUGUACUCUACCAACUGAGUAGUGGAUCUUUCAAUAUAAUGGAUUAAGGCUUGUGUACCUUGAAUUUUCGACAAGAGCAAUUGGUAGCCCCCAAGGGCCGGCUCAUUUAGAAUGUGAUGAGUCGGGUCUUCAAUAAGUUGAACAAAAAAUGACUUUGCAUUAGCCCCCAAGUGCAAUGGUACAUGCUGGCAGUAACAUGGGACUUGCAUAUUCGAUGUAAUAUCAAUUUGAAUAAUGUAGUCCCCAAGUGCCAGGUCGUAAGCCUGCAGCGACUCGGGACUAUUCCUUACAUUAUAGAAUAAAUCAUAUCCAUCGAUAAAAUAAUAGCCAUUGCGCCAAAGCGACUUUGAAUACCUCAUCUGUUGAUAAGUAAAUCCGGAGUUUAAAUACCCGGCGGCUCUUGGCCGAUGGCGAUUUAAUACGCCUCCAUUGUAAGCCGGAAUUUUUAUAAUCCGGCGGCUUAUAGCCUUUCAGAACAUCAAGAAUUGAUAACCCUUCUGAGACUCCAAUUUCAAUCUAUGAUGAUGGGCUUGAACUUAAUCAUUUAUGUAAGUCAUAGCUCUGCAAAUCCUGCAUAGAGUUUAAACAACAUAUGCCCUGGCGACUUAACGUCAAGCCAGGGCGGGUAACCACCCAAAUGUAGUAUCCUGCACACAAGUAGAUCACAAGAUCCCUUGGCGGUUUACCGCAGGGCGGGUCAUAAUAUCUCACUGUUGGAAAUAUGCCCUAGAGGCAAUAAUAAAAUGGUUAUUAUUGUAUUUCCUUGUUCAUGAUAAUUGUCUGGUGUUCAUGCUAUAAUUGUAUUAACUGGAAACCGUAAUACAUGUGUGAAUACAUAGACCACAACAUGUCCCUAGUAAGCCUCUAGUUGACUAGCUCGUUGAUCAAUAGAUGGUUAUGGUUUCCUGACCAUGGACAUUGGAUGUCAUUGAUAACGGGAUCACAUCAUUAGGAGAAUGAUGUGAUGGACAAGACCCAAUCCUAAGCAUAGCACAAGAUCGUGUAGUUCGUUUGCUAGAGCUUUUCUAAUGUCAAGUAUCAUUUCCUUAGACCAUGAGAUUGUGCAACUCCCGGAUACCGUAGGAAUGCUUUGGGUGUACCAAACGUCACAACGUAACUCGGUGGCUGUAAAGGUGCACUACAGGUAUCUCCGAAAGUGUCUGUUGGGUUGGCACGAAUCGAGACUGGGAUUUGUCACUCCGUAUGACGGAGAGGUAUCUCUGGGCCCACUCGGUAAUGCAUCAUCAUAAUGAGCUCAAUGUGACUAAGGAGUUAGCCACGGGAUCAUGCGUUACAGUACGAGUAAAGUGACUUGCCGAUAACGAGAUUGAACAAGGUAUUGGGAUACCGACGAUCGAAUCUCGGGCAAGUAACGUACCGAUUGACAAAGGGAAUUGUAUAUGGGAUUGAUUGAAUCCUCGACAUCGUGGUUCAUCCGAUGAGAUCAUCGUGGAACAUGUGGGAGCCAACAUGGGUAUCCAGAUCCCGCUGUUGGUUAUUGACCGGAGAGUCGUCUCGGUCAUGUCUGCAUGUCUCCCGAACCCGUAGGGUCUACACACUUAAGGUUCGGUGACGCUAGGGUUGUAGAGAUAUUAGUAUGCGGAAAUCCGAAAGUCGUUCGGAGUCCCGGAUGAGAUCCCGGACGUCACGAGGAGUUCCGGAAUGGUCCGGAGGUAAAGAUUUAUAUAUGGGAAGUCCUAUUUUGGCCACCGGAAAAUGUUCGGGAAUUUUCGGUAUUGUACCGGGAAGGUUCUAGAAGGUUCCGAAGUGGGGCCCACCUGCAUGGGGGACCCACAUGAACGUGGGUAGUGGGGGCAAGGCCCCACACCCCUGGUCAAGGCGCACCAAGAUCCCACCUUAGAAGGAAUAAGAUCAUAUCCCGAAGGGAUAAGAUCAAGAUCCCUAAAAAAGGGGAUAACAAUCGGUGGGGAAGGGAAAUGAUGGGAUUUCUUUCCCCCACCUUUGCCAACGCCCCAAUGGACUUGGAGGGCAAGAAACCAGCCCCCUCCACCCCUAUAUAUAGUGGGGAGGCGCAUGGGAGCAGCAACCCAAGCCCUGGCGCCUCCCUCCCUCCCGUGACACCUCUUCCUCCCCGCUUGCGCUUGGCGAAGCCCUGCCGGGAUCCCGCUACUUCCACCACCACGCCGUCGUGCUGCUGGAUCUCCAUCAACUUCUCCUCCCCCCUUGCUGGAUCAAGAAGGAGGAGACGUCCCCGCUCCGUACAUGUGUUGAACGCGGAGGUGCCGUCCGUUCGGCGCUAGGUUCAUCGGUGAUUUGGAUCACGACGAGUAUGACUCCAUCAACCCCGUUCUCUUGAACGCUUCCGCUCGCGAUCUACAAGGGUAUGUAGAUGCACUCCUCCCCUCUCAUUGUUAGCAUCUCCUAGAUUGAUCUUGGUGACACAUAGGAAAAUUUUGAAUUUCUGCUACGUUCGCCAACAGUGGCAUCAUGAGCCAGGUUUAUGCGUAGAUUCUAUGCAUGAGUAGAACACAAAGUAGUUGUGGGCGACGAUUUGUUCAAUUUUCUUACCGUUACUAGUCUUAUCUUGAUUCGGCGGCAUUGUGGGAUGAAGCGGCCCGGACCGACCUUACACGUACUCUUACGUGAGACAGGUUCCACCGACUGACAUGCACUUGAUGCAUAAGGUGGCUAGCGGGUGUCUGUCUCUCCCACUUUAGUCGGAUCGGAUUCGAUGAAAAGGGUCCUUAUGAAGGGUAAAUAGCAAUUGGCAUAUCACCGUUGUGGCUUUUGCGUAGGUAAGAAACGUUCUUGCUAGAAACCCAUAGCAGCCACGUAAAACAUGCAACAACAAUUAGAGAACGUCUAACUUGUUUUUGCAGGGUAUGCUAUGUGAUGUGAUAUGGCCAAAAGGAUGUGAUGAAUUAUAUAUGUGAUGUAUGAGAUUGAUCAUGUUCUUGUAAUAGGAAUCACGACUUGCAUGUCGAUGAGUAUGACAACCGGCAGGAGCCAUAGGAGUUGUCUUAAUUUGUUGUAUGACCUGUGUGUCAAUGAAAAACGCCAUGUAAUUACUUUACUUUAUUGCUAACCGUUAGCCAUAGUAGUAGAAGUAAUAGUUGGUGAGACAACUUCAUGAAGACACGAUGAUGGAGAUCAUGGUGUCAUGCCGGUGACGAAGGUGAUCAUGCCGCGCCUCGAAGAUGGAGAUCAAAAGGCGCAAGAUGAUAUUGGCCAUAUCAUGUCACUUUAUGAUUUGCAUGUGAUGUUUGUCAUGUUUACAUCUUAUUUUCUUAGAACGACGGUAGCAUAAAUAAGAUGAUCCCUCACUAAAAUUUCAAGAGAUGUGUUCCCCCUAACUGUGCACCGUUGCGAAGGUUCGUUGUUUCGAAGCACCACGUGAUGAUCGGGUGUGAUAGAUUCUAACGUUCGCAUACACCGGGUGUUGACGAGCCUAGCAUGUACAGACAUGGCCUCGGAACACAAGCAAAACACUUAGGUUGACUUGACGAGCCUAGCAUGUACAGACAUGGCCUCGGAACACAAGAGACCGAAAGGUCGAACAUGAGUCGUAUAGUAGAUACGAUCAACAUGGAGAUGUUCACCGAUGAUGACUAGUCCGUCUCACGUGAUGAUCGGACACGGCCUAGUCGAUUCGGAUCAUGUAUCACUUAGAUGACUAGAGGGAUGUCUAUCUAAGUGGGAGUUCAUUAAAUAAUCAAAUGAACUUAAUUAUCAUGAACAUAGUCAAAAGGUCUUUGCAAAUAAUGUCGUAGCUUACGCUUUAGUUCUACUAAGAUAUUUUCCUAGAGAAAAUUUAGUUGAAAGUUGAUAGUAGCAAUUAUGCGGACUAGGUCCGUAAACUGAGGAUUGUCCUCAUUGCUGCACAGAAGGCUUAUGUCGUUAAUGCACCGCUCGGUGUGCUGAACCUCGAGCGUCGUCUGUAGAUGUUACGAAACAUCUGACAUACAUGUUUUGAUGACUACGUGAUAGUUCAGUGUGUGAUGCUAACGGUUUAAAAUUGUGGCACCAAAGACGGUUUUGAAAUGUCGCAGAACAUAUGAGAUGUUCCAAAGACUGAAAUUGGGAUUUCAGACUAAUGCCCACGUCAAGAGGUAUGAGACCUCUGACAAGUUUCUUAAGCCUGCAAACUAAGGGAGAAAAGCUCAAUCGUUGAGCAUGUGCUCAGAUUGUCUGAGUACUACAAUCACUUGAAUCGAGUGGGAGUUAAUCUUCCAGAUGAGAUAGUGAUGGUUCUCCAUAGUCACUGCCACCAAGCUAUUAGAGCUUCGUGAUGAACUAUAACAUAUCAGGGAUAGACAUGAUGAUCCUUGAGCAACUCGCGAUGUUUGACACCGCGAAAGUAGAAAUCAAGAAGGAGCAUCAAUUGUUGAUGGUUAGUAAAACCACUAGUUUCUAGAAGGGCAAGGGCAAGAAGGGAUACUUCAUGAAACGGCAAAUCAGUUGCUGCUCUAGUGAAGAAACCCAAGGUUGAACCCAAACCCGAGACUAAGUGCUUCUGAAAUGAGGGGAACGGUCACUGAAGCAGAACUACCCUAGAUACUUCGUAGAUGAGAAGGCUGGCAAGGUCGACCGAAGUAUAUUGGAUAUACAUUAUAUUAAUGUGUACUUUACUAGUACUCCUAGUAGCACCAGGGUAUUAGAUACCGGUUCGGUUGCUAAGUGUUAGUAACUCGAAAUAAAAUAUGCGGAAUAAACGAAGACUAGCUAAAGGUGAGAUGACGAUAUGUGUUGGAAGUGUUUCCAAGGUUGAUGUGAUCAAGCAUCGCAUGCUCCCUCUACCAUCGAGAUUGGGGUUAAACCUGAAUAAUUAUUAUUUGGUGUUUGCAUUGAGCAUAGACAUGAUUGGAUUAUGUUAUCGCAAUACGGUUAUUCAUUAAAGGAGAAUAAUGGUUACUCUGUCUAUUUGAAUAAUACCUUCAAUGGUCUUGCACCUAAAAUGAAUGGUUUAUUGAAUCUCGAUCGUAGUGAUACACAUGUUCAUGCCAAAAGAUAUAAGAUAGUAAUGAUAGUACCACAUACUUGUGGCACUGCCAUUUGAGUCAUAUUGGUAUAAAACGCAUGAACAAGCUCCAUGUUGAUGGAUCUUUGGACUCACUCGUUUUUGAAAAGAUUGAGACAUGCGAACCAUGUCUAUUAGUAUAUAUGCAUGAAGAAAGUCCAUACAGAUGGAUCAUUUGGACUCACUUGAUUUUGAAUCACUUGAGACAUGCAAAUCAUACCACAUGGGCAAGAUGACUGAAAGGCCUCGUUUUCAGUAAGAUGGAACAAGAGAGCAACUUGUUGGAAGUAAUACAUUUGAUGUGUGCAGUCCAAUGAGUGCUGAGGCACGCAGUGGAUAUCGUUAUGUUCUUACUUCACAGAUGAUUUGAGUAGAUGCUGAGAAUAUUUACUUGAUGAAACACAAGUUUGAAUUAUUGAAAGGUUCAAGUAAUUUCAGAGUGAAGUUGAAGAUCGUCGUGACAAGAGGAUAAAAUGUCUGUGAUAUGAUCAUAGAGGUGAAUAUCUGAGUUACGAGUUUGGCACACAAUUAAUAAAUUGUGGAAAUUGUUUCACGACUAAUACCGCCUGGAACACCAUAUUGUGAUGGUGUGUCCGAACAUCAUAACUGCACCCUAUUGGAUAUGGUGCAUACCAUGAUGUCUCUUAUCGAAUUACAACUAUCGUUUAUGGGUUAGGCAUUAGAGACAACCGCAUUCACUUUAAAUAGGGAACCACGCAAUUCCGUUGAGACGACACCGUAUGAACUAUGGUUUAGAGAAACCUAAGCUGUCGUUUCUUAAAAGUUUGGGGCUGCGACGCUUAUGUGAAAAAGUUUCAGGCUGAUAAGCUCGAACCCAAAGCGGAUAAAUGCAUCUUCAUAGAAUACCCAAAACAGUUGGGUAUACCUCCUAUUUCAGAUCUGGAAGCAAAAGUGAUUGUUUCUAGAAAUGGGUCCUUUCUCGAGGAAAAGUUUCUCUCGAAAGAAUUGAGUGGGAGGAUGGUGGAGACUUGAUGAGGUCAUUGAACCGUCACUUCAACUAAUGUGUAGCAGGGCACAGGAAGUUGUUCCUGUGGCACCUACACCAAUUGAAGUGGAAGCUUAUGAUAGUGAUCAUGAAACUUCAGAUCAACUCACUACCAAACCUCAUAGGACGACAAGGAUGCGUACUACUUCAGAGUGGUACGUAAUCCUGUCUUGGAAGUCAUGUUGCUAGACAACAAUGAACCUACGAGCUAUGGAGAAGCGAUGGUGGGCCCGGAUUCCGACGAAUGGCUCGAGGCCAUAAAAUCCGAGAGGAUCCAUGUAUGAAAACAAAGUAUAGACUUUGGAAGAACUACUUGAUGGUCGUAAGGCUGUUGGGUACAGAUGGAUUUUAAAGGGAAGACAAACAAUGAUGGUAAGUGUCACCAUUAAGAAAGCUCGACUUGUCGUUAAGAUGUUUUCCGGCAAGUUCAAGGAGUUGACUGCGAUGAGACUUUCUCACUCGUAGCGAUGCUAAGAGUCUGUUAGAAUUAUAUUAGCAGUUACUGCAUUAUUUAUGAAAUCUUGCAGAUAGGAUGUCAAAACAUUGUUUCCUCGACGAUUUUCUUGAGGAAAGGUUGUAUGUGAUACAACCAGAAGGUUUUGUCAAUCCUGAAAGAUGCUAACAAGUAUGCAAAGCUCCAGCAAUCCUUCUAAGGAUUGGAGUAAGCAUCUCGGAGUUGGAAUGAACGCUUUGAUGAGAUGAUCAAAGAUUUUGGGUUUAUACAAAGUUCAUGAGAAACUUGUAUUUCCAAAGAAGUCAGUGGGAGCACUAUAGAAUUUUUGAUGAGUAUAUGUUGUUAACAUAUUGUUGAUCAGAAAUGAUGUAGAAUUUCUGGAAAGCAUCCAGGGUUGUUUGAAAAGUGUUUUUAAUGGAAAACCUAGAUUAACCUACUUGAACAUUGAGCAUCAAGAUCUAUAAGGAUAGAUCAAAAAUGCUUAAUAGUACUUUCAAAUGAAUACAUACCGUGACAAGAUUUUGAAGGAGUUCAAAAUAGAUCAGCAAAGAAGGAGUUCUUGGCUGUGUUACAAGGUGUGAGUAUUGAGUAAGACUCAAGACCUGACCACGGCAGAAGAAAGAGAAAGGACGAAGGUCGUCCCCUAUGCUUUAGACGUAGGCUUUGCAAUAUGCUAUGCUGUGUACCGCACCUGAAGUGUGCCUUGCCAUGAGUUAGUCAAGGGGUACAAUAGUGAUCCAGCAACGAAUCACAUGACAGCGGUCGAACUUAUCCUUAGUAUCUAGUGGACUAAGGAAUUUUCUUGAUUAUGGAGGUGGAAAGGGGGUUCGUCGUAAAGGGUUAUGUCGAUACAAACUUUGACACUAAUCCGGAUGACUCUGAGUAGUGAACCAGAUUCGUAUAGUAGAGCAGUUAUUUGGAAUAGCUCCAAGUAGCGCGUGGUAGCUGCAUCUACAAGAUGACAUAGAGAUUUGUAAAGCACACACGGAUCUGAAUGUGGCAGACCCGUUGACUAAAACCUCUCUCGUAAGCAUAACAUGAUCAAACCCUAGAACUCAUUGACUGUUAAUCACAUGGUGAUGUGAACUAGAUUAUUGACUCUAGUAAACUCUUGGGUAUUAGUCACAUGGCGAUGUGAACUUUGAGUGUUAAUCACAUGGUGAUGUGAACUAGAUUAUUGACUCUAGUGCAAGUGGAAGACUGUUGGAAAUAUGCCCUAGAGGCAAUAAUAAAAUGGUUAUUAUUGUAUUCCCUUGUUCAUGCUAUAAUUGUAUUAACUGGAAACCGUAAUACAUGUGUGAAUACAUAGACCAGAACAUGUCCCUAGUAAGCCUCUAGUUGACUAGCUCGUUGAUCAAUAGAUGGUUAUGGUUUCCUGACCAUGGACAUUGGAUGUCAUUGAUAACGGGAUCACAUCAUUAGGAGAAUGAUGUGAUGGACAAGACCCAAUCCUAAGCAUAGCACAAGAUCGUGUAGUUCGUUUGCUAGAGCUUUUCUAAUGUCAAGUAUCAUUUCCUUAGACCAUGAGAUUGUGCAACUCCCGGAUACCGUAGGAAUGCUUUGGGUGUACCAAACGUCACAACGUAACUCGGUGGCUGUAAAGGUGCACUACAGGUAUCUCCGAAAGUGUCUGUUGGGUUGGCACGAAUCGAGACUGGGAUUUGUCACUCCGUAUGACGGAGAGGUAUCUCUGGGCCCACUCGAUAAUGCAUCAUCAUAAUGAGCUCAAUGUGACUAAGGAGUUAGCCACGGGAUCAUGCGUUACGGUACGAGUAAAGUGACUUGCCGGUAACGAGAUUGAACAAGGUAUUGGGAUACCGACGAUUGAAUCUCGGGCAAGUAACGUACCGAUUGACAAAGGGAAUUGUAUACGGGAUUGAUUGAAUCCUCGACAUCGUGGUUCAUCUGAUGAUAUCAUCGUGGAACAUGUGGGAGCCAACAUGGGUAUCCAGAUCCCGCUGUUGGUUAUUGACCGGAGAGUCGUCUCGGUCAUGUCUGCAUGUCUCCCGAACCCGUAGGGUCUACACACUUAAGGUUCGGUGACGCUAGGGUUGUAGAGAUAUUAGUAUGCCGAAAUCCGAAAGUCGUUCGAAGUCCCGGAUGAGAUCCCGGACGUCACGAGGAGUUCCGGAAUGGUCCGGAGGUAAAGAUUUAUAUAUGGGAAGUCCUAUUUUGGCCACCGGAAAAUGUUCGGGAAUUUUCGGUAUUGUACCGGGAAGGUUCUAGAAGGUUCCGAAGUGGGGCCCACCUGCAUGGGGGGACCCACAUGAACGUGGGUAGUGGGGGCAAGGCCCCACACCCCUGGUCAAGGCGCACCAAGAUCCCACCUUAGAAGGAAUAAGAUCAUAUCCCGAAGGGAUAAGAUCAAGAUCCCUUAAAAAGGGGGAUAACAAUCGGUGGGGAAGGGAAAUGAUGGGAUUUCUUUCCGCCACCUUUUCCAACGCCCCAAUGGACUUGGAGGGCAAGAAACCAGCCCCCUCCACCCCUAUAUAUAGUGGGGAGGCGCAUGGGAGCAGCACCCCAAGCCCUGGCGCCUCCCUCCCUCCCGUGACACCUCUUCCUCCCCGCUUGCGCUUGGCGAAGCCCUGCCGGGAUCCCGCUACUUCCACCACCACGCCGUCGUGCUGCUGGAUCUCCAUCAACUUCUCCUCCCCCCUUGCUGGAUCAAGAAGGAGGAGACGUCCCGCUCCGUACGUGUGUUGAACGCGGAGGUGCCGUCCGUUCGGCGCUAGGUUCAUCGGUGAUUUGGAUCACGACGAGUACGACUCCAUCAACCCCGUUCUCUUGAACGCUUCCGCUCGCGAUCUACAAGGGUAUGUAGAUGCACUCCUCCCCUCUCGUUGCUAGCAUCUCCUACAUUGAUCUUGGUGACACGUAGGAAGAUUUUGAAUUUCUGCUACGUUCCCCAACACUCACAUAUAACCACUAUGAUAUUGAAUUUGUACUGCCGGUUUACAUGACCUGUGCAAUAAGGGUGAUAACCCAAUCUUUAGAAAUCAAGACUUCCAAAUGUUUAUGAUUGUCAUAUGAUGGCGACUUAUCAACCAAAGUCAAGCCGGGUUAAUCGAAGCCACAUAUAUACUUCAGAUAUGAUCAAAAGAACUUCAAAUAAAAUACAAAAUUUUGUUUGCAAAAAGAGACUUCAAAAAUUUUGAGGCUUCUGAUUCGAAUACUAUCAGAAAACCGUCCCAAAGGGGUUAAGCUAAGAUUCGAAUACGAUCAUAUAGCCCCCAGUGGCUUUGGCGUUGCCGAUCAAGAGGGUACCGACAGCUAUGUUCUCUUUGGUUCGAAUACGACCUAUGUUUGAACAGGAAGCCCCCAAAUGACCUGGAGAGUUGUUUAACGACGCUGAUUCGAAUACGAUCCAUGUCGGUUCCCAAAAGGGGUUGAGCUAUGAUUCGAAUACGAUCAAGAAGCCCCCUAGUGAGCUCAGCAGUGUGCCGAUCAAGAGGGUACCGACAGCUAUGUUCUCUUUGGUUCGGAUACGACCUAUGUUUGAACAGGAAGCCCCCAAGUGAUCUUGAGAAUAUUUAACGACUCUCAUUCCAAUACGAUCAGGGUCACACCAAAAGGGUUAAGCUAAAUUUGAAUACGAUCAGCUCCCAACGGUCAUUAAAGCAGGUAGUUAUGUUUGAGUUGUGCUUUGUAACAGACUCUCCUUGGUCCCUUUAAUUUUUCUUGAAAACUUGAACUUUGCGAGAGAUAAAAUCUUUUUAAAACCGGAAGUUCUUAAACCGGAUAUUAAGAGUUUCAAAGCAUGGUGAUAGACAAAUUUACCUUGAACCGGGUUUUGAACCGGAUUUGAGAUCUUCAAAGCAUUGUGGCAGAUAAAUUUCAUUUGAACCGGAUUUUAAACCGGACAUUAAGAGCUUCAAUGCUUUGUGGGAGAUGUCAAGUCUCUUGAUAAGGAUCUAAACCGGAAUCCUUCUUUUUAAGCCAGAUAUUUUUCUGACGGUCUUUAAAUUUUUACCAAUAUGGCGGUAGCCUCCGGGACCGGGUUAUUUUUUUCCUCCAAUGACCCAGAGUUCUUGAAUGCAUUGAAACCGACCAAUGUUGCCGAGUCAUAUCAUUGUAACCCCUGAGUCUCAAAACGACUCAAGGAGUUGGCUUUGAGAUUCUCCAUAUUGACCAUAGCAUAAGGUGUAUAUCAUUGGUGUUGAUAGUGCGAUGUGAAUCCACAGAAGGUUGAGGUGACUGCGGCGGAUUAUAAAUGAUCAUGUAUGAGCCGUGUCAGCAACUCGGCCAAUGGUCCCUUCCAACUGGCUGUUUGAAGUUAACCAAACUAUAGUGGCGGCGACUUGUGCGCCUGCCCAUUUAAACCAUCCAGUGUAGACGGCGGCUGAUAAUACAUGAUAAUUUGCCUCCAAUUUUGUUGGAAGAAAAACCAGGCUUCCCAAGCAGUGACUUGCUCAUACUCGAUGAUCAGCUCACGCAGACAGGUGCGGCCCGGUAUGUUGAUAUAGACCAGGCCGCAAGAGACAGAUGGUAAAAACAACCGUGGCAUCAAAGGUGGUACAGACAGAUGAGUUGGUCACGACGUUGUAAACCGGUGUGGUCGGGCGAGUCAAUCGCCGGCGCGGUAAGCCGCGCGGAUGGGCGAGUCAACCACGUCGUGUUGAUGUAGUGAACAAUUGUCCUACAUCAAAAACAUCGCAAGCAAGAGUAAUUGCUCUUUUUUAAAGAAAACAAUAUAUAAUAUAUAAAAAUUUACUGGAUUGAUUUCACCUGAUAUGUUAGGCCAGAAAAUAUCCACCGCGGAGUUGAUCAUCACGACGGUGAAGCUGAAAUCAAUCACGGCCGAGUCGGCCGCGGGAACAGACAGACGGGUCGGCCGCGGCGUUGUAAGCCGGUGCGGUCGGGCGAGUCAAUCGCAUGAGCGAUAAGCCACGCGGACGCUGAGUCGGCCGCGGGGGCGGACAGGUAAGUUGUCCGUCACAUUGUAAGGCGGCGCGUUGAUGUAGACCGGACCACAGGGGCGGUGGCUUGCGCCCACCUGUUGACCAGUAAGCGGUCGCAGAUGCCGUUGCAUGAUGAUGCUACCGCACACUCCAUGGAUACGGCAUUACACCAUCUUUAUGAUGAAUCCUUGUCCUGCACAUAAAAGUGUACAUAGCAAAGCGAUUGUUUUUUGACAAAAAACAAUAUGCGCUUAAUAAAAUAAUCUUAGAUGGAUAUCACCUGAUUUGUUCGGAUGACCGAUGAUCCAUUCAAUGCAACAAAAAACGGCUCUGGUAGACCGGUAACCCAUGGCGAGUCAACACAGCAGAAGCGACUCAACGCAGCCCCGGCAGCUCGAGGCACGGCGGGUCUCAGCUCACGGCGGGUUGAGGUGUGGCGGUUCAAGGUCACAGCGGGGGGACUCGCAGGCUCAGGCGAGGCCGUUUUGAAGAUGGUUGGCAGCGGCGCGGUGACUCGCCACGGUGCGCCGAAAUAGCAGCAGCGUAGUGGGAGAAACAGCCGGUCUGUUGAUUUUGACCGUGAUGUGAAGCUCGCGGGGCAGCCACGAAGGCGCUGGGACGGAGUGGCUCCGAUGUGCGAGACGUGCCACCACAAGGACGCACGUAGGAGAAGACCAGAGGGGCAUCGAAGUCGGGUCCGCGGCGGCUCUGGAGAUGACAAGUGUGCGGGAGGCAAGGCCGUGCUGGCCAGCAGAAAACGGCGAGGUGCCGGCGACUUAGCGUAAAACCGCGGGUCAGAGGCGGCUCGGAGUUGAGUCCAUGUCCUGCUCUGGUCGUUGUUGGUUUGACAAUUCCCUUUAAGUGCUCCUUUAAAAUUUCCUUCAUCACACGUGGUGUCGUGCCAGGCAACAGCAUGGCCGGACUAAAAAUCCACUAGACCUUGAUUUUUAAUGCUCCUGUAGAUCUUGGGGACUGCGUGUGAGCUGACUAUUAAAACCUUCAAAUUCAUGCACGUACAGUGGCUGUACUAGUUGAUGCUACGUGCAGAAGGUAAGGUAAUCUAUCAGGCUUUGUUUUUCGCGUUGAUCAGCACUUGGACCCUUGAUCAACAGUUGGCUUGAUCCGGAGACUUCACAGGGCUGAAGCAAACUGUCUUGAUCGCCGCUGUACCAACAGAUGGCGCUCGUGACGCGUGUUUGGCUGUCUUUGAUCACCUCGGACUUGGACAGCUAUAUAUGGACCAGCAGAAGCGACCUGGCGAAUCGGACACGGCGGCUAGAUUUGACAGCGGCACAGUAGAAAUUCGAGUCGGCCUCGGUGUACUGCUGCAGCAGAAACUAACCCGGACUCGACGGAUCAUCUAAUUGUGGCGGCGCUCACCAUGCAACUCUAAUCUUUCUUGAAUUCAGACCUCGUACGAGUAUUAGAUCUGACUGCUCGCUUUGGAGACAAUGUAAAUCCUUCCGCGACGAUUCUUCUUUCAUCCGAAGAAAUUGUCAACUUCUCGACCCUUGAAAGAGAUCCCUCCAAGAACUCAUCACCACCGUGCGCAGCCCCACGGUGGGCGCCAACUGUCGUGGAAUUGUCACGGCAGAUGUCCUAGUGUGAGGACUUAGUCGUGAGGCCAACGCAUCUAUGCGGUAGCUUGAGAGGGGUUGAUUGGGAUGAGAGACGCAACACACAAGACAAGAAUUUAGACAGCUUCGGGCCCCGGGAAACAUCAUCCGGUAAUAGCCCUACAUGCUGUUUGUGGCUAGGUCUCAUUAUGAUCAUGAGAGAGUCGCCGGUAAGCCGGCUCUUUGUGUCUAGCCCUAGAGAUUGUUUCUUGUUUCUUGUCCCUCUUGGGGUGCCCUGCCCCUCCUUAUAUAAGUUAGAGGGGCGGGUUACAUACGGAGUCCUAGUAGGAUUAGGACUAGUCUAUCUUUCUUUACAAGUUGAAUACAAGUCCAGGUCUUGCUUCCUUAUGAAGGAAAUAAUCCUCACGCCUUUCAUCUUAAACCGGCCCACCAGAGUAUAAGCCAGCCUGCUGGGCCUUGGGCCUUGUCAUCCGUCUGAUCCGCCCGCCGGGUCUCCAGUGAAUUACAAUGUCUAGGCGGGUUACCCUGUGAACCGCCAUGUUCGGGCGGAUCGCCAGUGAGUCGCCAAGCUUGUCCGGCCGGGUCAUACCGCGGGGUAUAUCCCCGACAGGUGGUCUAAUACGGGUAAAGAAACGCAUUUUUCGCUUUGGAUCCUUUACAAUAAAAGAUGGGUCAAAAAUUCGAUUCUGGGAAGACAAGUGGCUAGAAAAUGCUUGGAUCCAAUAAAAAUAUCUAUCUUUGUACUGCAUCAUUCAUCACAAUAAUGAUACUCUUGUGCUAGUGCUUAUUUCUUUCAUGCCAGAUAUUUCUUUCAGGCGAGAUUUGAUUGGCCUAUGUCUUAUGUGAUGGUAAAAUCAUUAUCCUGAUUGGAUUUAAUUAACCUGACACAAGGGCGGGGAUGUGUUUCAUUGGAAUCUCUCUACAUAUGGGUCCUUCAAGUCAACUUUAUGUACCAUGCACUAACGCAUUCAGAGGUCCUAGUGGAUAAUAAAAUAAUAGAAGAAGAUAUGGGCCAUACUCCCUCCGUCCAGUGAAGAGUGAAAUCUAGAGAUUUUAGGACAAAUUAUGGAGUAAAAUAGAAAAUGCAUUGGAAAGGUGCAAGCCACCAUCUUUCUUCUCUUUAAUUAUCCAAUCCCUAAUGUGUUUAGUGCAUGUAAAAAUUAAGAAGACCAUGUGUAGAUUGUUAUUGGUCUUGGUUACCAUGUGAUGAGAGAGAAAUAUAUUUUUUUCUACUUUAAAGUGCAUUGAGAAGAUAGAAGUACACUCUUUUGUGGACAAAUUUUAAAGCCAAACGUACACUCUUCACCGGACGGAGGGAGUAUAUUAAUUCCUAGUGUGACUUAAUGUUGACAUGAAUUGAUACAGGUGGAUAUAGUUACUCUGCGUCCGUAAAUAAAGGUCAUCAUUUUUGUUGCUCUAGGGACCCAUAAAUGAUAGGGACUGUCCGCUACCAGCUACCCUGAUGACUCCAUUCGCUGCCCCUCAAACAUGGGUUCCCGACAUGUUCUCAGGGUCUGCCCGUGGUUCCAUGUUCUGGCCUUCGGGGUUGGUUUAACUAGUGGUAUGGGGGUUCUUGCAUCGCCCUGUACUCUCGAUCGGGACCCUUUAAUGCUAGCACUUCUGGUGACAUACAGUGCGUGUAUUUAAAGGCCAGGCAUGCAUCCUCCGUGCCAAAGAAAAUUCAUUCGGCGGCUACACGGGGAGAGUUGUGGCAGCAAAUCCGGGAUGCCAGCUUUUUGUUUUGGGUUUCGAUUGUCAAAGUUUUAGAUCUUAAAAAAACUAAAAUUAAGUGUUGUUUUCAUAUUCGUGUUUCUCGUGACCACUGUUUUGAAAUAAUAUCCGUUUUGAAUAUAUAUUUUGACGACUUUAAAAAAUAUUAAGUUUCAUAUGUUGAAACUUAGUACGGGCAACCAGUAAAAAUCAAUUAUUUUGUACCUACGCCUGACAGAAAAAUGCUUACAUUUAUAUCUCUGAAACUUGCUGAAACUUUGCAUUUUUCAUCAUUGAAACUUAAAACUUUUUGAGGGAUUUUCUUUUUUACUGUGCCCUCAUGUGGGAUUCAACUACUCUUUUCUCUUCCGCGAGAUCCACAUGAAAAAAAGCACAAAUUUAAGAUGAGUGCAGGGCUUGGCAGAUGAGUGCCCUGCACUUACAUGCCCCUGCGAAUUUCCGCAGCUACUAGAUAUUUUUGGCAAAUUUAUUGUUUGCUCUUUUACAGGUGUGCCACUUAAGUAUUUAAACCUAUAAGGAUUUCUGCACUGGUGCUAAACUCACUUAUGAGAGCAUACCGGAUUUUCUCAUAUGAGCUAACAAAGAAUCAAACAUAGUUAUAUCUUGUAUUAUUUUCUCAUUAAUUACUUACCCACUGGGCUGAAGCAGUUAUUGUAGCAUAUCAUGCAACACUCAUGGUUUUCCAACAUGUUUCCUUAAGGGGUCUUAAUCAAGAUGAUUUACAUUCAAAAACAAUCAUUGAGUAUGGAUCAUUAAGAAUAAUUUGAUCCUACUUAAUCCAUGCUUAGGAAAUAAGAAAAUGGUUACUCAAUGAGCAAACGCUGCCUGUUGCUGCCUCCUCACCAACAAACUUUGGUUCUUCACAUCCCUUACCGAAGAGGCACCUUUACAUUGCAUCCCUUGUAUACUACUAUAUAUAUGUGAUCUUCAUAAAGAGUUCAGCGAUUUCUCCAUUGUUGAGUUCCUUACACUCAAUAUUCAAUAAUAGUUAUUUCCAAAUUCACAUAAUCAGUUGGCAGGAUGGUCACCAAAGUACAUUCAUCCAUCGAAAGAAACACACAAAAGAAAACAGUAACAGCACCAAAAAAACUACACGUUGUCCAAUUAUGAAUAAUGUUUCGUCCGUGUAACAAGAGCUUCGACGGUCAUUUUCUUAAGCAUAAUUAAAUAAAAAACUAAUCAUAGACUCUGAUUGUAAAGCAUUCCAAAAGAAAUUCAUAUGUCAGUUCUUCAACGCUUAUUGUGUUGGAAGCCUGUCCUCAAAUAUUCUCUCCUUCGCCUUGUCGGCCUGCAAAUAAAUAUCAGUUAUUUUUUCUUACUAUCCUUGGUACCAGUGCUUAGGGUUUUGAUAGACAGGUCGCUAGUUAUUGAAAUGAAACAUUUAAGACAAGGAGAAGCAUGCAUUAGGGCAACUCCAACUAUGUGCAUCAAAUCGGACACAUCUAACAUUCAUGGGCACGUCCGGACGUGUCCACAAAGAGCAUAUAGGGGGCGGCCAUCCAAGCCUAUGCACCAAAUGUCCGCACCUUUUCAAAGAAAAUAAAAUAAAGCUAGACCAAAUGUUGGCUCACUUUAAAUCAUCGAUCGAUAGCAAUUCAAAAGUGUUGGAUGAAAGUACUUCUCGAAAGCAGCCUUCAUUACAUACUUUCUCUCCUCGAGUUUGCACUUCUUCAUUACAAAUGUUGUUCAUCCAGAUGUUGUGCCCUUUGAGCUUCAUCCAACAGUGCAUAAAUGCGAAGAACUUGCCCUCCGUCCUUUGGUAUAGCAUGGGCUGCGCGUCUGGGCUAUACAAUGACGUGAUCAUCAAGUGUAACAUUGAGCAAUUUGCCAUUUGUGCUUGCUUCAUGUUAAACAAGGAGAAAGUCAAAGAAAUUCUCAAUGGUAUUUGGCCGAACACUUGCCGGGGUUGGCCUCCAUUAUGGAGGGCAUCGGCAAGGGGGCGGCCAAUGCAUGGGCUGCCGCCGGAUACUGGGUGCAACCGCGGCGAAGUACAAUGCGCCUGGUGGAGCAAUGGAGGUCUAGCAAGGCCUAGGCGCGGGACGGAGUGGUAUAGCAGCGGCGGUCUUGGUGGGUGCGGAUACAGAUUAAGAGUGGGACNNNNNNNNNNNNNNNNNNNNNNNNNNNNNNNNNNNNNNNNNNNNNNNNNNNNNNNNNNNNNNNNNNNNNNNNNNNNNNNNNNNNNNNNNNNNNNNNNNNNNNNNNNNNNNNNNNNNNNNNNNNNNNNNNNNNNNNNNNNNNNNNNNNNNNNNNNNNNNNNNNNNNNNNNNNNNNNNNNNNNNNNNNNNNNNNNNNNNNNNNNNNNNNNNNNNNNNNNNNNNNNNNNNNNNNNNNNNNNNNNNNNNNNNNNNNNNNNNNNNNNNNNNNNNNNNNNNNNNNNNNNNNNNNNNNNNNNNNAUAGUCCGACCAGGCGGGCGUCCGGACUCCCAAACCUCCAAUGAGUUUGCUUCCGGUUUGGCUGAUGUUGGACGUCCGGAUUAGGCCGCGGGCAUUUGAUGCAUGGCAGUGGAUGGCAAAAAAUGUACAGGCAGCGCAGUCCGGACCUUGCGGGCAAUUUGAUGCAUGGCAUUGGAGUUGCCCUUAGCAAUACCUAAGGCAUGUUCUGAUCACGAAUCAUCAGGCAUAAAAACUGAGAAAGGACUUACCAUCUUGUUCCAGUUUGUGGUAGCCGUAAUAACAGACAGGAGAGUGACCUGUGUGGCUCCACCAGCCAGUAUGCCAAUCCAAAACCCCUUUGCUCUUAGUUGCAUUGCAAAACCAAAGUAGAGUGCAACGGGGAUACCAACAAGAUAGAAGGCACCCAGGUUAACAUAAGCCCCUAGAUGCUGCCAUCCACAGCCCCGAGACACACCUGAGUGGUGCAAUGGAAGCAUUCAGUCUAUUAGUUUAAUUUAGUUUAUGAUGCUAUAUGCCAAAAGAAAGACAUGUGGAUACCUUGAAGGACUGCCAUGAGGCUGUCUGUAAUUGCUGAAAUGGAAAGUAGGGGUACCAUUCUUGUGACAUAACGCCUGACCUCUUCCUCAUUGCUGAACGCAAUUCCAAUAAAGUGGCGCAGUAAUAGAAGAGUUGUGCUCACUAAGAAUGCUGAGCAGACCACAAUAGACAAGGCAACACACACCACCAAGCGGGGACCUUGUGUGUUGCCGGCGCCUAAUUCAUUUGAGACGCGCACACUGGCACACGGACAACAUAUAUACGUAGCAUGUUAAAUUCUGUAGAAACAGGUGAUACUGACGAUAUAUAGCAACAAAUGCACUAGCUAGUAGCUACCCACCUGGUAGCUAUUCCAAUGCCGUAAGGAAGGUUGGCCAACAGUAUCAUUGUAGAUACGCUGUUCCAAAAGGACAUCAGUAUGGUAAACUUCAUAGAAUAUGAUGGAUUCAAGUAUAAUCUUAUUUAGGGUUCUACUAAUGCAUACCAUAUAGAAAGCACAGAGGUUUCCAGUGCAGGAUUUGGUAACAUCCCGGAAAGCAGAACAAGCAGCUCGUAAGACCACCACUCCAGACUGUGGUCAAGGAAAGCUAGGUUAAUAUUCAGAGGUUUCCGGGAUGUUUUGAUGCUAGAGAAUACAUAAUUAGAAGCUAAACUUAAAGUAAUAUAUGUGCAGAAAUUAUCCAGUUCAUUUCAAGAGGAGAGGGAAGAAUAUAUCCAGUGGUAUUGCGAGCGGGUGGCAAAAAAACAAAAGGUAUCUGAUCAGGAUCUGCUCACAACAAAGGCGAAGACGAAGACGGACUUUCUUUUGUUGAAAGAUGUCUUCACAACAAAGACGAAGAGGAAAACAAACUUGAUUUGGACAAUCAAUCCGAGACGAGCCGACAUUUCAAAUUUUCAAAUGGUUUGUAAAAGACCAUCAUCCUUUUCUGACAGUAUUCUAACAGACCAAUCAAGUGUGCAAGGGUGCUGUGGCAAGAACAACAGAAAAAUAGUAUUUCCUCCAUCCGAAAAUAAGUGUCGCUCAAAUAGAUGUAUCUGGACGUAUUUUAGUGCUAGAUACAUCCGUUUGAGCGGUACUUAUUUCCAGACGGAGGGAGUAGGUAUGAACGAACAUAAGUAGAAAGAGAUAUAAAAAAUAGCAACAAUGCUUGGAUCUUAUGGGCUGCAAGUGCACCACUAUUAAAAAGGUUUUGCCACGUACUUGUUAUUAUUAAUAUAUUUUUUGAGAGGAACGUACUUGUUAUUUUCCAUGCUGACACCUUUAGAAACGUUGGCUACUGAUACACAAACUAUAUAGAUUUGUCACAUGAAGAUACCAUUAGUGUUAUGAAUGAUCACAUCAUUAUAAUUAUAAUCUUAAUUAUUUGCCAAAAGGUGCACGUUGGAAACUAUAUUAAUGUCCACAAGAACAAGUAAAAGUGAAUGAAGAGUGCAUAAGAGUUUGCUGUAUUGGACAAUAUUUUGCUUGCCAAAAUAUGAAAUACUAGAUAAAAUAGCAUAUGUUAUUUUUUGUGCUAGAGGUUAAAACAACAUCAUUAUAGAAACAUGGCAAAUAACAUUUACUUACCAAAUCAUAAGAGCCGAUGGUACAGCCAAACGCAUGAAACUGCCAAUCCCUCUAAAAGCUUCCCACGAUGGUGGAGCGCGUGUUUUCUCACAAGAGGGUGAGAACUUAAUGUAAAGGCCAAGAAAAGUCACUUCAACCCAAUCACAAAUGCUAACGGAUAAAGCAGCUCCAGCAUUACCCAUCCCAACUUUGUAAACCAUGAACCAGCAAAGAGGAAGAAAUACCGCAAUUGUAAUCAAGGAGCUAAGAACCAUUGGAAAUAUUAGGCUUUGACAUUGCAGAAACUUUGAAAAGCAUUGAGUAACACCGAAGGCAAAUAAACCAGGGAUAAGCCAUAAUGCAUAUUUGCCAGCCUCAUUUGCAAUUUGUGGUUCCUGGCCCAUGAGAGGAAGUACUUCCGGGAUGAAACACCAAACAAUGGAGAUGGGCACACUCACAACAAGAAGUGCAAUGAUGGACCUGUAGGUACAUAAAGAUAAUGUAUGAUAUUGUUCUGCUCCAUAGGCCUGCCCACAAAGAGUUUCCAAUCCGCCUGCCAGUCCAAUCUAAAAGGGAAACUGCAUCAGUAACAAAUUAUACAUAUUGUUGCUGAAUAAAUGGAAGUUAAACUAGGAUAAAGUGCAUCGACAUUACUGAAAGAAGAGUUUUGCUACACCUACACAUUAAUCUUAUGGAAUUAAAUUUACAGGAUGAGGUGGCAACAUCUGAUUGGAAGGGAGGAGACUCAUAGUAAAUUCGGGGAAGACGGGUUACUUGGAGGUUAGGGGGGAGGGGUGGCAGUCCAUACGGGUCGCUCAUAAGUUUGGAUUUUCGCUGAAAGAAUAUCAAGAAUAACAAACGUGGCUUGUGCAAGGUGGGCAACAGUUGCUAUGAAGAUUUUGUUUCAAUCAUCACUGCAAAGAAUGCGAACAUCACCCUGGCCGAAUUUUCUCAACACCCAACUCAGUCGGAUCAAGUGACUGAUUAUAUUUUUCGCGGGAAUAUAAUAGAUCGAUAUUGCCCACCGAAACUAGCUAUAUGUACAGCGGGGUGGGGUGAAUCAAGCACCACAGGUCCAUUGUAAAAAAGAUUAAUCGAACGACCUAGCUAGCCGCGUGCGGUCGGCGCUAAUCAGAAAGGUUGAGAAAUGGAACCAUCUGAUUUGAUUCAUUCCCAGUAGUCAUGAGAUGAUCAUUUUUUUUUAGAAAAGAGGGGAGAUCCUGAAUGAUCCACACAACCUUUUGUUUAUCAUAUCAAAGUACAUCAUCUGACCAUAACAAAGUUCAUCUUGCCAACGGAUGCUUCUAUUACACUCGUGGUCUCUAAAAGAUGAGAACCCACUAUGUAGCAUCCACAUCAAUAAUUCAAGCAUUUAUGUCCUUAGUACGAUUCUUUGUAGGAACUAUCCGUAAUAACAAAGAACAUCAGAAGUAGCAGAGAUCUCCGCACGAUGCAACUGGAUAAAUGGCGGUCGCAUGGAGGGAGAAGACACUGAGACAUCUGGACCGGUCGCCGAUCUUGUACACAUCCGGAUGGGAUUCAGGGGCUGCUCUAACGGAAUUGAAAGUACCAAUAGCUAAACAUAAACGAAAUAAAUUAAUGUGCGCUGCAUGCUUGCUCACAAGGACGCUGAAGCCGGAGACGUUGGUGAGGGAGUUGGCGAUGGCCGCACCGGCGAGCGCGACGUCGCCGAGGUGCCCCACCAUGACGGUGGAGAUGAACUGCAUCGUGACCUGCAGCAGCAUCACCACCACCAUCGGCGCCGCAAGCCCCGCCAGCUGCGCGGCUUCCCUACACCAGCGCCGGCUGGUACUGCCGGGCUCUUCCCACCUCGCGGCCAGCAGCGGCGCAUCGGAAGAAGAGUCCAUGGAUCCCCCCGACCAAAGCUCUGCCCAAGCAACGUGGGUGUGGUUAAUGAAAAUGGUAAAUGCGGGAGCUACCAUCCGUCUAGCUGUCUCCCUUUGCACAAUGCAUGGAGCUCGAACUAUAUAUAGAGUAUUACUCCAGUCGUAGUAGCUACGGAAACUAUUUCCUCUGUCCAGAUUUAUUAGUUUUGUCAGAGCAUCGGUAAUUGAGGAGCUAAUUUGAUUUCAUAUACAUCCACUGACCCGUCUUGGCGCUGUUCAGGCAUAUUCACUUAAGCCCACAUUUAUCUGUGCACGCAGUGGUAACCCCACUUUUCUCCCUAUUAUAUGCCCGAUUACAUGCAUAUGAAUGGUAGGGACAGAACCUCAAAAAAAAAAGAAUGGUAAGGACAAAAAAAGAAAAUAAAAGAAAAUAGUGAAGGUGAAAAAGUGGUCCGGACUCUGGAGUGUGCCAAAUUCGACGUGGCAGACUGCUCAGACAUACCACAACAUCUCAUACCCUUUCCACGUAUGGGCUCGGUAUAAGGGGUGCCAGAAAGCCCGCGCCCAUGUAUAUAGUUUUGAGUUAAUGAUACUCCCUUUCAUCCAUAUUACUUGUCACACGGACGUAUUUAGACGUUUUUCAGUGCUAGAUAAAUUCGUUUGAGCGACAAGUACACUAGUAGAAAAAGGACCUUACGUGAGACACAUUAGUCCCGGUUCAAUUUUGGCUCGGUACUAAUGGUAUUAGUCCCGGUUCAAACGGCUAUGCAUUAGUCCCGGUUCAUGUUGAACCUUUAGUACCGGUUCGUGCCACUAACCGCUACUAAAGGGGUGGUGGCAGGCUGGCGUCAGGCCGGGGCCCCACGAGCCCCUUUGACUAAAGGGGUUUAACCUUUAGUCCCGGUUGGAGACACAAACCGGGACUAAAGGGCAAUUAUCAAACUCUACCCCCCUCCCCUCUCCCUGUCUAUCGCCAUUUCAGUUUUGAAAAAAACAAAACAAAAUGAUAAAAACUUCAAAAAUUAAGAUCCUUCGAGAUGUAGUUAUGUUACUACAUCUACUAGUUAGGAAAAUUUAAAAACUUAAAUUUGGACAUGUUUUGCAAAAAAAUAUGAUGAAAAGGUAAAACAACUAUAUCUUUUGCAUCCGAUAUCGGAAAACAACGUAUAAUAUAUCAAAAUGUUCAGCACGAAAAUACGCAUCCGAUUUUGACGGCUGUAGGCCGUUUUGCAAAUUUUUAGAAUCCUCAAACUCUAAAAGGAAAAAAGUUAUGCUCACAUUUCAGUUUUUUUUUUGAAUUUUGGUCAAACUGUGGUCAAACUACUUAUUCAAGAAAUAUUAGUGUUACUAAAUAAUUAUUUCAGUUUUUUGAAUUUUGGUCAAAUCUGGUCAAACUAUGGUCAAACUACUUACUCAAGAAAUAUUAAUGUUACUAAAUAAUUAGUGUUUUUUAGAAUAAUAGUUUCAAACUCAAACGAUGAACGUGUGACUUCAUGCUCAAGCUAAACUCCUGAGGGUUAAUAGGAUUGACAGCUUAAUAUUGUUAGGAAACAACAAGUGCGGACUUGGAAACUAGGGGGAAUAGAACUCAGAAGUUAAGCGUGCUCAGGCUGGAGUAGUAAGACGAUGGGUGACCGGCCGGAAACUUAGGUGAUUUGGGAUGAGUGAUCCACACUUGAGCAGUUAUGAGUGGUGAUUAGAGACUAAAUCGUCAAAUAAUUAAGAAAAUUGAAAAUCGGGAAAAAAAUCAAAGUUUUUUCCAAAAAAUUCAAAAAAAAAACCUUUAGUCCAGGUUGGUGUUACCAGCCGGGACUAAAGGUCCCGCAUACCACGGCGCGGGCUCGUGCCACGUGGUGGGCCUUUACUGGCGGUUCGUGUUGAACCGGGACUAAAGGGGGGGCCUUUGGUCUCCAACCUUUAGUGCGGGUUCCGAACCGGCACUAAAGGCCCUUAAGAACCGGCAUGAAAGCUCCGUUUUCUACUAGUGGUAAUACAUAUCAGAUGGAGUAGUGGAUUUAACUAGACGGGGAAGCAACGGAUGGGCGGCGGCUUUCAGAUAUGACGAUGGUGGUCCUACCGGGGUGGCUUGUUCGGCGGAGCGGGUUGGGAUGGCACGGGCCAGAGGCUGCUUCGCUGCCUCCCAAAGGUGGUGGUGGGCUGCGGGUGUAUGCGACAACUCAGAUCCGUCGUGGAUCAUCUGGUUGAUGCGGGAUCGACUCUGGCCUACCUUGGCUUCUCUGACGCGGCUCUGGUGGGCGGAGGGCUAGGUCAUGGCAGGGAGCUCCCCCUGCCUUGGUCUUGUUCGGCCGUCAUGGCAGCGAGCUCCCCCUGCCUUGGUCUUGUUCGGCCGUCAUGGCAGGGAGCUCACCCUACGCGUUUUGGCUCACGGGCUCAGAUGAGUCCGGGAAUGAACAAAAAAUCAUUAAAAAUUACUAAAUAAAUUCAAAAAAAAUCUGAAUUUUUUUUGUGCAGAAAUAUAACUGAGUGUCUGAUGUUCGUACCGAAUUUCAGAACACUUGAAUGUUUGAGUAGCUCUCAGCAAAAAAGGACGAAUUUAAUGUAUGUGAAAAAGGUUACUAUUUGUGCAUUGUCUGGACCCUUUUUUUACUGAGAGCUAAUCCGAUGUCCAAAUGUUUUGAAAUUUGGCACGCACUUCACACACUAAAAUAUCUUCCAUUCAAAAAAAUAGAUUUUAAAAAAAAAAUCUAUUUUUGCUGAAUUUACUGUUCACCAGGUGGAGCAGCGUCGAAGACCACAGACAUGGUGUCGGGCGAGCGCGCUCGGAGACAGAUGUCUGUAGUUGUGUCUCCCCCGGUCCACCGGGACUGGCUGGAGAUGCAGGCGUGGGUGCCUCCUACCAUGGAGGCAUCGAUCCAGACUAUGUGGCUGAUGUAUGGCUAUGAUUGUAAGGGGACGCCAUUUGCUUCUCCUACCGUGGUGGGUGCACCGUGAUGUGGGCGGUUGGUGGUGUCUCUGAUAUGGAUGUCGAGGUGGCAACCCUGGAUGGCGGUCUGAUGGUUCGCUCUCUAGCGGGCCCCAUGGCAGCAGUGAUAGGUGGAGCGACGGGUGGCUCGGGUGUGCUCUUUGUCUCCGGCAGUGGUGACACCUAGAUCCAGAUCUGGAGGUCUGAACUCGUCGUGCUUACCCUGGAGACCUCGUGGUGUCAUGGGGGAGCUGUCGAGUAAAGCCCCAUGCUUUGCCGUCAACGAGGGUGAUGCUCGCGGGUGCCGCUUUGCUCUUAAAGAUAUCACCGUGGUGCUCUUCUUCUUGUCUGGGCUCGGAGUAAAAACCUUUGUUCGGUGUGGACUCAACAACGCUGACACUUAGGGCUAUUCGCUCUCCUAAGAGUGUUGUCGUUGAGCUUAGAUGUUAUAGGGCAUAGUGUGACGUUGCUAUCGGUUCUUCCUAUGCUCACUUUGGUAGUAUAGCUGCAUGCGUUCUGUGUGAUCCGGUUAUCCUGGGAUCUAUUAGAAUAAUCCGAGGCAUACCGUUGAUCAUCCGAGGACCAAGGAACCACACGAGCACGACACCGAGAUUUGUUAACGAGGUUCACCUUGGCUACAUCCCCGGGGCUUGACUAUGGGCGCUCCUCCCCAUGACAUCGCUACAAUACCGCACCCCGUCGCCCUGCACGCCGGCACAUGCCGCCGGCUUCCCUUGCGUUCCUAUGCUAUUAUGUUGGCAUGGGUUACAUCGUGUGUCUACCCCCAUUAUAUAUGAGAGGCCUAGGAUACAAGUGUCCUAUUAGGACACGACUCUAUAUCCUAUCUAAACACAAUACUACUCAAAGUCCAACUCUAACCUAUCUUAUACGCAAUAUUCGACACAACUCUAACAGGAUCUGCAUUGUAUGAGGACUACCUCAUCACCUUGUAUUGGUCAGCCAUGCACUUUGUUCGGUUGUUGCAUUAUACUCUCUCUGUUCAGAAUUAUUGGUCGCAGAAAUGGAUGUAUCUAGUUAUAUUUAUAUAGUUCUAUAUACAUCAAUUUCUAUUCAUUUUUGAGACAGGUAGUCCCGGACGGAAGGAAUAUAUAAAGCGGGGCGCCUGGUUCAAACUUUAAAGAGAGACAUAACCACAAAGGAGACGUAAGAAGGCAAAUAACUACAGCGCAAUUGAUGUCAUGUCAGCAAGAAAUGUUCUUAAGGGCCACUCCACAGCUUCCCACUACGAACCUAAAUCUUCAUGAAACUUGAGAAAAUCAUACUCGACGAAAAUCAUACGCUUGUUUUAGAUGCCUGUCGUCGUUGGUUGCUACAGAAGAUGGAUUUAAAUAAUUGAAAUUAAGUUUUUUUUUAGCACUCUCUCUGAGCCAAAUUAAUUAACAUAGCUCUAGUACAACUUUUUCUUUUUGAGUUUGGACUUGGUUUGGCUGUGUGCAUCUUUUUUUUUGAAAUGUUGGCUGUGUGCAUUUUAGUUAUGCAGAAGCCAGAUAAUACUUAAAAACUUUGUAAGCAAUAAAGCGCCCCUUAUCGAACAAUAGAAUUAUGCAGAGGACUAACACUUAACUCUCGAGUAGUAACUGGUUGAAACUUACCAGCUCUACGUGGUUGAUGUUGACAUCCAAUUUCGAAUACAGAACAUAUUUCCCAAACCAUUCAAAAACAUCACAUUGCCAUCUUGGUUAUUACCCUUUAACCUCCUCACAGCAGAUUCCAUCUGCAUACACUCAGUGUAAGAACGCAGCAGAUCCAUUAAAACAUGUAGUACGAAUUAUCACGUUAUACUAAAAUUUUAGAAUCAACAAGACAUUAGCUACAUAUUGACUUCUUUAAUUAUUUAUGAAGACUGCCUCUAGAGAAUUGUUGGCAUGUCUAUGACGGUAAAUUUGCAGCUCAGUUAAAGUGUGCUUGGUUGGUUAAACAAGGUAUACUAGAUGAUUUUCCCGCGCGUUGCUGCGGGAUUUUAAAGAUUAAUUUUGGAUAUAUUAUAUAAGAAUGAAAUGAUCUAAAUCAAAAGCUAUUAUUUUCAAAAGUAAUUAUAUGUGAACAAAGAGUAUGCAUGUACGUUGGACCAUUGGAGAUGGAACAAUUAAAUUGGAGUAUGCAUGUGCUACAAAAUAAUUCUAGUGGGUGAUGAUAUGUGGAGGGCUGCAUGUUGAGAUAAUUAGACUUAAUGGGAUCAACUAUAUAUUUAUUAUAGAUGGGAUAGGUUGUUUGCUUGGUUGGGUGGAUGGGAGUAUCAAAAAAGAUUAAUUAGCUAAAUGAUACCUCCUAACUUCUACAUUAACACCAUCAAGACCUAGUGAACCUACUUAAGUCAAACCAGAAAAACAUGUACCUGUUUCAGAUAAUCAUCCAUGAACAUGAUUGCAUGGUCAUCAUGCCCAGUACUGAGUUUGAAAACAUGAAGUACAUUGUCUUUCUUCAAUGACUGCAAAAAUGAUUUCUAUAUAUGUUCAGAUUUUCAUCAAAGCAAGGAAAAUUUUCUCUGGUGCAGUUGAAGAUUACUACACAUUGGUAAACAAUAAUCACCAACAGUUUAACACAAGAAUAGCUAGAAAAGAAUCCAAAGGUAAAACACAAACUCAUCAUUGCAUUACAACAGUUGUGUAUACAUAAAGAAUUAUUGCAUAAGUUCAAAACAAUACCUUGAAAUCUCUGGCAGCUUGUGUCCUGUCCUUCACGCUAUUAUAGUUUGGGACUGCAAAAUGAAUGGUUGUGUCACAGCCUACAAGUGAACACAAGAAAAAGGUGAAUUUCGGAUCUGAAUCACCAUUAAAAAAGGAAACAGUUAGAGAAGAAGCACACACUGAGUUUAUAUAACCAUCUUUAUUAUAUAACAACAUGUUACAUGGGAGUAUUGUUACAUCCCUCCAUUAAGAGGAGGAGCAAACAUAAGUACAAGAGUUUAAUAGUGGCCGUGUCCCCCAACCCACAAAUAACUUUGGCACAUGCACGCACAGACCAGAAUUUUGCAACAGAAAACAUCACUAACCUAUGCACACGGUGGCUCUCGCAGCCAGUGAUGGUAGGCCUGAAUCGUCGCUCCACCUCUGCCUUGAUGUUGUUGGCCAUUGUCUGAAGGUCCUGGUUCUCUCCCUCGAACACCAGGUAGCUAUGUUCUCUCCAAAAUCCCUACGGGCCAAAUUUGUACAAUCACUAUCGAGUCCAGGUCUUUUUGCCGAUCUUUUGGCAGUGCUUUUCACCUAGACAGCCACCAAAUUCACCUGAAGUGGCGAGCUGUUCAUUUUAAAAUGACUUGCCACAGUUAUGUCAACCAGGAUCAUUGCUCUCUUUCUCGGCCUCCCGCAGAACUUCACAAGUUAUGAGUUUGCUGUAUGAGUAUAUAACUGAAUGAAGUAGUCUUUGAACCUGCAAACAGAGCACUUAAUCUACUUCUCAACGCACUGGAAUUUUUUGCAAUGUCUCUCUGUACUAAUUGUCCACUGCUACCCUACCACGAAGAAGUAGCGAUUUCUCCACCAAUCCAGCUCGCAAUCGGAUUAAACACUAGGCAAAGAAAUUCCUCUCUGCAACUAUAUAUCCAUACAAAAGUACCAUUUACUCCUGGAUCGAGCACUAAGCCACUAACUGACGGACGGAGAAUGGAUGACUAACCUUCUAGUUGCAACCGCAUGACCUCUGACCUGCCCUGCCGGCGGCUCACAGCGAUGGAUAGCGGACUAGCCUGCCAUCUAGGGUAAUUGCAGACGGCCAGAGUUGCAACGGAGGCCUCAUCGUGAUACACGACGACCUCCGUAGCUGGGAUCAGAUGUAUUUUCUAAUUUGAAUUGAAUAUGUAGUGUCACCAUUCCAGAUUUUUGGUACAUAUGAACAAAAAUAAAUUUAUUCAUGGGCCAUUCAACACUUUUCAACUCAUCGGAUACUGGCUCAGAUCGAGUUCACAUAUCAUUAACAUAUUUCGAACCAAAUCCAUAAUCAUAAAAUCCUCUGGUUUUAUUCAAACAAGCGGUGGAGAUGCCCCAUCCCUCCUAGCAUUGUUUUUCCUUAUCAUUUAGGAUCUCUUCAUUCAGCCUUUAAUAGAUUAAUAACAAAAAAACAUAAGUAUGGCCUAGAUAUAUAAGAUGCUUCAGAAUAGCUGGGCACAAACAAGUUGGCAUGAAACGGUCUAGAACUUCUUUUGCGGGAAAAAAUCUAGACCUUCUCAAAAUCCAACAAAUAAAAUAUGCUCGUUGUCCAUGAUCUAGGAGGGUAUCUACGAAUAGGUACUUAAGGUUUGUUCAUGAAAAGUAUUAAAAUAUUUGGCAAUUUUCCUUUUGGGUAGACAAAGUACCUAGAAAUAUGUAAAUUCAUGCUUAUACACCUGAACAUGCACCAUAGUAGACCAAAUUAUGUUGCCAAAGUAUAACGAACAUAUUAUAUUUUUGAAUAGGUUAUCUGUGUAAAUGGUCUACACAAUUCAAAUAAGUAUCAACUUCAUGCCCAAAAGAUUUAGUAAAAGGUACCGGGUGGUCCCAAUGAAAUAUUUACAUAACAUUACAAACUUAGUCCACCAAAAGAAUGAUUUGAUCCAGAAAAAUCCUUCUUCACACAUAGAUCGAACUGAUGAUGACGUAUCUAGAGUUAGGACCGGAUAUAUGCUAGUAACUUGUAAGCAAUUACCAUCCUUUACAUGUAAGGGAAUUCUAUGAGUCAUGUCAUGAUCUAUACCUCUCAGUUCAUCUUAUCAUCUUAGAGAACAAUACAAAGUUAGUUUUAUAAAAAAGCAACCGAGUCUAGACGAACCCUCCACAUACAAGGCUUUAAUAAUCGAGCAUAUCUUAACAGUCCACACACGAUUGCAACUUAGUCCUACACAGGUUUUGCCUUUCUUGUUUAUGGUUGACAGCCUAUACAAGGUUCCAAACUCGGUUGCAAAAGUGAUACUAUCCUGAUAAAUGUGUGACAUGUAAAGUGAAUAAGGCGAGUCAUAUAUACCACACAUCAGGGUUUCUAUAAUUUGUGUGUGAUCAUAUGCACAACUAAAAAGCAACUUUGAUGAUCAAUCCAAAAGUACGCUUGUAGCUAGUGCAACCUAACACAAUGUACCAAAAAAUCAUUUCUGAUGCAUCCAAAUAGAAUUAUUUAAGUUGAUGCAAAGAAGGAAAGAGGUGGUGCCCGGACUACUAUAAAUAGGCAUGAAGUAUAAUGAUCAUCACAAGCACAAGCAUCAAAACCAAGCAAAAGUAGUUAGCACCAAUCCAUCAUGAAGACCUUCCUCGUCUUUGCCCUCAUCGCCGUUGUGGCGACAAGUGCCAUUGCACAGAUGGAGACUAGCUGCAUCUCUGGUUUGGAGAGACCAUGGCAGCAGCAACCAUUACCACCACAACAGUCAUUUUCACAACAACCACCAUUUUCACAACAACAACAACAACCAUUACCUCAACAACCAUCAUUUUCGCAGCAACAACCACCAUUUUCGCAGCAACAACCAAUUCUAUCGCAGCAACCACCAUUUUCACAGCAACAACAACCAGUUCUACCGCAACAAUCACCAUUUUCGCAGCAACAACAACUAGUUUUACCUCCACAACAACAACAACAACAACUUGUGCAACAGCAAAUCCCUAUUGUUCAGCCAUCCGUUUUGCAGCAGCUAAACCCAUGCAAAGUAUUCCUCCAGCAGCAGUGCAGCCCUGUAGCAAUGCCACAACGUCUUGCUAGGUCACAGAUGUGGCAGCAGAGCAGUUGCCAUGUGAUGCAACAACAAUGUUGCCAGCAAUUGCAGCAAAUCCCCGAACAAUCCCGCUAUGAAGCAAUCCGUGCCAUCAUCUACUCCAUCAUCCUGCAAGAACAACAACAGGGCUUUGUCCAACCUCAGCAGCAACAACCCCAACAGUCAGGUCAAGGUGUCUCCCAAUCCCAACAGCAGUCGCAGCAGCAGCUCGGACAAUGUUCUUUCCAACAACCUCAACAGCAACUGGGUCAACAGCCUCAACAACAACAACAACAGGUACUACAGGGUACCUUUUUGCAGCCACACCAGAUAGCUCACCUUGAGGCGGUGACUUCCAUUGCACUCCGUACCUUGCCAACGAUGUGCAGUGUCAAUGUGCCGUUGUACAGCGCCACCACCAGUGUGCCAUUCGGCGUUGGCACCGGAGUUGGUGCCUACUGAUAAGAAAAGUUGU
rnacentral:lncRNA from 1 species